rnacentral:lncRNA from 1 species
GACUUUUAAGCUGCUCCAAACUUCUAGCUUGUGACAACGUGAAGAUGUAUGUCAACUUGUUGCACAUAUGCACAUUCAAUUCUGUAAGAGUUUGGAGACUGAUCACAUGUUGGGCGGGCGCCUUCCAUAUCCACUUCAGUUCUGGUAAUUGCAACAUAAAUAACUCUGCUAAUCUUGAGAGACUCUUUCUAUGCGGCGACUUAGAGGCAUCCAUUAUGCAUUCUAAAUCUUCGCAAUCGCGGACAUCAAGACAAGUCAACUCAUUUAAGCCCCUUUCAUCUAUGCUUGGCACAAUAUUGUAACAACCUAUAAUCCCACUUAAAUAAAGAAUUUCCAGUUCUUGAUACAAUGCCGAAAAAAUACCGAGCGAGGUCGCUUCAGGAGGGUAAUUAUUAAUUAUUAAGCUCUUUCUCUGACUAACAUAUUUCAUUUUAUCAACAACUCCUUCAACUUUAUAGAUGAUGUACCUUUGCAAUUUCGGGAAUGUAAAGUCUUUUGGAAGACAUACAACAGAUCCGUCGGCUUGGGAGUUCAACUCAGCAAGCCUAGCAUUACUUUCUUCUGAACUCAUCCCUUCAACCUCCCAAUUUUUUAUCCAACCAUAAAAUUCUUCCAAUUGAGGAAAUUUUUUUAUCGUAAUGGGAGAAACAGAACCGGUAUCAAUAAAUAGAAGUUUCAAUCUACGAAGUUCAUCCGACAAUUCUUCAGGAAUUUCAAUGGGAGAAUCCUCGAGAUAAAGAAGUUCAAGUCUCUUCAACUUUCCAAGAAAAGAUGCGUCACUCACAUCACAUCCAAUCAGCUGCAGAACUCGGAGGCUACUGGCGAGGAAUCGAAGCGAUUUUAGUGAAAGGACUCCAUCUUUUAUAAUAACAACUUUCAAUGCUGGCAUCCCUUCAAAAAAAUGUUCUGGAACUUGCAAUUUGUAGUCACAUAGAGUAUUGUCCAAUCGCAAAAUAUGAAGGUUAGGGCAUACCAAACCACUAGGAAGCUCUUCUUCUUUAUUUCCCAUUACAAAGAUUCCUCUGUAUUGUUCCAAGCCUUCUUCCAUUGCCCAUUCUGCCAAUCCAAUGCCAACUUUACCAAAAAAUUUCUUCUCCACUAGUACUUCUGACCCUAUCCAUAUGGCUACAUCACGAACUAUGUCAUGCAUUUUCACAGAUCUGUCAUUACCAGUGUCUAACAGCAGUGAAGCAGCUUUGAGUCCUUCAAUUGUUCCACGCAGUAGGCUUCUGGCGUGCUCUAUUGAUUCAGCUUGAUACCAGGUCAACCCCACUACAUAUCGAACCAAAACCUCCAAAUUAAUCUCAUAAUCUUCUGGAAACAGCGAACACAACAAGAAGCAUAACUUGGAAUUGUCAUCAUUCAAAUUGUCGUAACUAAAUUUGAGACAACCGUAAACGUCUAGGUUCUCCUCAUCAAUACCUUCUAUUGCAUAGAGUUUUGCAGCCUUUAGGUUAUGUAGAGCCAGGUUCCAUUCAUUAAAUCCUUUUCCUCUUAGUGCACUUCCAACAGCUUCAAUAGCUAAAGGCAGCCCGUUACAUUCUCCAGCAACUUCUUUGGAAACAUCAUUCAAGGUGGAGUCAUUUACAUCAAUGCCGGCAUUUUUUCGCAGUAAAGCCAAUCCUUCUUCUGGCGUUAGUGUACUAAGUGGAAUCUGUGUGUCACAACCCAAAGAAUCACAAACUGACUUUUUGCGAGUGGUUAGAAGGAUUUUGCAACAAUUAUCUCUACCACCGACGGGAAUACCUAAUUUUUUCUCCGAGUCGAGUUGUUUCCAAAUAUCAUCAAGGAUUACGAGGAUUUUGCUGCUUUUACUCUCAGAAAACAUCAAGCGCAAUCGGUCUGCUCUCUCUUUUUCAUCUUUCUCAUUUAGUGCCCAGCCUAACGACUUUGCCAGCUCACCUUGAACCUUUAUUAUAUCUGGAUCCUGAGACACAGUGGCUAUCCCCACCUUAUCGAAAAUCUUUUGUUGCCGAAGUUGAUUGCCCACAGAUUUUGCCAAGGUCGUCUUUCCUACACCGCCGAGACCAUGCAAUCCCACCAUCUUUGUGCUGUCUUUUUUCAGUGCUUCAGUGAUCUGAUUACAAGCCGAUUCUGUAGUCUCGAAAGAAGAAAAAAAUCUUGGAAUAGGCAUUUCUGUGUCUGAUGGUAGAGGUUUAGGAAGGGCAACUGUGCUGAAUUUGCCGCGGUCUUGUAGAUCGAACAACUUGAGAGUCUCCUUUGAUGCUUUUCUACCCAUCCAAUAUCGGAAACCCCAAUUAGGACACCAUCCAUUAAAACAACUCUUCUUUUCAUCUAUCUUUGCUUUCAAAUUUCGGACAUCGGCCAUUUCUUCGACUACAUCCGCCAGCCACUUCUCUACAUCUUUCUCAACUACUACAGCGCAGUGUUUUUGUCGUUCUUCUUCUACUUUUUUGUUGAUGCCAUCUUGUGCCUCCUUCAAAUUAGUUUCUUUAUCCUCAAGUUCUUUAACAAUGCUGUUGAAACAGAACAGAUAGCGAGCUUGUUUUACGGUAGCAUCCACCAAUAAUUCUCCAAGCUUUGAUGCAAUACCUGCUAAAAUUUCCAUGCUAUUUAUCUGCAAUUAACAAAGUUGAUCUCAGUACACUAUAAGCAAAACAACAAGGCUUGAUCACAAGAUCGAACGAUAAUGUUUAAUUACUUUUUUAUUGAAUGUUUAAUUGCUUUCUUUUAUUCUAUGAAUGCACGUUUAUUAACGCCAGCUUUGAUCAAUAAGAGCAAAAUGCAAACGCCAGGCUUUAAGUAGCCUUUAGCUGCAAACAAAAGAGAAGAAAUAAGGCAAACGUGAUAGAUGGUGGAUUAUAUUGAAAUUAGAUUACUUUAGAAAUUUUUAAAUAAAAAUAUCAAACAACAAAUUUAAUAGAAUCUAGAUAAAUCGAAGAGUUUGUUGUGCAUUGCGAGUGAAGACAGGCAGUUACAUGGGGGAAUCUGGUAAGAGUGAUGAAAAUUAAAAAGCCAUCCAUAAUUAAAGUUAAAAAGAGUAUUAGAGAUUAGAGGGGUUCAACAUCUUAUGCAAGCCCACUCAUGAUAAAAUUUGAAGAUAAUUAUCCCAUUUUUACUUCAAUCAAUAUUCUAAUACAAUAAUUCCAUAAAUCUCAAAUAAUAUCUUAAGAUUUUUUUUUCCCCAAACACUCAUCUAUUUGAUGAUUAAUUUAAUUAUUUAUUACUCUAUUUUACUACAUAAUUGAUACAAAUGACACUUUGUUUGGGAUGGUAAAGAUUGGGGUAAAUUUCCUUUUAGUCUCUAAAAUUUGGACCUAUUAUAGCUAUUGAACAUACUUUUCAAACGUAAAAUAGUAUUUUCUGUCUAAUAUAAAUUAAAAAUCAAACAAAUUUAUCAUGCAACAAAUGAAAAGUAAAGAAUAUUAAUUAAGUUUUAAUGGAAACAAAUAUAAAAUAUAGAGGUUUUGAUUAAUUUUUGUGAUUUUUUUAAUGUUUGAGUUAGAAUUGAAUAAUUUGCAUAAUGAAAAUUUGAGGUUGUAUAAUUUAUAUGAAGAUAAACUGCAAAAUAAGUUUACAUGCAGAAUUUAAGAUAGUUAUAUAUUAGUAAUCAUGCAAUUAUCAAAUUUUUUAAUAAAAUUUAUUUAAAAAUUGGCCAAUUGUGUUUCAUGAAGUAAACAGAGAGCAUAAUGGACUUAUGUGGGUACUUGGGAUUGAAAGACUAAGGGUCCGUUUGAGAUUUUUUUAGAAGGUUUAAAAGUGAUUUUGAAAAUUUAAAAGCUAAUUUUAGUGUUUGGUACAAAAAAAAUCAAAAUUACUUUUGUCAAAAUCAGCCCCUCCUAUAGCUGAUUUUGAAAAGUAGGGAAUAAGUAACUUUUAGAUUCUGAUUUCGAGAAUCUAUUUUAUCUUUUAAUACAAUUUCAUAAAUAUCGUUAAAAUUAUUAGAUAAACCCAAAAUUAUCCUUAUUCAAAUUGGAAACAAAAUAAAUAUUUUAAUAAAUUAUUAUUAUUAGUCAUUUAUUUUCUCUCAGCAGUUUAACAGUAAAAUUUACCAAAUGUCUAUAACUGCUUUCAAAACUCACAGUACUUCUCAAAACAAAAUUUACCAAAUACUUAACUUAUUUUCUUUACAGCUGAUUAUUUCUACGGCACAACUAACAACAAUUAUUUUAAAAGUUACAACAUUCCCAAACUGACCCUAAGAGGCCCGAAGAUAGGACGGUAUGAAAGUUAUGAAAGUUAAUUUUACUUGUAAGGUAUGUUCAACAGAAGUGACUUGGAGGUGAUUGCCGUUAAUCAAAUAAAUGAAUGAAAAUUAAUGUAAUAAAAAAAUCGCACUAAAAACUUGGAACUUAAAUUCUCAAUCAUCUUUUCCGUACGUUUUAAUCCAACGGUCAGAAUUGGCAUAAAACAAGCUAGUAUAGCCAUUGGAAUUAAGUAAAACAAACAUCAAACUAAGAGGCAAGAGCCUAUGAAGCAAUAAUAUCUCAUACCUUCUUCCGUUUAUAUCUUCAAUUACUGCUGAAAGCUCUAGCUAGAGAGUCGCACAAGCUCGGAGAAAAUUAAAAGCUGCAUCUAGCAAUAUAAAUAAACAUGAGAUCAAAACAACAUAGGAUAUAUCUAGCUAAUUAACAUCAUAUAUAACUCUUUGUUCUCAGUCAAAUCUUUCAUUCUUAGGAGGAUAAAAUAAAAAAAUUUAAAUUUAAAUAUUUUAUUAAUUUUUAUAAAAUAUUUAAAAAAUAUUUUAUAAAAUCAAUUAAUUCAUGGUAUUAUUAAUUUUCAUGAUUAUUUUUAAUAUUAUAUUUGUGAUUAUCAAAUCUAAUACAAUCAAAUAAUGCAAUAAAUUAUUAAAUGGUUAAUUUUAUUGAUAAAUUAUUAAAUUACAAGUAUUGAAAAUUUAAUCUCAAGAGUUAGUAGAAGUAAAAGUACAAAUUUAAUUAGAUCAUAGAUAAUACAUAAAAAAUAAAUUUUAAGUAAAUCAUAAUAAAAAAAUAAUUAUUCAAUCCAUUAAUAUUAGGUGUAAAUAAAAAAAAUGACAUAAACAAAAGUGUCAUAAAUCGACAACUUUUUUCUUUAAUCUUAUCCCAACUAAACCCAUGUGUAAAUUAGGAUUAUUGAUCUCAUGAUUUUAAGAUUAAACUCAAAUUUAGUCCCCCUUAAUCCAAUUAAACUAAACUUGCCAAACAUGGGAUAAAUAUUUAAUUCCAAAAUUAGUCCAAUCCCAUGCUUAGGGCCAGUCUAGGAAUGUUGUACUUUUUAAAAUAAUUGUUAUUAGUUGUGUUGUAGAAAUAAUCAACUGUGAAGAGAAUCAGAUAAGUGUUUGGUAAAUUUUAGUUUUAGAAGUACGAUGAGUUUUGAAAUCAGUUAUGAGCAUUUGGUAAAUUUUAUUUUUAAACUACUGAGAGAAAUCAAAUGACUAAAAUGUACAUUAUAUAGGAUAAAAUUUACUUAUACAUAUAAAACUAUGUAUAUAUAAUAUUUUUAAUUGUGUACUUUAAUAAUUUUUACUAAAAAUAAAAUUUAUAAUAUAUUUAUUUUAUUUCUUUAUUUCUUUAUCUUAAAACAAUUGAUAAUUAAAUUUAUAAUAUGGUGAAACAAAUUUAAUAAUAAUUCGACCAACAAAUUGAUAUUAAUAAAUUUAUAUUGAUAAAUUAUAAUAAAAUAUUAUUAAAAUAUUGAUUUUGUUUACAAUUUGAAUAAGGAUAAUUUUGGGUUUAGAUAAUAAUUUUAAGGAUAUUUAUAGAAUUGUAUUAAAGGAUAAAAUUGAUUUUCAAAAUCAAAAUUUAAAAAUUACUCGUUUUCUAUUUUUCAAAAUCAGUUGUGUGAUGAAUUAAUUUUGACAAAAGUAAUUUCAAUUUUUUCCACCAAACAAUAAAAUUAACUUUUAAAUUUUCAAAACCACUUUUAAACCUCUCAAAAAGCAAUUCCAAAUGGGCGCUUAAUCCAAUCAUCCAAAAUCGGGCUAAAAAGUUGCACUAAAAACAAGCUCGUAUAGCCAUUGGGAGUAAAACAAACAUCAAAUUAAGAGCCUAUGAAACAAUAAUAUCUCAUACCUUCUUUCUCAUAGAUCCUCAAUUACCCCUGAAAGCUCCGGUUAGAGAGUCGCACAAGCUCGGAGAAAAUUAAAAGCUGCAUCCAGCAAUAUAAAUAAACAUCAGAUCAAAACAACAAAGCAUAUAUCUAGCUAACUAAACAUCAUCUAUAACUCCUCGUUCUCAGUCAAAUCUUUCAUUCUUAGGAGAUAAAAAAAAGAUUGAAAUAAUAACUGUAACUGAUAUAGGAAGCAAAAGUAACAUACCAAAACGAGAGCGGCUAGCUCACAGAUCUGGUGACUUCCAAGAGCAUGAAAAAUGAUUGAGGUUUAAUAGCAAGUUCACAGAUGACAGAUGUGGUGACUUCAAGAGCAUGAAAAAUGAUAAAACUUUGGUAGAAAGGUCAGAGCCGCGUUUCACAAGUUGCUAUUGACUUCGUGGCUUCGCUUUUAUUUAUUAUUAUUAUUUUUUUAAAUUCUAUAUCAGUGAGAAUUGAAAUGUGGAAAGUGUAAUGAUACACAUGCCUUAUCAUCUAUCGUGAGGGGUGAUUUGGUAAAACCGAUUUAAAAUAAAAAAGUUUUAAAAAAUUUAAAAAGAUGCUUUGUGUCUGACUGCUUGUAUUUGGGGUAUUUUUCGGGUUGUUGAGAGUGAGUUUAAUUAAAUAUAAGAUUUUCAUUUUUCUUAUUCUAUUUUUCUCUUUAGAAUGAAUUUAAAUCUCAUUCUUAUUAAAUUCAUUUUUUUAAAUGAAAGUAGAUUUCUCUCCACACAUUUGAGAUAUAUUUUAAAAUUAAUGUUCAGUAUAUCUCUAAAUUAUAUUAUAAAUAUUUUUAUUUAAAAUCUCAACAAAUUUCAUAACACACAAAGAGAAAUACAUAUAUAUGUUGUAAUGUUUUAAUGAUGGAUCUCCAAAGUUAUCAAGUUAAAAAAUAAAUUAAAAAAAUAAAAAAUACACACUUCAACUUAUUAUAUGAUAAAAUAUAAUAAAUUAAAGUGAGUAUUAUAUUUAUUUUUUAUUUUAUCUCUUAACUUAAUAACCUAAAAUAUAUUUAUUUAAUAAUGAUUAUAUAUAUAUAUAUAUAUAUAAUUUUUUAAAAAAUAAACAAUUUAAGUGAAGCAAAGGACAUUUUAGAGGCAUUGCGAGACUACCAAUUUACCAUUUUGGGUUGCAAUAAAGUGAAAACUGUAGACUACCAAUCAACCAUUUUAUUGAAUCGGGUCCCGCUGACUUACAGCUUAUGUAAAGUUACAUUCAUAACAAAUUGAUACUUGUCUUUAUUAUAAAUUAUUCUUUUAUUCAAAUAUACGUUCAUUUCUUCAAUCAAGUCCUCAUAUUCGUUCAAUUUAUGAUAAGAUCCUUGUAUGGGAGCAUAUCUGCAUAUGUAAUAAUUAUUCUUCUAUUUCAGAUAGUUUUUGUGAAAAAAUACUUUUAUCAAUUAUUUAUGUUUACUAAUUCUUAUGUCUUUUUUUUAUUACUUUUCAUAGCUCUAUAUAAAUGUUUGCUAUAGAAUUUGUGUUAUUUCGCUAUAAUAUAAUUUAUAUUGUAAACCUCUGUUCAUCUGUAAAUAAAAUGACAAUUUUUUUGUUUACUCCUAAAAAAUAUGAAAAUAUUAAUUUACUCUCAUAUUUAUUUAGAAGACAAUGGCAAAUAAGGUCGCAUUGAUAAUUUUUUUUAUUUACUUAUUAAUUAAUUAGAGUAAAUUAAUAUUUUCAUAAUGAGAGAUACAUUGAAGAUUGUCAUUCUUAGUAGAGGGUAAAUUAAAGUUUAUCUAAUUAAUUUAAAAUAUCAUUAAAAUUUAACAUUCUAAUCUGGAUUAAAUUUCUGGGGGGGGGGGGGGGAGAACGUCCUUAUUCGGAUUAGACUCAGCUGGAAGAGGCACAUCCUUAGCUGGAUCAAUUUGUUCAAGAUUGGAUGCAUCCAUCGGUUUCAAAUUUGUCUCUUGUAAGUAUCAUCGGAUUUCUUUACUAAAAUUUAGAUUAUCAAUCACAUCUAAAACUUAUUGAAUGAUACAUUUCAUUUCUAUAAAAUUGAGUUACUAUUACCACCUCACAUCUUAUAAAUUCUAGAAAAUAAUCAAGGCUUGACAUACUUUUAUUUAUGCAAAAGCAUAAGAAAAUAAUUCAAAGUACUAAUUAGUGCACUAUUACUCAAAAUUCUAGAAUAGAUUUGCUAGUUCUCUUUAGCCAUAGAUUGGUCCAUGAUUGGCACCGCAAUAGCUCAGAAUCACCUCAACGAUUGUUCCACACAGCCCAACAUGACACACUGUAAACUAGUCUAACAUGAACUUUCUGAGUGGCUUUCUAACAAUAGUCUUAGAGAAAGUGUUUAGUAGUAUGAAGUCUUCUUUUUUUAACAUAAAUGUUGGCAUGAUAUUCUUAAUAUAUUUCUAAAAUCAAAAUAAGAUGCAUAGAGGACUAUGAUAAUUUUAUUUCAUAAUUGAAUUUUUUGCAAAGAAAGUUUGAACAUGAGAGUGAUGAGAGAUGAUAAUAUUGAUGAUGGUGUGUACUUUAGAUGGAAAAAUAGAUUGGAAAUAUAUAUAGACAUAUUAAAAGAAAAAAAAUUGGUCUAUUUCAUAAGAGAAACAAAAAAUUAUAAACGCGGGUGUUAAAAUAUAUUCAGAAUUUAUAAAUUUUUAUAAAUAUGAUAAUCAUUAGACCCUUAUAAAAGUAUAGCAAAAAGUUUAAUUUUUUUUAAUAAAUGUCGAAGAGAUGGACGAAGAAACCAUCCACCAGUUCAGAAUUAAUAAUCAAAGAUAUGAGGGCUUGAUUGAAGAAAUGGUGAAAAAUAAAAGGACAGUAGGACACUGGGUUGGUUAGCGGGACCCUAAUAUUAAUGGUUAAAAAUAAAAGAACACUGGGUUGGUUAGCGGGACCCUAAUAUUAAUGGUUAAAAAUAAAAGGACACUAGGUUGCUAUCAAUUUCUACCGUGUAGGUUCAUAGCCGGGGAAGUAAUUGGGCACAAAUAUCUCGGAUGAGAAAUAACCAUUUUAUCCCGCAACCAUAUGUUUAUGGCCUCUAAAAAUUUUCACCUCUUUCACUUCUGGAACCCGUGCUUUCUGGCACAUGCACAAUACUUGGUUGCUACUUAUAGAGCGUUUUUAGAAUUGCAACGACAUGGUGCUCUUUGAUAAUUAAAAAAUCCAAUAUAAUUUAUAGAGAAUUACAGAAUUGUUUGGUACGUGAUAAUUUGCUGAUGCAAUGAGGCGCCGAAAUUCUUAUACAUGUGAUUUAAGUUAUAUAUGUAUAGUUAAGUACUUAGCAAGCACUAGUUGGGGGUAUUUGUGUCCAUGGAAAUCUACAGCUGGUUGUUGACAUUACACUGCGGGUGUGUAAUUAUUACAUAUGCAGAUAUUCUCCCAUGCGAGGAUCUUAUCAUAAAUUUAAAGGAUACGAGGACUUGAUUGAAGAAAUGAACGAAUAUUUGAAUAUAAAAAAAAGGGUAAUUUUUAAAAACCUCUCCUGAGGUUUGGGCUUGUUGCAAGUAGAUGGCGAGAAUUUACUUAUUUGUAAAAAAUUCCCUACCAUCAGUUAACUUUAAUAUUGACCGUUAGUUGACUGUACAAAGACAAUAUUACCCUUAACAACAGUUUGUAGAUUGAAAUAACAAAAAAAAAAAUUAAAAUUGUUGGCUAUUUUACCCUCUUUAAAUUAUUGAUAUUUUCUUAAAGUUCCUACAAGAAAGAUAAAAUUAAAAAAUUAAAAAAUCUUCUUUAAAUUAUUGAUAUUUUCUUAAAGUUCCUGCAAAAAAGAUAAAAUUAAAAAUUUGAAAAUGAAAUAGUUAUAAUAUUUACCUAUGAUAUUGUAAAUCUUUGGAAUUGACAAGGAUAAAAUUGUCAAAAAAUAGGGUUUGUGCUUUUCGCGCCAACAAUUUUAAUUUUUUUUUUAGUUAUUUCCGUGUAUAAACUGUUGUUAAGGGUAAUAUUGUCUUUGCACAGUCAACUAACGGUCAAUGUUAAAGUUAACUGACGGUAGGGGGUUUUUUACAAAUAAAUAAAUUCUCGCCAUCUACUUGUAACAAGCCCAAAUCUCAGGGAGGUUUUUAAAAAUUACCCAAAAAAAAAUUUAGAAUAAAGACAAGUAUUAAUAUACUAUGAAUGCAACUUACAUAAGCUGUAAGUUAGCGGGACACUAUUGAAUCACAAGCAAAAAGCAAUCUGACUUCUUCUUGAUUCCGUAAUUUGGCUGUCAAAAUGUAAUCUAUAAAAAUUACGAUACCUCGAUUCAAAAAAAUGUUGUUUCUGAUGAAAUAAAUGAAAAUUGAACGUACAAUCUGCCACGAACACUGUUUAAUUAACCGUUUAUUUCCCCUUAAAUUUUUAAUCUCAAUGAAACAUAGAUCUAAUGGGAACUACAUAUAUAUAAAAAUACUAUAGAUUGAAGAAGUUGAAUUUUUCUUGUGUGUUAAGUAUUUUUAGUUAAUACGAAAGGAUUCUAGCAAGUUAAUACAAAAGUAUCAUAAAUUCAUAGUAGUAAAAGAGAUUUUUUUUUUCUUUUGAUAUUAAGAGUUUUCGAGAUAAAAAAAAAAAAAAUAGGUGAAAGAAGAAGAUGAGAGAAGAAAAAAUAUUAAGAAUAGUUUUGACAUUUUGAUGCGUUUUAUAGAAUAAAAUCUAUAUUUUAUAGUAUAAAAUGGUACACCCAAAAUUUAAUGAUAAAAUUUUAGGAAAAAAUUGCACUCGUCAAAAAAAAAAAAAGCUCAGCUUAGCCCAAAAUUUUUUUAUUAAUCUUCUAGUCGCUAAUGUAAUCUCUUUUUUAUGAGAUUCUUUGGCGUUUUAAUUUAGUCCAUUGUUAGCAAUCCUAAUAGCUUUUAUGUGCAUCUAUUUUUAUUUGAAAUAUGUUUCAAGCUUUAUAUAAAAAAAAAUAUAUAUAUGUUUCAAGCUUGAAUAAAAUCUGCGAGACAACUGGUAAGUAAUAAAGCUCAUCAUUUUUUAUUUUGAAAAUAAAGGGAAUCACUUACACUUAGCAUGAUAUUAUUUUUGAUAAGUCAUUUUUUUGGUAGAUUAUUUUUUCUGACACGCUCUUAGAUUUAGUGAAAAUAAAUUGUAUACUUUUAAUGAAGAAAAGUAAAGAUCAACAAAAUAUUUUGUUGUUUUCGACAAUUUUUGCGUUGUCAAGUGUGCCUAGUACCCUUUUUUUUUUGAACUUUUGAGUUGUUGUUUAAUUUGUAUUAUAAUUAAUUAUCAUGGACCCACGCGCCAUUGUUUCCAUUUCAAGUUUCAUAAUUUAACCGUAGAAAUGGGUUCCACAGAUAAUUUAUUUUAUAAUUUUUUUAAAAAUUACUAAAAUAUAAUAAAUAAGGUAAUAAUAAUUAAUAAAAAAGUAGAUUUUAAGAUGGAAAAAUCUUUUCGUGUACUUAAUAAAAAGAUGAUAAGAAUGGGAUGCUUUUGGUUUACAUUCUCAUAGCUAUUUAUACUGAAAAAUUACAUCAAAAUUUAAUUAAUAAAUCAGUGAACUGCAGACUUAUUAAAUUUAAGCUAUUUUAAUAAGUCAUAAAUAUACUAAGUUAAAAUAGUAGUAAACCCAUUGUUACAGAAUACUCUCCAUUGAGUGUUCACCAUUUUAAGAUAAUCAUAAAAUGACACCGGAAGUGCUAUUAUAGCUGUCUCAUGGAAAGCCUUCACCAAUAAAAAGGAGGAUAGAGCACAUACAUCCAGUUUUUAUACCCUUUGAUGCUCAGUCGACACGUGCCAAUGCUAUAGACUAGCUGAUAAUCUACUAAGGUGACGCAUGCCAAUGCUAUAGACUAGCUUUUCAAAGGUUGAAGUGGGUGUACAUUUAGUAAAAAGACCUGCACAAUUAUAGUGUACCUAUUUGACAUCAACUUUUUUUAUCUGCUGGAGCUUAUGAUUAUAGAAGAUCUUCGGUAAGAUGUGUUUGAUUUUAUCUUCUUUUAUAUAUCCUCCUCUAACUUGUGUAACAGUAGUAAACCCCUGCCCGUUUUUAUUUCGUUUAGUAUUUUCCAAAUGGCCGAAGGAAAAUUGGUAAAAACUCAUUUAAAAAUUAAAAAAAAAAUCAAAGAAAUUCAAGAAGAAGCUUUUGUAUCUGCCAUUUGUAUUUGGGGUAUUUUUUUGGUUGUUAAGUGAAUGAGCUUAAAUCUAAAACAUUUAUUUAUAUAUUUCUUGUUGGAAAGAAUUAUAAAUCUUAUUCUUAUUAGACUUAUUCUCUUUAAAUAAAGGUAGAUUUUUCUCUAUGUGUUUAACGUGUAUUUUAAAAUUAAUGUUCAACAUAUCUUUAGAUUCUAUUAUAAAUAUUCAUAUCUAAAAUCUCAACAUAUUUCAUAAUAUAUAAAUAUAUAUAAAGAGAGAAUAACGUUUCUAAUAAGAAAUUUAUUAAGUAAAAGAAUAAUUCAAAAGAUAAAAUAACACACUCUAAUAUAUUAUAUAAUAAAAUAUAUUGUAUUAAAAUACAUAUUUUGUUUACUUUUUUUAAUAUAUCUCUUAAUAACUUAAGAAAUCCUUUAUUUAACUAUAUAUAUAUAUAGAGAGAGAGAGAGAGAAAUGUUUGCGGGAAAUAGUUUUAAAGGUUUAAACUGUAAGCUUUGAAAGCUGUGAAGUUUUAAAAAUUUUUCGAAUUUUCCCGCACUUUAAAAUUACUGACCGGAAAACUAUUAUAUAUAUAUAUAGUUUUUUUAAAAAUAGACAAUUUAUGAGUUAAACAACGGACAUUUUUGUCGGCCAAUACAUCAACUUUUUAGCUGGAUUAUUACCACCAUCAAAACUAAAUUAUUGCAAGCACUAGCAAAAAGCAAUCAAUGAUUUCGCAAUUUGGCUGUCAAAAAGCAAACUAGAUCACGAUUCCUCAACUAAAAAUGGUGCUUUUUUUUAUUAAAUAAGUGAAAAUUAAACCAACAAUUCAAAAUAUAGGAUUGUAGAUGCGUAUAAACUGAAGAAUAAACUGAAGAAGGUAAAAUUUUUCGCGUGUGUAAAUAUUUUAGUUAACAUGAAAGAAUUCUAACAAAGUUAAUAUAAGAGUAUCAUAGCAGUACAAGAGUAAAUAUAUAUAUGUGUGUGUGAGUGAAGGAAGAAAAAAAAAUUAAGAAUAAUUUUGGCAUUUUGAUGGGUUUUAUAGAGUAAAAUCUAUAUGUUCAAAUAUGAUAAUUCUUUAAUUUAAUUUGGUGUUAUGAAAUAAAGGGCAUUUUAAAUAUGUUUUAAGUUAUAAAUAACUCCAUCCAAAAUUUAAAAAUGAAAUCUUAGGGGGUAAACAAUUUCACCCGAACUAACAAAAGCCCUAGCCCGGAGGCCCAGAGUAGCCGCGGCUUUUUUCACCAAUCUAAUUAUUUACGAGGAAUAUGAGACUGAGAUUCUCUACCACUCCAAUUUAUCGCAUUGUUAGCAAUCCUAAUAGCUGUUAUAUAUCCUAUUUUUAUUAAAAAAUGUGGAUCCGGAUAUAGAAAUUUGGGAUCCGCACAAAUCUAGAUGCAAGUGCAUUCGGAAAACCAGAUAUCGAGAUCCGGAUAAAUUUUAUUUUAAAUUAAAAAUUAAAUGAAAAAUUAAGAAAGUAAAUUUUAUUUAUGGAUUAAUGAUGUCGUUGUAUAUUAUUCAUGUUGAAUUAUCAAUUGUUGGAUUAUGAUUGAAUUUUAUUUGAUAUUAUUGGGCAAAUUAUUGAAUUUUAUUUUAAAUUAAAUAAAAAUAAAAAAUUAAAUUUUAUUUGUAGAUUUAUGAGAUUAUUGUAUGUUAUUCAUUUUGGAUUGUUAAUUGUUGAAUUAUGAUUAAAUUUUAUUUGAUAUUAUUAGGUAAAUUAUUAAACUUUUAAAUUAUAUAUUAAAUUAUUUAAUUUUAAUUUUUGCGGAUCUGAAUAUUCAGAAUAUCCGCCUGCAUCGGUUACGGAUAAUACCCGCUUCUGGAUCCACAUCUUUUUCUACGAAUCCAAAUAUAGAAAUAUGAAUGCGGAUCUAAAUUCGGAUUUUGCUGACCCUAAACUUAAGAAUGAAUGUGCCUAAAGUUUUUACAACGAACAUGGAUCAUUCAAUGACAUGACAUGUUUUGCAGCUUUCAUUAGUAUAAUUGAAUAAUUAAUUCAUCUCUAUAUUCAGCUUACACCGUCUCAAAUUACAUGCAAAUACGAAAGUACACUUCUGAAUCGUUCACUUGAGGAAAAUUAAUUUUAACUCAAUAAGUCGUAAUUCUCCACGUAGAAUUUUAAUUCAAACCAUAGCAAAUUAGACAUAAUUCUAAUUUAUAUGGGAAAUAUAAUUAGCGAAGACACUCUUUAUAUAAACAUUAUUGUCAUAGGAUGCCAAACCUAAUAAGAUUCAAGGUCUUAACAUACUUCAUAUGAAAUUUGAUCUUGGCGCGUACCGACACGCAUAACAUCAAGACUCUACUUCAUAUAUUAUAAUGUAACUUCAUGGAUUUUUCGCUCUCUUGUGAAAUUGACAAUUAUAGGCGCUGUGUGGCAGUGGUACAUAAUAAAAUAAACGUUUAUUUUUAGAAUAUUAUUAUUUAUCUCAAUUUUUUAUUUAAUAGUUAAUUUUAAUCAAUUCUUAAACUGUCAUAAUCAAUUAAUUUUUUACAUUAUGGCAUCUUAAAUAAAUUUUGGAUCUGUAAUAAAUAAAAACUGGUAACGUUUGUUCUUUUAAAGCAUAAAACAACCGUAACAUUGGUUUUUACAUUUUGAAUUUUUCUUGCAUCACUAUUUAGAAAAAUGAUGUUAAAUCAACUCACAAAAUAUAUCAAGCCAUCUAAAAUCCAAAUAUUAUUACAUUUGUAUUUGCAUUGUUAAAUUGUUGGAACGACGGCAAAGCAAUUGAAAAGAUAUUAACAAAAAAUAAAGAUUGGCCAAGGAUUAUUUAUGUUUAGGAAAUGCCUUAACUUUUGAUAUAAUCAUUGUGAUAAUUAUAUUGUAGAAAUAAUCAAUUACCUAAUGUUUGUGGUGGUAAAAAUUAUUAACUUGUUUUAGUAUACCCGUGUUUAUGGUGGUCUCCUUUUUGUCCAAUUCUGUACAACAAAAUAUUUGCAUGUUUUGAUAGAAAUUGGUUUAAAUGACAUUUGAAAUAGUAUAUCCCCAAACAAUUAACGAAAUAUUUGGAUGGUAGGAUGAAGUAAUAUAGUUUUACAAAUUACCAUAUUAGAGGUUAAAAAAAAUCAAGAGGUUACUAACUACAAAUUUUAACACAAAAAGUUUAAUUAACUUUUCUUUUUGAGAUAACAAAAUCUCUGGUGUUGAAAACAAUGAGGUUUGAGGUUCAAGCUUGAAUAUCAAGUUACAAUUAGUAGAUGGUCUUAGGACAAAUCAAAGAUUUCUUUAAAGACAAAAUAAUAAUUACAAGCAAUAGGAAUUUAUGGUAUUCAGAACAUGUAACCUUCGCACAUGAAGCUUGAAUCCAGAACAAGAUGCAGCUAGCCAAUCCUUCCAACUUCCAAAACCCCACAAAAUCUCUGUCAACAUGUCUGCUCUACUUCAAUAUUAAGCACAUUCAUAGCGGUAUCAACAGCUUACAGCUCCAAAAUAUUUUCCCCAAAAAGAGUGAGAGAUUUCACUGAAGCUAAGUUGUGACUUGUGACUUGUGAGGCCAUCUUUUUUUAUAGUAAGCGUACGCCUCUAAUGCUUUGCCAAGUGUCCAUUGAUAAUAUCACAAGGGCAAUUAAAUUGGUGUAUGUGUAUUACACCUCCUAAAGUCAUGUUAAGAUAGUUAGUGAGCCGAUAAAGUUUGUUGCACGUGUGAGUUGGUUAAGUCUGCUAGAAUUGCAAACAUGUAAAGCUGAGUCAGCAAGUUAGUUAAGGUUAUUAUGAAUGCUUAGAUUCAGCAAGUUAGUUAAGGUUAUUAUGAAUGCUUAGAUUCAGCAAGUUAGUUAAGGUUAUUAUGAAUGCUUAGAUUCAGCAAGUUAUGGUGUUGAAAAUGCUGUUGGUGAAAGCUCAGCUGAUAGAUCUCAGGAGAAUCCAGCCUUUGUUGCUUGGAAAAGGUAGGAUCAAUUGUUAUUAAGUUGGCUCAUGUCCUCCAUCAGUGUUGAGAUACUUAGUCUUGUGGUAAAUUCUGAUUCUUCUCAUAAACUUUGGACUAAUCUUGAAGAAAAUUUUUGGAUUAGAAACUAUGGCUAAGAAAGCACACGUAAAAAUGAUGUUAAGCAAUCUCAGAAAGGGAUCAAUGACAAUAACUGAGUAUUUUGCCAAACUUAGAGCUGUAACUAAUAAACUUGCUCUAACUGGUAGCCCUGUUUCUACUCUAGACUUUAUUACUCAUCUAAUCUCUAGAUUAGGCCAGCCAUACUACCCUGUUGUUUUGUAUAUUGAAGCUAAUAUGAUGAAAAUAUUUGUCAAUGAAGCCUACUCUAUGCUUUUAACUCAUGAAGCAAGAAUUAAAUUUAAUCAUCCGAGUGCAAAUAAAGAAGCAAAGUUGAAUUAUGCUGCUAACAUAGCUUAGGCUGGACCUAGUAAUAACAAUAAGAAGUCUAGUAAUCAAGCUAAUUACUAUCAGGGCAACCAAGGUAACGGGAAUAGAAAUGCUCAUUGGUGUGGUAACAAUGGAGGAAGAGGUGGCUUUGGCAGAGGUUUUUCAGGGCAAGGAAGGAGUAAUUAGAAUAAUGGUGGUCAUUGGAACAAUGGACCUUGGAGUAGUAGUCGAGCAUGUUAUAAUUGUUCUGAUAUAAACAUUAUGACAUGGUUGCUGGUGAACCUGUAAACAUAACCACAAAAGUAAGAAGGCAUAAUCUUUUUAUAAGAAACUCAAAAAUGUAUUAAUGAUGAAAAUUUUAAAACAGAUAAUGGACCAGCUGUUCAUUAAGAAAACAAAAAACUGAAUAUUUGUGCUAUAAAAAGGCACACCUAAUCUCACCCCUAUAAAAGGCUAGAAUCAGCUACAAAUCCCUAUCUCAAAACCCCAUCCUAGUUUAGAUGAAUGAAGAAAAAAGAUGAAUCUUGAAACUCCUUAGAAACUGAAGCCCAAAGUGAAGCAAGAAGAUGAACUCUAUCCCAAGCAAGCAAUAUGGCAUAUUUCUCCAUUAAUGGUUCAAAUAAAGUGAAUGGCUUUCUCUGAUGAAUGGGAAAUUGUCAAGAUCAAUAGUCAAACUCACGCAAAGUAAACGGACUUAAUUCUCAGUGGCUACUCAUUCUAAGUCUUAAAGAAAAAUUUUCUAAUUUCUAAAGAUUAUAUGGGGAAAAAUCAUUAUUUUCUAACAUGUAAAAUUUGAUACGGUGUUUAAUGUCUUAUCACAAUCAUAAUAUGAGUACUAACAAAAACAUCUUUAAUCGGCAUGGUGCGAGUAAAACACCAUCACUUCAUCUUUGAUGGAAAGAUGAUAAUAUAAGGAAAUGGUGAAAUGGUUUUGGUCCCUGGCAGCUUGUAAUCAAAAGAAAACAAAAAACUACACUAUUAUUAAUGAUUACCGAAGCUACAGAAGUAUCAAAAUCGGAAAGCAAACAAUUGCAAAACACAUCAAUGACUGAAGGUUAGGUUCUAAAACUUCCGUAUUUAAUUUUCAGAGCAUGUUAUGUAUUAUUCAGAAAUAUGCUUUCACUUCAGGCACUUGACCAACACGCAUUAAACAUAAAACGCGGCGUUUUCAUGGACUAGUACAUUCCAUGCUUCGAAAGUUUAUAUUUUAGACUAAUUGGUUUGAUACAUUAUUUGUUUAUUGCGUUUUUCUUGCUUUAAAUAUUAUGUUGGAUUGAUAAGUUUUGUACACAUUUAUAUUGCUCGCAGUAAAUAAUUUAUGACAUUUAAAAAACUAUCAACCGUCUAUCAAAAGAUUUCUACUAUAAAUAUAUAUACACAAAAAACUUUUAAUUUGGUCAAUUUUUUCUCUUAUUUAUUUUUGUUCUAUUUCUCUUUUCCUUCCCUUUCAUUUUAUUGUUUUAUGGUACAAAAUAAAAAAAAUAACCUUAAAAUUUAAGGGUAAACUACUCAUUUUACUAAAAUUCCGUUUAAUAUUAUAAAACUGUCAAAUGUCAAUGGCAUAGUACACGAGUGAUACAAAUUAAAAACAAUAAAUUGAAAGUUUUUAUGCAUUUUCGUUUUAUUUUUUUUAUAGCCGAUACAAAUUAAAAACAAUAGGUUUAGACCGUUUAACAAAUCUUAAAUUAAAAAAACCCGUGGUGUAAUAACAAACUCACAUCAAACCCUGUCCACCGUCAUCCCUAAUUAUAUUUACCACUUCAUACUCACAGUGAUAAUUAUAUUACCGUUAAGAAUGAAGCAGAAGAGUUUCCCCAAACAAGCUAAAACACCGCACUUCAAUUUAAAGAAUUUUUAUAUCACAGUACCGGGACAAAAAGUUUAAUGCAACAACAUACAUUAAGUUAAUUCCAUAAUCUAUCCCCAAAGAAAGACAAACACAAGCUUAUAAGAUUAAAACUUUGGAAAACAUUAAAGAGUCAGACAAAAUUGUGUAAUCUUCAGAGUUUGGAGCCUAGUUCAUCCAGGAAAGCAAAAGAAAUAAUAAUAAUAAUAAUAAUAGUGGUGGUUUGAUCUCAAAAGGUGGCAUCAAAGCAAUAACGUCUUCAACUUCCAUUCAACCCAUCAUCCACAAAAUCACCAACCCGUUUCACCUUCAUCUCCUUGGGCUUAACAGGGUACUUUCCAGAGAAGCAAGCAAAACAAAAAUUCUGAGAAUCAUUGCCUAACAACUUGUUCAAGCUGUCAAUCGGCAGAAAAGCAAGCGAAUCACACCCAAUAAACUCCCUGAUUUCCUCAACGCUCAUCCUGUUGGAAAUCAACUCCUCAGUACUUGGAGUGUCUACUCCGUAGUAACAAGAAGCUAUGAUUGGUGGGCUUGCAAUUCUCAUGUGAACCUCUUUAACUCCAGCCUCCUUAAGCAACCUAACAAUUUUUGAUGAAGUUGUUUCUCACACUAUCGAAUCAUCCACAACCACAACUCUCUUUCCCACCAACCACAACCUUACAGGAGAGAGCUUAAGCUUGACACCAAAGUCCCUAAUUUUCUGGGAAGGCUCAAUGAAAGUUCUCCCAACAUAAUGUGGCCUUAUCAACCCUUGUUGAAAUGGCACCCCGGCUUUUGCAGCGUACUCAAGUGCAGCCACCACUCCAGAAUCUGGUACUGCAAUCACGACAUCACACUCAACAGGAGCCUCGGUAGCAAGUACUUCCCCAAAAUGAUACCUCGACUCAUAAACAGACCUUCCAAAAACAACAGAAUUAGGCAAAGCAAAAUAAAUAUGCUCAAAGAUGCACUGCUUAGGUUCAGGGUGAGGCAUCAAACAAGGUGAUUGAACCCCAUCUUUAUCCACCAUCAAAACUUCACCGGGAUAUACCUCUCUCUCUCUCUCUCUCUCUCGCGUAUGUGGCCUCAAUCAAAUAGUGCAGUGCACAAGUCUCUGACGCAAAAACCAGAGCACCAUUACUCCUCCUACCCAUCACCAACGGCAUAAACCCAUACGGGCCACGAACCGCAACAAGCUUAUCCUCAGUAACAAACACCAUUGAAUAAGCACCCUCAAGCUUCUCACAAACAUCCACAAUCCUCAAAAAGAACGGCCUAGCUUUCGAUAUCGGAAUCAAAUGGAGAACAACCACAGUAUCAGAACUAGUAUUACAAAAUGGAUCCAUUAUCUUCAAGCUUAGCCCUCAAAGUAUUAUAAUUAACUAAUGUGCAACACCAACAGAACCAAACCUGUACCCAGCAACAAAAGGCUGCACAUUCUUAAGCAUAGAACUACCCGCAGUCGAAUAUCUAACAUGACCAAUGGCCAUAUCACCCGGCAAUUGAUCAAGUUUAGACUGAUUAAACACAUCAGAGACUAAACCAACACCAGUAAUAGACUGAAGAACUUUGUUAUUCACAGCAACUAUACCUACAUCUUCUUGGCCGCGAUGCUGCAUCGCGUGUAGCGCCAAAUAGCACAAACGCGAGGCCUCUGGGUCACCAUAGAUGCCCACAACACCACACUCCUCACGGGCUUAUCGUCGUCAUCAUCAUCAAAACUGCCAAAACCGUCAUCUGGGUAUUCUUUAUUUGUGGUGAAAAACUCAGAGAUGGGGUUUUUUGAUAGAACAGUGAAGUUUUUUUUGUGGGUUAAAGAUUGUUGUUUCCGAGGAAAAAAAGGGUUUUUUUGCAGGGUUUUGGAGAAAAGAAAAAGAUGGGUUUUUUUGCGACGGCUUAGGGUUAGCAGAGGGAGAUGGGUUUGAGAGAGGGCAGAUAUUGGCGGUGCCUGUUGUGGUGGCUGCCAUUAAUGGCUGAAUUUAUUUUGUUUUAUUUUAUUUUUUUGGGUUGACUUGCUCAAAGAAAAAAGAGAGGAGGUGUGGAGGGAGACGGUGGCGAAGGGUACUUUAAGUAGAGGGUUACUUGUUCUAGGUUUUUUUCUGGAAUUGUGAGGGAAUCUGAUCCUGUGUUUGUGCAUAUGAUUCAAUUACUUAUAGGUUUAUUGUUGUGUCACCACAAAUUCUAAUUGGGAAGCUUCAGCUGUCAAAUUUUUUCCAAGGGUUUAUUAGGUAGAACUUUCAUGUCGUCGAAUUUAUUUAGAGAUUCUAAAAGUAGUUUCCAAAUAAAGAGAUGGACCAAAAUCAACAAUGUGAAACAGAUACUUUAGAAAUUUUUUCCUAUUCCGAAAGCAAUAGGAAUGUUCCAAUGCAUUGCUCCUACCAGAUUUGGAAUUAAACUUAGUUUGUGUUUUCCUAUUCCGAAAGCAAAACUUAUACUUACUGUAUAAGUGAUAUUCUAAUAAGUAGAAAUUAAGAACCAUAACAAAUUUGAUGAUUCUAAUUUGCUAGAAAUAUUGUAAUCCAAAACUAAGAAAGUUAAAACCAAUUAUUAGAAGAAAAAAGCAAGACGGAAGCUCCCAGAAUAUUGUUAUGUGUUGUGUGUUUUCAGUGUGUAUUUCUCAAUCAAUAAUGAAAAGUAAGUACACAUGUUACAAAAAUUUAAUAAAAAAGAUUGGAGGUGACAAAACCUUCAAUCUUCUAAUUAACUUUCUCUGCAUUGGAAUUUCCUUAGUUUGGUAGAGAUUGCUUAAUUGGUGUAUCUAUUAUAAACACCGUAAGUCAAAGUUAAUGUUUUAAUUGUUAAGAAAAGUUAGAAGAAGAAAUUUUUGCAUAAGAGAAUUGGGUUUAAAUUGAGAAUUCUUUAGGAGGAAAUGAGUCUAAAUUCUAACACUAUAAUUUAGCACUAUUUAUAUAUAUAUAUAUAUAUAUCAUUAAUUGGGUGAAAAAUUAGGGUACGCCUAUGUUGUAACAGUUGCAAAGUACCACUAAUUUUUAUCUUUUGUGAUGUCAAAUUUCAUUUAAUCUCUUAUUUUUUUUUUAUAAUUUAUUUAUAACGUUAUGUGUUUUGGCAGGUGAAUUUUUAAAAUAUAAUUUUAUUUUAUUUAAUAUAAUUUAUUUUUUUUCUUUAUAAUUUAUUUAUAAGUUUAUGUGGUUUGGCUGACGAUCUAUUAAAAUGUAAUUUUAUUUCAUUUAAUAUCAUUUAACUUCUAAAAGAACAAAUAUAACAAUAAGCCUUUAACUAGAUAAUAUUAACUAAUAUUUUUAAUAAAAUAAAAUAUUAAAAAUAUAUUCUUUUAAAUAAAAUAAAUAAUAUUAAAAAAUAUUUAUUUUUUAGGACUCACAAUUGCUUAUUCUAUUUUAUUUAAUAUUAUUUAAUUUUGAAAAAUAAAUAUAAUAAUCUAUGAGUAAAUAAUAUUAAAUAAAAUCAAAUAAAAAUUAUUAAAAAUAAUAUUAAUUUUUUUUAGACUCAUUAUUGAUUAUUUCAUUUUAUUUAACAUUACUUACUUUCAUGAAGGAAUAAAUAUAACAAUAAGCCUAUGACUAUAUAAUGUAAAAUAAAAUAAAUAAAUAAUAUUAAAAAUAUUUAUAUUUAAUAAAAUAAAUAAUAUUAAAAAUUUAUCUUUUUGAAUAAAAUAAAUAAUAUUAAUUACAAAUUAUAUUUUUUUAAGACUCACAACUGAUUAUUUAUUUUAUUUAAUAUUAUUUAGUUUUUUUAAAAGAAUAAAUAUAAUAAUAACUCUAUAACUAAAUAACAUUAAAUAAAACAAAAAUAAAUACUAUACAUAAUAUUAAAUAAAAUAAAAUAAAUUAAUAUUAAAAAUUAUAUUUAUUUUUUAAUGCUUACUACUGAUUAUUUUACUUUAUUUAAAAAAAUUUAAUUUUUUGAAAGAUUAAAUACAACAAUAAACUUGUAACUAAAUAAUAUUAAAUAAAUGAGAUUAAUAAUAUUAAAUAAUAUUUUUAAUAAAUAAAUGAUAUUAAAAAUUAAUUUUUUAAAUAAAAUAUAUAAUAUUAAAAUAAAAUUUAUUUUUUAAGACUCACUACUAAUUAAACAACAUAAAAUUUUAAACAAUUUGGACUUAUGUGAUAAAAGUUUUAAUUCUUUAGCUCUUUUGCGUUUUUGAUAAAUAGCAGGGAGCAUAAUGUUAAUAUUCAAAUAAACAAAUCUCUACCCUUCAAUCUAUCUUUUCAUUAAAUCCAAUGAUGAAGAAUUGAAACCAUAAAAAAUAAAAUUAGGUGGUACCUUGCAACUGUUGCAAGGUAGUUAAGUCCAAAAAAUUACAUUUGAUGUGAUUUUGAUCGUUUAUUUUUAUAUGAUGGUAAUUUCUUGUUCAGAGUGAAACUAGGGGUGGGUACGGUUCGGUUCGGAUCGAAAUUAAGAAGAAUCGACUUAAAUCGGUUAUUUUAUAAAAAGAACCGAAUAAGAACUGAAUUCAAUAAGAACUGAUUUAACAAGAUUCGUUUGAGUUCGGUUCGGUUUGGUUUGGUUUUUUUCGGUUCUGGGCCUAUUGACCCUAUUUUGAAUUUCUAAAUUUUUAGCUCAUUGGGCCUCAUGAAUGUCAUAAUUUUUUUCAACAAUUAAUUCAUCCUAAUUUCAUUACAAAUAUUAACAAUAAAUACAAAGUAUUCAAAACACAUUUGAUCACUAAUAUCUUACUAACUACUAAUAAGGUACUCACUACUCACAAAAUAUGAAAUAUUAAGAUUUCAAAAUACAUAACCAAACUCUAAUACUCCAUCUACAUAAACAUAAUGUUGUAAAGACAAAUAAAAAUAACAACAGUGAUUCGGUUCUUCGGUUCGGUUUUUUCGGUUCAGUUGAGUGAACCGAAUAUCGAACCGGUAUUUCGGUUUUUUUAUAAAUAAUAUAUUUAAGUUUUUUUUAACAAUUAAAACCAAACCAAAUUAGAACCAAACUGUCGGUUUGGUUCUUUUUUUAAGAAUACAGUUUUUUUGUCCAGUCCUAAGUGAAGCUAUUGGCACCCUUUCGCUAUAUUUAUAAAAUCCUACUUCAAAUAAAAAUUACACUUAAAGACAAUAGAAUUAAACAAACAUGUUUUUUUUUUCCCAAACAAAUUACUUACAUUCAUAAUUAUUUUUCUUCUAAUUUUCUACAUGUUGCUUCAUAUCUAAGUAAAAUAAAUUGUAUAAAUUUAGAAUAAUCUAUUAUUCUUUUUAAAUUUCAUAUUGAUUAAAUACUUUUGUGCUUAAGAUUGCUUUAAAAUUAUAAGAUAAAAUAUGUGUAAUUUAAGCCAAUGAUUAACAUUCAAAAUUUUAUCUCUCAGAAACAUUUUUAAUUUGUGUGCAGGGUAAUAAUAAAAUCGUAAAAGAAAUAAAAAAUAGCAUAACACUACUUUGAGUUUAGAAAAUAAAAAAAUUAAACAGAAAAUUAGAAGUGUAAUCUAAAAAAAGGAUAUUUUGUAAAAUAAAAUAAAUAUAAUUAAAACAAGGUUUCAUGAGGGGUGCAAUAGUUCAACUCUUUUGUGUAAAGUUUUAAGAUGUUAGUAUCCGUAGCUUAGUUUUUCCCUAAUUAUUAUAUGAAAAUGUAAUAACAAUGCUGAUCACCCCAAUCUCAUGGAGGUCAAAGAUUUUGGUCAUACCGCAUGAAUUAGUGCUUUUGGUUGGCAAAUACUUGUAUAAAUUUAUUAACAUUAAAUAAUUUGACCAAGACUACGUAAUGCGCCGCCUGAAGACUGGAGUCAUCGUAUUUUAUACGUCAAAAGCGCGUUUCAGUUCAAUAAGCCAUACAUGUCGUUUAAUAUGACCAUUUUGUACUUUUUUUAUAAAAAAAAAAUUAUUUAUUUUAUUAAAAUAUUGUUUAUUUAUUUAUUUUUUUUAAAGGUAAAGAGGUGUGUAAAAUCUAAAUUCAAUUUUUAUCCCUUAUGUCCUGGCCCUAAGAUUUGAACUCAGGUGAACAGCCAAAUGUAUAAUAACAUGUAUUUCGAAUUUCAUUUUAAAUGAUAUGCAAUUCGUUAAGUGAUUGUUAAUUUUUUAUAAGAUACGAGUGAAAGAAUUAUAUUAUCUCACUAAUUAAUUGAUGAGUGUCAUAUCAUUAUGAUUCCAAAUAAUUUCAAGCCAUGUCAUUAUUAGGAUAAAAAUAAAGUAAAAUGGUUAAAACUAUUUUUAUGUAAUUUAUAAAAAUUAAUGAAGCAACUACAUAAUUUUUUAAACGAAAAACAAUUGAAAUGUGUGAGGAAAAAGAAGAAAAAAAUUAGGCAUUUAAAUAUCUUCUUAAAAAAUAAGAUUGAGUAAAAUCAUUUUAACAGAAUGCCUUCCAAAUACAAUUCCACAUUUUUUUUUAUUGCAGUGGGAUAUUCCAAAAUUGGCACAACUCAUUAAGAAUUCGGCAACUCAAACUUUAUUUAUCUCUCUACGCAUUUGACAAAUUAAAAAGAAAAAAAAAAUUCAUAUAUCUUCUGUUCAAAAGAGACCUUGGUAAAUAUUGUAAAACAAAUUACCAAUUUUUUUAAUUUAUGCCAUUAUAUCGUCGCUAUUUUCUCGCCCACUUUCUUAAAAUAGAAUCAAUAUUUAUUGAUGGGUUGGGUUCCAGAGUAAGCACCAAUUCAGCAAAAUGGUUUUAUAGCAGAAAAAGCACUUGUAAGACAUUCAGAACACAUUUUUCAAUUUUGUCUUUUGAAAAUGAGUCUUGAGUUUCCACAAGCCAAGUAGAAUGGCUAAAAAAUGUAUGGUAUCAAAGAAAGAGAAACACACACACACACAUAGAUUAGUGGGGAGAUAUAUGAGUGUGUAAUUUGUAUAUAUAUCCCUAUUAAUUGUUGAUAGUCCAAUGGGUAUAUGCAAAAUGAAAAAAAUUGGCUGUCCUUUAAGACAAAAUUGACUGUCACAUGAAAAUGUUAGCACACUUGCCACGCAACAAAAAUAAAGAUUCCAAGAACAACUUUAUGGUCCCCUUUCUGUCCAAACAUAUGCGAUAGAAAUUAGUGUAAACGACACUUGAAAUAUAUAUGUAGAUCCUCACACAAUUGAUUAAAUAUUUAUAGUAGGGUGGAGUGAUAAAUAGUUUCACAAAAUUAUUGGAAUUAACUGCUUAAUACAUGAGAUCUAUCUCAUUAAGUAUAAAAGAUUGAGUGCUGCUUCAAAAGCAUGACGUUGCUGGCAACAAAUUUAACACAAAAGUUUAAUUAAUUAAAAUCUCGUAUUAAGAACAAAAGGUUUGAGGUUCGAACAUUCUCAUUCAAGAAAAUCAAGUCAAAAUAUUACAUCUUCCAGCACAUAUCAAAGAUUUUUUCAAUUUCCAAAACCCAACAAAAUCUUUGUCAAAAUAUAUGAUCUAGUCCCAUAUUAAGCACAUUCAUAGCUGUAUCAACAGGUUCAAAAUAUUUUCCCCAAAAAGAGAUAGAGAUUCCAUUGAAGUUGAGUUGUGACUGUCCCAACGUUUUGUAAUUAUAUGGUUCAGGAUACCAAUAUGCCGGAGCUGCAAAGGUUGACUUCUACUAUCCUAUCAAUGUCUAUACUUUCUAUUGAAUUUCCUUGUUUUUUUUUUAAUUUGCGAGAUUUAUUUUUUGGAAAUCUUUGACACAUUUUAUGUAAGAUACCAUAAAGCCAAAUACAACCUUUUUUUAUUCUCAGCAGCAACUUUUUUUUUUCCAUUUAAAAAAAAGGAAGCCAUAUAAAUAAUGCUUAAAACAUUAUUUGCAACAAGGAACAAUUAUUUCAUGCUUUCAUGUAUUAGAAACUUUCCAAAAACGCUAGCAAGAAAAUGAAAUGGAACUUUACCUAGUCACAGAAUAUGUACUGUUGUUAGCACAAUUGUUAUGAAGUGGCUUCUGCAUCAGAAGAUUCCAGCUCCCACCAAGCAUUGUUAUCUCUCUUCUGAAUACAAUCUACAUCGUUGGGCAUGAGUUAUAUCAUUAAUGUCUGGAUCCUCACUUACAUCAUCCCAAUCAAGUGCAAAACAUCCUAGUCCUUCCAUCACAACUGAUACGACUUCCUUCCUAAUUACUUUCCCAUUAAUAAAUCGCUCCAAGAAAAAAAAGCAUUAGCAAUUCUCUUCAACGCCCCAUCACUCAUAUCCCCACAACAACCGUCUUCAGCCACCUCAACGUUGCCUCUUGAAAGACCUCCACAAAAUCCGAAUCAUCCGACACAACCACCAAACACCCAAACCUUCUUUUGUCCACCAUAGCCACCAUAUAAUUUCUCCCCAAAACAUCGGCAUCUUGUGGCUUAACUAACACCAUCCUGACCCAAAACCGUGCUCUUUUUAACUCAUCUGCAAAACCAUAACCCACUUUUGGAGUCAAAAUUGCGCUUGCAGCCAUUUUAUUUUUUUCCAUCUUUAUUGAAUAGUUGCCGACCAAAAGCACUCUCACCUUCCCUCUAGCUGAUUCUAUUUGAUUGGACCUUUUCUUUUGUUCACCCUCAUGAAUUUGCCUAAAAUGAUUAACAAGUUUGUCAUUAUUAUAAAAUCUCCUUCCAUAAUCACCAAUACAUACGGCUUAGCAGACCUAAUUACACCCUUGAUUUCUAAUUGGUAAACAAUUCUCUUUCUUUCUUUGCUCUCUUACAACUUGAGGCACAUAACCAAACGCGUGGCUAUUUGGAUUUUGUUAUCCAAAUACCAAAAAUUUCUCACAUUGUGUUGGACAGUUUUUGGUUCUAAAGUUGAUGACUGGUUUUGCGAAUCAGGCUUCAAAUGAGAACUUCUAAACAAUAAGACAAAUGGGUUUUUAGUUUAUAAUCUUGUAAACUUUGUUCUAUUGUAUAAGUUAUGAAAUCGCUGAAACAUCACUACAGCUACAGGUCUUUAUGUGUCAAUGAAUUGCAGAAGCUAAUGAUCUACUUGUAGUAGACUUCUAUUGCCCCUGCCGUUCUAGGAAGACAAACAAGUUCAGGAACUACUUCUGGACCAAACUCAUAAUAUUGCCACUGCUUUGUGCCAAAAUCUCAGAGGAAAAGAAGAUUGAAGUUCCUAAAUAAGGCACAUCAUGAUUUGAUAGAAGUACCACUAUAAGGAAAAAUUGAUUUCAGGAAAGCACUAAAUUAUGACAUAAUCUCCCCCUAAUGGUCUAAAGUAGUCAAGAAAUGAUAUUAACCAAGUAAAAACACAUAAACUAGUUGAGAUACAAAGUUAUCAUAAAAGUCAAUUUUGACCACAAAUCCAUUAAAAUUAAAAGUCAUCAGAAACUUAGAGAACAUUAUAAUUUAGGACUCAGCUAAGUUGCAGAUUCUGUAACUAACAGCUGAGUCCACAUUGGUCUUGCAUCAGCUGAGUUUAGGUUGCUUUUCCUCUCUCCUGCAACGCGUACGUGGAAGCGCCCCAUUUGCUGUGUUAUAGAACGAGUCGGUACCGUAACAAGCUCCUAUAAUUUAAGUUUGAUUACUGUAGACAAUAGUCUGCCUCUGCUCAAAAGCUAUGCUGCAAGAUAUAACAUCUUUGCAAUGUUAUACUUUCUAAAAGUAAUAAGAAAUGAAACCAAGGGGUAAAAUCGAACACCAAAAGAAAUUUAGUCGGCCAACCACAUUAUGUUCCCACACAGUCCACUAAUUAAGUUAAUAAUUAAAGGGAAUCAAAAUCUAAGAAAUCUCAUCUUCAAGCAUAAUACAAACACACCGGGAUUGAAAAUCACAAAAUCAUAAAAAGAAGCUGACUUGAAAAGCUCAAAUAUACGUUCAUCAGCCUCUCAACUUAUAUCUAAGAACAAAUGCCUGCAGCCUGUGAAGACAUAGAUAAUUGAAGCUGAGGAGGCAUAUUUAAACAGAUGAUUAAACUCAUGCGAUUAAAAUUAUAAUUCAAUAAUCGAGCACAUAAAAUAACAAGCAACUAGUUGUAUAUAUACCAAGCAACUUUAUGAAGUUAAAUAUACCAACGCCAAUACUCUUAUUUUUAUCCAAAUAUAGAAGACCAAUGCAUCAAACAAGGAAAAUGAAAUAUUGUUAAUAACUCAAAAACCACUAGUGUCAAGAACUAAAACUAAUAAGUAAAACCCAUUAAUCAGACACAACCACAUCAAAAUCUCUAAAAAUUGAGGUCUAAACAUUGAAAACAAUUAGACAUAUAUAACAGUCAAUCGAAACAAAGCCUCAAAAUAAUAAUGAACUACAAUAAGACAGAAACUAAAUUGUAAACAAGCGCAUACUCAGUAACAGUAAUCAAGUAACAAGUCAAAACCAGAAUCAAACGUAGAAUUUUGAAAUCCAUACGAACUCUAACGUAUUAGAAUGAAAGAAUAAAGGACGAUCGAUAAACUAGAAUCAAACAAAACAUGCCCAGUUAAAAAACGAAGGUAAAUAAAUAAAAAUGAUAUAAAAUUGCGAAAAAAAUUAAUGAAAUGACGAGAAAAUCAUAGGAAUCCUAUGAAGAGGAAGGUAAACAAAACCUUCGAGAGCUGAGAAGAUGCCUUUUUUGUUCACUUUUGUGCCUAUACAUACAUUUUUUUUUUUUUGUAAUUUUGAAGAAAGUAUUGGUUAAAUAUUGUCAGAACGAAAUAUUAAUAAUAGAUCCUGGCAAUUUCAACAAGGACAAUCUUCGAUUCAAAUGUACCCCUAUGAUAAAGAAAAAGCCAGCUUGGCUAAAUUUUGAGCACCACAUUACAAAAUCUAGGUGCAUGUUUAACUAUGCAUAAAAUGAAACCUCUAUUAAUUGUAAGUCCCUUGACCUCUGGAACCAGCCAACCAGUAUCUUUCCUGUUAGAACAAACUUCCAUCGAUCAGACUAAUAAUAUUUACUGAAUCAUGUUCUACAGUUAAUGGAGUUGGACCCAAGGCAAUUGUUAGAAGUCCGCCUAGACAUAGAGUGCGCUUAGAAGUGGGAUGCUUAGAAAUGGGCCGCCAACACAACCAGCCAACCGUAGUGUGCUUAGCAAAUCACUGAAACCCGGCCAAGAUCUAGAACUAUCUACAAAUUGUAAAUAAGCUAAAAGUUUCUAAGUUUCUCUACAUAGGUCCCUAGGAUAUUUAUGGAAGUUGCUAGGAAGUUUUCCUCCCCUAGAACUCUAAUACCUAUACCCCUCUCAUUUGCCACCAACCACACAGACAAACACUCCAGCACACACACAAGCUCUCUAGCUUUUGUAAAAAACUCUCUUGUAUAUUCUCUCUUUGUGAGUAAUAAAAUCAUAUUCAGCCAUAUUGCUACACUUCUCUCUAGCAUUUUCUACAAGUGUUCUUGCUUCGCUAGUUUGAGGAGUGUUCUAGGCUUGCUUAACAACUUGUUCGCUAUAACGACAUCUUGGUCACAAAACAUGGACAUGCAAGAAAAAAAAAUUGAUACGUUCUAAAAAUAAUACGCGUUCUUCUACAGUGAACCAAAAAAUUUAGGAUAAUGGUAGCAAGUGAAAGAAUUGUGAUUUCACGUGCAUUUUGUUGACAUGAACGUAAAGGACUUUUUUUUAUAGUUUAUAUUGUUUAAUAUAACAUUUGAAUUGCAAAAUAGGGGUACAAAAUAGAUACACGAAGUGAUAAAACUAAGCUGAUUAUAAUAAAUAUUGAAUUAUAAGAUUUAGGUUUAAUCAUAAAGACAUAAGUGGCGCACAAAGUCACGAAUUGAUAUCAUCCACGAUGCAAGUUCAAACAACUGCAUAAUAAGUUGCCCCAAGCUAAACUAUUAAUCUAGUAACUAUUCCAGUCGAUGUGGGAUAAUUUUCCUAUCACCAUCUAUCACGUGCAAGCCGAAUUUUUUGCUUGGUCCUUACAUGUGGUAAGGUCAUAUGAAUCCACUUGUGCAUAAAUUUGGCUCCGAUACUAUAUAGAAGCCUAUGACCCAAAAUUAUACUUAAAGGUUAUCUCAAGAUUUGAGGAUUGACUCAAGCUAAUAUUAUUAUUAGUCUGGUAACCUUUUUUUUUGUUGAUAUGUGAUAUUUUACCUAUAACUUUUAUUAAUCUUUAUGCUUAUGUUUUGUCAUUUAUCCCAAAAUAUAACAUUAACAAAGUUCCAAAAUUUCCUUCAAGAGAUAUAUUUGAGACAAGUAAUUUGUGCAAUAACUUUGUAAAUUGAUGAGCAAAUUCAGUGGUGAAAGCUUGCAUAGUAAUAUAAGGGUUGAGGUUAUCUUUUAACUAAUAAAAGUUAAAUAUGAAAUUUGCAUCUUCUUUUUGUUGUUUUUUAUUAACCGGAUGUAAUUUUUGUUUGAUAAUUUUCUAAUUAUUUUGAGGAAAAUAUGUUGCAGGAGCAUGUUGUGAUGCAUAAGUGUUCAGAACCGAAUAAAAGGAAAGAGUAGUCCAUCCAAAGUCACCACUUAUUCAAAUAUGUGCAGGCAGAACACGUUAUCGGGGGGUCUCGAUACGAAGACCUUUAAGUACUAAUGACGAGAUAUUGAUUAACUUCUGCAUGGAUGAAAAUUUGAAUAAAGGGUAACGUAUUAGUUAUGUUGUUGAACUAAUACUGGCAUGCAUAUAAAAAGUUAUUUGAUUGUGUUCGAGCUUCGAAUAAACGAAUUUAAUUGUAGGAAAUCAAUAAUUGUGGCUAAAUUGUCUCGAUGAUAGAAUUUGCAUUCCAGGAAAAUAGUUUUUAAGACGAGCUUCAAUUGCAUCACCAGACAUGAUAUUAUGUCUCUAUCUCCUAAAAGUACAAUCAAUGUGAAGGUACAACCACCUUCUGUCAAGUGUUGUACUUGUAUGAAUAGUAUAUAUUUAUAAUGAUUGCUCUUAGAAUUUACUUUGUUUUAAAGUUUUUGUUAAUUUUUUAUAUGUUGAAUGAAGUCGAUACCUCUUACAUGAAAGUGUUAAUAUUUGCACUUUUCAGAUUGUUUCUGCUGUCUCGGAAUUGUUAUUUACGAAAGCGAUUGAAACGUUGGAAACAGUCAUUUUAGCCUUUUUCUGCCAGCGUAUUCUGCUGUAAGGCGUUUCUGUUAUAUUAUAAUCUUGGAAUUUUAUCCCCUAAGGGACAACUUAACAUAUAAUUUCGUGUGUUCACUGAGUGUGGUGCAUCUGUUUACAUAUGCAUGUCAGUUGAGAAAUUGUGCUUGCAAUUACAUUUACAAGUUUAAACGAAAUUUGGUUUUCAAGUUUGGCAACCCACUAUUUCCAUUGCCUAGAAUUUUUUGUUGGGCUGUGAUAGCGUUGAUGUCCUAGAAAUUGUACAGUUGCAGGAUAACAUCGGUGGAGACCCCGCAGACCUCACUUUUGGUAUUAAACAAUUUAUCAAUGGUGAUUUAUACCUGGCGAAUAUUGGUUCGUGUAAGCAGGUAAGCAUUAUUUACUUAAGCAUUUAGUAAACCUCGUUUUUAGUUAAUUUUGAUGUUAUGUGUCAGUUUAUUUCACCCUGAUUUUGCAAUCAUCAAUAUAUUUUUGUCCCUGUGAACCAUGGUUUUACACACUUGUACUUAUUGGUUAUAUUAAUAUACGAAAUGUGGGUGGAGAUAUGGGAUUCAAUGCCCAGUGCAAUGAAGUCACAAAUGUUUGUUGUUGAAUGCAAACGAGCAGUGAGUUAACAAUCUAGAUGCCAAUGGAUGUGUACUUUCUCCAAAAAAUAAAUAAAUAAAUAAAUGAACCACUGUUGUUGUAAAUAAUCCUCCUCUGUUUUAAAAGGAAAUGUCAUGUGUUUCUAGGAUUAUAAACUGCAAUCUACCUAUUGACUGGUGUUCCUACAACUAAGAUUCAUUGAGAUGGCGUUGCAGUAUUGUGGCUCAAAUUGUUUAUUGGGAAGGUUAAACAUGAGUGAGUUCGUAAUCCAACUUUGUACCAGAAAGGACAGUAUACAUAACGAAUUAGAUUGUGCAAUAUAUGUUAUGUUGAUGAUAGAGAGGUAUAAAAUCUAGUCGUGCUUUCUGUGGAAGAGGUGCGUCAAUGUUUUAAACUAUUCAAUGCUAUAACCCAGGCCGUUCAUAAUAUUUAUAUAUUGGAGCAAUUUUUACCGCCUCCUAAUUAUUGUGUUUGUGCAUUUCAUUCAGAUAAAGUUUGAUUCAGGUAGUGAGAGGGCACGCAUUGUGAUAGAUCUCAUGAGAUACCAGUUUCAACUAUUUAAAGGACAAGGUUCGUUUUAAGGCUGAAAAGCAUCGAUGACAUCUUGACCAUGAAGCCCAUUCAAUUUAUGAAGCAAUUGAAAAAAAGCGCUUACUACAGCUUCGGACUGCGAGCCAAAUGGGCCAUGGUCGCCGCCAUUAAGCCGGAUUUGCUUUUACGUUCAAUUGUAUAAGUUAACAUCCAUGCUUUGAAGAAAGAAAAAAAAGUUAGGUUUGACAAUUGUAGUUCUUCAUUUGAAAAGCACAAUCAACCACUCAUAAUCGUGACUGCUAAACAACUCAUGUUUUGUUGCUGGCAUAGAACAAUCAAGUUUCCAUUGUGGAUGCCGCAGUGUCUCACUACUGAAUUUUAUCAUUUAUGAGUUUACAUUGUCGUCAAUUUUUAAUAUGUCUGUCAGCAGCUGUACCUGGAGUAUUAUAUCAGCGAAUGGUGUUAGCUGAAACAACGUCUCCUCUGAACUCUGCAUAUUUUAUGAUACUGAUACUUUGGCCUGGACAAGUUACUAAAAUUUUCAAUUGCCAUGGCCCUGACCCAAAGCUUUUUGUAUUAAUUGAACUCAAGGAUGGAUUGAAGUUACACAAGUUUUGCUUAUUUAUGCUUGGCAUAAGUAUAAACAAUGUUUAUCAACUGCCAUAUUAGUUAACCCCUAACAUAAUCAUGCAACCUCGUCCAAUUUUUUACUUGUCAGUACCUCUUAAAUAUUCUGUUAAUAACAAAAUAAAUGGAUACAGUGGUUGAGAACAUGUUUCCAUUACGUCCCUAACCUCUAGAUAUUUUUGGAGUAGUGCCAAUGUUAUUUUACAGAUUCCAAAUAUGGGUGUAGUUAGUUGGUGUAGAUGAUGAGGUUGCAAUGCAGUUCGAUAGACUUGCAAAGGCACUUGUGUUUAGACUGGCUGAAAAUUCACUUGUUGUACUAGCUGAAAAUUCAUGGAACCAUGACUCUGAUGUUCCCCUUAAUGGCCCACCAUUUUCUCUUAUUUGCCUCUGUAAAGGUUGCCUCCCUGGUUCAUUGAUCUGAGACAUUACCUCCAACUUUAAAGUCAAUUGGUGAAUAUCUAUAAUAGCCACAUUGUAUGCGGCCAAAACUUGAUCCAGCAAAUCUAAGUAAACUUCAGCAUGCUGCAUAUAUUUGGCCAAUACGAGCCUGCUCUGUCAUGUAAUGUGAUUUAUUAGAACUUAUAUCCAACGAAGUGUGAGCUUUUAUCUUUGCGCCUUUACUCCAUCGAGACAGAAUUAUCGAACUUGGAAUUUCUGUCAUAUUCUGAGCCUUCAACAAAAUAAAUGAAUGCGAGCAUGGAAUUCCAAUUGUCUCUAACAACUUGCAGCUGCACGAUAAGGUUUUGGUGGCCUCAUUUAUCACUACUUUCACCUCUUUUCCAACUAAGCCAAACCGCUCAACUCUGUACGUUGUUGAAAUUAUAUCCCGGUCAACAUUUCUGCAGUUAACAACGCUUCCUUGUCGAUUUCUUCUCGUACGAGGUGAAACAUUGCCCUUGUGAACUUUUCAGCUGCUUACUGCUCAUACAUCUUCAAAUGUGUAACCAAUACAGGACGUCCAUCAAAACUAUGAAAGUCAUCAUUCCCCUCUCCUUCCCUUUGCCGAUCCAUUAGUCGGUCCAUCUGUUUAACAAAUUCUGUCAAUCGGAGCCUUCUAUUCACGUAAUGGUUUAGAUACGCAUUCAUUCCUUCCAACCUCUGAGUGCUUCUCAUUCCCCCAAAAAACUUUCCAUGCAAAUAAGUCUCAGCCCACAUAUGUCUAUCCUUAAACAUAUUUACAACCCAUUCAUUUGUGGCAACAUUAUGCUUAUCCACCAUUAAUUUCCAUUUUUGGUCAAAUUCUUCUUUUGUGUAAGCGUUCAUCAUGCAGCAGCAAAAUUCGGUUGUAAAUUCAAGGUUUUUAACAUUUGUUUGAGCAUUUCAGACCAAAUGCCAAUAACACAACCUGUGAAAAGCUUCUGGAAAUGUCUUCCUUAUUGUAUUUCGCAUUACUUUAUCCCCAUCGGUUACAACUGUCCUCGGAUGCUUGUUGUUCAUUGCUAUCAUUAAUAUCUCUAACAACAACCAUGUGUACGUGUGUUCUGUCUCAUCUGAAAAUAGAGCAAACCCGAAUACAAUUAUUCGCCGAUGGUGAUUUAUCCCCAAAAUAACCACGAGAGGCUUACGAUAUGCAUUGGUCUUGUAAGUUGCAUAGAAUGCAAUAACAUCACCAAAUAAUGCAUAAUCUGUGCAUGAUCCGUCGUCACACCAAAACAAGUCCCCAAGUCGAUUGGAACUAGUGAUUGUGAAGUCAUAAAAGAAUGAUGGAUUCGAGCUUUUUCUUCCAUCGAAAUAUAAUAGGCACGUCUCAGCAUCUGAUUCUUUCAACGAUGCAUGCCUCUUCGUAACCAGCCUAUUUUCAACAUCCCUCAUGCUAUACCCAACCUUGUCGUAACCCCUGAUCUGUCAACCAUAAACUCGUGUAUUUGAGAUGGCUUCACUCCCACUUUGUGUAAUGAUAAAACAGCCGACAAGUCGGGACCAGUCACUCCUCUGUGGGACCUAAUGUGGUGCACUAGCUCAGGCGGUGUUAAAUUGUGAUUGUGCACUCUAUGAAAAAAACUACAUGCCCAUCGGCGAGUAUAUUCAUUGUAAAUAAGUCGAAAUUGUGCUCUACAUCCUGUCCUUGUCACAGCUUUGGCCUCUCGCCCUCUGCAUCUAUUUUCCAUGUGCUUUGCAGCCCUGAAUCCCUGUCGGCUGCAAAUCCACAUUCUGCCGAUGAUAUUCCCCUUCACAUUUCUCCGUUUAUUGUGUUUCCGAAUGCCGAAGCCAACUGUCCUUGCAUAUUCUUGGUAGCAUAUGCCAACCUAUUCUUCACUUGUGAAUUCUUUUGCUAACAUUUCCAGAAGCGCAUUCUCUACCUCACUACGAUCAUCGGCACACUGCUGUUAGUGAGUAUCAGUCUCCAAGUGACCACUUCCUCCACGGUUGUCACCUUGGAUGUUCAACUGGUGUUCAGUCACGAUUUCUGCCCCUUCACUAUCUGUCUCCGCUCCAUUGUGAGUCAAUGCAUCUGAGCUUCGUUCAUCGUCAGAAGUUAUAUUAAUCUGGUAGUGGAAAUCAUCUCCGUCAUAUAAUCUUUUGUCUGAAUCAAUCAUUGUGCUCAUAGGUUCACCAUUAGAUAACGUCAAAUUUCAAGUGGUUAAGACUUCUUUUUCCUCUGUUAAUAUUUUUUUUGUUGCAAGUUUUUUCUUUUCCUUUCAGUACCUUUUACGAAACUUCUUUCACUAGCGUAGGCGGCACAAAGAAGCUUCAAGUUGGUGUCUCUUCCCGCGUCCAAGAUUUUUUAAAAGUUUUAUGCUUAUUCACUUAGCGCACACCAGCACUUGAGCCCCGUCCCCCGGCCACCAAGACACUUUAUAGAAUUCCCUAACAAAUUAAUAAACUAUACCAGUUUAUUUAGUUGUUAUGUGGCCUAAUAUGACAUAUGCUUGCAUUACUAAUCCAAGGCGUUGUAUAAAGACUUGCUUGCCACUUAUUAAUUGAUGGCAAUUGAUUUAGUAAUUGUUUACGGAUCUUUAAAGCUUCAUCAAGAUAUUGCACAUUGUCACGGCACCAUGUUCAUUUCCCAUGUUGUAACACCAUCCAUUUUUUGUUUCAUCUACUAGAUUUCCAACUCCUUAUAUUCGCUAUAAAACCACAAGUAUGGACACAUUAUAUUUUUGCGUGAGUUACAAAUAUAUUUUACACUCCGUUACUCUUACAAUUCAAGUUGUCAAUAAGUAAAAUUACAUUUUCGCUAUGUUUGACUAUGCAAAACCCGUUUGAGAUCGGUGUAGCAAAUAUCAAUAUUUGCUCGGAAGUUAGAAAGCAACUACCUUUCUGUUUCAGCUAUUAUCAAUCAUAUUACUCCCUAAAAAAGAUAUGGGUCAUAACAUAUAAUUCUGUUUUACCUUAUUGACGACAUGUAUGCGACCAAACGAUCGGUCACCAAAGUUAUAAUAUACAUUAAUUGAUGGUCUCAAAUCAAAACCAGUAUAGAAUAGAACUAUAAGAUAGUGGUCAAUUACCAUCGCAAGCAAUCGACAUUUCAGAGGGGAACGUAAGUAAAACAAACUUUAUGUGCAAUCAUCUAUGGCAUCUGUGUGUUUGUAAUUCUUAUAUACUAAAUAUUCGUAGUUAAGGAAAUGCAAUGCUUAAAUCACUCGUAACACAAUUAAUUGAACUUAUUCAUAUAAUGCAUGGUUGAGCAUGAUAAACAUAUUCAUUGAUGUUUUUUUCCCAAAUAUGGGCAUCUGUGAUGAAAAUCCUAAUGCUAAAACUGUGAACUGCAAAAGAAUAUCAAUUAACCAUAACAAUUCAAUAGCAAAUGGAAGUUAUAAUCACACCAACAAUCUUCGCUCAAAGCAAAGGCUGACUUCAGCCACAAUUUCCCACUAUUCACCCACCAUCCUUUGUUACACCAAAGCAUAACAUAACACACAGAAACAUACCCUCAUAUAUGGAAGAAAAUUUCACUUACGUUCGAACCUCUUCGUAAUCGUUGCAGUUUCCGUUUGAGGGACCUGACUCUUGUUUUCGAGAUGGAUUCCUUACACCUAACGAUCAUCGUUUCCAACACUUUACUAUGCUCCAACAAGUAUUCCAACAACUAUACUUCCUCUUCAUCUCCUGUUAGCCCCCUAACGUCAAUUCUCUUUACCUGUUUUACCAAACAGUCGGGCACAUUUUCUAUUUGAAGCCAUCCAAAAUCUUCUUCGGUCACUUCAAACCAGCAUUCCUACGAAGGAUAAAAGUAAAAUAUGAUAUCAUAAACCCAUGGCGAAAAUUAAGAAGAAUAGUUGAACGCCAUCAACGAUCACGACACCCUCACCUUGUGUAAGACAAGAGUUUUUUAAGAUCGGUGAACUCCUUAGGAUGAUGGGCAUAAUUCGCCAUCCAAAUAGUCCAACCGUCACUUCAAAACUCUGUCAAAUUAGGCAAGGAGGGCUUGAAACUCUCGUAACACAAAUCCAGGGCUUGUCAACAUAGAAUAGAACUUUUGGUGUUAGAUUUAUUAAUGAACCGUUAUAUAUUACUAGCGUUUAUCAGCAGUGGCCCUUAUUGUGCCAACUAGAAAUUGUUAACUUUUUUCCCACUUGGAUAAUAACAGAUACAAACUGCUUUACCCAGCUACAACGAGCAUAUUAUCCUGUCUUAAUGCUUGGUAUCAGAAAGACAGAGAUUGCGAUAUCAAUCAUAUGGUUAUAUCAAUACACAUCAUAGGUCUUGUAGUGCACUAUAUUGGGCAUACUUACAGACACGAUGCCAGCAGAUACAGUCAGAGACUUAGUUGCAGUCACACCCUCUAGAAGCCAUACCACAUGGUUCGGAUCGCCUUGUGCCCAUUCCCUAUACAAAAUUUCCAAUUUAACUUCGUUCACGGAAUGUACACCGUGCAACUUAAACUCUCCCAACACGUCAGCAGUAAUACGGAGACAUUGCAGAUUUGGCGUUGUAAUGAUCACUGUGUAGUCAAUGUAAGUAAAAACAAAAUCCUCUAGUGCUACAGUAAAGGCAAACUUCUUCAGUGUGGACGAUGAAAUGAUGAAGUUUGGUAUGUCCCCGUCAUGUUUCAAAAUAGCCUUAAUACACAGAUCUUCUAUUUACUAAUUUUAUUUCAACCUUAGCAAACCUAGCCAUUCACCUCUUCCCAACCAAGGCAUUUCGAACACCCCAUCUUCGAAAUCCACUACAAAAUCGCAUUCACAGACGUGAAGCCUACAUAUGCAUACCAAACGAAUCUAAGAUUUUAUUUAAAUCAACAUGCAUGCAAUAAUAUCUCGAUAAUCUUCCAGUGCCUGCAAAAAUGCCAGAUUUAUAAUACCAACAAGGCCAACUUCAAUAAUCUAGACAUCAAUAGAAUAUAAUAGCAGAAAUCGACAGUAAUAUUUUUCUUAAAUGCGUCACGGCAAAAUCAAAAUCACGAGCACCAAAAUACACAAAUUCAUUUACAAUUCAAGAAAGAAUCUUUACCCUUCCUUACCUAAUGAAAUUUCGGAUAAUUUCCCUCUCUCGCAAAAGUCAGAUUUGAGAUUCAAAUCUGUAUCACAUCUUAUUCUCGUAUUUAUGUUUCCAUGGACUUCAAGAGCUUCAUUAGACAACCGGUUUAAACGAUUGUUGUUAGUAACUACGUCCGCUCUCCAAAUUUUUAUUUAAACUGUUGGAUUGAACAAACUUAUAUCCAAUGGCUUGACUAAAUAAAGACAAAAAUUAUGGCAUGGUACCACAGUGGCAUCGCAGGCAAGUCCAAAUAACAAAUAUUAAAAUGAUUAUAUUAUUAAACUUUUGGGCUUAAUUGACUAUAUUCAUAUUUGGACGAGAAAGUUAUGCCACGAAUGGAAGAAUUUAAUAUUUUGAGUUGGUACAAAACAAAUGCGCAUAAGUCUCCUAUAUUGGCACGAAUUGUUAGAGAUAUUUUAGCAAUUCCAAUUACAAAUGUUGCUUUUGAAUCAACUUUUAGCAUUAGUGGCUCGAGUACCGUAAUAGGCUUUCAUUUAAGCACAUUGGAGGCUUUAAUGUGUUGUCAAGGUUGGCUGAGAGCUUACAAUGGUAGUAAAAAUUUAUUUUAUAUUGUAAUUAUGUUAUAUAAUUAUUAAUAUUUUCACUUAUAAGUUACAUUACUUAUAAUUUCCUUUUUUAUUGUAGGAUUAUGAAGAUAAUUAUUAUGGUAAUUUUUAUUUUGUAAUGGAUUAAUGUUAAUAUAAGAUAUAUCAUCAAACUUUAUUUUUAUUUAAUUUUUUUAUUUAAUAUGGUUAAAUUAAAAUCGAAAACUAAAAAAUGUAUUAGUUAUUCGGAUAUCGGGGACUCUCGGGGAUCCUCUAUUAUUAUUCAAGGAGGGGAUGGGGAGGGAACGGGGACAUAUGCAGAAUAUCGGGGAUGGGUAUGAGGAGGUCGGUCUCCUCCCCUUCCCUCCCCAUUGCCAUCCCUACUAGAAAUAUUGCAAUCCAAAACUAAGAAAGUUAAAACCAAUUAUUGGAAGGAAAAAGUAAGAUGGAAGCUCCCAGAAUAUUGUUAUGUGUUGUUUGUUUUUUAGUGUGUAUUUCUCAAUCAAUAAUGAAAAAGUAAGUACACAUGUUACAAAAAAUUAAUAAAGAAGAUUGGAGGUGACUAAAUCUUCUAAUUAACUUUCUCUCCUUUGGAAUUCCUUAAUUUGGUAGAGAUCGCUUAAGUGGUGUAUCUAUUAUAAAUACUCCGAUGUGGAAGUUAAUGUUUUUAAUUGUUAAGAAAAGUUAGAAGAAGAAAUUUUUGUACAAAAGAAUCUGGUUUAAAUUUGGAAUUCUUUAGCUGGAAAUGAGUCUAAAUUCUAACGAUACAAUUUAGCACUAAAUAUUAGUUGGGUGAAAAAUUAAUUUCGCUCCUUUGAUGUGAUUUUGGUCGUUUAUUUUCAAAUUAGGGUAAUUUUUUGUUUAGAGUGUAGCUAUUGGCUCCCCGUCAUUAUGCUUAUAUAAUCCUACUUCAAAUAAAAUUACACUUAAGAACAAUAGAAUUAAAUAAAUAUAGUUUUUUUUUCAAAACAAAUUACUUACAUUCGUAAUCAUUUUCUUUUUAAUUUUUUACAUGUUGCUUCAUAUCUAACUAAAAUAAUUGUACAAAUUUAAAAAAAUCUUUAUUCAUUCCAAAUUUCUUAUUGAUUAAAUAUUUUUGUACUUAGGAUUGCUUUAAAAUUAUAAUGUAAAAAAAUUUAAUUUAAUCUAGUGAUUAAAAUUUAUCACCUAAAAACAUUUUUAAUUUAUGUGUAGGAAAAUAAUAAGAUUGCAAAAGACAAGAAAAAUAGUACAACACUACUCUGAGUUUUAAAAAAUAAAAAAAAUCAAAUGAAAAAUUAGAAGUGUAUUAAACAAAAAGAAUAUUUUUAGAAAUAAAAUAAAUGUACUUAAAAAAAAAAAGAGAUUUCAUGAUGAUAUUAGAUGGGUACAAUAGUCAAAUUCUUUUGUUUUAAAGUUUUAAGAUGUUGGUAUUUGUAACUUAGCCUAUCCCUAAUUAUUCUAUUAAAAUGUAUAAACAACGAUGAUCAACCCUAAUUUCAUGGAGGUCAAAGAUUUUGGUCACGCUCGCGUGAAUUACUUGGGACGUACUUUAUGUAAAUUUAUUUACAUUAAAUAAUUGGGCCAACGCUAUAUGAGGCGCCGCCUGGAGGCAUAGAAUUUUAUAUGUCAAAAGUGCGUUUCGCUUCAAUUAAGCCAUGAAUGUCGCUUAGUAUACUCAUUUUGUAUUUAAAAAAGUUUUAUUAAUUUUUUAUUUAUAAAAAUGUGGUUUAUUUAUUUAUUUUUAAAUUUUUUAAAGAUAAAGGGAUGGGUUAAAAUACAAAUUUCAAUUUUUAUCCCUUACAUUCUGUCUCCUAAGAUUUAAACUUAGUUACCAACCAAAUGCGUAAUAAUAGGUAUGUCAAAUUUCAUUUCAAAUGAUAUGUAAUUAAUUAAGUGACUGUUAAUUCUUUACAAGAUCUAAACAAAUUACUUAUAUUAUCUUAUCAACCAAUUGAUAAAAUGUCACGUUAUGAAAGGUCUUUGGAAGAAAAUUCUACUCAGCAAAUAUUGCCUUCAAUGUGUUAUAUGUAUUAUUUACUCCAAACUUACUCGUCAAAACAAUAAAUAAUAUUAUUGCCAAAAUUACUUGUAAUAUCACUUAAAUGCAACAAUAAAUCAUAAAUGAGAUAAAUCACUAAACCCUUCAAUAGAAUAUUUUAAAGCCAAAAAAAGGCAUCGAUUCAUUAUGGUUCAGAUGAUUUCAAGCCAUAUGUCCUUGUUGGGAUAAAAAUAAAGUAAAAUGGUUAAAACUAUUUUUACGUAAUUUAUAAAAAUUAAUGAAGCAAUUAAAAUUUUUUUAACUCGAAAAAAAAUUAAAAUGUGUAUGGAAAAAAGAAAAAAGAAGACACUUAAAUAUCUUUUUAAAGAACAUGAUUAAGUAAAAUCAUUUUAAAGAAUGGUCUUCCAAAUGCAAUUCCACAUUUUUUUAAUUGCAUUGGGAUAUUGCAAAAUUGGCACAACUCAUUAAGAAUUCGCAGUUCAAUUUUUAUUUAUCUCUCUAUGCAUUUGACAAAUUAAAAAAAAAUCCAUAUAUCUUCUAUUCAAAAGAAACCUUGUUAAAUACUGUAAAACACAUUACUAAUUUUUUUUUUCAUUUAUGUCAUUAUAUCGUCACUAUUUUCUCGCCCACUUUCUGAAAAUAGAAUCAAUAUUUGUUGAUGGGUUAGGUUCCAAAGUAAGCACCAAUUCAAGAAAAUGGUUUUAUAGCAGAAAAAGCACUUGUAAGACAUUCAAAGCACUUUUUUCCAUUUUGUCUUUUGAAAAUGAGUCUGGAGUCUCCGCAAGCCAAGAAGAAUGGCUAACAAAUGUAUGGUACCAAAGAAAGAGAAACACACACACACACACAGAUUAUUGUUGAGAUGUAUAUGUGUGUAUAAUAUAUUAAUAUGUAUAUAUAUCCCCAUUAAUUGUUGAUAGUCCAAUGGGUAAAAGGAAAAAAUUGGCCGUCCUUUAAGACAAAAUUCAUUGUCAUAUGAAAAUGUUAACCACAAAACAAAAAUAAAGAUUCCAAGAACAAAUUUGUGGUCCCCUUUUUGUCCAAACUUACAUGAUAGAAAUUAAUGUUUAAAUGACAGUUGAAAAAUGUAGAUCCUCACGCAAUUGAUUAAAUAUUUAUAGUAGGAUGGAGUGAUAAAUAGUUUCUCAAAAUUAUUGGAAUUAACUAUUUAAUACAUGAGAUUUAUCUCAUUAAGGAUAAAAGAUUAAGAUGCUACUUCAAAAGCAUAACGUUGCCAACAAUAAAUUUAACACAAAAGUUUAAUUAACUUUCUUAGUUGAGAUAAUAAAAUUUCGUGUUGAAAAUAAAAGGUUUGAGGUUCGAACCUUGUCAUUCAAGAAAAUCAAGUCAAAAUUAUUACAUCUUCCAGCACAUACCAAAGAUUUUUUUCAAAGGCAGACUGAUAAUUCAGGAUUAAAAAAAAACAAAAGGAAUAUAUGCUAUUCAAGACAGGUAUACCUUGAUUCUCAAAAAAAAAAAAGACAGGUAUACCUUGGACAUGAAGUCUGAGUCCAGAACAAGAAGCACCUAGCUGAUCUUUCAAUUUCCAAAACCGAACGAAAUCUUUGUCAAAAUAUCUGAUCUAGUCUCAUAUUAAGCACAUUCACAGCCGUAUCAACAGGGUCAAAAUAUUUUCCCCAAAAAGAGACACAGAUUCCCCUGAAGUUGAGUUGUGACUGUCCAAACUGCUAUAAUUAUAUGGUUCAGGAUACCAUGCCUGUGAAUCCUUUUUUUUUUUUUCAUGUUUCUAAGUCUAUCAAAUGAAAAUGUAAUUAUAUGGUUCAGGUUACCAGUAUGCCAGAGAUGCAAAGGUUGACUUCCACUAUCCUAUCAGGGCCUAUACUUUCUAUUGAAUUUCCUUUUUUUUUUUUAAAUUGCAAGAUUUAUUUUUGGAAAUCUUUGACAUUGAUUCUCAGUAGCAACUUUUUUUUUCUUUUUUCUUCUUUUAAAAAAAGGAAGCCAUAUAGAUAAUGCUUUAAACAUUAUUUGCAACAAGGAACGAUUAUUUCAUGCUUUCAGGUAUUACAAGCUUUCCAGAAAUGCUAGCAAGAAAAUAUGAAGGAACUUUACCUAGUCACAGAAUAUGUACUGCCUUUAGCACAAUUGUUAUGAAGUGGCUUCUGCAUCAGAAGAUUCUAGCUCCCACCAAGCAUCCUUAUCUUCCUUCUGGAUACAGUCUGCAUCGCUGGGCAUGAAUUAUAUGAUUGAUGUCUGCAUCCUCACUUACAUCAUCCCAAUCAAGCGCUUUUUCUCUACCUCUGAAUUAUAAGCCCACUUCAAUCUCUUCAAAACAUCCUGGUCAUUCCAUCACAGCUGAUACGUCUUCCUUCCUUGCUUCCCCAUUAAUGAAUCCCUCUAAGAAAAAAAAACAUCAGCAAUUCUCUUCAACGUCCCAUCAUUCAUAUACCCUGCAACACCCGUCUUUAGACACCUCAACGUCGCCUCCUGCAAAACCUCCACAAAAUCUGAAUCAUCCGACACAAACACCAAACACCCAAACCUUCUUUUGUCCAUCAUAUCCACCAUAUAAUUCCUCAACAAAACAUCGGCAGCUUGUAGCUUAUCUGACAUUGUCCUGACCCAAAACCACACUCUUUUCAACUUUACUACCAAACUAUAACCCACUUUUGGAGUCAAAGUUGCCUUUGAAGCCAUUUUAUAUGUUUCCAUCCUCAUUGAAUAGUUGCCAACCAAAUGCUCUCUCAUCUUCCCUUUGGCUGAUUCUAUUUGAUUUAACCUCUUCUUUUGUUCACGCUUAUGAAUUUGCUUAAAAUGAUUAACAAGCUUGUCAUUAUUAUAAAGUCUCAAGUCUCCUUCCACAAUCACCAAUACAUAUGGCUCAGCAGGCCUAAUUACACCCUUGAUUUCCAAUUGGUUAAACAAUUCUUUAAUUUUCUUCUCUUUGCUCUCUUGCAACUCGAGGCACAUAACUAAACGCUAGGCUAUUAGCAUGUGCCACCAUGUACUUAACAACCCUAAAUGACGAUAUUGAUUUUUUUCAAUUUAAUGGUCGCUUCACAAUGGGGUAUUAAUUUAGAUUUUGUUAUCCAAAUAUCAAAGAAUUCCUACAUUGUGUUGGACAGUUUCUGGUUCUAAAGUUGAUGACCGGUCUUGCCAAUUAGGCUCCGAAUGAGAACUUCUAAACAAUAAGACAAAUGGGUUCUGGGUUUCUAAUCUUGUAAACUUUGUUCUACUGUAUAACUUAUGAAAUUGCUGAAACAUCACUAUAGCUACAGGCCUUUAUGUGUCAAUGAACUACAGAAGCUAAUGAUCUACCUGUAGUAGACUUCUAUUAUCCCUGCCGUUCCAGGAAGACAAAUAAGUUGAGGAACUACUUCUGGACCAAUAUUGCCACUGCUUUGGGCCAAUCUGAGAGGGAAAGAAGGUUGAAGUUCCUAAAUUAGGUACAUCAUGAUUUGAUAGAAGUACCACUUCGAGGAACAAUUGAUUUCAGGGCAGUGCUAAAAUAUGACAUAAUCUCCCCCCAAAGGCCUAAAGCAACUUCUCUUAGCGUAUCAAGAAAUGACAUCAACCAAGCAAAAAUAUAUAAACCAGUUGAGAUACAAAGUUAUCAUAAAAUUCAAUUUUGAUCACAAAUCCAUUAAAAUUGUUGAGAUACAAAGUAAUAAGAAAUGGAACAAAGGUGUAAAUCGAACACCAAAAGAAAUUUAUUUGGCCAGCCACAUUAUGUUCCCACACAGUCAACUAAUUAAGUUAAUAAUUAAAGGGAAUCAAAAUCUAAGAAAUCCCAUCUUCAAGCAGGAUGAAGACACACUAGGACCGAGAAUCACAAAAUCAUAACAAGCUGACUUGAAAAGCUCAAAGGUACCUUCAUCAGCCCCUUAACUAAUAUCUGAGAACAAAUGCCUGCAGCUUGUGAAGGCAUAGAUCAUUCAAGCAGAUAAAACAACAAGCAACUAGUCGCAUAUGUACUCAGCAACUUUCUAAAGUUAAGGCAUAAAACAACAACAUAGAAUAAAUUAAUUAAAUGUACCAACACUACUACUCUCAUUAUUAUCCAAAUGUAGAAGCCCAAUGCAUCAAACAAGGAAAAUGAGAUACUGUUAAUAACUCAAAAACCAUGAUGGUCAAGAACUAAACAAUAGUAAACUAACAAGUAAAACCCGUAAUCAAACACAACCACAUCAAAAUUUUUGAAAAUUGAGGUCUAAACAUUGAAAACAAUUAGGCAUAUACAAUAGUUAAUCAAAACAAACCCUCAAAACAAUAAUGAACUGUCAUAAGACAGAAACUAAAGUUUAAACUAACGCAUACCCUGUAACAGUGGUCAACUAACAAGUCAAAACCACAAUCAAACAUAGAAUUUUGAAAUCCAUACGAACCCUAACAUAUUACAAUGAAAGGAUAAGGAUAACUACUUGAUAAACUAGACUCCAACAAAAACAUACCUAGUUAAAAAAUGAAGGUAAAUAAAUAAAAAUUGUAUAAAAUUGCGAAAAAAUAGACAAAAUGAUGAGAAAACAGGGAUCUUAUGAAGAGAAAUGUAGACAAAAUCUUCAGGUGUCGAGAAGAUGCCUUUCUUUGUUGACUUUUGUGCCUGUACAUACUUUUUUUUUUUCUUUGAAGAAAAUACUAGUUAUAUAUUAUCAGGACGAAAUAUUACAAGAUGCUAGCAAUUUCAACAGGGACAAUCUUCAAUCCAAAUGUACCCCUAUGAAAAAGAAAAAGCCAACUUGGCUAAUUUGUGAGCCACCACAUCACAAUAUCUAGGUACAUGUUUAACUAUAUAAAUCAGAAGCUCUAUUAAUCAUAAGUCCCUUGACCUCCAAUACUAGCCAACUAAUCUCUUUCCUGCUAGACAAGCUUCCAUCAAUCAGACUAACAAUAUUUACUGAAUCAUAUUCUAAAAUUAAUGGAGUUAGACCCACUUCAAUUGUAAGCUUAAUCUCCUUUAAAAGCGCUUCCGCUUCUGCAAAUUCCACAUCAUUAGAAAAAGACCUUCCAUUGAUUGACGCCACCGUGAAUAUGCACGUAUCAAGGAAUUUUUAAAAGCCCAAUGAUGAUUUUUUAAAAAUAUGUCAUCACAUGUGCAUUCUUUUAAUGUAUUGUUAAGAUUAAUCUUUGCUUAAAAAAUCAUAAAUAAUCAUGAAUUUUUAUUAAUGGUCUUUACCAAAUGCAUGCACAGAAGCAAAUUAUGUUCUCGUUGCAAAGUAGUCAUUUAUUCACCAUAAAUAUUAACGUCACACUUUUAGGAUGCUCAAUAUAUGCAUAAUAUUGGGUAAUUUUUAAAGACCUCCCUGAGGUUUGGGGUAUUGACACUUAAAUAGAAAGUAUGUUUGUAAUUACAUAAACCUCCCUUGCCGUUUCUAUUUCCAUCCAAUGACGGUAAGUAGAUCAAUGAAAUGACCAAAAUAUCCCUAAGGCCAAAAAGAAAUUCUUAUAGCAACUAGUAGGUCACUGUUUGUUAAUUGGAUGAAAUAUGUAUUGCUCGCAGCACACUGAUGAAAUGAUGAAAAUAACUAUGAUAACCAAAUAUUUGACAUUGCAUACUCAUUAACUAAAAAAAAAUAAUAAAAUAUUGCUGAAAAAAUUUAACAAUUUCUAAACUUCAAUUAAGAAAUCAUAUUUGCUUCAAGCAAUUCAAAAAUAAAAAUGCCAUUUUUAUCACACAACCCUCGAUUAGUAAAUUUUUAUAGUCCCAUUGAGAUUAUAAAAUCAACAGAACAUUCCAGAAGAAAAUAUACAUAUUUAUGGUUGAAACUACAAACACAAAAAUAUACCAGGUGAAAAAAAAUUUGAUUUCAAAACCAAUCAAAGAGCUUCUUUGGUCUUAGUAGUGCUCCUAGUUGCACAAUAUUUUGCAGCCAGUUCCUUUGCCUUAAGAAAUUCUUGUCCAUCUAGUUUCAAUCAUUGCCCUUUUCUCUUCUACUUCAUUGUUAAGUAAGAAUGUAAGAUCUAUCUUAUUUUUUCGUUUUUCAAGUAUAAUUCUACCUUCUUCCUCUCUAAUCAUUCCUGUCAAUUAUUGAAUAUGCUGAAGAUGAAUCGAAUUAUUUAUUAAAUAUGUGACAUUAGCAGAGAGCACACUAAAAUGCCAAAACCUAAAGGACUUGUGGUUGUGCGGGAUUUUUUUUCAAAGAAAAUAAGCAACUGAAAUUGAACUUAUAUUAUGGGAAAAACAAGAGAGUUGAAUAUGCAUUAACACAUAAAUAAGUAUUGCAUUUGAGGAUGAUGAAGAGCUUCAUAAUGUUGUUUCUAUGCAAAAUUUAUUUUGAUUAAACAUAUCAUAGCUAAGCCUGUAUUUCAUUUUUAAUCAUUUCAUAACAAGAUGAAAUCCUAAGCAAUUACUUGGAAAGAACAAUAAUCAAUAGUUUUUUAAAUGAGAAAGAAGACUCAAAAUUUAUGAAAUUUAGAGUAAACACGAGCUACAUACAAAAAAAUCACAAUAUGUAGGUAUUCACAACCAGUGAACACUAAUCAAGUUAUAGUUAGAUACACAAGGUGAAACGUUAUAUGAAAAAGUAACAUUUGAAACCCAUUUAAAUUGUAUUUGCGAUUAAACCCAUCUAAAUCUUAAAUUGUAAUCACAAAUAUAAUCCUAAAAAUUAUUUUAAUUUUAAAAAAAUCUCAAUUUUUUUUCAUUUCAAUUUUAUUAUAAAUGGAAUUGAAUUUGCGAUUACAAAGCUAAAACCCAUUUUUGUUUAACAUAAAAAUCACAGAAAACAACUAAUUUCUAAUAUGCAAUGGUUUGUUUGGCUAGUACGAGUCAAAGUUGAAUACAUGUAGUAGCUUUUUCAACAAAUCAAAGACAACAUUAAAUCUAUUUUUAAAACACAGCAUCAAAUCAACCAAACGGCUCUAACUUUAACAUGGAUUGAGUUAUUUGAAAUUUUCACCUACUACGAGGUUUAAUCAUUGUCACGUUCCUCAUCGAUCACAGGCAAUGGUCACUCAAUGGCACCAUUGUUCAUCACUUUAUUGUUCAUCACUCUUCUUCAAAACCGAGGCUUCUUCAGACUUGAGCUUCAUUUGGCGAGGUCAGAGCAUAAAGAGAAGAAUUUAUGUUUGAGAUUGUUAAUUAACGAUCAACCCCCGCUGUUGUCACUUUAUUGUUCAUCACUCUUCUUCAAAACCGACGCUUCUUCAGAUUUGAGCUUCAUUUAUUGAGGUCAGAAGCAUAAAAGAAGAAUUGAUGUUUGAGAUUGUUAAUUAACGGUCAACUCGGUCACUUUAUUGUUCAUCACUCUUCUUCAAAACCGACAUUUCUUCAUAUUUGAGCUUCAUUUGGUGAGGUCAGAAGCAUAAAGAGAAGAAUUUAUGUUUGAGAUUAUUAAUUAACGGUCAACUCGGUCAUGAGGUUGCUUUUGAUUUUUUUAUUUAAAUAACUUUUUUAUGAAAUUACCCUCGUACAUUGACAAGAUACCAAAUGAAAUACAAACGGCAUGGGAGGUCUAUAUAAUUAUGGUCACACUCUAUCUAAGUGUCAAUACGCCAAACCUCAGGGGAGGUCCCUAAAAAUUACCCAUUUAAUAUUACAUCUACACCACUAUCUCUCUUUCCACCAAUACUAUCUUUGUUUCCAAGUUGUUAAUUAUUGCUUUAUUAGGUAUGCCUCUAGUUAAACAUUAUUAAUAUCGAUUUUCAUUUGGUUUUUGAUGAAUUCAACCAUAUAUAAGAGUAAGGUCGUUGUUCAAGUACACAUUCACCAAACUUUUCCCUUGGAAUCAGGGGCGGAGACAACAUAUUAAUUGACUGGGGGCUUACUCAACGGCGAUAAAAAAAAUUUAAAAAGUAAUAAAUAAUAAAUUUAAAAGAUUUUUAUCAUACUUCAAUAUAUGUUUAUAAUUGUCCUUUACGAGUUUUCAUACAUUGAUAAUGUUGUAUUACAACUUCAUUAUCAAUAUUAUUGCGGGCUGUUUAAAAAUUUGAUUAAUAUUAAUAUUUAUGGGCUUGAUUUUAGUUUGCAAAGCCCAUCUCUUUUUAUUUGUUUUAAAAACUUAGAGUGUGAGAAUUUAAGUAUAAUUAAGUAUUAGGGACUUGAAUAUAAAUUAGUGGGGCUUAGGAAAAUUUAAUUAGAAAUUUUUGGCAAAUCAAAUUAGUUAGUAAAAGAUUUUUUUUUUUUUUUCAGUGGGGACUUAAGUCCCCACUGGUCCCAAGCUAGAUCCGCCACUGCUUGGAAUUAAGCCAUAUAAAUAAUGCUUUAAACUUUGUUUGCUACAAGGAUGUUUUGCUCACAUAAUAUGGUCAUGCAAGAAAGAAAUAAUAUUGAUACAUCCUAAAAAUAACACGCAUUCUCCUAUUGUAAACCAAACAAUUUAAGCUAAUGGUGCCAAGUGAAGGAAUUGUAAUUUCAUGUACAUUUUGUUAACACGAAAAUAGAGAACUUUAUUAUAGUUUUAUUGUUUGACACACAUUUGGGUAGCAAAAUAAGGGUACAAAAUAGACACAUGAAGUGACAAACUAAGCUUAUUAUAAUAAAUAUUUAAUGAUAAGGUAUAAAUUUAAUCGCAAAUACAUAAGUAACGCACAAAGUCACUAAUUGAUAUCAUCCACGAUGCAAGUUCAAACAACUGCAUAAUAAGUUGCCUCAUGCUAAAUUAUUAAUUUGGUAAUUAUUCCAGUCGAUAUGGGAUAAUUUUCCUAUCNNNNNUUAAUUAAUUAANNNNNAGAAGCUACGUACGGUAUAGUUAUGGCUAACCGUACACUGUACGUAGCUUGUUAUUGUUCUAAACACAAGACGACUGAAACGAGACACAUCACACGAACGACAGCAAAUAAUUAAGGUAGCCACAGCUAGCUUUCGCUGCUAACGAUGGAUAUAAUUUCUUUCAUUGAUAAGCAACUAGCACUCGAAGUAACAGAAGCACGCAUAACCAGUUCCUUGUCUGUAGCAAGCCCCGUACCUUGCAUCCUCCUGCUGCUUGCAGUGCCUGCUACAUUUCCCCGUGUUGAGACACGGCCCCGACCAUGUCUUGCUACGCCGCUGGCACACUUUUGCUUCCGCCAUUGGCACUUCUGUAACAAGCAUACAAAAUCAUUAACGUGCACUUAGAUAUAUAAGUUAUUAUCAAAGCUCAUGGGUGUCAACAAAUUCAGGUGGUAAAAUGAUCUCUUAGGUUGAAACAAGAAGUCUGAGGUUUAAACUCUGCUUACAUGAAUGGAAGAGUGCUUUAUAUUACAAUAUACCAGUAUACAAACACACACACACACACACUAAAAUCUGAAAUAAAAAAAAAAUUGUUAUGAAAGUUUAAUAUGCAUGCAUAUGAAACAUAUAUAUGAUUUUGCUUCCCCUCUGGCAUUUCUGUAACACAUACACAGCAUAUUUAAUGCACUCAGUUAGCUAAUAUUAGUUAGGCACGUGGGCUUAUGAAUGGUAUUUAGUGUCAGACUCAUGCGCAAGUAUGCCCUCAUCGCUUAAGAGCAGUUAUUCAAGAAAACUUCAACUAUAAACUAACUUUUGAGUAUGAGUUAGGCUCAAGUCUUUUUGAAACUGCACAACUUAAUAUCAUAGGCAAAACUUAAAAUUAAAUUUUGAUUGCUGAAAAACUAUUAAGUACUGGUUAACAUCAAGUCACUCACCGAAGGAAGCAAAGAGUAUGAAGAACGCAAAAAUAAGAGCAAAAGCUGUGGUAAUGCUAGCAACUGACUUAGCCAUUUUUGCACUUGCUUUGGUUUUAAUUUGAUGAAAUUGCUGAAGGCCCCAACCCCUAUUUAUACUUGGAUAUAAGCUGUCUCUUCGUCUCUAGCCAAGAUCCGCGAGAGACAAAGAAACAAUAAAUUAAUUAACCGGGGAAAUUUGAAUUAGACACUAAAAAAUGAAUUCACGCUCGGAUUAUUGACAAAAAAUUUUACAGUUUAUGCAAAUAAUUGUGAAUUAGAAUGACGUCCUGCCAAUUGCUAUAUUAUAUGCACUCUGAAGUAGUCUUAGGUAGUUGAAAUCUUCAAAUUUAAAUAUAAUACGCAAUGCGAACUUCAAUGACCCAUUCUUCCCCAUAACCUUGUCAUUGACAAAGAUUUUACAGUUUAUUCAGAUAAUUGUGAAUUGAAAUAGUGUCCUGCCAAGUGCUCUAUUCAUUAUUUCAUAUGCACUCUGAAGUAGUCUUAGUUAAAUCUUAAAAUUUAAAUAUCAUAUUCAAUGCCCGACUUCAAUGACCCAUUCUUCCCUAUAACCUUGUUAAACCACCCUAUCGGAUUCUGUAUAUUCUAUUUAUUGUGUGGUUAAUUGUUCUUAUCAAUCGGAUCUAUGACAUACAGCGCUUCAUCUACGUAGCAAAAUGAUGGUGCAAGUAUAAUUUUCUAUUGCUAUAACAGAAAAUUAAACGUUUUAUUCAUACUAUUACUUUUAUAAGUUUUAUGUAAACUUUUAAAGACCACAUUGAAAAGAUAAAUUCACUCUUGUUAUCAUUCAAUUUAGCUUAAGGUCAAUUUAUACCAGAAUAUUGAGAAGAUAGAAAGAACUUAAACAUCAUACUAAAUAGAGGAUUUCUUCCAUAUUUUUAAUACUAUAAUGUCGAUGAUACGUACUAUUUUUACAUUCAAUGAUGAAAAUGAUUUUGGCUCAUAUUAGUCUUAAUAAAGAAGAAUUAAUAUUUAGGAUCAUAAAGUGAUCCCUUUUUUAUGAAAUUCUUAUUUAUUUCUGACAAAAAAUCUUAAAGAUAACAAGACAACUGAAGAGAAAAUUCUCCAAACAUACAUAAAAACCAUGACAACAAAAAUGAAAAUGAGCCAAAGCAUUUCUUGAUUACAAAUUCUUGGGACAUAACAGAUUCGAAAAUCUUACUUUGAUACAGGUAAGUGUUAGAGAUUAGAAAUAAUAUGAAACAACUAUGUAUGAGUAUGAUGGAUACCCUAAAUCAGCUAAACAACGCACAACAUAGUCAUCCUAAUCUUAUUAAAGGGAUGUAUCUUCGACAACUUAUUUGAUCUCUUAUGCUGUGGGGCCAAAUUCAUUUAUGUGGGGGAAAUUUGUGAACUAUGACCUUCAAAUUCUUGUACGUGUAAGGUAAGAACUCUCGUCUAAAAGCCUUGUUUUAUUAGGUGAUUAUUGACAUAGACAAAUAACAUAUAGCAAUUGAUUAGUGAUUACGACAAUGUUGAUGCGUAAUCAAAUAGAAUAUUUAUGAUUUUUUUAUGCUCAUCGGAUGUUAAUAAGAUAAGAAUCGCGAUGAAAAGUUCAUCAAUGUAUAUGGUACGCAUGUUGAUAGAGGACAAAAACAUUGUUUGAAAUUAAUAUUUUUUUGGGUUUAAAGGUAUUGGACUUUUCUUCUUUGACUAUGGAUAGUAGUUUUUUUUGGAAUCAAAUACAGUAUGAUUAUUUGAACAUAUUAAAAUACUCAAUAAACAUGUUUACUAAAAUACUCUUAUUAAAGAUUUCUCUCAUUGUUUCUUUUUCAACCCUCCAUCCACUCUUAAUUCUCUCCCAUCUUUUAUCUGCCAGUAUUGUCUUAUCUAGAAUAGAAAUUUAGGCUAUGGACAUCUAGUAAUAAAAAUUUAAAAACUUAAAUAAAAAAUGAAAAAAUGAGUCUAAUGAGCAAUUUUAUGGGUUCAAAUAAUUAAUUCCGCCUACUCAAGUGCCAGUAUUGUCCUAUCUAUAAUAUAAAUUUAGGCUAUGGACAUUCUAGUAAUAAAAAUUUAAAAACUUAAAUAAAAAAUGAGUCUAAUGAGUAAUUUUAUGGGUUCAAAUAAUUAAUUCCUUCUACUCAAGUAUUAUUCUUUUAUUUCUGGAUAAUAGUAACAAAGUACGAUUUCAAAGAUAACAAUUCAGAUGGGUAGGAAAGUCUUCCAAUAAAUAUUAGAUAUUUAAAUUAGUAGUUUGAAGAUAAAAUACUAGUAGGAUCAUGGAGCGGGGACAUGACUGGAUUAGCAACAAUGUUUUUAAAAGGUAGAGAUGUGGGUAAAAAUUAAAAUGCUUUUUUAAUAUUUAACAUCAAUUAAAUAAGACUUCUUAAAAAGUAGUUGGCUAGAUCCUGGAGGUGAUUACCUGCAAAAUUCAUUACAUUGAUGAAGGAGUAUCUAAUUAGCAGAUUUGAUAUUACUCCUAUAGUUAUAGGAUGGAUAAAAGUAUUAAUUGGAAAAAAGUGUUAAUGGAGAAUAAAUGGUGGAUAUCAUUAUGUGGCUCGAACUCAUAUGCAGAUACGCUAUUACUGCACUCGCAUGAAGUGAAAAUAGAUUUGUUGGACAUCCCUUAUUCAUAUUUUUUCUCAUUAGUCAUAAUUGUCCCAUAGACAAUAACAAAUGUAGGAUUUUAAAAUGAAUAAAAAAGGUUCUUUUCAAUAAUCUCAUAUUUACAAAUUUUAUUUUCUUUUAGUGUUUCCAAAAAAGAGAAACAUGUAAAAAAUAUAUAUUAGCUUGUUAUACGAUUCUUUUUGGUCAAGUAGUGACAGUGCUUCAUAUGUGGCUCGAACUCAUACGCAGAUACGCUAUUAUAAAUUGCAAUCCUACCUAUAAUUAGGUUGAAUGACCAAAUGAAGAUACAAUAAUCUUGAACUCACAUAUAAAAUUGUAACAGUAGGAACAAAUAAUGUGAAACAUUAAACCAAACAAUAUUCAGUCAUAGUUCAAGGUAUACAUUUAUAAAAAAAAAAAAAAGCACAAUAAACAUCGAUUAUUUUCAUGAAAAUAGCCACAUAUAACCAACAGUAAGGUUACUUAUUAUUUUAAAUAUUAUUUCGUGAAACAGCUGCAGCUACAUAGCUGACCAACACAACAGUAGCUUGUUAUUUCCAAACACAAGAGGAAUAAACACCCAAAAGCAGCAAAAGGCAUGAAUGCAGCUUCUUCAAGUUGAGUAACUAUAGCUAGCAAUUGAAGAAGCAGAAGCAGGCAAAACCAAGGCCAUCUCUGUGGCAAGCACCGCUACUUGCACCCUCGCGUUCUCGGCACUGUUUAUCACAGUCUUCUGUUACGAAGCACGGGCCAGUCCAAGUCUUACUACGCCGCUCGCAUAGUGCAGCCUCUGCCGGCUUUGCCAUUUCUGUAAUACACAACACUUACACAAAAUGAUUAAUUUCUAGUUAAUUAAAUUUUAUAAUGCAUGCGUGCUUGCAGAAACUUAUCAUCAUGAAGUACACAUCAAUGUCACUCACCGAACGAAGCGAAGAUGAUGAAGAAUGCAAAAAGAAGAGCAAAAGUCAUUGUAAAGCCAGAAACAGAUUUAGCCAUUUUAAUUUUUAUUUGUUGCACUUGCUGAACUGGUUUAUUAUUUCAUGAAAAUGGUAAGUGACCGUAGCCCCAAUUUAUACACUUGCAAUGUAAGCUAUCCCUUCCCUUUUUGAGAAAGUUUCGAUGAAAUUUUUAGACCUUACUAGUUUUUUAAUAUAUCGAUAAAGUGCAAGGUUUAAUUGUUGUUUUGUAACCAUCUCCCACGUUGGGAAUAUGUAAAACAACAAAUAUAUCAGUACCAACAAAGACAGAUAAAUAUUUUCAGCCGAUGUGGCAAACAAGGUUGUGAGGCCAAAAUAAAAUAUUUACAAAGUAAUGAGGUAAAAAUGUAAAAUUUAAAAAUAGUUAAAUUUUAUAAUUUUAUAAUUAUUUUCAAAUCUUUUUCUUUUACGUUGCUUUCUAAAAAAUUUCAAAAAGUAAGCCGGGGUUUACCCUGAUUUUUUUUUUUUUUUUUGGUUUUUUUAACUUUAAAAUUUCAAAGAUAAGUUAGGGUUGCCUUGAAAGCCUUUGCUAUAGGUUGCAUUACUUUUUGAAAAAUUUUCAAAAAGUCAGGGGUCACCUUGCGCAAACGCUCUUCCGCUUCUAUAUUUAUAUUAAUCUCGAACUUACUUCAAUAUAUAUCUAGUUUCCCUAUCAAGUGAUAACAUAACAUCACUGCUACAAUAAUCCUAAACUUUCAUAUUGUUGGGUGUGGGUACAUAGAGAUACAUCAACAAUGGUACAAUGAAACUUCAUCGGGGCCAGACCAAUAACUUAAUUAUAUCUAGGAUGUAAUGGGAGGGGAAAAAAAUUCGAUCCUACACAAAUAAUUUUGGGAAAAGGACACAAGGACCCCCAACGUUUGAGUAAGGGACACAAAACUCCCUAAGGUUUUAAAAAAGAUACGCAGACCCCAAUUAAUUAACGGAAAUCGUUUCGUUAAAUCACUACAAGGUUAAUACCGUAAUUACAAAUUAAAAACAAGUGAAUUGACUAAAACCCACACACACAUCACACGGACAAACAAACCCCACACACACUGAUUCCAGACAAAUCUUUUAACACACACUCACGGUUUGCCUUGCCGAAAGCUGCUGGGGUUGCCGGAAGUUGCUGGAACUGGUCACGCUACUGGAAGCUGCUGGAACUGCUCGUGCGUCGAUCGAGACUGUGUCUGGUUGCCGGAUCUGCUCGCGAUCAACGUUUGGCUGCUGGUUGUGCUGUUGGAACUGCUGGAAUCUCGCGUUUGGCUGUUGGAACUGCUCGUGUUUGGUUGCUGCUCUUGCUUGUGGAAUCUCGCGUUUGGCUGCUGCUUGUGCUCGCGUUUGGUUGCUGAUCCUGCCUGUUGAAUCUCACGUUUGGCUGCUGCUCUUGCUUGUGGAAUCUCGCGUUUGGCUACUGCUUGUGCUCGCUUUUGGUUGCUGCUCUUGCUUGUGGAAUCCAGGGUUCAAUUCUCUUAAGUCCUAUUUUUUCUCUUUAAUUUUCAUUUUUUUUACUAAAUUAACUUCUCUAGCAUGUUUGAUGCAUAUGUGAUGUAUGUGCAAGAAUAUAAAUAAAUGAUUACGAGAAUUUUUUUUUUUUUUUUUUAUGGUUGUUUGAUGAACAGAGUUCUUAAUUUGUCUGAUUUAUUGGAGAUUUCUUGCUAAUUACUUUUGUUAUUUCUUUUCUUUAUCAAUUUUUAGAUGUGCAUGGAAUUUUCUUUAUCAAAUUUAUUUUGUUAUAUCUAACCAGUUGGGCUAGAAUUCUACCUAGGUGAGAUAUUAUGCAUUUUUUUAAUGGUCCUGGAGCAUGUGAAUUUUGUGCUUAAUUUAUUAAUGAAAAGAAUGUAUUGGUUUGCAGAUGGUUGAUCAGCCAUCCCAAAACCUGAAUACUCACUCACUUUAUUCUUUUGAACAAGAAGAUGAUGAAGCAUAUUGGUCAAAUGAUGACAAUGAAGACAUAACACCUGCUGAUGAUGAAAUAGGAUUAAAUUGGGAUGAUGAGGGAGUGGAUGUUGGGCAUAGUGAAGGUUGUGAAGAAGUGGAUUAUAAAGAUAGUGAAGAAGAAGAUAGAAUUCUUUCUAAUUGUGAGUCAGAUGAUAGAGAGCAUGGCCUGCUUUCUGAUUCUGAAGAUGAGCAAUCAUUUCAUUGUUCAAAAUCUAACCCCAAUGAAAUGAUUGAAAUCAGUGUUGGGCAGGAGUUCGACAAUGUCCAACAUUUCAGAAGAGUACUUGAAAACUACGUUAUUAAGAAUGGGUUUGAUCUUAAUAGAAUUAAGAAUGAGAAGAGAAGGUUCAGGGCAAAGUGUUCCAAUGAGGGCUGUCCGUGGUUUAUUUAUGCAGCACUAGUAGAAUCUGGGACAAAAUUCAGAAUUCAGAAGCUGAAUAAUGUACAUGAAUGUAAUGGAGUGUUAGAGAGCAAAGAGGCAUCAUAUAAAUGGAUUGCCUCUCAGUUUGAGGGAACUUUGAAGAACAACCCAAAAAUGCCAGUAAAGGGAAUGAAAGAUGAAUUGGUUUCUAAUUUAGGGAUUAAGGCAAGCAUGAAGAAAAUGUAUAGGGCCAAGAAAAGAGCAAUGGAUAAAUUAAAUGGGAACUAUGCAAAUUCUUAUCAGAGGCUAAGGGAUUAUGCCCAAAUACUCAAACAAAGCAAUCCCAAUACGUUAGUAAAGAUGAAAUUUGUGCCUAGUUUUGAUCAAGAUAGAAGACCAGCUUUGAAGUUUCAGAGAUUUAUGCUUAGCUUUGUUGCUUUGAAGAAUGGAUUCAUUAAUGGAUGUCGAUGGUUUAUUGGAUUGGAUGGUUGUCAUUUAAAGGGGCAUUUCAGAGGUGUACUAUUAUCAGCAGUGGCAUUAGAUGCAAACAAUGGAAUUUUUUCGAUUGCCGUUUGUAUUUGUGAAUCAGAAUGUGCUGAUAGUUGGAAAUGGUUUUUGGCAAUAUUGAGUGAGUGGUUGAACAUAGAGAAUCAAAGUCGAGUAACGUUUAGGACAGAUAGGCAAAAAGGAAUAUUACUAGGUUUGGAAGCAUAUUGGCAUGGUGCAACAGUGAGGCAUUGUGCCAGACAUAUAUUUGCUAACUUAAGAAGUAAUCAUCCUGAUAUCAUCUACAGAAACCUAUUUUGGACAGCAGCAAGAGCCACUAGUGAAAAAGAAUGGGAAGACAACAUGAACAAAAUAAAAACAGCUAAAAAAGACACGCAAGCUGCUUAUGAUUAUUUGAUUAAGAUUGACAAGAAACAGUGGGCUAGACAUGCAUUUCCUGAUGAUGUAAAAGUUGAUCAUGUAACUAACAACUUAAAUGAGUCAUGGAACAGCUGGUUAAAUGAAUACAAAGACAACCCUGUGUUGACACUUAUGGAAUUCAUUCGGAAGAAAGUUAUGAAAAGACUGUAUAAAAGGCAUUCUGAUGCAAGAAAAUGGAUUGGGAAGCUACCUCCAACUGUGAGGAGAAAGUUGAAUGUUUCCAGACAAGAAGGAAGAUAUGUAAGGGUGCUUAUGGCUAGUGAGUAUGAAUUUGAGGUAAUAGAUGAGAAUAAUAAAACAUUUAUAGUUAAUAUGCAGAAUAAAACUUGUGAUUGUGGUGUUUAUCAAAUUUGUGGGAUACCAUGUAAACAUAUCAUCCCAUGUAUUGCUUUAAGACAUGAAGAUGCUGCUGAUUAUGUGGAUAAAAAACUGACAGUGGAAGCAUAUUUGGCCACAUAUGCAAAUAUCAUACAUCCACUUCCAUAUCAAAGUACAUGGGCUGUUGUUGAAGGUCUAAAAGUCUUAUCUCCAUAUGUCAAAACAAGAGUUGGUAGGCCUAAAAUAGUGAGGAAAAGAGAGCCAGGGGAAGAACAAGGGAAAAGAAAGACCAAGCAAAAAUGUAGCUGUUGUGCAAUUUUCGGCCAUAAUAAAAGAUUAUAUAAAAGACCAAUUGAUUCCACUCAACACCCCUCAGGUAAGCCUAAAUUUCUUUUUUUUUUUAUUUUACUUUUUUAUAUAAAAAUAAAAUUUAUAUAUUAAUAUUUAUACAUUUAUCGUGCAGGAACAACCACACAAGAUAUGAGAUGAAGCUCACAAGCUAGUAAUCAGAGUUGUUAUACCAAUUUGUGAACAGAUUAUGUUUUUUUUUCAAAAAAUAUUAUGGUUAUUGUUGUAAUGUUUACCAGUACUAAUUUGAUACAAUAUUAUAAUACAAUUAUUUUUUGUUAUGUUUACUGGAUUGAUGGUUUUAAUGUCUAUUGGAUAUGUUAUUUAGUACAAUUAAGAUUUUGUAAUUAUUGUUGUAAAUAAUUUUUUUUUAUUUUUGAUUAUAUAAGUUUAAAUGAUUGACAUAUGGAGAAUUGUUAUUUUUAUUAUAUUAAUAAUCAAUUUAAUUUAUUUUUAUUCUUGAGCAAUGAAUUAAAUUUAUUUAGUUUGAAGAGAAAAAUUAACAAAAAUUAAAUGGAAAAAUUGGGUAAUGAAGUUAUAUUCGUAAUUAUAUUAAUAAUAUAGGGAUAAAUUGGACAAUGAACAAUUAGUUUUUAAUAUGCUAUAAGGGUAUAAUGGUAAUUGUACUUUAAAAUUAUAAUUUCACUCAAAAGAAACGGUUUCCGUUAACUAAUGGGGGUCUGAGUGUCUUUUUUGAAACAUGAGGGGUUUUAUGUCCCUUAUUCAAACGUUGGGGGUCUCUGUGUCCUUUUCCCAAUAAUUUAUCAUCAUGUGUUAAGUGACGAUUGACUUUAUUAAUUAUUGGUACAAAAUUAAUAUGCCAAGCACAAAUGAUCAACUGAGAUACAAAAUCUUGGUUCUCCACUGCGUGUGUAUAUUAUACCAUGUAAUGUUGUUAUCACCACCCAAAACUCUCUCCGAAUUAAGUAGGUAUAGGCGCUAAUUCAUCACAAGAUUAUUACUGCACUCGCAUGAAGUGAAAAUAGAUUUGUUGGAUAUCCCUUAUUCAUAUUUUUUCUCAUUAGUCAUAAUUGUCCCAUAGACAAUAACAAAUGUAGGAUUUUAAAAUGAAUAAAAAAGUUCUUUUCAAUAAUCUCAUAUUUACAAAUUAUAUUUUCUUUUAGUGUUUCCAAAAAAGAGGAACAUGUAAAAAAUAUAUAUUAGCUUGUUAUACGACUCUUUUUGGUCAAGUGAUAGUGCUUCAGGUAAUUUUUAUAAAUAAAAUUAAGUUUUGUUUCAAAUAAGCACUCCCCCCCUAAAAAAAAAGAAGGGGAGAAGGCAAAACCCAGAUUGAUUUCUUAGCGUUACUUUUCUCAAAAUCCAGACUCAAGUGGUCGGGCAAAGAAAUUUGCGUAAAAACCACUCGGUCAAGACCUUUGGCCUCAUUGAGUACUCAUUGAUGGCGAUAUAAUUAAUUAAUUCUAAUGUGACCAACUCAUUUGCACGUGAGAGAAAAUGAAUGUUAAUUAUACUUCACCAGCAACUAUAUCCAAUUUUGUUAUUUUAUAUUAUUAAGUCUCAAGAUGGUUAUGUUUCAUACACAUUUAACUAAUUAAGAACAUAAUAAAUACUUAUAUGGAAUAAAUAAUUUUCAUAAUAGUACAUGAAUGUUCAUUCCUGGUGCUUGCGUAUCAUAGUAAUAUAAAUAGCGUGAAGAGAUGGAGUAAUAACUUAUAAUUAGAUUUGUAGAGUGUGGCUCAUUAUAUUAGAAUAACACAAACAAGCAAUACAACAAAGACGCAACAAACAUUGACUCGUUCCUUAUUCAGAAGCUACGUACGGUAUAGUUAUGGCUAACCGUACACUGUACGUAGCUUGUUAUUGUUCUAAACACAAGACGACUGAAACGAGACACAUCACACGAACGACAGCAAAUAAUUAAGGUAGCCACAGCUAGCUUUCGCUGCUAACGAUGGAUAUAAUUUCUUUCAUUGAUAAGCAACUAGCACUCGAAGUAACAGAAGCACGCAUAACCAGUUCCUUGUCUGUAGCAAGCCCCGUACCUUGCAUCCUCCUGCUGCUUGCAGUGCCUGCUACAUUUCCCCGUGUUGAGACACGGCCCCGACCAUGUCUUGCUACGCCGCUGGCACACUUUUGCUUCCGCCAUUGGCACUUCUGUAACAAGCAUACAAAAUCAUUAACGUGCACUUAGAUAUAUAAGUUAUUAUCAAAGCUCAUGGGUGUCAACAAAUUCAGGUGGUAAAAUGAUCUCUUAGGUUGAAACAAGAAGUCUGAGGUUUAAACUCUGCUUACAUGAAUGGAAGAGUGCUUUAUAUUACAAUAUACCAGUAUACAAACACACACACACACACACUAAAAUCUGAAAUAAAAAAAAAAUUGUUAUGAAAGUUUAAUAUGCAUGCAUAUGAAACAUAUAUAUGAUUUUGCUUCCCCUCUGGCAUUUCUGUAACACAUACACAGCAUAUUUAAUGCACUCAGUUAGCUAAUAUUAGUUAGGCACGUGGGCUUAUGAAUGGUAUUUAGUGUCAGACUCAUGCGCAAGUAUGCCCUCAUCGCUUAAGAGCAGUUAUUCAAGAAAACUUCAACUAUAAACUAACUUUUUGAGUAUGAGUUAGGCUCAAGUCUUUUUGAAACUGCACAACUUAAUAUCAUAGGCAAAACUUAAAAUUAAAUUUUGAUUGCUGAAAAACUAUUAAGUACUGGUUAACAUCAAGUCACUCACCGAAGGAAGCAAAGAGUAUGAAGAACGCAAAAAUAAGAGCAAAAGCUGUGGUAAUGCUAGCAACUGACUUAGCCAUUUUUGCACUUGCUUUGGUUUUAAUUUGAUGAAAUUGCUGAAGGCCCCAACCCCUAUUUAUACUUGGAUAUAAGCUGUCUCUUCGUCUCUAGCCAAGAUCCGCGAGAGACAAAGAAACAAUAAAUUAAUUAACCGGGGAAAUUUGAAUUAGACACUAAAAAAUGAAUUCACGCUCGGAUUAUUGACAAAAAAUUUUACAGUUUAUGCAAAUAAUUGUGAAUUAGAAUGACGUCCUGCCAAUUGCUAUAUUAUAUGCACUCUGAAGUAGUCUUAGGUAGUUGAAAUCUUCAAAUUUAAAUAUAAUACGCAAUGCGAACUUCAAUGACCCAUUCUUCCCCAUAACCUUGUCAUUGACAAAAGAUUUUACAGUUUAUUCAGAUAAUUGUGAAUUGAAAUAGUGUCCUGCCAAGUGCUCUAUUUCAUUAUUUCAUAUGCACUCUGAAGUAGUCUUAGUUAAAAUCUUAAAAUUUAAAUAUCAUAUUCAAUGCCCGACUUCAAUGACCCAUUCUUCCCUAUAACCUUGUUAAACCACCCUAUCGGAUUCUGUAUAUUCUAUUUAUUGUGUGGUUAAUUGUUCUUAUCAAUCGGAUCUAUGACAUACAGCGCUUCAUCUACGUAGCAAAAUGAUGGUGCAAGUAUAAUUUUCUAUUGCUAUAAACAGAAAAUUAAACGUUUUAUUCAUACUAUUACUUUUAUAAGUUUUAUGUAAACUUUUAAAGACCACAUUGAAAAGAUAAAUUCACUCUUGUUAUCAUUCAAUUUAGCUUAAGGUCAAUUUAUACCAGAAUAUUGAGAAGAUAGAAAGAACUUAAACAAUCAUACUAAAUAGAGGAUUUCUUCCAUAUUUUUAAUACUAUAAUGUCGAUGAUACGUACUAUUUUUACAUUCAAUGAUGAAAAUGAUUUUGGCUCAUAUUAGUCUUAAUAAAGAAGAAUUAAUAUUUAGGAUCAUAAAGUGAUCCCUUUUUUAUGAAAUUCUUAUUUAUUUCUGACAAAAAAUCUUAAAGAUAACAAGACAACUGAAGAGAAAAUUCCUCCAAACAUACAUAAAAACCAUGACAACAAAAAUGAAAAUGAGCCAAAGCAUUUCUUGAUUACAAAUUCUUGGGACAUUAACAGAUUCGAAAAUCUUACUUUGAUACAGGUAAGUGUUAGAGAUUAGAAAUAAUAUGAAACAACUAUGUAUGAGUAUGAUGGAUAACCCUAAAUCAGCUAAACAACGCACAACAUAGUCAUCCUAAUCUUAUUAAAGGGAUGUAUCUUCGACAACUUAUUUGAUCUCUUAUGCUGUGGGGGCCAAAUUCAUUUAUGUGGGGGAAAUUUUGUGAACUAUGACUUCAAAUUCUUGUACGUGUAAGGUAAGAACUCUCGUCUAAAAGCCUUGUUUUAUUAGGUGAUUAUUGACAUAGACAAAUAAAAUAUAGGCAAUUGAUUAGUGAUUACGACAAUGUUGAUGCGUAAUCAAAUAGAAUAUUUAUGAUUUUUUUAUGCUCAUCGGAUGUUAAUAAGAUAAGAAUCGCGAUGAAAAGUUCAUCAAUGUAUAUGGUACGCAUGUUGAUAGAGGACAAAAACAUUGUUUGAAAUUAAUAUUUUUUUGGGUUUAAAGGUAUUGGACUUUUCUUCUUUGACUAUGGAUAGUAGUUUUUUUUGGAAUCAAAUACAGUAUGAUUAUUUGAACAUAUUAAAAUACUCAAUAAACAUGUUUACUAAAAUACUCUUAUUAAAGAUUUCUCUCAUUGUUUCUUUUUCAACCCUCCAUCCACUCUUAAUUCUCUCCCAUCUUUUAUCUGCCAGUAUUGUCUUAUCUAGAAUAGAAAUUUAGGCUAUGGACAUCUAGUAAUAAAAAUUUAAAAACUUAAAUAAAAAAUGAAAAAAUGAGUCUAAUGAGCAAUUUUAUGGGUUCAAAUAAUUAAUUCCGCCUACUCAAGUGCCAGUAUUGUCCUAUCUAUAAUAUAAAUUUAGGCUAUGGACAUUCUAGUAAUAAAAAUUUAAAAACUUAAAUAAAAAUGAGUCUAAUGAGUAAUUUUAUGGGUUCAAAUAAUUAAUUCCUUCUACUCAAGUAUUAUUCUUUUAUUUCUGGAUAAUAGUAACAAAGUACGAUUUCAAAGAUAACAAUUCAGAUGGGUAGGAAAGUCUUCCAAUAAAUAUUAGAUAUUUAAAUUAGUAGUUUGAAGAUAAAAUACUAGUAGGAUCAUGGAGCGGGGACAUGACUGGAUUAGCAACAAUGUUUUUUAAAAGGUAGAGAUGUGGGUAAAAAUUAAAAUGCUUUUUUAAUAUUUAACAUCAAUUAAAUAAGACUUCUUAAAAGUAGUUGGCUAGAUCCUGGAGGUGAUUACCUGCAAAAUUCAUUACAUUGAUGAAGGAGUAUCUAAUUAGCAGAUUUGAUAUUACUCCUAUAGUUAUAGGAUGGAUAAAAGUAUUAAUUGGAAAAAAGUGUUAAUGGAGAAUAAAUGGUGGAUAUCAUUAUGUGGCUCGAACUCAUAUGCAGAUACGCUAUUACUGCACUCGCAUGAAGUGAAAAUAGAUUUGUUGGACAUCCCUUAUUCAUAUUUUUUCUCAUUAGUCAUAAUUGUCCCAUAGACAAUAACAAAUGUAGGAUUUUAAAAUGAAUAAAAAAGGUUCUUUUCAAUAAUCUCAUAUUUACAAAUUUUAUUUUCUUUUAGUGUUUCCAAAAAAGAGAAACAUGUAAAAAAUAUAUAUUAGCUUGUUAUACGAUUCUUUUUGGUCAAAGUAGUGACAGUGCUUCAUAUGUGGCUCGAACUCAUACGCAGAUACGCUAUUAUAAAUUGCAAUCCUACCUAUAAUUAGGUUGAAUGACCAAAUGAAGAUACAAUAAUCUUGAACUCACAUAUAAAAUUGUAACAGUAGGAACAAAUAAUGUGAAACAUUAAACCAAACAAUAUUCAGUCAUAGUUCAAGGUAUACAUUUAUAAAAAAAAAAAAAAGCACAAUAAACAUCGAUUAUUUUCAUGAAAAUAGCCACAUAUAACCAACAGUAAGGUUACUUAUUAUUUUAAAUAUUAUUUCGUGAAACAGCUGCAGCUACAUAGCUGACCAACACAACAGUAGCUUGUUAUUUCCAAACACAAGAGGAAUAAACACCCAAAAGCAGCAAAAGGCAUGAAUGCAGCUUCUUCAAGUUGAGUAACUAUAGCUAGCAAUUGAAGAAGCAGAAGCAGGCAAAACCAAGGCCAUCUCUGUGGCAAGCACCGCUACUUGCACCCUCGCGUUCUCGGCACUGUUUAUCACAGUCUUCUGUUACGAAGCACGGGCCAGUCCAAGUCUUACUACGCCGCUCGCAUAGUGCAGCCUCUGCCGGCUUUGCCAUUUCUGUAAUACACAACACUUACACAAAAUGAUUAAUUUCUAGUUAAUUAAAUUUUAUAAUGCAUGCGUGCUUGCAGAAACUUAUCAUCAUGAAGUACACAUCAAUGUCACUCACCGAACGAAGCGAAGAUGAUGAAGAAUGCAAAAAGAAGAGCAAAAGUCAUUGUAAAGCCAGAAACAGAUUUAGCCAUUUUAAUUUUUAUUUGUUGCACUUGCUGAACUGGUUUAUUAUUUCAUGAAAAUGGUAAGUGACGCGUAGCCCCAAUUUAUACACUUGCAAUGUAAGCUAUCCCUUCCCUUUUUGAGAAAGUUUCGAUGAAAUUUUAGACCUUACUAGUUUUUUAAUAUAUCGAUAAAGUGCAAGGUUUAAUUGUUGUUUUGUAACCAUCUCCCACGUUGGGAAUAUGUAAACAACAAAUAUAUCAGUACCAACAAAGACAGAUAAAUAUUUUCAGCCGAUGUGGCAAACAAGGUUGUGAGGCCAAAAUAAAAUAUUUACAAAGUAAUGAGGUAAAAAUGUAAAAUUUAAAAAUAGUUAAAUUUUAUAAUUUUAUAAUUAUUUUCAAAUCUUUUUCUUUUACGUUGCUUUCUAAAAAAUUUCAAAAAGUAAGCCGGGGUUUACCCUGAUUUUUUUUUUUUUUUGGUUUUUUUAAACUUUAAAAUUUCAAAGAUAAGUUAGGGUUGCCUUGAAAGCCUUUGCUAUAGGUUGCAUUACUUUUGAAAAAUUUUCAAAAAGUCAGGGGUCACCUUGGCGCAAACGCUCUUCCGCUUCUAUAUUUAUAUUAAUCUCGAACUUACUUCAAUAUAUAUCUAGUUUCCCUAUCAAGUGAUAACAUAACAUCACUGCUACAAUAAUCCUAAACUUUCAUAUUGUUGGGUGUGGGUACAUAGAGAUACAUCAACAAAUGGUACAAUGAAACUUCAUCGGGCCAGACCAAUAACUUAAUUAUAUCUAGGAUGUAAUGGGAGGGAAAAAAAAUUCGAUCCUACACAAAUAAUUUUGGGAAAAGGACACAAGGACCCCCAACGUUUGAGUAAGGGACACAAAACUCCCUAAGGUUUUAAAAAAGAUACGCAGACCCCAAUUAAUUAACGGAAAUCGUUUCGUUAAAUCACUACAAGGUUAAUACCGUAAUUACAAAUUAAAAACAAGUGAAUUGACUAAAACCCACACACACAUCACACGGACAAACAAACCCCACACACACUGAUUCCAGACAAAUCUUUUAACACACACUCACGGUUUGCCUUGCCGAAAGCUGCUGGGGUUGCCGGAAGUUGCUGGAACUGGUCACGCUACUGGAAGCUGCUGGAAACUGCUCGUGCGUCGAUCGAGACUGUGUCUGGUUGCCGGAUCUGCUCGCGAUCAAACGUUUGGCUGCUGGUUGUGCUGUUGGAACUGCUGGAAUCUCGCGUUUGGCUGUUGGAACUGCUCGUGUUUGGGUUGCUGCUCUUGCUGUGGAAUCUCGCGUUUGGCUGCUGCUUGUGCUCGCGUUUGGUUGCUGAUCCUGCCUGUUGAAUCUCACGUUUGGCUGCUGCUCUUGCUUGUGGAAUCUCGCGUUUGGCUACUGCUUGUGCUCGCUUUUGGUUUGCUGCUCUUGCUUGUGGAAUCCAGGGUUCAAUUCUCUUAAGUCCUAUUUUUCUCUUUAAUUUUCAUUUUUUUUACUAAAUUAACUUCUCUAGCAUGUUUGAUGCAUAUGUGAUGUAUGUGCAAGAAUAUAAAUAAAAUGAUUACGAGAAUUUUUUUUUUUUUUGUUUAUGGUUGUUUGAUGAACAGAGUUCUUAAUUUGUCUGAUUUAUUGGAAGAUUUCUUGCUAAUUACUUUUGUUAUUUCUUUUCUUUAUCAAUUUUUAGAUGUGCAUGGAAUUUUCUUUAUCAAAUUUAUUUUGUUAUAUCUAACCCAGUUGGGCUAGAAUUCUACCUAGGUGAGAUAUUAUGCAUUUUUUUAAUGGUCCUGGAGCAUGUGAAUUUUGUGCUUAAUUUAUUAAUGAAAGAAUGUAUUGGUUUGCAGAUGGUUGAUCAGCCAUCCCAAAACCUGAAUACUCACUCACUUUAUUCUUUUGAACAAGAAGAUGAUGAAGCAUAUUGGUCAAAUGAUGACAAUGAAGACAUAACACCUGCUGAUGAUGAAAUAGGAUUAAAUUGGGAUGAUGAGGGAGUGGAUGUUGGGCAUAGUGAAGGUUGUGAAGAAGUGGAUUAUAAAGAUAGUGAAGAAGAAGAUAGAAUUCUUUCUAAUUGUGAGUCAGAUGAUAGAGAGCAUGGCCUGCUUUCUGAUUCUGAAGAUGAGCAAUCAUUUCAUUGUUCAAAAUCUAACCCCAAUGAAAUGAUUGAAAUCAGUGUUGGGCAGGAGUUCGACAAUGUCCAACAUUUCAGAAGAGUACUUGAAAACUACGUUAUUAAGAAUGGGUUUGAUCUUAAUAGAAUUAAGAAUGAGAAGAGAAGGUUCAGGGCAAAGUGUUCCAAUGAGGGCUGUCCGUGGUUUAUUUAUGCAGCACUAGUAGAAUCUGGGACAAAAUUCAGAAUUCAGAAGCUGAAUAAUGUACAUGAAUGUAAUGGAGUGUUAGAGAGCAAAGAGGCAUCAUAUAAAUGGAUUGCCUCUCAGUUUGAGGGAACUUUGAAGAACAACCCAAAAAUGCCAGUAAAGGGAAUGAAAGAUGAAUUGGUUUCUAAUUUAGGGAUUAAGGCAAGCAUGAAGAAAAUGUAUAGGGCCAAGAAAAGAGCAAUGGAUAAAUUAAAUGGGAACUAUGCAAAUUCUUAUCAGAGGCUAAGGGAUUAUGCCCAAAUACUCAAACAAAGCAAUCCCAAUACGUUAGUAAAGAUGAAAUUUGUGCCUAGUUUUGAUCAAGAUAGAAGACCAGCUUUGAAGUUUCAGAGAUUUAUGCUUAGCUUUGUUGCUUUGAAGAAUGGAUUCAUUAAUGGAUGUCGAUGGUUUAUUGGAUUGGAUGGUUGUCAUUUAAAGGGGCAUUUCAGAGGUGUACUAUUAUCAGCAGUGGCAUUAGAUGCAAACAAUGGAAUUUUUUCGAUUGCCGUUUGUAUUUGUGAAUCAGAAUGUGCUGAUAGUUGGAAAUGGUUUUUGGCAAUAUUGAGUGAGUGGUUGAACAUAGAGAAUCAAAGUCGAGUAACGUUUAGGACAGAUAGGCAAAAAGGAAUAUUACUAGGUUUGGAAGCAUAUUGGCAUGGUGCAACAGUGAGGCAUUGUGCCAGACAUAUAUUUGCUAACUUAAGAAGUAAUCAUCCUGAUAUCAUCUACAGAAACCUAUUUUGGACAGCAGCAAGAGCCACUAGUGAAAAAGAAUGGGAAGACAACAUGAACAAAAUAAAAACAGCUAAAAAGACACGCAAGCUGCUUAUGAUUAUUUGAUUAAGAUUGACAAGAAACAGUGGGCUAGACAUGCAUUUCCUGAUGAUGUAAAAGUUGAUCAUGUAACUAACAACUUAAAUGAGUCAUGGAACAGCUGGUUAAAUGAAUACAAAGACAACCCUGUGUUGACACUUAUGGAAUUCAUUCGGAAGAAAGUUAUGAAAAGACUGUAUAAAAGGCAUUCUGAUGCAAGAAAAUGGAUUGGGAAGCUACCUCCAACUGUGAGGAGAAAGUUGAAUGUUUCCAGACAAGAAGGAAGAUAUGUAAGGGUGCUUAUGGCUAGUGAGUAUGAAUUUGAGGUAAUAGAUGAGAAUAAUAAAACAUUUAUAGUUAAUAUGCAGAAUAAAACUUGUGAUUGUGGUGUUUAUCAAAUUUGUGGGAUACCAUGUAAACAUAUCAUCCCAUGUAUUGCUUUAAGACAUGAAGAUGCUGCUGAUUAUGUGGAUAAAAAACUGACAGUGGAAGCAUAUUUGGCCACAUAUGCAAAUAUCAUACAUCCACUUCCAUAUCAAAGUACAUGGGCUGUUGUUGAAGGUCUAAAAGUCUUAUCUCCAUAUGUCAAAACAAGAGUUGGUAGGCCUAAAAUAGUGAGGAAAAGAGAGCCAGGGGAAGAACAAGGGAAAAGAAAGACCAAGCAAAAAUGUAGCUGUUGUGCAAUUUUCGGCCAUAAUAAAAGAUUAUAUAAAAGACCAAUUGAUUCCACUCAACACCCCUCAGGUAAGCCUAAAUUUCUUUUUUUUUUUAUUUUACUUUUUAUAUAAAAAUAAAAUUUAUAUAUUAAUAUUUAUACAUUUAUCGUGCAGGAACAACCACACAAGAUGAGAUGAAGCUCACAAGCUAGUAAUCAGAGUUGUUAUACCAAUUUGUGAACAGAUUAUGUUUUUUUUUCAAAAAAUAUUAUGGUUAUUGUUGUAAUGUUUACCAGUACUAAUUUGAUACAAUAUUAUAAAUACAAUUAUUUUUUGUUAUGUUUACUGGAUUGAUGGUUUUAAUGUCUAUUGGAUAUGUUAUUUAGUACAAUUAAGAUUUUGUAAUUAUUGUUGUAAAUAAUUUUUUUUAUUUUGUUGAUUAUAUAAGUUUAAAUGAUUGACAUAUGGAGAAUUGUUAUUUUUAUUAUAUUAAUAAUCAAUUUAAUUUAUUUUUAUUCUUGAGCAAUGAAUUAAAUUUAUUUAGUUUGAGAGAAAAAUUAACAAAAAUUAAAUGGAAAAAUUGGGUAAUGAAGUUAUAUUCGUAAUUAUAUUAAUAAUAUAGGGAUAAAUUGGACAAUGAACAAUUAGUUUUUAAUAUGCUAUAAGGGUAUAAUGGUAAUUGUACUUUAAAAUUAUAAUUUCACUCAAAAGAAACGGUUUCCGUUAACUAAUGGGGGUCUGAGUGUCUUUUUUGAAACAUGAGGGGGUUUUAUGUCCCUUAUUCAAACGUUGGGGUCUCUGUGUCCUUUUCCCAAUAAUUUAUCAUCAUGUGUUAAGUGACGAUUGACUUUAUUAAUUAUUGGUACAAAAUUAAUAUGCCAAGCACAAAUGAUCAACUGAGAUACAAAAUCUUGGUUCUCCACUGCGUGUGUAUAUUAUACCAUGUAAUGUUGUUAUCACCACCCAAAACUCUCUCCGAAUUAAGUAGGUAUAGGCGCUAAUUCAUCACAAGAUUAUUACUGCACUCGCAUGAAGUGAAAAUAGAUUUGUUGGAUAUCCCUUAUUCAUAUUUUUUCUCAUUAGUCAUAAUUGUCCCAUAGACAAUAACAAAUGUAGGAUUUUAAAAUGAAUAAAAAAGUUCUUUUCAAUAAUCUCAUAUUUACAAAUUAUAUUUUCUUUUAGUGUUUCCAAAAAAAGGAACAUGUAAAAAUAUAUAUUAGCUUGUUUAUACGACUCUUUUUGGUCAAGUGAUAGUGCUUCAGGUAAUUUUUAUAAAUAAAUUAAGUUUUGUUUCAAAUAAGCACUCCCCCCUAAAAAAAAAAGAAGGGGAGAAGGCAAAACCCAGAUUGAUUUCUUAGCGUUACUUUUCUCAAAAUCCAGACUCAAGUGGUCGGGCAAAGAAAUUUGCGUAAAAACCACUCGGUCAAGACCUUUGGCCUCAUUGAGUACUCAUUGAUGGCGAUAUAAUUAAUUAAUUCUAAUGUGACCAACUCAUUUGCACGUGAGAGAAAAUGAAUGUUAAUUAUACUUCACCAGCAACUAUAUCCAAUUUUGUUAUUUUAUAUUAUUAAGUCUCAAGAUGGUUAUGUUUCAUACACAUUUAACUAAUUAAGAACAUAAUAAAUACUUAUAUGAAUAAAUAAUUUUCAUAAUAGUACAUGAAUGUUCAUUCCUGGUGCUUGCGUAUCAUAGUAAUAUAAAUAGCGUGAAGAGAUGGAGUAAUAACUUAUAAUUAGAUUUGUAGAGUGUGGCUCAUUAUAUUAGAAUAACACAAACAAGCAAUACAACAAAGACGCAACAAACAUUGACUCGUUCCUUAUUCAGAAGCUACGUACGGUAUAGUUAUGGCUAACCGUACACUGUACGUAGCUUGUUAUUGUUCUAAACACAAGACGACUGAAACGAGACACAUCACACGAACGACAGCAAAUAAUUAAGGUAGCCACAGCUAGCUUUCGCUGCUAACGAUGGAUAUAAUUUCUUUCAUUGAUAAGCAACUAGCACUCGAAGUAACAGAAGCACGCAUAACCAGUUCCUUGUCUGUAGCAAGCCCCGUACCUUGCAUCCUCCUGCUGCUUGCAGUGCCUGCUACAUUUCCCCGUGUUGAGACACGGCCCCGACCAUGUCUUGCUACGCCGCUGGCACACUUUUGCUUCCGCCAUUGGCACUUCUGUAACAAGCAUACAAAUCAUUAACGUGCACUUAGAUAUAUAAGUUAUUAUCAAAGCUCAUGGGUGUCAACAAAUUCAGGUGGUAAAAUGAUCUCUUAGGUUGAAACAAGAAGUCUGAGGUUUAAACUCUGCUUACAUGAAUGGAAGAGUGCUUUAUAUUACAAUAUACCAGUAUACAAACACACACACACACACACUAAAAUCUGAAAUAAAAAAAAAAAUUGUUAUGAAAGUUUAAUAUGCAUGCAUAUGAAACAUAUAUAUGAUUUUGCUUCCCCCUCUGGCAUUUCUGUAACACAUACACAGCAUAUUUAAUGCACUCAGUUAGCUAAUAUUAGUUAGGCACGUGGGCUUAUGAAUGGUAUUUUAGUGUCAGACUCAUGCGCAAGUAUGCCCUCAUCGCUUAAGAGCAGUUAUUCAAGAAAACUUCAACUAUAAACUAACUUUUUGAGUAUGAGUUAGGCUCAAGUCUUUUUGAAACUGCACAACUUAAUAUCAUAGGCAAAACUUAAAAUUAAAUUUUGAUUGCUGAAAAACUAUUAAGUACUGGUUAACAUCAAGUCACUCACCGAAGGAAGCAAAGAGUAUGAAGAACGCAAAAAUAAGAGCAAAAGCUGUGGUAAUGCUAGCAACUGACUUAGCCAUUUUUGCACUUGCUUUGGUUUUAAUUUGAUGAAAUUGCUGAAGGCCCCAACCCCUAUUUAUACUUGGAUAUAAGCUGUCUCUUCGUCUCUAGCCAAGAUCCGCGAGAGACAAAGAAACAAUAAAUUAAUUAACCGGGGAAAUUUGAAUUAGACACUAAAAAAUGAAUUCACGCUCGGAUUAUUGACAAAAAAUUUUACAGUUUAUGCAAAUAAUUGUGAAUUAGAAUGACGUCCUGCCAAUUGCUAUAUUAUAUGCACUCUGAAGUAGUCUUAGGUAGUUGAAAUCUUCAAAUUUAAAUAUAAUACGCAAUGCGAACUUCAAUGACCCAUUCUUCCCCAUAACCUUGUCAUUGACAAAAGAUUUUACAGUUUAUUCAGAUAAUUGUGAAUUGAAAUAGUNNNNNUUAAUUAAUUAANNNNNUUUUUUUUUUUUUAGAAACACUCGUGUUUAUUCAAUCAGAUUAAUGAUAGCAAUCAAAUAAAAGUAUAAGCAUUAUCUCCAGUCUAAAGCAACAUCACACCCACAUCAACCAUCCACAUGAAUAGCCCAGUAGACUUUGUUAUAGCUACUUUCAAGAAUGACAUGUCAAACCCCAAAAUCUCACUGGAAGUAGUGACACACUCUCACAAAGAAAUUAAACCCAAUAAACAUAGUCACUCCAAUGAAUGGUAAUUGAGAGAGAAAAUAAAAAGAAAUGAUAUCACAUGCUCUCACCAAGAUGAAAUAAAUAUGCCCUCAGCUUAGAAAUAAUACGAUCUCAAGUCAAAUAAAAUGUUAGUCAACCCACUUUAUUUAUCUUUUUUUUUUUUUAUUAUGCAUCACUACAUCUUUUUAGCCCAUAUAACUAGCUUCUACUUCAAACUAUAGUUCCCUAAAAUCAAGAAGGACUUUUAUUAGGACGUAACGUAGGCUAGGGAUAUGGCUAACAAAGAAGGGAAAUAAGGAAAACAAAGUGUAUGUUUGAGAAAAAUGCAGAGAAAUUUUUUUUUUUUUUGGAAGUUGCAAGGUGGAUUUCACCUAUUAUUGUUAUUUUUAUUCUUUUGAAACAACAAUUUUUUUCUUUUUUUUUUUUUUUUUUUCUUUUUUUUUUUUUUUGGGCAUAACUUCACUACAAAAUGUUUAUUUACAUUUUUCUCAAACAUAAAUAGGUGAUGGAAUUGUAAGAUAUUGGGUAAUACUCCAAAUCGGAGUGGGUCAAGAUGAUAAGUUAAACAAAGAAAAGUUUUUUUUUUUUAUUUAAAGGCUCAAAUGGUUAACUAUGGAUACUUGAUAAAGGGAUGGCUAGAAAGGCUCAAACGGAUCAAAGAUGGCCUUUCCAUCGUCUUUUAGGGCUCUAAAUAAUCAUCCAUAUCUACUAGUUAGAUGGGCCUCCCAAUGUAGCAAACACACACUUUUUUUUUUUUUUUUUUAAGGUUAACUCAAAAGAAAUCUAGAGAUCGUGUAUAAUAAUAAACUGUUAAGCUUAUAAAAGAAUGGGCAAAAGGGUUACUCUCCAAGAAAAAUGAUAGGCUCAAAAACUCACUUGGUACUUAUUAUGACAUGUUCAUUCCUUCAAGCAACUCAUAUUUGUCUCCGACAUCAACAUGUAGAGUAGCAAACAUAAUGUAACAUCACUUAAGACCAAAGAUAAUACAAAUACUAAAAUUUGAAAUUAAUCAUGUCAUCAAAGUUAAAACAAAUCACACAAUUUUUUUUUUAAACAACAUUCUACCCCCCAACCUAUUCUAAACAUGAAAGGAAAAUAUGCAUGCAGAAAUGUGAAAAUGAUGCAUAAAAACUAAUUAGAAAAGUUAUAAAAUGAUAGAAAAAAUGAAAUUUUUUUUUUUUAAUUUUUUUUUAAAGAGAAGAUGCGUUUCUAGAGGCACUACACUCCAUAUUCAGCAUCUUCGACUCAAAAGUUGAAAAUAUAUAUUUAAAGGAGAAAUUAAAAAGAAGAAGAAAAAUGAACAUCAAAACAUAAUAAAGAAAAAGAAAAUGUUUGAAUUUUUUUGUUUUUUUUUUUUUUUUUUUAAUUUUUUUUUUUUUUAAACGAUGAAGAUGCGUUUCUAGAGUCACUACACUCCAUAUUCAGCCAUCUUCAACACAAAAAGUUAGCAACAGUUAGUUUCUACAACAAAAAAUCAGUAAAACUUAACCAAGAUUCCACAAUUGUCGACUAUUCCCUCCCCCAACCAGAACGAAACAUUGUCCUCAAUGUUUUAAAGGAAAGAAGUAGAGUUUAGAAGACAUCACCUGGGUGGUGCAACACAGAAGAAAUAUUUACAGGCGGAGAGUUAAAUCUAAUUUGUACUUCUUACUGCGGCUACUGUUACCAUCAUUAUUUGGUCGCUCCAACACAAAGGUCCAGGGGUCUGGCUCCGGUUUAUAAGCUUGUAACAUAUCAAGUAGCUCAUUAGCAGUGUGCACAAAUAAAAAGUUUUUUUACAUUAGAAGGAAUGAAAUAGUUUUUUAUUGCAUGGUUAAGAAAUGCGAUAAAGCCAUCAUAAAAGUUAUUGACAUUUAACAAACCGAUGGGUUUCUGGUGGAUGUGCAGAUGGGCCCAAGAUGCUAGUGUCAUAAGUGCCUCUAGUGUUGCAAGAUCUCCUGGAAGGAAAAUAAAAGCAUCAGCAUGAUUAAGCAUUUCAGUUAUUCUUUCUUGCAUACCUGAGACGACUAACUCUUCUCCAGUUGAUGAGUCAGACGAACUGCCCAAUGGUUUUAGGACUCUUGGGAUGAUGCCUAACACUUGACUUCCUCUGAUAAAAGCUGCUUCUGAGACCAUUUUUUGAUAACCCUCGGUUACCUCCUCCAUACACCAAAUGUAAUUUUCUCGCUGCUAUGCUUCGACCAAGAUCUAUGGCUGCCUCCACGAACUCUUUAUGUUUGCCAUAGGUAAAUCCAGAAAGCACACAAAUGUUCUUGAAUUGUCUAUUGGGAGUAGCUGCCAUUGUGAUACUUCUCAAAAAUAAUUUGUGAGUGCUUGACAAAAGAUAAAUCACAUUUAAGAAUCUUGGUGACAAUGGAUCACAGCUGUGAAUGAGGUAACAUGUCAGUGUCAAAUAACGCGUAAAGCACGUGGCUCGCGAGUCAAAAAGGAAACAGUAAAAAGAAAAAGCAAACAGUAAUAAAAUUAUUAAAGACAAUAAUGCAAACAAUAAAACAACAGUGAAAUGAAAUAAAAUAACAGUAAAGUAAAAGGAUAUUUACACGUAGUUGCGACUGUGGCUCACAUCUUCCUCUGGUUUUACGUCCAGAAACGGCUUGAACGCCCUCUAUGGGUCGAGGAUAGGCUUCCCAUCCAGUUUUCUUAUAAACUGGCAAACAGGGUCGUUUAUAGUCAGAUUCCCGAGACUAUAUCGUGCAUGCUCUUUCUGGAAUAAUGGCCAUAACUGGAGAAUCGCUCCUUGCACAUAUCCACUGGGAUGCGUUUCAAGAGACAAAAGGAUAUCAUCCAAUGACUCCUUAUUCAAGCCAUCCCUAAUGAAUUGAAUCUUAUCUUCUCUGUUAUCAGACACCAUUCCUAAAUAACAUGGGUGUCUAUCGCAACUCAUUCUGGCACACUUGUGACAAGCAACAGAAAUUCUUCGAGCUCGUCGUUUUCUUGCGUAAUUUCCUUUACCACAACCAGGCAUGUAUGCAAUAAAUUUAGGAGGUAACUCACCUGCCAAUCGUACUUUAGCCUCAAUUAACCAACGAAUGUCAGCAGGUAAUGUUAUUCUUUAUGAGUAAUCGCAUGCGUUCGGUCCGAGCUUUAUAGAUCGUAAGGAGGGCAUUCUGAGGAAGUGAAUGGAAUCGCUUGUGAAGCUUCGCUAGAAUCUCGUUUUUGUCCAUACUUUCGCCUCAGAAUGUCAGUUAUUGUGGGAAACUGAAGUAACCGACUUGAUUAUCACGGAGUACCGUUAUUCGCCACUUCACCGGGGUAACAAACUAAAGCACACAAACAGAAAAACAAAUCAAAACACACAAAGAAAAUUAAAAUCGUCCUCUUAUUGAAUUUACCUCAAGCUCCAACUGGAUGUCGUAAAAACUUCUCUCAAUGUCUCUGAGUUGGCGUUCUAAACCCUCAACAUAGGCUACUAACUCUGGUGGUUGUAGAGCCCAAAUGCGUUGUGUUUUACAAAAUUGAAUCUGCUUUUGAGAUGAGUUUUGACACGUUGGAAGUGGUUUAAGAAUGUUCAGGAGGAACGGUCUAAGUAUGGUACUCAUGAUUAACAAUGAUAAGAAAAAAAAAAACUUAAUGGUAAAACAAACACACUUAUGCAAAAAUAAUUUCAAUUAGCAAAAGAAUAAUAAAAAGAAAGAAAGAAAAAUCAAAUCAACAAAAAGAAAAAAUCAAUUCAAAUCUGGUGGGUUACUCAAAUUUAUUUCGGUGUCUUCUCCAUGUGGUUGGUACUCAAGAUAUGGCUUUAAUCUUUGACCAUUAACUUUAAACGUGACACCGUUCUUUGGGUCCUUAAUUUCAAUUGCCCCAUGUGGAAAAACAGUAUGUACAAUAAAUGGGCCAGACCAACGAGAGCGUAACUUACCUGGGAAUAGGUGCAAGCGAGAAUUGAAUAAAAGCACUUUCUGACCUGGAGUGAAACGAUUUUCUCAUAAUUUGCUUAUCAUAGAAGACUUUCAUUCGUUGCUUGUAAAUCUUGGCAUUUUCGUAUGCAUCAUUGCGAAUUUCUUCAAGUUCUGCCAGCUGUAAUCUUCUUUCUGAGCUGGCUUGCUGCAUGUCAAAGUUGAAUUUCUUGAUGGCCCAAUAUGCACGAUGCUCGAGUUCCACAGGUAGGUGGCAAGCUUUUCCAUACACUAGCCUGUAGGGUGACAUCCCAAUCGGGGUCUUGAAAGCCGUUCUAUAUGCCCAUAAUGCAUCAUCAAGUCGUAAUGACCAAUCUUUCCUAUCUGGCCUCAACCGUCUUUUCUAAUAUGUGCUUUAUUUCUCGAUUGGAGAUCUCAACUUGACCACUGGUUUGCGGAUGAUACGGAGUUGCCACUUUGUGUGUGAUUGAAUACUUUGUCAAAAGAGCUUUGAAUGCUUUGUUACAAAAGUGGGCACCACCAUCACUGAUUAUUGCUCGAGGGAAUCCAAAGCGCGAAACAAUGUUACUUUUCAAAAAAUCCUAUCACCACCUUGUGAUCAUUGGUUCUACAUGGAAUUGCUUCUACCCAUUUCGAGACGUAGUCAACACCAACCAAUAUGUAUUGAUGGCCAAAAGAAUGGGGAAAGGGUCCCAUGAAGUCGAUACCCCAUACGUCAAAAAUCUCAACCACUAAAAUUGGAUUUAGUGGCAUCAUGUUCCUUCGCGUAAUGCUCCCCAUUCGUUGACACCUAUCACAUGAAGAACAGAAAGUGAAAUUCAAAAAUAUCCUUUCAUUCUGCCAAUGAACAAGCGUGUGGAGGCCAUUUUAGUGCUAAGAAAACAGCUACAAAAGUUUUACAAUGUGGUUUUUAUUGGCCAACUAUAUUUCGAGACGCUUACACUUUCUGUUCUUCAUGUGAUAGGUGUCAACGAAUGGGGAGCAUUACGCGAAGGAACAUGAUGCCACUAAAUCCAAUUUUAGUGGUUGAGAUUUUGACGUAUGGGGUAUCGACUUCAUGGGACCCUUUCCCCAUUCUUUUGGCCAUCAAUACAUAUUGGUUGGUGUUGACUACGUCUCGAAAUGGGUAGAAGCAAUUCCAUGUAGAACCAAUGAUCACAAGGUGGUGAUAGGAUUUUGAAAAGUAACAUUGUUUCGCGCUUUGGAUUCCCUCGAGCAAUAAUCAGUGAUGGUGGUGCCCACUUUUGUAACAAAGCAUUCAAAGCUCUUUUGACAAAGUAUUCAAUCACACACAAAGUGGCAACUCCGUAUCAUCCGCAAACCAGUGGUCAAGUUGAGAUCUCCAAUCGAGAAAUAAAGCACAUAUUAGAAAAGACGGUGAGGCCAGAUAGGAAAGAUUGGUCAUUACGACUUGAUGAUGCAUUAUGGGCAUAUAGAACGGCUUUCAAGACCCCGAUUGGGAUGUCACCCUACAGGCUAGUGUAUGGAAAAGCUUGCCACCUACCUGUGGAACUCGAGCAUCGUGCAUAUUGGGCCAUCAAGAAAUUCAACUUUGACAUGCAGCAAGCCAGCUCAGAAAGAAGAUUACAGCUGGCAGAACUUGAAGAAAUUCGCAAUGAUGCAUACGAAAAUGCCAAGAUUUACAAGCAACGAAUGAAAGUCUUCUAUGAUAAGCAAAUUAUGAGAAAAUCGUUCACUCCAGGUCAGAAAGUGCUUUUAUUCAAUUCUCGCUUGCACCUAUUCCCAGGUAAGUUACGCUCUCGUUGGUCUGGCCCAUUUAUUGUACAUACUGUUUUUCCACAUGGGGCAAUUGAAAUUAAGGACCCAAAGAACGGUGUCACGUUUAAAGUUAAUGGUCAAAGAUUAAAGCCAUAUCUUGAGUACCAACCACAUGGAGAAGACACCGAAAUAAAUUUGAGUAACCCACCAGAUUUGAAUUGAUUUUUUCUUUUUGUUGAUUUGAUUUUUCUUUCUUUCUUUUUAUUAUUCUUUUGCUAAUUGAAAUUAUUUUUGCAUAAGUGUGUUUGUUUUACCAUUAAGUUUUUUUUUUCUUAUCAUUGUUAAUCAUGAGUACCAUACUUAGACCGUUCCUCCUGAACAUUCUUAAACCACUUCAACGUGUCAAAACUCAUCUCAAAAAGCAGAUUCAAUUUUGUAAAACACAACGCAUUUGGGCUCUACAACCACCAGAGUUAGUAGCCUAUGUUGAGGGUUUAGAACGCCAACUCAGAGACAUUGAGAGAAGUUUUUACGACAUCCAGUUGGAGCUUGAGGUAAAUUCAAUAAGAGGACGAUUUUAAUUUUCUUUGUGUGUUUUGAUUUGUUUUUCUGUUUGUGUGCUUUAGUUUGUUACCCCGGUGAAGUGGCGAAUAACGGUACUCCGUGAUAAUCAAGUCGGUUACUUCAGUUUCCCACAAUAACUGACAUUCUGAGGCGAAAGUAUGGACAAAAACGAGAUUCUAGCGAAGCUUCACAAGCGAUUCCAUUCACUUCCUCAGAAUGCCCUCCUUACGAUCUAUAAAGCUCGGACCGAACGCAUGCGAUUACUCAUAAAGAAUAACAUACCUGCUGACAUUCGUUGGUUAAUUGAGGCUAAAGUACGAUUGGCAGGUGAGUUACCUCCUAAAUUUAUUGCAUACAUGCCUGGUUGUGGUAAAGGAAAUUACGCAAGAAAAACGACGAGCUCGAAGAAUUUCUGUUGCUUGUCACAAGUGUGCCAGAAUGAGUUGCGAUAGACACCCAUGUUAUUUAGGAAUGGUGUCUGAUAACAGAGAAGAUAAGAUUCAAUUCAUUAGGGAUGGCUUGAAUAAGGAGUCAUUGGAUGAUAUCCUUUUGUCUCUUGAAACGCAUCCCAGUGGAUAUGUGCAAGGAGCGAUUCUCCAGUUAGGCCAUUAUUCCAAAAAGAGCAUGCACGAUAUCGUCUCGGGAAUCUGACUAUAAACGACCCUGUUUGCCAGUUUAUAAGAAAACUGGAUGGGAAGCCCAUCCUCGACCCAUAGAGGGCGUUCAAGCCGUUUCUGGACGUAAAACCAGAGGAAGAUGUGAGCCACAGUCGCAACUACGUGUAAAUAUCCUUUUACUUUACUGUUAUUUUAUUUCAUUUCACUGUUGUUUUAUUGUUUGCAUUAUUGUCUUUAAUAAUUUUAUUACUGUUUGCUUUUUCCUUUUUACUGUUUCCUUUUUGACUCGCGAGCCACGUGCUUUACGCGUUAUUUGACACUGACAUGUUACCUCAUUCACAGCUGUGAUCCAUUGUCACCAAGAUUCUUAAAUGUGAUUUAUCUUUUGUCAAGCACUCACAAAUUAUUUUUGAGAAGUAUCACAAUGGCAGCUACUCCCAAUAGACAAUUCAAGAACAUUUGUGUGCUUUCUGGAUUUACCUAUGGCAAACAUAAAGAGUUCGUGGAGGCAGCCAUAGAUCUUGGUCGAAGCAUAGCAGCGAGAAAAUUACAUUUGGUGUAUGGAGGAGGUAACCGAGGGUUAUCAAAAAUGGUCUCAGAAGCAGCUUUUAUCAGAGGAAGUCAAGUGUUAGGCAUCAUCCCAAGAGUCCUAAAACCAUUGGGCAGUUCGUCUGACUCAUCAACUGGAGAAGAGUUAGUCGUCUCAGGUAUGCAAAAAGAAUAACUGAAAUGCUUAAUCAUGCUGAUGCUUUUAUUUUCCUUCCAGGAGAUCUUGCAACACUAGAGGCACUUAUGACACUAGCAUCUUGGGCCCAUCUGCACAUCCACCAGAAACCCAUCGGUUUGUUAAAUGUCAAUAACUUUUAUGAUGGCUUUAUCGCAUUUCUUAACCAUGCAAUAAAAAACUAUUUCAUUCCUUCUAAUGUAAAAAAACUUUUUAUUUGUGCUCACACUGCUAAUGAACUACUUGAUCUGUUACAAGCUUAUAAACCGGAGCCAGACCCCUGGACCUUUGUGUUGGAGCGCCCAAAUAAUGAUGGUAACAGUAGCCGCAGUAAGAAGUACAAAUUAGAUUUAACUCUCCGCCUGUAAAUAUAUUCUUUUGUGUUGCACCACCAGGUGAUGUCUUCUAAACUCUACUUCUUUCCUUUAAAACAUUGAGGACAAUGUUUCGUUCUGGUUGAGGGGAGGGAAUAGUCGACAAUUGUGGAAUCUUGGUUAAGUUUUUACUGAUUUUUUGUUUAGAAACUAACUGUUGCUAACUUUUUGUGUUGAAGAUGGCUGAAUAUGGAGUUAGUGACUCUAGAAACGCAUCUUCAUCGUUUAAAAAAAAAAAAAUUUAAAAAACUAAAAAACUAAAAAAAACAAAAAAAUUCAAACAUUUUCUUUUUCUUUAUUAUGUUUUGAUGUUCAUUUUUCUUCUUCUUUUUAAUUUCUCCUUAUAAAUAUAUAUUUUCCAACUUUUGAGUCGAAGAUAGCUGAAUAUGGAGUGUAGUGCCUCUAGAAACGCAUCUUCAUCGUUUAAAAAAAAAUUAAAAAAAAAAAAACAAAAUUUCAUUUUCGUUUUCUAUCAUUUUACGUGUAACUUUUCUAAUUAGUUUUUAUGCAUCAUUUUCACAUUUCUGCAUGCAUAUUUUCCUUUCAUGUUUAGAAUAGGUUGGGGGUAGAAUGUUGUUUAAAAAAAAAAAAGAAAAAAUUGUGUGAUUUGUUUUAACUUUAGAUGACAUGAUUAAUUUCAAAUUUUAGUAUUUGUAUUAUCUUUGGUCUUAAGUGAUGUUACAUUAUGUUUGCUACUCUACAUGUUGAUGUCGGAGACAAAUAUGAGUUGCUUGAAGGAAUGAACAUGUCAUAAUAAGUACCAAGUGAGUUUUUGAGCCUAUCAUUUUUCUUGGAGAGUAACCCUUUUGCCCAUUCUUUAUAAUGCUUAACAGUUUAUUAUUGUAUACACGAUCUCUAGAUUUCUUUUGAGUUAAGCCUUAAAAAAAAAAAAAAAAAAAAUGUGUGUGUUGCUACAUUGGGAGGCCCAUCUAACUAGUAGAUAUGGAUGAUUAUUUAGAGCCCUAAAAGACGAUGGAAAGGCCAUCUUUGAUCCGUUUGAGCCUUUCUAGCCAUCCCUCUUAUCAAGUAUCCAUAGUUAACCCAUUUGAGCCUUUUAAAUAAAAAAAAAAAAAAAAACUUUUCUUUGUUUAACUUAUCAUCUUGACCCACUCCGAUUUGGAGUAUUACCCAAUAUCUUACAAAUUCCAUCACCUAUUUAUGUUUGAGAAAAAUGUAAAUAAACAUUUUGCAUAGUGAAGUAGUUAAAAAAAAAAAAGAAAAAAUUGUUGUUGCUGAAAAAAAAAAAAAAAAAAAAAAUUGUUGUUUCAAAAGAAUAAAAAUAACAAUAAUAGGUGAAAUCCACCUUGCAACUUCCAAAAAAAAAAAAAAAAAAAUAUUCUCUGCAUUUUUCUCAAACAUACACUUUGUUUUCCUUAUUUCCCUUCUUUGUUAGCCAUAUCCCUAGCCUACGUUACGUCCUAAUAAAAGUCCUUCUUGAUUUUAGGGAACUAUAGUUUGAAGUAGAAGCUAGUUAUAUGGGCUAAAAAGAUGUAGUGAUGCAUAAUUAAAAAAAAAAAAGAUAAAUAAAGUGGGUUGACUAACAUUUUAUUUGACUUGAGAUCGUAUUAUUUCUAAGCUGAGGGCAUAUUUAUUUAAUCUUGGUGAGAGCAUGUGAUAUCAUUUCUUUAUUAUUUUCUCUCUCAAUUACCAUUCAUUGGAGUGACUAUGUUUAUUGGGUUUUAAUUUCUUUGUGAGAGUGUCACUACUUCCAGUGAGAUUUUGGGGUUUGACAUGUCAUUCUUGAAAGUAGCUAUAACAAAGUCUACUGGGCUAAUUCAUGUGGAUGGUUGAUGUGGGUGUGAUGUUGCUUUAGACUGGAGAUAAUGCUUAUACUUUUAUUUGAUUGCUAUCAUUAAUCUGAUUGAAUAAACACGAGUGUUUCUAAAAAAAAAAAAAAAAAAAAUCAUUUUGAAUUUGAAUUUUGUUUUCGCUUUAUUUGCUAGGGACUAGCAAUAAGCUGGUUGGGGGGUGUGUUGAGUGUUAGAAAAUACAUAUUUAUAAAGGAGAAAACCGUCAUUUUACAUUUCAAGUCUUACUAACAACCCUUACUUUUAUGUAUUUAACCUUCUUGUGAUGUAAUUACGUGUGUGUUAUUUUAAUUAAGUAUUUUAUGUAUUUUAGGGGCAGUAUAGUCAUUUCACAAUAAAGGAGAGAUCAGACGGCAAAACGGACAUCACUUUUGAACUCAGGACGGUCGAAAACCUUAGGAGGAGCAUAAAAGGAAAAAUGGCACUAUUCACAUGUACGGUACUAUUCACGUAUACGGUACUGUCUACGUUACUGUUCACGACACUGUUCACAUAGACGGAUCGAUGACGUGGCAUUGACCGAUGACGUGGCAUUGACCGAUGAUGUGGCAUUGACUGAUGAGUGUCACGAUCCUGUUGGGCUAAAAAUUCUUAUGUACUGUUAAUGGUGACGUGGCAGCAUAUCAGUGGACGAAAAAUCUCGUGUACGGUGCAUGCAUCACACAGGAUUAUUUUCAACCAAACCGCGUUACUGUUCAUCCGGGUCAAACCGUGUUACUGUUCAUCCGCGUGGUCAAACCGUGGACUGUUGACUGAUGACGUGGCGCAAUCCUGAGCGUCCAAACUGUUUUUAAUCCGAUGGCCAUGAUUUACUCCAUGUAUCUAUAAAAAGGGGGCCUCUCCCCCCUAAUUUGAUAUCUCUGAAUCCAUUUUUGGGAUCCAUUUUCUGUAAUUCCUUCUCCAUCUGUAUUUUCUUUGUAUUUUAAUAAAUUCCCUUUUUGCCCCUAGUUCAAUUAUGAGUAGCUAAUUUCUUUUCAAGCUUGGGUUGAAGGUGAAGUCUCAACAUGUGUCAUGGCUUUAUUUGGUAAAUUUAUUUUCUUUUCCCUCUAGUUUUUGUGGAUGAUUUGACUUAUCGUCGACAAAUAAUACUGAUCUUGUCUAGAUACCGCCUUGGUUACACCGGCUCUCUGGUAUAAGGUUAUUAUUAUUUGGCACGAUAAGCCCUUAGCACCAUAUUGAUUAGAGCGUGGUUCAUGAGGUGUGGAUUCCCCCCUCAUGAUUUAAUUGGUAUUAAUAAGGAAUAUUUAGCCCAUGAUGCAUGUUGAUACGGAUCCAGAUACCCAAGUACGUCAUUUCAAUAGAAUUCUCUUCAAUUUAUUCUCGCCAUUUUAAUUUAAGUUUUAGCAUAUUCCAAAUCAUUUCCACCACAAAUCCAAUCACCCAUUUACAAAAUUAAUUUUAUACACAAUUAAAAUCCACCUCCUCGUGGGAUCGACACUCGUCACCAUUAGUCUAUAUUACAAUAGAUUCGUGCGCUUGCGAGUACAUUAAAAUUUGCACAACAAGUUUUUGGCGCCGUUGCCGGGGAGGUAAGUAAUUUUAAUUCAUAAAAUUAAUUUUUGUGAAUAAUUUCUUUUAUUUGUUUUCUUGUAUUUUUUUUUUCUUAUUAAAAAAAAAAAGAAAAAAAAAAGAGUAAAUCUACAUUUAAAGGUUAGUAUUUCUUUUCUUUUUCUCUUCUUUAAAAUUCUGUAAUUUAAUUUUCAAUUUAUUUUUUUUUCUUUGUAAUUUUUGUUUAUUUUAUUAAUUUAAUUUUUAGUUAAUUUAUUUCACGUAUUUGUUUUUGUGUAUUUUUAUAGAAAGGUUGUAAUAGCGCAAUAAGGUUAGUAUCGUAAUUUCUCCCUCUUAUUUAUUUUAUUUGUUUUGUUCCCAUCUUUAUUUUUUGUUUUGUUUGCAUCUUUAUUUUUAUUUUCAUUUUAUUUUGCAUGCAUGGUCGUAGGUCAUUAUUACCUAAUCUUGAACCUAUAGACCUUGAAUUAGAAAAAACACUUCGCACACAAAAACACAUUAAAAAUAAAAUUGGAAUGGAUUUACAAGCACCACAGGAGAGGCCAUUUAAGGACUAUUUUAGUCCCUUAGCUAAUUUAAGCACAUCAUGUAUUAGAUACCCAAAUGUAGCUGCUAGGAACUUUGAACUAAAACCUAGUGUGCUAAAUUGUCUCCCCACAUUCUAUGGCUUAGAAAAUGAGGACCCAUAUAAUCAUCUGAAUGAUUUUCAUACCAUUUGUCAAACUUUUAAAUAUGAAAAUUUUUCAGACGAUGAUGUUAAACUCAGACUAUUCCCAUUUUCUUUAAAGGAUAGAGCUCGUUCAUGGUUAAAUACGUUGCCUGCUAAUAGCAUUUCAUCAUGGGAACAAAUGGUAACUAAAUUUUUGAAUAAAUAUUUCCCAGUGCAUAAAACCAAUUCUAUUCGCAGGGAAAUUUCAGAGUUUACACAAAGAGGACGAGCAGUUUUUUCGAAACUUGGGAGCGAUUCAAUGGCUACUCUUGAAGUGUCCACAUCAUGGGUACGAAAAAUGGCACCAAUGCCAAUACUUUUUGGAGGGAUUACUACCGAAUGUGCAAGAAUGGCUAAUGGCAACAAGUGGAGGAGAGCUAAUGUCAAAAAGUGCAUCAGAAAUUUGGGAAUUCUUCCAACGACAAGCGGAUAAUUCCCAACAACGGAGUCGAUCACUAAGGAAUACUAGAAGAAUUAAGGGAGUAAAUGAGGUUCAAAUUGGCGAGUCAACUUCGGGAAUCAAAGAAGUCAAGGAGAUGGUUGAAGGUCUCGCUCGACAAAUAGCAUCGUUAUCGACUGCUAAAUCAACAGAACCACAUGACCAUGACUCAUACUCCGAUCAAGCCAAUGCCAUAGGUGUAAUGAGAAAACCAUCGAAUUACAACCCAUACUCCAACACAUAUAACCCUGGAUGGAGAGACCACCCCAAUUUUUCAUGGUCUCAAGGAUUCCAACAGAAUGGACCAGCAGCUCCAGCUCCACCAAUGCAACAAAUUCCUCAAAAUCCUCAAGCCUCUCAGCCACCAUUCAGACCAUACAAUCAGAACCAGAACUACUCUCAACCCAGACCAUGGGAGGAUGCAUUCCAGAAUUUCAAGAAUGUUACUCACUCCACGAUUGAGCAACAGAACCGCACCAUUGAUGGACUACGAAAUGAGUUGAGAGCAGGCUUCAACUCACAAGCUCAAUCAGUUUCAAGCCUCGAGAAGAUGGUGGGACAACUUGCUUCUUCAGUUCAGACCUUGGCAAUGACUGUUGAGAAAGGAAAAUUUCCAAGUCAACCAGUGCCUAAUCCUAAAGGAGUACAUGAAGCAAGUACCAGUUCACCACAACAGCAUGGAGAGGUCAAAGCAGUCAUGACCUUGCGAAAAGGAAAGGAAGUCGACAACAAAGUGGAGAUGCCGGUGACAAAAGAAAAUCAAAUUGUACCUGUGAAUGUUGAAGACUCACCACCGGAGGAGAAGAAGAAACCAACCCACGAGAAUACGUUCCGAAAGCUCCAUUUCCUCAGAGGUUAGCUAAAGGGAAAAAGGGAAAAUCCACAGGUGAGAUUCUCGAAAUCUUCAAACAGGUAAGUGUUAACAUCCCUUUACUUGAUGCUAUUAAACAAGUUCCAUCUUAUGCCAAGUUUCUUAAAGACCUUUGUACUAAAAAGAGAAAUAUGCAUGUUCAAAAGAAGGCAUUUUUAACAGAAAAUGUUAGUUCUAUACUCCAACAUAAAAUUCCUCUAAAAUGCAAAGACCCAGGCUCCCCCACUAUCUCAUGUAGUAUAGGGAACCACACAAUUGAGAAUGCGUUGUUGGAUUUAGGAGCUAGUGUAAAUCUGUUGCCUUAUUCAGUAUUCGUGAAACUUGGACUGGGAGAAUUACACCCAACUCCAGUGGUGUUACAGCUUGCAGAUCGGUCCACGAAAAUACCUCGUGGUAUUAUGGAGGACGUGCUUAUCCAGGUAGACAAGUUUUAUUUUCCUGUUGAUUUCAUUGUAAUUGACACUCAACCAAUACAGGAUUCAAGGAAGCACAUCCCCAUUAUUCUAGGCCGACCUUUCUUGGCGACUGCGAUGCUCACAUUCAAUGCAGGACUGGAAAUAUGCAGUUGUCCUUCGGCAACAUGACUAUGGAGCUAAAUAUUUUCAACAUUGCCAAACAACCUCACAGUGCAGAUGAUGGAAUUGUUGAUGUGGAUUUAAUAGAAACAAUAGUUGAUAAUACUUUUCUUUCAAACCUUAGUGAUGAUCCUUUACAGACAUGCUUAACUCACUUUGGUUUGGAUUUUGAUAUUGAUAGAUCGGUCGAUGAGGUCAACGCCCUGCUUGACUCAGCACCAUCCAUGGACACUAAUAAAUGGAAGUCAAGAGUUGAACAACUAGCACCAUCAGAGAAGAAACUCAUUCCAUCAUCAGAAUCACCACCGAAACUCGAGCUCAAACCAUUACCCAACACUCUGGAAUAUGCAUUUUUGGGAGAAGAAAGUACUCUGCCGGUAAUCAUCUCAUCAUCCCUAAAUGACGAACAAAAAGGUAAGUUGUUGGAUGUUUUUAAAAGAGCACAAAGGAGCAUUAGGAUGGACCAUAGCAGACAUUAAAGGUAUAAACCCAGUAGACUGUAUGCAUUACAUUCACCUUGAUGAAAAUGCUAAAACUACUAGGAGAUGCAACGUCGGUUAAAUCCUAACAUGAAAGAAGUUGUUAGAACUGAAGUCCUUAAGCUAUUAGAUGCAGGUAUCAUUUACCCAAUUUCUGAUAGUUCAUGGGUCAGUCCUGUACAAGUUGUCCCCAAAAAGUCAGGAGUCACAGUAGUUACCAAUGCUGAUAAUGAAUUGAUACCAACUAGAGUAACUACAGGAUGGCGUGUAUGCAUUGAUUAUAGAAAGUUGAAUUCUGUCACACGUAAAGACCAUUUUCCUUUACCAUUUAUUGAUCAAAUGCUUGAUAGAUUAGCAGGCCAUGAAUUUUAUUGCUUUCUAGAUGGCUACUCAGGAUAUAAUCAGAUUCCCAUAGCACCAAAAGAUCAAGAGAAAACUACUUUCACUUGCCCUUUGGGCACAUAUAGGAGAAUGCCAUUUGGAAUGUAAUGCACCUGCUACAUUUCAACGAUGCAUGUUGAGCAUUUUUUCUGAUAUGGUUGAACGAUUCCUUGAAGUCUUUAUGGAUGAUUUUUCUGUCUUUGGUGACUCGUUUGAUCAAUGUUUUACAUCAUCUCGCGUUCUGCAGAGAUGUAAGAGAGCUUAGUUAAAUUGGGAGAAGUGUUAUGGUAAAAAGGUAUUGUUCUCGGUCACAUCAUUUCGGUAUGAGGUUGACAAAGCCAAGGUGGAUCUCAUUUCUAAUCUUCCUCACCUAAAACAGUCAGAGUCUUUUCCGCAUGCUGGUCUAUAGACGUUUCAUUAAAGAUUUUAGCAAAGUUUCUAGACCCUUAUGCAAUUUACUUGCUAAGGAUGUACCUUUUAUCUUUAAUGAUUCAUGUCUUAUGGCUUUUGAAAAAUUAAAGCAAUUGUUGACAUCAUCACCCAUCAUUCAGGCCCCAAACUGGAGCUUACCAUUUGAGCUCAUGUGUGAUGCAUCUGAUUAUGCAGUAGGAGCAGUAUUAGGACAAAGAGUUGAUCGAAUUCCCAACGUUAUUUACUAUGCUAGUAUGACCUUGAAUGAUGCACAGUUGAAUUAUUCAACUACUGAAAAAGAAAUGCUAGCAGUAGUUUGCAUUGGAAAAAUUUCGAUCUUAUCUCAUUGGUUGUAAAAUAAUUAUAUUCACAGAUCAUGCUGCUCUUAAAUAUCUUCUCACAAAGAAAGAUGCAAAAGCUAGACUAAUUCGUUGGGUGUUACUUUUGCAGGAAUUUGACUUGGAAUUCAAAGAUAAGAAAGGGACAGAAAAUGUUGUGGCGGACCACCUCUCUCGUCUCCAUUUUGACACAAUUACAGAGCCAUUAAUAUUAAAUGAGUCAUUUCCAGAUGAACAAUUAAUGAUGUGGAAGUAUUACCUUGGUAUGCUGAUAUAGUUAAUUAUCUUGUUACAGGUAAGCUUCCAGAGCAUUGGACCAAGCAAGACAAGGCUAAAUUCUUUGCGGAAAUAAAGAAUUUCUUUUGGGAUGACCCAUAUUUGUUCAAGUAUUGUGCAGACCAAAUUGUUAGACGAUGUGUCCCUGAAAGUGAAAUUCAGAAUAUCCUUUCAUUCUGCCAUGAACAAGCUUGUGGAGGCCAUUUCAGUGCUAAGAAAACAGCGACUAAAGUUUUACAAUGGUUUCUAUUGGCCAACUAUAUUUCGAGAUGCUUACACUUUCUGUUCUUCAUGUGAUAGGUGUCAACGAAUGGGGAGCAUUACACGAAGGAACAUGAUGCCACUAAAUCCAAUUUUAGUGGUUGAGAUUUUUGACGUAUGGGGUAUCGACUUCAUGGGACCCUUUCCCCUUCUUUUGGCCAUCAAUACAUAUUGGUUGGUGUUGACUACGUAUCGAAAUGGGUGGAAGCAAUUCCAUGCAGAACCAAUGAUCACAAGUGGUGAUAGGAUUUUUGAAAAAGCAAUAUUGUUUCGCGCUUUGGAUUCCCUCGAGCGAUAAUCAGUGAUGGUGGUGCCCACUUUUGUAACAAAGCAUUCAAGGCUCUUUUGACAAAGUAUUCAAUCACACAAAGUGGCGACCCCGUAUCAUCCGCAAACCAGUGGCCAAGUUGAGAUCUCCAAUCGAGAAAUAAAGCACAUAUUAGAAAAGACGGUGAGGCCAGACAGGAAAGAUUGGUCAUUACGACUUGAUGAUGCAUUAUGGGCAUAUAGAACGGCUUUCAAGACCCCGAUUGGGAUGUCACCCUACAGGCUAGUGUAUGGAAAAGCUUGCCACCUACCUGUGGAACUCGAGCAUCGUGCAUAUUGGGCCAUCAAGAAAUUCAACUUUGACAUGCAGCAAGCCAGCUCAGAAAGAAGAUUACAGCUGGCAGAACUUGAAGAAAUUCGCAAUGAUGCAUACGAAAAUGCCAAGAUUUACAAGCAACGAAUGAAAGUCUUCCAUGAUAAGCAAAUUAUGAGAAAAUCGUUCACUCCAGGUCAGAAAGUGCUUUUAUUCAAUUCUCGCUUGCACCUAUUCCCAGGUAAGUUACGCUCUCGUUGGUCUGGCCCAUUUAUUGUACAUACUGUUUUUCCACAUGGGGCAAUUGAAAUUAAGGACCCAAAGAACGGUGUCACGUAUAAAGUUAAUGGUCAAAGAUUAAAGCCAUAUCUAGAGUACCAACCACAUGGAGAAAACAUCGAAAUAAAUUUGAGUGACCCACUAAAUUUGAAUUGAUUUUUUUUUUCUUUUCGUUAAUUUGAUUUUUCUUUAUUUCUUUUUAUUAUUAUUCUUUUGCUAAUUGAAAUUGUUUUUGCAUAAGUGUGUUUAUUUUACCAUUAAGUUUUCUCUUAUCAUUUUUAAUCAUGAGUCUCAUACUUAGACCGUUCCUCCUGAACAUUCUUAAACCACUUCAACGUGUCAAAACUCAUCUCAAAAGGCAGAUCUAUUUUGUAAAACACAACGCAUUUGGGCUCUACAACCACCAGAGUUAGUAGCCUAUGUUGAGGGUUUAGAACGCCAACUCAGAGACAUUGAGAGAAGUGUUUACGACAUCCAGUUGGAGCUUGAGGUAAAUUCAAUAAGAGGACGAUUUUAAUUUUCUUUGUGUGUUUUUUGUUUUUCUGUUUGUGUGCUUUAGUUUGUUACCCCGGUGAAGUGGCGGAUAACGGUACUCCGUGACAAUCAAGUCGGUUAACUUCAGUUUCCCAUAAUAACUGAUAUUCUGAGGCGAAGGUAUGGACAGAAACGAGAUUCUAGCGAAGCUUCACAAGCGAUUCCCUUCACUUCCUCAGAAUGCCCUCCUUACAAUCUAUAAAGCCCGGUCUGAACGCAUGCGAUUGCUCAUGAGGAAUAACAUACCUGCAGACAUCCGUUGGUUAAUCGAGGCUAAAGUACGAUUGGCAGGUGAGUUACCUCCUAAAUUUAUUGCAUACAUGCCUGGUUGUGGUAAAGGAAAUUACGCAAGAAAACGACGAGCUCGAAGAAUUUCUGUUGCUUGUCACAAGUGUGCCAGAAUGAGUUGCGAUAGAAACCCAUGUUCUUUAGGAAUGUGUCUGAUAACAGGGAAGAUAAGAUUCAAUUCAUUAGGGAUGGCUUGAAUAAGGAGUCAUUGGAUGAUAUCCUUUUGUCUCUUGAAACGCAUCCCAGUGGAUAUGUGCAAGGAGCGAUUCUCCAGUUAAGGCCAUUAUUCCAAAAAGAGCAUGCACGAUAUCGUCUCGGGAAUCUGACUAUAAACGACCCUGUUUGCCAGUUUAUAAGAAAACUGGAUGGGAAGCCCAUCCUCGACCCAUAGAGGGUUCAAGCCGUUUCUGGACGUAAAACCAGAGGAAGAUGUGAGCCACAGUCGCAACUACGUGUAAAUAUCCUUUUACUUUACUGUUAUUUUAUUUCAUUUCACUGUUGUUUUAUUGUUUGCAUUAUUGUCUUUAAUAAUUUUAUUACUGUUUGCUUUUUCCUUUUUACUGUUUCCUUUUUGACUCGCGAGCCACGUGCUUUACGCGUUAUUUGACACUGACAUGUUACCUCAUUCACAGCUGUGAUCCAUUGUCACCAAGAUUCUUAAAUGUGAUUUAUCUUUUGUCAAGCACUCACAAAUUAUUUUUGAGAAGUAUCACAAUGGCAGCUACUCCCAAUAGACAAUUCAAGAACAUUUGUGUGCUUUCUGGAUUUACCUAUGGCAAACAUAAAGAGUUCGUGGAGGCAGCCAUAGAUCUUGGUCGAAGCAUAGCAGCGAGAAAAUUACAUUUGGUGUAUGGAGGAGGUAACCGAGGGUUAUCAAAAAUGGUCUCAGAAGCAGCUUUUAUCAGAGGAAGUCAAGUGUUAGGCAUCAUCCCAAGAGUCCUAAAACCAUUGGGCAGUUCGUCUGACUCAUCAACUGGAGAAGAGUUAGUCGUCUCAGGUAUGCAAGAAAGAAUAACUGAAAUGCUUAAUCAUGCUGAUGCUUUUAUUUUCCUUCCAGGAGAUCUUGCAACACUAGAGGCACUUAUGACACUAGCAUCUUGGGCCCAUCUGCACAUCCACCAGAAACCCAUCGGUUUGUUAAAUGUCAAUAACUUUUAUGAUGGCUUUAUCGCAUUUCUUAACCAUGCAAUAAAAAAACUAUUUCAUUCCUUCUAAUGUAAAAAAACUUUUUAUUUGUGCUCACACUGCUAAUGAACUACUUGAUCUGUUACAAGCUUAUAAACCGGAGCCAGACCCCUGGACCUUUGUGUUGGAGCGCCCAAAUAAUGAUGGUAACAGUAGCCGCAGUAAGAAGUACAAAUUAGAUUUAACUCUCCGCCUGUAAAUAUAUUCUUUUGUGUUGCACCACCCAGGUGAUGUCUUCUAAACUCUACUUCUUCCUUUAAAACAUUGAGGACAAUGUUUCGUUCUGAACUAAAGUUUUACAAUGUGGUUUCUAUUGGCCAACUAUAUUUCGAGAUGCUUACACUUUCUGUUCUUCAUGUGAUAGGUGUCAACGAAUGGGGAGCAUUACACGAAGGAACAUGAUGCCACUAAAUCCAAUUUUAGUGGUUGAGAUUUUUGACGUAUGGGGUAUCGACUUCAUGGGACCCUUUCCCCUUCUUUUGGCCAUCAAUACAUAUUGGUUGGUGUUGACUACGUAUCGAAAUGGGUGGAAGCAAUUCCAUGUAGAACCAAUGAUCACAAGUGGUGAUAGGAUUUUUGAAAAGCAACAUUGUUUCGCGCUUUGGAUUCCCUCGAGCGAUAAUCAGUGAUGGUGGUGCCCACUUUUGUAACAAAGCAUUCAAGGCUCUUUUGACAAAGUAUUCAAUCACACACAAAGUGGCGACCCGUAUCAUCCGCAAACCAGUGGCCAAGUUGAGAUCUCCAAUCGAGAAAUAAAGCACAUAUUAGAAAAGACGGUGAGGCCAGACAGGAAAAGAUUGGUCAUUAAGACUUGAUGAUGCAUUAUGGGCAUAUAGAACGGCUUUCAAGACCCCGAUUGGGAUGUCACCCUACAGGCUAGUGUAUGGAAAAGCUUGCCACCUACCUGUGGAACUCGAGCAUCGUGCAUAUUGGGCCAUCAAGAAAUUCAACUUUGACAUGCAGCAAGCCAGCUCAGAAAGAAGAUUACAGCUGGCAGAACUUGAAGAAAUUCGCAAUGAUGCAUACGAAAAUGCCAAGAUUUACAAGCAACGAAUGAAAGUCUUCCAUGACAAGCAAAUUAUGAGAAAUCGUUCACUCCAGGUCAGAAAGUGCUUUUAUUCAAUUCUCGCUUGCACCUAUUCCCAGGUAAGUUACGCUCUCGUUGGUCUGGCCCUUUAUUGUUCAUACUGUUUUUCCACAUGGGGCAAUUGAAAUUAAGGACCCAAAGAACGGUGUCACGUAUAAAGUUAAUGGUCAAAGAUUAAAGCCAUAUCUAGAGUACCAACCACAUGGAGAAACAUCGAAAUAAAUUUGAGUGACCCACUAAAUUUGAAUUGAUUUUUUUUUUUCUUUUCGUUAAUUUGAUUUUUCUUUAUUUCUUUUUAUUAUUAUUCUUUUGCUAAUUGAAAUUGUUUUUGCAUAAGUGUGUUUAUUUUACCAUUAAGUUUUCUCUUAUCAUUUUUAAUCAUGAGUCUCAUACUUAGACCGUUCCUCCUGAACAUUCUUAAACCACUUCAACGUGUCAAAACUCAUCUCAAAAGGCAGAUUCUAUUUUGUAAAACACAACGCAUUUGGGCUCUACAACCACCAGAGUUAGUAGCCUAUGUUGAGGGUUUAGAACGCCAACUCAGAGACAUUGAGAGAAGUGUUUACGACAUCCAGUUGGAGCUUGAGGUAAAUUCAAUAAGAGGACGAUUUUAAUUUUCUUUGUGUGUUUUUUGUUUUUCUGUUUGUGUGCUUUAGUUUGUUACCCCGGUGAAGUGGCGGAUAACGGUACUCCGUGACAAUCAAGUCGGUUAACUUCAGUUUCCCAUAAUAACUGAUAUUCUGAGGCGAAGGUAUGGACAGAAACGAGAUUCUAGCGAAGCUUCACAAGCGAUUCCCUUCACUUCCUCAGAAUGCCCUCCUUACAAUCUAUAAAGCCCGGUCUGAACGCAUGCGAUUGCUCAUGAGGAAUAACAUACCUGCAGACAUCCGUUGGUUAAUCGAGGCUAAAGUACGAUUGGCAGGUGAGUUACCUCCUAAAUUUAUUGCAUACAUGCCUGGUUGUGGUAAAGGAAAUUACGCAAGAAAACGACGAGCUCGAAGAAUUUCUGUUGCUUGUCACAAGUGUGCCAGAAUGAGUUGCGAUAGAAACCCAUGUUCUUUAGGAAUGGUGUCUGAUAACAGGGAAGAUAAGAUUCAAUUCAUUAGGGAUGGCUUGAAUAAGGAGUCAUUGGAUGAUAUCCUUUUGUCUCUUGAAACGCAUCCCAGUGGAUAUGUGCAAGGAGCGAUUCUCCAGUUAAGGCCAUUAUUCCAAAAGAGCAUGCACGAUAUCGUCUCGGGAAUCUGACUAUAAACGACCCUGUUUGCCAGUUUAUAAGAAAACUGGAUGGGAAGCCCAUCCUCGACCCAUAGAGGGCGUUCAAGCCGUUUCUGGACGUAAAACCAGAGGAAGAUGUGAGCCACAGUCGCAACUACGUGUAAAUAUCCUUUUACUUUACUGUUAUUUUAUUUCAUUUCACUGUUGUUUUAUUGUUUGCAUUAUUGUCUUUAAUAAUUUUAUUACUGUUUGCUUUUUCCUUUUUACUGUUUCCUUUUUGACUCGCGAGCCACGUGCUUUACGCGUUAUUUGACACUGACAUGUUACCUCAUUCACAGCUGUGAUCCAUUGUCACCAAGAUUCUUAAAUGUGAUUUAUCUUUUGUCAAGCACUCACAAAUUAUUUUUGAGAAGUAUCACAAUGGCAGCUACUCCCAAUAGACAAUUCAAGAACAUUUGUGUGCUUUCUGGAUUUACCUAUGGCAAACAUAAAGAGUUCGUGGAGGCAGCCAUAGAUCUUGGUCGAAGCAUAGCAGCGAGAAAAUUACAUUUGGUGUAUGGAGGAGGUAACCGAGGGUUAUCAAAAAUGGUCUCAGAAGCAGCUUUUAUCAGAGGAAGUCAAGUGUUAGGCAUCAUCCCAAGAGUCCUAAAACCAUUGGGCAGUUCGUCUGACUCAUCAACUGGAGAAGAGUUAGUCGUCUCAGGUAUGCAAGAAAGAAUAACUGAAAUGCUUAAUCAUGCUGAUGCUUUUAUUUUCCUUCCAGGAGAUCUUGCAACACUAGAGGCACUUAUGACACUAGCAUCUUGGGCCCAUCUGCACAUCCACCAGAAACCCAUCGGUUUGUUAAAUGUCAAUAACUUUUAUGAUGGCUUUAUCGCAUUUCUUAACCAUGCAAUAAAAAACUAUUUCAUUCCUUCUAAUGUAAAAAAACUUUUUAUUUGUGCUCACACUGCUAAUGAACUACUUGAUCUGUUACAAGCUUAUAAACCGGAGCCAGACCCCUGGACCUUUGUGUUGGAGCGCCCAAAUAAUGAUGGUAACAGUAGCCGCAGUAAGAAGUACAAAUUAGAUUUUAACUCUCGCUGUAAUAUAUUCUUUUGUGUUGCACCACCCAGGUGAUGUCUUCUAAACUCUACUUCUUUCCUUUAAAACAUUGAGGACAAUGUUUCGUUUCUGGUUGAGGGGGGAAUAGUCGACAAUUGUGGAAUCUUGGUUAAGUUUUUACUGAUUUUUUGUUGUAGAAACUAACUGUUGCUAACUUUUUGUGUUGAAGAUGGCUGAAUAUGGAGUGUAGUGACUCUAGAAACGCCAUCUUCAUCGUUUAAAAAAAAAAAAAAAUUUAAAAACUAAAAAAACUAAAAAAAACAAAAAAUUCAAACAUUUUCUUUUUCUUUAUUAUGUUUUGAUGUUCAUUUUUCUUCUUCUUUUUAAUUUCUCCUAUAAAUAUAUAUUUCCAACUUUUGAGUCGAAGAUAGCUGAAUAUGGAGAUUUGCCUCUAGAAACGCAUCUUCAUCGUUUUAAAAAAAAAAUUAAAAAAAAAAAAAACAAAAUUUCAUUUUUCGUUUUCUAUCAUUUUACGUGUAACUUUUCUAAUUAGUUUUUAUGCAUCAUUUUCACAUUUCUGCAUGCAUAUUUUCCUUUCAUGUUUAGAAUAGGUUGGGGGUAGAAUGUUGUUUAAAAAAAAAAAAAAGAAAAAAUUGUGUGAUUUGUUUUAACUUUAGAUGACAUGAUUAAUUCAAAUUUUAGUAUUUGUAUUAUCUUUGGUCUUAAGUGAUGUUACAUUAUGUUUGCUACUCUACAUGUUGAUGUCGGAGACAAAUAUGAGUUGCUUGAAGGAAUGACAUGUCAUAAUAAAGUACCAAGUGAGUUUUUGAGCCUAUCAUUUUUCUUUGGAGAGUAACCCUUUUGCCCAUUCUUUAUAAUGCUUAACAGUUUAUUAUUGUAUACACGAUCUCUAGAUUUCUUUUGAGUUAAGCCUUAAAAAAAAAAAAAAAAAAAAAAUGUGUGUGUUGCUUACAUUGGGAGGCCCAUCUAACUAGUAGAUAUGGAUGAUUAUUUAGAGCCCUAAAAGACGAUGGAAAGGCCAUCUUUGAUCCGUUUGAGCCUUUCUAGCCAUCCCUCUUAUCAAGUAUCCAUAGUUUAACCCAUUUGAGCCUUUUAAAUAAAAAAAAAAAAAAACUUUCUUUGUUUAACUUAUCAUCUUGACCCACUCCGAUUUGGAGUAUUACCCAAUAUCUUACAAAUUCCAUCACCUAUUUAUGUUUGAGAAAAAUGUAAAUAAACAUUUUGCAUAGUGAAGUUAUGCCUAGUUUCAAAAAAAAAAAGAAAAAAUUGUUGUUGCUGAAAAAAAAAAAAAAAAGAAAAAAAAUUGUUGUUUCAAAAGAAUAAAAAUAACAAUAAUAGGUGAAAUCCACCUUGCAACUUCCAAAAAAAAAAAAAAAAAAUAUUCUCUGCAUUUUUUCUCAAACAUACACUUUGUUUUCCUUAUUUCCCUUCUUUGUUAGCCAUAUCCCUAAGCCUACGUUACGUCCUAAUAAAAGUCCUUCUUGAUUUUAGGGGAACUAUAGUUUGAAGUAGAAGCUAGUUAUAUGGGCUAAAAAGAUGUAGUGAUGCAUAAUUAAAAAAAAAAAAAGAUAAAUAAAGUGGGUUGACUAACAUUUUAUUUGACUUGAGAUCGUAUUAUUUCUAAGCUGAGGGCAUAUUUAUUUAAUCUUGGUGAGAGCAUGUGAUAUCAUUUCUUUAUUAUUUUCUCUCUCAAUUACCAUUCAUUGGAGUGACUAUGUUUAUUGGGUUUUAAUUUCUUUGUGAGAGUGUCACUACUUCCAGUGAGAUUUUGGGGUUUUGACAUGUCAUUCUUGAAAGUAGCUAUAACAAAGUCUACUGGGCUAAUUCAUGUGGAUGGUUGAUGUGGGUGUGAUGUUGCUUUAGACUGGAGAUAAUGCUUAUACUUUUAUUUGAUUGCUAUCAUUAAUCUGAUUGAAUAAACACGAGUGUUUCUAAAAAAAAAAAAAAAAAAAAUCAUUUUGAAUUUGAAUUUUGUUUUCGCUUUAUUUGCUAGGGACUAGCAAUAAGCUGGUUGGGGGGUGUUGUUGAGUGUUAGAAAAUACAUAUUUUAUAAAGGAGAAAACCGUCAUUUUACAUUUCAAGUCUUUACUAACAACCCUUACUUUUAUGUAUUUAACCUUCUUGUGAUUGUAAUUACGUGUGUGUUUUUUUAAUUAAGUAUUUUAUGUAUUUUAGGGGCAGUAUAGUCAUUUCACAAUAAAGGAGAGAUCAGACGGCAAAACGGACAUCACUUUUGAACUCAGGACGGUCGAAAACCUUAGGAGGAGCAUAAAAGGAAAAAAUGGCACUAUUCACAUGUACGGUACUAUUCACGUAUACGGUACUGUCUACGUUACUGUUCACGACACUGUUCACAUAGACGGAUCGAUGACGUGGCAUUGACCGAUGACGUGGCAUUGACCGAUGAUGUGGCAUUGACUGAUGAGGUGUCACGAUCCUGUUGGGCUAAAAUUCUUAUGUACUGUUAAUGGUGACGUGGCAGCAUAUCAGUGACGAAAAAUCUCGUGUACGGUGCAUGCAUCACACAGGAUUAUUUUCAACCAAACCGCGUUACUGUUCAUCCGGGUCAAACCGUGUUACUGUUCAUCCGCUCGGUGGUCAAACCGUGGACUGUUGACUGAUGACGUGGCGCAAUCCUGAGCGUCCAAACUGUUUUUAAUCCGAUGGCCAUGAUUUACUCCAUGUAUCUAUAAAAAGGGGGCCUCUCCCCCCGAAUUUGAUAUCUCUGAAUCCAUUUUUGGGAUCCAUUUUUCUGUAAUUCCUUCUCCAUCUUGUAUUUUCUUUGUAUUUUAAUAAAUUCCCUUUUUGCCCCUAGUUCAAUUAUGAGUAGCUAAUUUCUUUUCAAGCUUGGGUUGAAGGUGAAGUCUCAACAUGUGUCAUGGGCUUUAUUUGGUAAAUUUAUUUUCUUUUCCCCUCUAGUUUUUGUGGAUGAUUUGACUUAUCGUCGACAAAUAAUACUGAUCUUGUCUAGAUACCGCCUUGGUUACACCGGCUCUCUGGUAUAAGGUUAUUAUUAUUUGGCACGAUAAGCCCUUAGCACCAUAUUGAUUAGAGCGUGGUUCAUGAGGUGUGGAUUCCCCCCUCAUGAUUUAAUUGGUAUUAAUAAGGAAUAUUUAGCCCAUGAUGCAUGUUGAUACGGAUCCAGAUACCCAAGUACGUCAUUUCAAUAGAAUUCUCUUCAAUUUAUUCUCGCCAUUUUAAUUUAAGUUUUAGCAUAUUCCAAAUCAUUUCCACCACAAAUCCAAUCACCCAUUUACAAAAUUAAUUUUAUACACAAUUAAAAUCCACCUCCUCGUGGGAUCGACACUCGUCACCAUUAGUCUAUAUUACAAUAGAUUCGUGCGCUUGCGAGUACAUUAAAAUUUGCACAACAAGUUUUUGGCGCCGUUGCCGGGGAGGUAAGUAAUUUUAAUUCAUAAAAUUAAUUUUGUGAAUAAUUUCUUUUAUUUGUUUUCUUGUAUUUUUUUUUUCUUAUAAAAAAAAAAAGAAAAAAAAAAGAGUAAAUCUACAUUUAAAGGUUAGUAUUUCUUUUCUUUUUCUCUUCUUUAAAAUUCUGUAAUUUAAUUUUCAAUUUAUUUUUUUUUCUUUGUAAUUUUUGUUUAUUUUAUUAAUUUAAUUUUUAGUUAAUUUAUUUCACGUAUUUGUUUUUGUGUAUUUUUAUAGAAAGGUUGUAAUAGCGCAAUAAGGUUAGUAUCGUAAUUUCUCCCUCUUAUUUAUUUUUAUUUGUUUUGUUCCCAUCUUUAUUUUUUGUUUUGUUUGCAUCUUUAUUUUUAUUUUCAUUUUAUUUUGCAUGCAUGGUCGUAGGUCAUUAUUACCUAAUCUUGAACCUAUAGACCUUGAAUUAGAAAAAACACUUCGCACACAAAAACACAUUAAAAAUAAAAUUGGAAUGGAUUUACAAGCACCACAGGAGAGGCCAUUUAAGGACUAUUUUAGUCCCUUAGCUAAUUUAAGCACAUCAUGUAUUAGAUACCCAAAUGUAGCUGCUAGGAAGCUUUGAACUAAAACCUAGUGUGCUAAAUUGUCUCCCCACAUUCUAUGGCUUAGAAAAUGAGGACCCAUAUAAUCAUCUGAAUGAUUUUCAUACCAUUUGUCAAACUUUUAAAUAUGAAAAUUUUUCAGACGAUGAUGUUAAACUCAGACUAUUCCCAUUUUCUUUAAAGGAUAGAGCUCGUUCAUGGUUAAAUACGUUGCCUGCUAAUAGCAUUUCAUCAUGGGAACAAAUGGUAACUAAAUUUUUGAAUAAAUAUUUCCCAGUGCAUAAAACCAAUUCUAUUCGCAGGGAAAUUUCAGAGUUUACACAAAGAGAGGACGAGCAGUUUUUCGAAACUUGGGAGCGAUUCAAUGGGCUACUCUUGAAGUGUCCACAUCAUGGGUACGAAAAAUGGCACCAAUGCCAAUACUUUUUGGAGGGAUUACUACCGAAUGUGCAAGAAUGGCUAAUGGCAACAAGUGGAGGAGAGCUAAUGUCAAAAAGUGCAUCAGAAAUUUGGGAAUUCUUCCAACGACAAGCGGAUAAUUCCCAACAACGGAGUCGAUCACUAAGGAAUACUAGAAGAAUUAAGGGAGUAAAUGAGGUUCAAAUUGGCGAGUCAACUUCGGGAAUCAAAGAAGUCAAGGAGAUGGUUGAAGGUCUCGCUCGACAAAUAGCAUCGUUAUCGACUGCUAAAUCAACAGAACCACAUGACCAUGACUCAUACUCCGAUCAAGCCAAUGCCAUAGGUGUAAUGAGAAAACCAUCGAAUUACAACCCAUACUCCAACACAUAUAACCCUGGAUGGAGAGACCACCCCAAUAUUUCAUGGUCUCAAGGAUUCCAACAGAAUGGACCAGCAGCUCCAGCUCCACCAAUGCAACAAAUUCCUCAAAAUCCUCAAGCCUCUCAGCCACCAUUCAGACCAUACAAUCAGAACCAGAACUACUCUCAACCCAGACCAUGGGAGGAUGCAUUCCAGAAUUUCAAGAAUGUUACUCACUCCACGAUUGAGCAACAGAACCGCACCAUUGAUGGACUACGAAAUGAGUUGAGAGCAGGCUUCAACUCACAAGCUCAAUCAGUUUCAAGCCUCGAGAAGAUGGUGGACAACUUGCUUCUUCAGUUCAGACCUUGGCAAUGACUGUUGAGAAAGGAAAAUUUCCAAGUCAACCAGUGCCUAAUCCUAAAGGAGUACAUGAAGCAAGUACCAGUUCACCACAACAGCAUGGAGAGGUCAAAGCAGUCAUGACCUUGCGAAAAGGAAAGGAAGUCGACAACAAAGUGGAGAUGCCGGUGACAAAAGAAAAUCAAAUUGUACCUGUGAAUGUUGAAGACUCACCACCGGAGGAGAAAGAAGAAACCAACCCACGAGAAUACGUUCCGAAAGCUCCAUUUCCUCAGAGGUUAGCUAAAGGGAAAAAGGGAAAAUCCACAGGUGAGAUUCUCGAAAUCUUCAAACAGGUAAGUGUUAACAUCCCUUUACUUGAUGCUAUUAAACAAGUUCCAUCUUAUUGCCAAGUUUCUUAAAGACCUUUGUACUAAAAAGAGAAAUAUGCAUGUUCAAAAGAAGGCAUUUUUAACAGAAAAUGUUAGUUCUAUACUCCAACAUAAAAUUCCUCUAAAAUGCAAAGACCCAGGCUCCCCCACUAUCUCAUGUAGUAUAGGGAACCACACAAUUGAGAAUGCGUUGUUGGAUUUAGGAGCUAGUGUAAAUCUGUUGCCUUAUUCAGUAUUCGUGAAACUUGGACUGGGAGAAUUACACCCAACUCCAGUGGUGUUACAGCUUGCAGAUCGGUCCACGAAAAUACCUCGUGGUAUUAUGGAGGACGUGCUUAUCCAGGUAGACAAGUUUUAUUUUCCUGUUGAUUUCAUUGUAAUUGACACUCAACCAAUACAGGAUUCAAGGAAGCACAUCCCCAUUAUUCUAGGCCGACCUUUCUUGGCGACUGCGGAUGCUCACAUUCAAUGCAGGACUGGAAAUAUGCAGUUGUCCUUCGGCAACAUGACUAUGGAGCUAAAUAUUUUCAACAUUGCCAAACAACCUCACAGUGCAGAUGAUGGAAUUGUUGAUGUGGAUUUAAUAGAAACAAUAGUUGAUAAUACUUUUCUUUCAAACCUUAGUGAUGAUCCUUUACAGACAUGCUUAACUCACUUUGGUUUGGAUUUUGAUAUUGAUAGAUCGGUCGAUGAGGUCAACGCCCUGCUUGACUCAGCACCAUCCAUGGACACUAAUAAAUGGAAGUCAAGAGUUGAACAACUAGCACCAUCAGAGAAGAAACUCAUUCCAUCAUCAGAAUCACCACCGAAACUCGAGCUCAAACCAUUACCCAACACUCUGGAAUAUGCAUUUUUGGGAGAAGAAAGUACUCUGCCGGUAAUCAUCUCAUCAUCCCUAAAUGACGAACAAAAAGGUAAGUUGUUGGAUGUUUUAAAAGAGCACAAAGGAGCAUUAGGAUGGACCAUAGCAGACAUUAAAGGUAUAAACCCAGUAGACUGUAUGCAUUACAUUCACCUUGAUGAAAAUGCUAAAACUACUAGGGAGAUGCAACGUCGGUUAAAUCCUAACAUGAAAGAAGUUGUUAGAACUGAAGUCCUUAAGCUAUUAGAUGCAGGUAUCAUUUACCCAAUUUCUGAUAGUUCAUGGGUCAGUCCUGUACAAGUUGUCCCCAAAAAGUCAGGAGUCACAGUAGUUACCAAUGCUGAUAAUGAAUUGAUACCAACUAGAGUAACUACAGGAUGGCGUGUAUGCAUUGAUUAUAGAAAGUUGAAUUCUGUCACACGUAAAGACCAUUUUCCUUUACCAUUUAUUGAUCAAAUGCUUGAUAGAUUAGCAGGCCAUGAAUUUUAUUGCUUUCUAGAUGGCUACUCAGGAUAUAAUCAGAUUCCCAUAGCACCAAAAGAUCAAGAGAAAACUACUUUCACUUGCCCUUUUGGCACAUUUGCAUAUAGGAGAAUGCCAUUUGGAUUAUGUAAUGCACCUGCUACAUUUCAACGAUGCAUGUUGAGCAUUUUUUCUGAUAUGGUUGAACGAUUCCUUGAAGUCUUUAUGGAUGAUUUUUCUGUCUUUGGUGACUCGUUUGAUCAAUGUUUACAUCAUCUAACGCUAGUUCUGCAGAGAUGUACCGAGAAGAGCUUAGUCUUAAAUUGGGAGAAGUGCCAUUUUAUGGUAAAACAAGGUAUUGUUCUCGGUCACAUCAUUUCGAGCAAAGGUAUUGAGGUUGACAAAGCCAAGGUGGAUCUCAUUUCUAAUCUUCCUCCACCUAAAACAGUCAGAGAAGUAAGAUCUUUCCUUGGGCAUGCUGGUUUCUAUAGACGUUUCAUUAAAGAUUUUAGCAAAGUUUCUAGACCCUUAUGCAAUUUACUUGCUAAGGAUGUACCUUUUAUCUUUAAUGAUUCAUGUCUUAUGGCUUUUGAAAAAUUAAAGCAAUUGUUGACAUCAUCACCCAUCAUUCAGGCCCCAAACUGGAGCUUACCAUUUGAGCUCAUGUGUGAUGCAUCUGAUUAUGCAGUAGGAGCAGUAUUAGGACAAAGAGUUGAUCGAAUUCCCAACGUUAUUUACUAUGCUAGUAUGACCUUGAAUGAUGCACAGUUGAAUUAUUCAACUACUGAAAAAGAAAUGCUAGCAGUAGUGUUUGCAUUGGAAAAAUUUCGAUCUUAUCUCAUUGGUUGUAAAAUAAUUAUAUUCACAGAUCAUGCUGCUCUUAAAUAUCUUCUCACAAAGAAAGAUGCAAAAGCUAGACUAAUUCGUUGGGUGUUACUUUUGCAGGAAUUUGACUUGGAAUUCAAAGAUAAGAAAGGGACAGAAAAUGUUGUGGCGGACCACCUCUCUCGUCUCCAUUUUGACACAAUUACAGAGCCAUUAAUAUUAAAUGAGUCAUUUCCAGAUGAACAAUUAAUGAGUGUGGAAGUAUUACCUUGGUAUGCUGAUAUAGUUAAUUAUCUUGUUACAGGUAAGCUUCCAGAGCAUUGGACCAAGCAAGACAAGGCUAAAUUCUUUGCGGAAAUAAAGAAUUUCUUUUGGGAUGACCCAUAUUUGUUCAAGUAUUGUGCAGACCAAAUUGUUAGACGAUGUGUCCCUGAAAGUGAAAUUCAGAAUAUCCUUUCAUUCUGCCAUGAACAAGCUUGUGGAGGCCAUUUCAGUGCUAAGAAAACAGCGACUAAAGUUUUACAAUGUGGUUUCUAUUGGCCAACUAUAUUUCGAGAUGCUUACACUUUCUGUUCUUCAUGUGAUAGGUGUCAACGAAUGGGGAGCAUUACACGAAGGAACAUGAUGCCACUAAAUCCAAUUUUAGUGGUUGAGAUUUUUGACGUAUGGGGUAUCGACUUCAUGGGACCCUUUCCCCUUCUUUUGGCCAUCAAUACAUAUUGGUUGGUGUUGACUACGUAUCGAAAUGGGUGGAAGCAAUUCCAUGCAGAACCAAUGAUCACAAAGUGGUGAUAGGAUUUUUGAAAAGCAAUAUUGUUUCGCGCUUUGGAUUCCCUCGAGCGAUAAUCAGUGAUGGUGGUGCCCACUUUUGUAACAAAGCAUUCAAGGCUCUUUUGACAAAGUAUUCAAUCACACACAAAGUGGCGACCCCGUAUCAUCCGCAAACCAGUGGCCAAGUUGAGAUCUCCAAUCGAGAAAUAAAGCACAUAUUAGAAAAGACGGUGAGGCCAGACAGGAAAGAUUUGGUCAUUACGACUUGAUGAUGCAUUAUGGGCAUAUAGAACGGCUUUCAAGACCCCGAUUGGGAUGUCACCCUACAGGCUAGUGUAUGGAAAAGCUUGCCACCUACCUGUGGAACUCGAGCAUCGUGCAUAUUGGGCCAUCAAGAAAUUCAACUUUGACAUGCAGCAAGCCAGCUCAGAAAGAAGAUUACAGCUGGCAGAACUUGAAGAAAUUCGCAAUGAUGCAUACGAAAAUGCCAAGAUUUACAAGCAACGAAUGAAAGUCUUCCAUGAUAAGCAAAUUAUGAGAAAAUCGUUCACUCCAGGUCAGAAAGUGCUUUUAUUCAAUUCUCGCUUGCACCUAUUCCCAGGUAAGUUACGCUCUCGUUGGUCUGGCCCAUUUAUUGUACAUACUGUUUUUCCACAUGGGGCAAUUGAAAUUAAGGACCCAAAGAACGGUGUCACGUAUAAAGUUAAUGGUCAAGAUUAAAGCCAUAUCUAGAGUACCAACCACAUGGAGAAAACAUCGAAAUAAAUUUGAGUGACCCACUAAAUUUGAAUUGAUUUUUUUUUUUUCUCUUUUCGUUAAUUUGAUUUUUCUUUAUUUCUUUUAUUAUUAUUCUUUUGCUAAUUGAAAUUGUUUUUGCAUAAGUGUGUUUAUUUUACCAUUAAGUUUUCUCUUAUCAUUUUUAAUCAUGAGUCUCAUACUUAGACCGUUCCUCCUGAACAUUCUUAAACCACUUCAACGUGUCAAAACUCAUCUCAAAAGGCAGAUUCUAUUUUGUAAAACACAACGCAUUUGGGCUCUACAACCACCAGAGUUAGUAGCCUAUGUUGAGGGUUUAGAACGCCAACUCAGAGACAUUGAGAGAAGUGUUUACGACAUCCAGUUGGAGCUUGAGGUAAAUUCAAUAAGAGGACGAUUUUAAUUUUCUUUGUGUGUUUUUUGUUUUUCUGUUUGUGUGCUUUAGUUUGUUACCCCGGUGAAGUGGCAGAUAACGGUUACUCCGUGACAAUCAAGUCGGUUAACUUCAGUUUCCCAUAAUAACUGAUAUUCUGAGGCGAAGGUAUGGACAGAAACGAGAUUCUAGCGAAGCUUCACAAGCGAUUCCCUUCACUUCCUCAGAAUGCCCUCCUUACAAUCUAUAAAGCCCGGUCUGAACGCAUGCGAUUGCUCAUGAGGAAUAACAUACCUGCAGACAUCCGUUGGUUAAUCGAGGCUAAAGUACGAUUGGCAGGUGAGUUACCUCCUAAAUUUAUUGCAUACAUGCCUGGUUGUGGUAAAGGAAAUUACGCAAGAAAACGACGAGCUCGAAGAAUUUCUGUUGCUUGUCACAAGUGUGCCAGAAUGAGUUGCGAUAGAAACCCAUGUUCUUUAGGAAUGGUGUCUGAUAACAGGGAAGAUAAGAUUCAAUUCAUUAGGGAUGGCUUGAAUAAGGAGUCAUUGGAUGAUAUCCUUUUGUCUCUUGAAACGCAUCCAGUGGAUAUGUGCAAGGAGCGAUUCUCCAGUUAAGGCCAUUAUUCCAAAAAGAGCAUGCACGAUAUCGUCUCGGGAAUCUGACUAUAAACGACCCUGUUUGCCAGUUUAUAAGAAAACUGGAUGGGAAGCCCAUCCUCGACCCAUAGAGGGCGUUCAAGCCGUUUCUGGACGUAAAACCAGAGGAAGAUGUGAGCCACAGUCGCAACUACGUGUAAAUAUCCUUUUACUUUACUGUUAUUUUAUUUCAUUUCACUGUUGUUUUAUUGUUUGCAUUAUUGUCUUUAAUAAUUUUAUUACUGUUUGCUUUUUCCUUUUUACUGUUUCCUUUUUGACUCGCGAGCCACGUGCUUUACGCGUUAUUUGACACUGACAUGUUACCUCAUUCACAGCUGUGAUCCAUUGUCACCAAGAUUCUUAAAUGUGAUUUAUCUUUUGUCAAGCACUCACAAAUUAUUUUUGAGAAGUAUCACAAUGGCAGCUACUCCCAAUAGACAAUUCAAGAACAUUUGUGUGCUUUCUGGAUUUACCUAUGGCAAACAUAAAGAGUUCGUGGAGGCAGCCAUAGAUCUUGGUCGAAGCAUAGCAGCGAGAAAAUUACAUUUGGUGUAUGGAGGAGGUAACGAGGGUUAUCAAAAAUGGUCUCAGAAGCAGCUUUUAUCAGAGGAAGUCAAGUGUUAGGCAUCAUCCCAAGAGUCCUAAAACCAUUGGGCAGUUCGUCUGACUCAUCAACUGGAGAAGAGUUAGUCGUCUCAGGUAUGCAAGAAAGAAUAACUGAAAUGCUUAAUCAUGCUGAUGCUUUUAUUUUCCUUCCAGGAGAUCUUGCAACACUAGAGGCACUUAUGACACUAGCAUCUUGGGCCCAUCUGCACAUCCACCAGAAACCCAUCGGUUGUUAAAUGUCAAUAACUUUUAUGAUGGCUUUAUCGCAUUUCUUAACCAUGCAAUAAAAAACUAUUUCAUUCCUUCUAAUGUAAAAAAACUUUUUAUUUGUGCUCACACUGCUAAUGAACUACUUGAUCUGUUACAAGCUUAUAAACCGGAGCCAGACCCCUGGACCUUUGUGUUGGAGCGCCCAAAUAAUGAUGGUAACAGUAGCCGCAGUAAGAAGUACAAAUUAGAUUUAACUCUCCGCCUGUAAAUAUAUUCUUUUGUGUUGCACCACCCAGGUGAUGUCUUCUAAACUCUACUUCUUUCCUUUAAAACAUUGAGGACAAUGUUUCGUUCUGGUUGAGGGGAGGGAAUAGUCGACAAUUGUGGAAUCUUGGUUAAGUUUUUACUGAUUUUUUGUUGUAGAAACUAACUGUUGCUAACUUUUUGUGUUGAAGAUGGCUGAAUAUGGAGUGUAGUGACUCUAGAAACGCAUCUUCAUCGUUUAAAAAAAAAAAAAAAUUUAAAAAACUAAAAAACUAAAAAAAACAAAAAAAUUCAACAUUUUCUUUUUCUUUAUUAUGUUUUGAUGUUCAUUUUUCUUCUUCUUUUAAUUUCUCCUUAUAAAUAUAUAUUUUCCAACUUUUGAGUCGAAGAUAGCUGAAUAUGGAGUGUAGUGCCUCUAGAAACGCAUCUUCAUCGUUUAAAAAAAAAUUAAAAAAAAAAAAAAACAAAAUUUCAUUUUCGUUUUCUAUCAUUUUACGUGUAACUUUUCUAAUUAGUUUUUAUGCAUCAUUUUCACAUUUCUGCAUGCAUAUUUUCCUUUCAUGUUUAGAAUAGGUUGGGGGGUUAGAAUGUUGUUUAAAAAAAAAAAAAGAAAAAAUUGUGUGAUUUGUUUUAACUUUAGAUGACAUGAUUAAUUUCAAAUUUUAGUAUUUGUAUUAUCUUUGGUCUUAAGUGAUGUUACAUUAUGUUUUGCUACUCUACAUGUUGAUGUCGGAGACAAAUAUGAGUUGCUUGAAGGAAUGAACAUGUCAUAAUAAGUACCAAGUGAGUUUUUGAGCCUAUCAUUUUUCUUGGAGAGUAACCCUUUUGCCCAUUCUUUAUAAUGCUUAACAGUUUAUUAUUGUAUACACGAUCUCUAGAUUUCUUUUGAGUUAAGCCUUAAAAAAAAAAAAAAAAAAAUGUGUGUGUUGCUACAUUGGGAGGCCCAUCUAACUAGUAGAUAUGGAUGAUUAUUUAGAGCCCUAAAAGACGAUGGAAAGGCCAUCUUUGAUCCGUUUGAGCCUUUCUAGCCAUCCCUCUUAUCAAGUAUCCAUAGUUAACCCAUUUGAGCCUUUUAAAUAAAAAAAAAAAAAAACUUUUCUUUGUUUAACUUAUCAUCUUGACCCACUCCGAUUUGGAGUAUUACCCAAUAUCUUACAAAUUCCAUCACCUAUUUAUGUUUGAGAAAAAUGUAAAUAAACAUUUUGCAUAGUGAAGUUAUGCCUAGUUCAAAAAAAAAAAGAAAAAAUUGUUGUUGCUGAAAAAAAAAAAAAAAAAGAAAAAAUUGUUGUUUCAAAAGAAUAAAAAUAACAAUAAUAGGUGAAAUCCACCUUGCAACUUCCAAAAAAAAAAAAAAAAAUAUUCUCUGCAUUUUUCUCAAACAUACACUUUGUUUUCCUUAUUUCCCUUCUUUGUUAGCCAUAUCCCUAGCCUACGUUACGUCCUAAUAAAAGUCCUUCUUGAUUUUAGGAACUAUAGUUUGAAGUAGAAGCUAGUUAUAUGGGCUAAAAAGAUGUAGUGAUGCAUAAUUAAAAAAAAAAAAGAUAAAUAAAGUGGGUUGACUAACAUUUUAUUUGACUUGAGAUCGUAUUAUUUCUAAGCUGAGGGCAUAUUUAUUUAAUCUUGGUGAGAGCAUGUGAUAUCAUUUCUUUAUUAUUUUCUCUCUCAAUUACCAUUCAUUGGAGUGACUAUGUUUAUUGGGUUUUAAUUUCUUUGUGAGAGUGUCACUACUUCCAGUGAGAUUUUGGGGUUUGACAUGUCAUUCUUGAAAGUAGCUAUAACAAAGUCUACUGGGCUAAUUCAUGUGGAUGGUUGAUGUGGGUGUGAUGUUGCUUUAGACUGGAGAUAAUGCUUAUACUUUUAUUUGAUUGCUAUCAUUAAUCUGAUUGAAUAAACACGAGUGUUUCUAAAAAAAAAAAAAAAAAAAUCAUUUUGAAUUUGAAUUUUGUUUUCGCUUUAUUUGCUAGGGACUAGCAAUAAGCUGGUUGGGGGGUGUGUUGAGUGUUAGAAAAUACAUAUUUAUAAAGGAGAAAACCGUCAUUUUACAUUUCAAGUCUUACUAACAACCCUUACUUUUAUGUAUUUAACCUUCUUGUGAUGUAAUUACGUGUGUGUUAUUUUAAUUAAGUAUUUUAUGUAUUUUAGGGGCAGUAUAGUCAUUUCACAAUAAAGGAGAGAUCAGACGGCAAAACGGACAUCACUUUUUGAACUCAGGACGGUCGAAAACCUUAGGAGGAGCAUAAAAGGAAAAAUGGCACUAUUCACAUGUACGGUACUAUUCACGUAUACGGUACUGUCUACGUUACUGUUCAUGACACUGUUCACAUAGACGGAUCGAUGACGUGGCAUUGACCGAUGACGUGGCAUUGACCGAUGAUGUGGCAUUGACUGAUGAGGUGUCACGAUCCUGUUGGGCUAAAAUUCUUAUGUACUGUUAAUGGUGACGUGGCAGCAUAUCAGUGGACGAAAAAUCUCGUGUACGGUGCAUGCAUCACACAGGAUUAUUUUCAACCAAACCGCGUUACUGUUCAUCCGGGUCAACCGUGUUACUGUUCAUCCGCGUGGUCAAACCGUGGACUGUUGACUGAUGACGUGGCGCAAUCCUGAGCGUCCAAACUGUUUUUAAUCGAUGGCCAUGAUUUACUCCAUGUAUCUAUAAAAAGGGGCCUCUCCCCCGAAUUUGAUAUCUCUGAAUCCAUUUUUGGGAUCCAUUUUCUGUAAUUCCUUCUCCAUCUUGUAUUUUCUUUGUAUUUUAAUAAAUUCCCUUUUUGCCCCUAGUUCAAUUAUGAGUAGCUAAUUUCUUUUCAAGCUUGGGUUGAAGGUGAAGUCUCAACAUGUGUCAUGGGCUUUAUUUGGUAAAUUUAUUUUCUUUUCCCCUCUAGUUUUUGUGGAUGAUUUGACUUAUCGUCGACAAAUAAUACUGAUCUUGUCUAGAUACCGCCUUGGUUACACCGGCUCUCUGGUAUAAGGUUAUUAUUAUUUGGCACGAUAAGCCCUUAGCACCAUAUGAUUAGAGCGUGGUUCAUGAGGUGUGGAUUCCCCCUCAUGAUUUAAUUGGUAUUAAUAAGGAAUAUUUAGCCCAUGAUGCAUGUUUGAUACGGAUCCAGAUACCCAAGUACGUCAUUUCAAUAGAAUUCUCUUCAAUUUAUUCUCGCCAUUUUAAUUUAAGUUUUAGCAUAUUCCAAAUCAUUUCCACCACAAAUCCAAUCACCCAUUUACAAAAUUAAUUUUAUACACAAUUAAAAUCCACCUCCUCGUGGGAUCGACACUCGUCACCAUUAGUCUAUAUUACAAUAGAUUCGUGCGCUUGCGAGUACAUUAAAAUUUGCACAACAAGUUUUUGGCGCCGUUGCCGGGGAGGUAAGUAAUUUUAAUUCAUAAAAUUAAUUUUUGUGAAUAAUUUCUUUUAUUUGUUUUCUUGUAUUUUUUUUUCUUAUUAAAAAAAAAAGAAAAAAAAAGAGUAAAUCUACAUUUAAAGGUUAGUAUUUCUUUUCUUUUUCUCUUCUUUAAAAUUCUGUAAUUUAAUUUUCAAUUUAUUUUUUUUUCUUUGUAAUUUUUGUUUAUUUUAUUAAUUUAAUUUUUAGUUAAUUUAUUUCACGUAUUUGUUUUUGUGUAUUUUUAUAGAAAGGUUGUAAUAGCGCAAUAAGGUUAGUAUCGUAAUUUCUCCCUCUUAUUUAUUUUUAUUUGUUUUGUUCCAUCUUUAUUUUUUGUUUUGUUUGCAUCUUUAUUUUUAUUUUCAUUUUAUUUUGCAUGCAUGGUCGUAGGUCAUUAUUACCUAAUCUUGAACCUAUAGACCUUGAAUUAGAAAAAACACUUCGCACACAAAAAACAAUUAAAAAUAAAAUUGGAAUGGAUUUACAAGCACCACAGGAGAGGCCAUUUAAGGACUAUUUUAGUCCCUUAGCUAAUUUAAGCACAUCAUGUAUUAGAUACCAAAUGUAGCUGCUAGGACUUUGAACUAAAACCUAGUGUGCUAAAUUGUCUCCCCACAUUCUAUGGCUUAGAAAAUGAGGACCCAUAUAAUCAUCUGAAUGAUUUUCAUACCAUUUGUCAAACUUUUAAAUAUGAAAAUUUUUCAGACGAUGAUGUUAAACUCAGACUAUUCCCAUUUUCUUUAAAGGAUAGAGCUCGUUUCAUGGUUAAAUACGUUGCCUGCUAAUAGCAUUUCAUCAUGGGAACAAAUGGUAACUAAAUUUUUGAAUAAAUAUUUCCCAGUGCAUAAACCAAUUCUAUUCGCAGGGAAAUUUCAGAGUUUACACAAAGAGAGGACGAGCAGUUUUUCGAAACUUGGGAGCGAUUUCAAUGGGCUACUCUUGAAGUGUCCACAUCAUGGGUACGAAAAAUGGCACCAAUGCCAAUACUUUUUGGAGGGAUUACUACCGAAUGUGCAAGAAUGGCUAAUGGCAACAAGUGGAGGAGAGCUAAUGUCAAAAAGUGCAUCAGGAAAUUUGGGAAUUCUUCCAACGACAAGCGGAUAAUUCCCAACAACGGAGUCGAUCACUAAGGAAUACUAGAAGAAUUAAGGGAGUAAAUGAGGUUCAAAUUGGCGAGUCAACUUCGGGAAUCAAAGAAGUCAAGGAGAUGGUUGAAGGUCUCGCUCGACAAAUAGCAUCGUUAUCGACUGCUAAAUCAACAGAACCACAUGACCAUGACUCAUACUCCGAUCAAGCCAAUGCCAUAGGUGUAAUGAGAAAACCAUCGAAUUACAACCCAUACUCCAACACAUAUAACCCUGGAUGGAGAGACCACCCCAAUUUUUCAUGGUCUCAAGGAUUCCAACAGAAUGGACCAGCAGCUCCAGCUCCACCAAUGCAACAAAUUCCUCAAAAUCCUCAAGCCUCUCAGCCACCAUUCAGACCAUACAAUCAGAACCAGAACUACUCUCAACCCAGACCAUGGAGGAUGCAUUCCAGAAUUUCAAGAAUGUUACUCACUCCACGAUUGAGCAACAGAAACCGCACCAUUGAUGGACUACGAAAUGAGUUGAGAGCAGGCUUCAACUCACAAGCUCAAUCAGUUUCAAGCCUCGAGAAGAUGGUGGGACAACUUGCUUUCUUCAGUUCAGACCUUGGCAAUGACUGUUGAGAAAGGAAAAUUUCCAAGUCAACCAGUGCCUAAUCCUAAAGGAGUACAUGAAGCAAGUACCAGUUCACCACAACAGCAUGGAGAGGUCAAAGCAGUCAUGACCUUGCGAAAAGGAAAGGAAGUCGACAACAAAGUGGAGAUGCCCGGUGACAAAAGAAAAUCAAAUUGUACCUGUGAAUGUUGAAGACUCACCACCGGAGGAGAAAGAAGAACCAACCCACGAGAAUACGUUCCGAAAGCUCCAUUUCCUCAGAGGUUAGCUAAAGGGAAAAAAGGGAAAAUCCACAGGUGAGAUUCUCGAAAUCUUCAAACAGGUAAGUGUUAACAUCCCUUUACUUGAUGCUAUUAAACAAGUUCCAUCUUAUGCCAAGUUUCUUAAAGACCUUUGUACUAAAAAGAGAAUAUGCAUGUUCAAAAGAAGGCAUUUUUAACAGAAAAUGUUAGUUCUAUACUCCAACAUAAAAUUCCUCUAAAAUGCAAAGACCCAGGCUCCCCAUAUCUCAUGUAGUAUAGGGAACCACACAAUUGAGAAUGCGUUGUUGGAUUUAGGAGCUAGUGUAAAUCUGUUGCCUUAUUCAGUAUUCGUGAAACUUGGACUGGGAGAUUACACCCAACUCCAGUGGUGUUACAGCUUGCAGAUCGGUCCACGAAAAUACCUCGUGGUAUUAUGGAGGACGUGCUUAUCCAGGUAGACAAGUUUUAUUUUCCUGUUGAUUUCAUUGUAAUUGACACUCAACAAUACAGGAUUCAAGGAAGCACAUCCCAUUAUUCUAGGCCGACCUUUCUUGGCGACUGCGGAUGCUCACAUUCAAUGCAGGACUGGAAAUAUGCAGUUGUCCUUCGGCAACAUGACUAUGGAGCUAAAUAUUUUCAACAUUGCCAAACAACCUCACAGUGCAGAUGAUGGAAUUGUUGAUGUGGAUUUAAUAGAAACAAUAGUUGAUAAUACUUUUCUUUCAAACCUUAGUGAUGAUCCUUUACAGACAUGCUUAACUCACUUUGGUUUGGAUUUUGAUAUUGACAGAUCGGUCGAUGAGGUCAACGCCCCUUGACUCAGCACCAUCCAUGGACACUAAUAAAUGGAAGUCAAGAGUUGAACAACUAGCACCAUCAGAGAAGAAACUCAUCCCAUCAUCAGAAUCACCACCGAAACUCGAGCUCAAACCAUUACCCAACACUCUGGAAUAUGCAUUUUUGGGAGAAGAAAGUACUCUGCCGGUAAUCAUCUCAUCAUCCCUAAAUGACGAACAAAAAGGUAAGUUGUUGGAUGUUUUAAAAGAGCACAAAGGAGCAUUAGGAUGGACCAUAGCAGACAUAAAAGGUAUAAACCCAGUAGACUGCAUGCAUUACAUUCACCUUGAUGAAAAUGCUAAAUACUAGGGAAAUGCAACGUCGGUUAAAUCCUAAUAUGAAAGAAGUUGUUAGAACUGAAGUCCUUAAGCUAUUAGAUGCAGGUAUCAUUUACCCAAUUUCUGAUAGUUCAUGGGUCAGUCCUGUACAAGUUGUCCCAAAAAGUCAGGAGUCACAGUAGUUACCAAUGCUGAUAAUGAAUUGAUACCAACUAGAGUAACUACAGGAUGGCGUGUAUGCAUUGAUUAUAGAAAGUUGAAUUCUGUCACACGUAAAGACCAUUUUCCUUUACCAUUUAUUGAUCAAAUGCUUGAUAGAUUAGCAGGCCAUGAAUUUUAUUGCUUUCUAGAUGGCUACUCAGGAUAUAAUCAGAUUCCCAUAGCACCAAAAGAUCAAGAGAAAACUACUUUCACUUGCCCUUUUGGCACAUUUGCAUAUAGGAGAAUGCCAUUUGGAUUAUGUAAUGCACCUGCUACAUUUCAACGAUGCAUGUUGAGCAUUUUUUCUGAUAUGGUUGAACGAUUCCUUGAAGUCUUUAUGGAUGAUUUUUCUGUCUUUGGUGACUCGUUUGAUCAAUGUUUACAUCAUCUAACGCUAGUUCUGCAGAGAUGUACCGAGAAGCUUAGUCUUAAAUUGGGAGAAGUGCCAUUUUAUGGUAAAACAAGGUAUUGUUCUCGGUCACAUCAUUUCGAGCAAAGGUAUUGAGGUUGACAAAGCCAAGGUGGAUCUCAUUUCUAAUCUUCCUCCACCUAAAACAGUCAGAGAAGUAAGAUCUUUCCUUGGGCAUGCUGGUUUCUAUAGACGUUUCAUUAAAGAUUUUAGCAAAGUUUCUAGACCCUUAUGCAAUUUACUUGCUAAGGAUGUACCUUUUAUCUUUAAUGAUUCAUGUCUUAUGGCUUUUGAAAAAUUAAAGCAAUUGUUGACAUCAUCACCCAUCAUUCAGGCCCCAAACUGGAGCUUANNNNNNNNNNNNNNNNNNNNNNNNNNNNNNNNNNNNNNNNNNNNNNNNNNNNNNNNNNNNNNNNNNNNNNNNNNNNNNNNNNNNNNNNNNNNNNNNNNNNNNNNNNNNNNNNNNNNNNNNNNNNNNNNNNNNNNNNNNNNNNNNNNNNNNNNNNNNNNNNNNNNNNNNNNNNNNNNNNNNNNNNNNNNNNNNNNNNNNNNNNNNNNNNNNNNNNNNNNNNNNNNNNNNNNNNNNNNNNNNNNNNNNNNNNNNNNNNNNNNNNNNNNNNNNNNNNNNNNNNNNNNNNNNNNNNNNNNNNNNNNNNNNNNNNNNNNNNNNNNNNNNNNNNNNNNNNNNNNNNNNNNNNNNNNNNNNNNNNNNNNNNNNNNNNNNNNNNNNNNNNNNNNNNNNNNNNNNNNNNNNNNNNNNNNNNNNNNNNNNNNNNNNNNNNNNNNNNNNNNNNNNNNNNNNNNNNNNNNNNNNNNNNNNNNNNNNNNNNNNNNNNNNNNNNNNNNNNNNNNNNNNNNNNNNNNNNNNNNNNNNNNNNNNNNNNNNNNNNNNNNNNNNNNNNNNNNNNNNNNNNNNNNNNNNNNNNNNNNNNNNNNNNNNNNNNNNNNNNNNNNNNNNNNNNNNNNNNNNNNNNNNNNNNNNNNNNNNNNNNNNNNNNNNNNNNNNNNNNNNNNNNNNNNNNNNNNNNNNNNNNNNNNNNNNNNNNNNNNNNNNNNNNNNNNNNNNNNNNNNNNNNNNNNNNNNNNNNNNUAGAAAAUGAGGACCCAUAUAAUCAUCUGAAUGAUUUUCAUACCAUUUGUCAAACUUUUAAAUAUGAAAAUUUUUCAGACGAUGAUGUUAAACUCAGACUAUUCCCAUUUUCUUUAAAGGAUAGAGCUCGUUCAUGGUUAAAUACGUUGCCUGCUAAUAGCAUUUCAUCAUGGGAACAAAUGGUAACUAAAUUUUUGAAUAAAUAUUUCCCAGUGCAUAAAACCAAUUCUAUUCGCAGGGAAAUUUCAGAGUUUACACAAAGAGAGGACGAGCAGUUUUUCGAAACUUGGGAGCGAUUCAAUGGGCUACUCUUGAAGUGUCCACAUCAUGGGUACGAAAAAUGGCACCAAUGCCAAUACUUUUUGGAGGAUUACUACCGAAUGUGCAAGAAUGGCUAAUGGCAACAAGUGGAGGAGAGCUAAUGUCAAAAAGUGCAUCAGAAAUUUGGGAAUUCUUCCAACGACAAGCGGAUAAUUCCCAACAACGGAGUCGAUCACUAAGGAAUACUAGAAGAAUUAAGGGAGUAAAUGAGGUUCAAAUUGGCGAGUCAACUUCGGGAAUCAAAGAAGUCAAGGAGAUGGUUGAAGGUCUCGCUCGACAAAUAGCAUCGUUAUCGACUGCUAAAUCAACAGAACCACAUGACCAUGACUCAUACUCCGAUCAAGCCAAUGCCAUAGGUGUAUGUAAUGAGAAAACCAUCGAAUUACAACCCAUACUCCAACACAUAUAACCCUGGAUGGAGAGACCACCCCAAUUUUUCAUGGUCUCAAGGAUUCCAACAGAAUGGACCAGCAGCUCCAGCUCCACCAAUGCAACAAAUUCCUCAAAAUCCUCAAGCCUCUCAGCCACCAUUCAGACCAUACAAUCAGAACCAGAACUACUCUCAACCCAGACCAUGGGAGGAUGCAUUCCAGAAUUUCAAGAAUGUUACUCACUCCACGAUUGAGCAACAGAACCGCACCAUUGAUGGACUACGAAAUGAGUUGAGAGCAGGCUUCAACUCACAAGCUCAAUCAGUUUCAAGCCUCGAGAAGAUGGUGGGACAACUUGCUUCUUCAGUUCAGACCUUGGCAAUGACUGUUGAGAAAGGAAAAUUUCCAAGUCAACCAGUGCCUAAUCCUAAAGGAGUACAUGAAGCAAGUACCAGUUCACCACAACAGCAUGGAGAGGUCAAAGCAGUCAUGACCUUGCGAAAAGGAAAGGAAGUCGACAAAAGUGGAGAUGCCGGUGACAAAAGAAAAUCAAAUUGUACCUGUGAAUGUUGAAGACUCACCACCGGAGGAGAAAGAAGAAACCAACCCACGAGAAUACGUUCCGAAAGCUCCAUUUCCUCAGAGGUUAGCUAAAGGGAAAAAGGGAAAAUCCACAGGUGAGAUUCUCGAAAUCUUCAAACAGGUAAGUGUUAACAUCCCUUUACUUGAUGCUAUUAAACAAGUUCCAUCUUAUGCCAAGUUUCUUAAAGACCUUUGUACUAAAAAGAGAAAUAUGCAUGUUCAAAAGAAGGCAUUUUUAACAGAAAAUGUUAGUUCUAUACUCCAACAUAAAAUUCCUCUAAAAUGCAAAGACCCAGGCUCCCCCACUAUCUCAUGUAGUAUAGGGAACCACACAAUUGAGAAUGCGUUGUUGGAUUUAGGAGCUAGUGUAAAUCUGUUGCCUUAUUCAGUAUUCGUGAAACUUGGACUGGGAGAAUUACACCCAACUCCAGUGGUGUUACAGCUUGCAGAUCGGUCCACGAAAAUACCUCGUGGUAUUAUGGAGGACGUGCUUAUCCAGGUAGACAAGUUUUAUUUUCCUGUUGAUUUCAUUGUAAUUGACACUCAACCAAUACAGGAUUCAAGGAAGCACAUCCCCAUUAUUCUAGGCCGACCUUUCUUGGCGACUGCGGAUGCUCACAUUCAAUGCAGGACUGGAAAUAUGCAGUUGUCCUUCGGCAACAUGACUAUGGAGCUAAAUAUUUUCAACAUUGCCAAACAACCUCACAGUGCAGAUGAUGGAAUUGUUGAUGUGGAUUUAAUAGAAACAAUAGUUGAUAAUACUUUUCUUUCAAACCUUAGUGAUGAUCCUUUACAGACAUGCUUAACUCACUUUGGUUUGGAUUUUGAUAUUGAUAGAUCGGUCGAUGAGGUCAACGCCCUGCUUGACUCAGCACCAUCCAUGGACACUAAUAAAUGGAAGUCAAGAGUUGAACAACUAGCACCAUCAGAGAAGAAACUCAUUCCAUCAUCAGAAUCACCACCAAAACUCGAGCUCAAACCAUUACCCAACACUCUGGAAUAUGCAUUUUUGGGAGAAGAAAGUACUCUGCCGGUAAUCAUCUCAUCAUCCCUAAAUGACGAACAAAAAGGUAAGUUGUUGGAUGUUUUAAAAGAGCACAAAGGAGCAUUAGGAUGGACCAUAGCAGACAUUAAAGGUAUAAACCCAGUAGACUGUAUGCAUUACAUUCACCUUGAUGAAAAUGCUAAAACUACUAGGGAGAUGCAACGUCGGUUAAAUCCUAACAUGAAAGAAGUUGUUAGAACUGAAGUCCUUAAGCUAUUAGAUGCAGGUAUCAUUUACCCAAUUUCUGAUAGUUCAUGGGUCAGUCCUGUACAAGUUGUCCCCAAAAAGUCAGGAGUCACAGUAGUUACCAAUGCUGAUAAUGAAUUGAUACCAACUAGAGUAACUACAGGAUGGCGUGUAUGCAUUGAUUAUAGAAAGUUGAAUUCUGUCACACGUAAAGACCAUUUUCCUUUACCAUUUAUUGAUCAAAUGCUUGAUAGAUUAGCAGGCCAUGAAUUUUAUUGCUUUCUAGAUGGCUACUCAGGAUAUAAUCAGAUUCCCAUAGCACCAAAAGAUCAAGAGAAAACUACUUUCACUUGCCCUUUUGGCACAUUUGCAUAUAGGAGAAUGCCAUUUGGAUUAUGUAAUGCACCUGCUACAUUUCAACGAUGCAUGUUGAGCAUUUUUUCUGAUAUGGUUGAACGAUUCCUUGAAGUCUUUAUGGAUGAUUUUUCUGUCUUUGGUGACUCGUUUGAUCAAUGUUUACAUCAUCUAACGCUAGUUCUGCAGAGAUGUACCGAGAAGAGCUUAGUCUUAAAUUGGGAGAAGUGCCAUUUUAUGGUAAAACAAGGUAUUGUUCUCGGUCACAUCAUUUCGAGCAAAGGUAUUGAGGUUGACAAAGCCAAGGUGGAUCUCAUUUCUAAUCUUCCUCCACCUAAAACAGUCAGAGAAGUAAGAUCUUUCCUUGGGCAUGCUGGUUUCUAUAGACGUUUCAUUAAAGAUUUUAGCAAAGUUUCUAGACCCUUAUGCAAUUUACUUGCUAAGGAUGUACCUUUUAUCUUUAAUGAUUCAUGUCUUAUGGCUUUUGAAAAAUUAAAGCAAUUGUUGACAUCAUCACCCAUCAUUCAGGCCCCAAACUGGAGCUUACCAUUUGAGCUCAUGUGUGAUGCAUCUGAUUAUGCAGUAGGAGCAGUAUUAGGACAAAGAGUUGAUCGAAUUCCCAACGUUAUUUACUAUGCUAGUAUGACCUUGAAUGAUGCACAGUUGAAUUAUUCAACUACUGAAAAAGAAAUGCUAGCAGUAGUGUUUGCAUUGGAAAAAUUUCGAUCUUAUCUCAUUGGUUGUAAAAUAAUUAUAUUCACAUCAUGCUGCUCUUAAAUAUCUUCUCACAAAGAAAGAUGCAAAAGCUAGACUAAUUCGUUGGGUGUUACUUUUGCAGGAAUUUGACUUGGAAUUCAAAGAUAAGAAAGGGACAGAAAAUGUUGUGGCGGACCACCUCUCUCGUCUCCAUUUUGACACAAUUACAGAGCCAUUAAUAUUAAAUGAGUCAUUUCCAGAUGAACAAUUAAUGAGUGUGGAAGUAUUACCUUGGUAUGCUGAUAUAGUUAAUUAUCUUGUUACAGGUAAGCUUCCAGAGCAUUGGACCAAGCAAGACAAGGCUAAAUUCUUUGCGGAAAUAAAGAAUUUCUUUUGGGAUGACCCAUAUUUGUUCAAGUAUUGUGCAGACCAAAUUGUUAGACGAUGUGUCCCUGAAAGUGAAAUUCAGAAUAUCCUUUCAUUCUGCCAUGAACAAGCUUGUGGAGGCCAUUUCAGUGCUAAGAAAACAGCGACUAAAGUUUUACAAUGUGGUUUCUAUUGGCCAACUAUAUUUCGAGAUGCUUACACUUUCUGUUCUUCAUGUGAUAGGUGUCAACGAAUGGGGAGCAUUACACGAAGGAACAUGAUGCCACUAAAUCCAAUUUUAGUGGUUGAGAUUUUUGACGUAUGGGGUAUCGACUUCAUGGGACCCUUUCCCCCUUCUUUUGGCCAUCAAUACAUAUUGGUUGGUGUUGACUACGUAUCGAAAAUGGGUGGAAGCAAUUCCAUGCAGGAACCAAUGAUCACAAAGUGGUGAUAGGAUUUUUGAAAGCAAUAUUGUUUUCGCGCUUUGGAUUCCCUCGAGCGAUAAUCAGUGAUGGUGGUGCCACUUUUGUAACAAAGCAUUCAAGGCUCUUUUGACAAAGUAUUCAAUCACACACAAAGUGGCGACCCCGUAUCAUCCGCAAACCAGUGGCCAAGUUGAGAUCUCCAAUCGAGAAAUAAAGCACAUAUUAGAAAAGACGGUGAGGCCAGACAGGAAAGAUUGGUCAUUACGACUUGAUGAUGCAUUAUGGGCAUAUAGAACGGCUUUCCAAGACCCCGAUUGGGAUGUCACCCUACAGGCUAGUGUAUGGAAAAGCUUGCCACCUACCUGUGGAACUCGAGCAUCGUGCAUAUUGGGCCAUCAAGAAAUUCAACUUUGACAUGGCAGCAAGCCAGCUCAGAAAGAAGAUUACAGCUGGCAGAACUUGAAGAAAUUCGGCAAUGAUGCAUACGAAAAUGCCAAGAUUUACAAGCAACGAAUGAAAGUCUUCCAUGAUAAGCAAUUAUGAGAAAAUCGUUCACUCCAGGUCAGAAAGUGCUUUUAUUCAAUUCUCGCUUGCACCUAUUCCCAGGUAAGUUACGCUCUCGUUGGUCUGGCCCAUUUAUUGUACAUACUGUUUUUCCACAUGGGGCAAUUGAAAUUAAGGACCCAAAGAACGGUGUCACGUAUAAAGUUAAUGGUCAAAGAUUAAAGCCAUAUCUAGAGUACCAACCACAUGGAGAAAACAUCGAAAUAAAAUUUGAGUGACCCACUAAAUUUGAAUUGAUUUUUUUUUUUUCUCUUUUCGUUAAUUUGAUUUUUCUUUAUUUCUUUUUAUUAUUAUUCUUUUGCUAAUUGAAAUUGUUUUUGCAUAAGUGUGUUUUAUUUUAACCAUUAAGUUUUCUCUUAUCAUUUUUAAUCAUGAGUCUCAUACUUAGACCGUUCCUCCUGAACAUUCUUAAACCACUUCAACGUGUCAAAACUCAUCUCAAAAGGCAGAUUCUAUUUUGUAAAAACACAACGCAUUUGGGCUCUACAACCACCAGAGUUAGUAGCCUAAUGUUGAGGGUUUAGAACGCCAACUCAGAGACAUUGAGAGAAGUGUUUUACGACAUCCAGUUGGAGCUUGAGGUAAAAUUCAAUAAGAGGACGAUUUUAAUUUUCUUUGUGUGUUUUUUGUUUUUUCUGUUUGUGUGCUUUAGUUUGUUACCUCCGGUGAAGUGGCGAGAUAACGUACUCCGUGACAAUCAAGUCGGUUAACUUCAGUUUCCCAUAAUAACUGAUAUUCUGAGGCGAAGGUAUGGACAGAAACGAGAUUCUAGCGAAGCUUCACAAGCGAUUCCCUUCACUUCCUCAGAAUGCCCCUCCUUACAAUCUAUAAAGCCGGUCUGAACGCAUGCGAUUGCUCAUGAGGAAUAACAUACCUGCAGACAUCCGUUGGUUAAUCGAGGCUAAAGUACGAUUGGCAGGUGAGUUACCUCCUAAAUUUAUUGGCAUACAUGCCUGGUUGUGGUAAAGGAAAUUACGCAAGAAAACGACGAGCUCGAAGAAUUUCUGUUGCUUGUCACAAGUGUGCCAGAAUGAGUUGCGAUAGAAACCCAUGUUCUUUAGGAAUGGUGUCUGAUAACAGGGAAGAUAAGAUUCAAUUCAUUAGGAUGGCUUGAAUAAGGAGUCAUUGGAUGAUAUCCUUUUGUCUCUGAAACGCAUCCCAGUGGAUAUGUGCAAGGAGCGAUUCUCCAGUUAAGGCCAUUAUUCCAAAAAGAGCAUGCACGAUAUCGUCUCGGGAAUCUGACUAUAAACGACCCUGUUUGCCAGUUUAUAAGAAAACUGGAUGGGAAGCCCAUCCUCGACCCAUAGAGGGCGUUCAAGCCGUUUCUGGACGUAAAACCAGAGGAAGAUGUGAGCCACAGUCGCAACUACGUGUAAAUAUCCUUUUACUUUACUGUUAUUUUAUUUCAUUUCACUGUUGUUUUAUUGUUUGCAUUAUUGUCUUUAAUAAUUUUAUUACUGUUUGCUUUUUCCUUUUUACUGUUUCCUUUUUUGACUCGCGAGCCACGUGCUUUACGCGUUAUUUGACACUGACAUGUUACCUCAUUCACAGCUGUGAUCCAUUGUCACCAAGAUUCUUAAAUGUGAUUUAUCUUUUGUCAAGCACUCACAAAUUAUUUUUGAGAAGUAUCACAAUGGCAGCUACUCCCAAUAGACAAUUCAAGAACAUUUGUGUGCUUUCUGGAUUUACCUAUGGCAAACAUAAAGAGUUCGUGGAGGCAGCCAUAGAUCUUGGUCGAAGCAUAGCAGCGAGAAAAUUACAUUUGGUGUAUGGAGGAGGUAACCGAGGGUUAUCAAAAAAUGGUCUCAGAAGCAGCUUUUAUCAAGGAAGUCAAGUGUUUAGGCAUCAUCCAAGAGUCCUAAAACCAUUGGGCAGUUCGUCUGACUCAUCAACUGGAGAAGAGUUAGUCGUCUCAGGUAUGCAAGAAAGAAUAACUGAAAUGCUUAAUCAUGCUGAUGCUUUAUUUUCCUUCCAGGAGAUCUUGCAACACUAGAGGCACUUAUGACACUAGCAUCUUGGGCCCCAUCUGCACAUCCACCAGAAACCCAUCGGUUGUUAAAUGUCAAUAACUUUUAUGAUGGCUUUAUCGCAUUUCUUAACCAUGCAAUAAAAAACUAUUUCAUUCCUUUCUAAUGUAAAAAAAACUUUUUAUUUGUGCUCACACUGCUAAUGAACUACUUGAUCUGUUACAAGCUUAUAAACCGGAGCCAGACCCCUGGACCUUUGUGUGGAGCGCCCAAAUAAUGAUGGUAACAGUAGCCGCAGUAAGAAGUACAAAUUAGAUUUAACUCUCCGCCUGUAAAUAUAUUCUUUUGUGUUGCACCACCCAGGUGAUGUCUUCUAAACUCUACUUCUUUCCUUUAAAACAUUGAGGACAAUGUUUCGUUCUGGUUGAGGGGAGGGAAUAGUCGACAAUUGUGGAAUCUUGGUUAAGUUUUUACUGAUUUUUUGUUGUAGAAACUAACUGUUGCUAACUUUUUGUGUUGAAGAUGGCUGAAUAUGGAGUGUAGUGACUCUAGAAAACGCAUCUUCAUCGUUUAAAAAAAAAAAAAAAAUUUAAAAAAACUAAAAAACAAAAAAACAAAAAAAUUCAAACAUUUUCUUUUUCUUUAUUAUGUUUGAUGUUCAUUUUUCUUCUUCUUUUUAAUUUCUCCUUAUAAAUAUAUAUUUUCCAACUUUUGAGUCGAAGAUAGCUGAAUAUGGAGUGUAGUGCCUCUAGAACGCAUCUUCAUACGUUUAAAAAAAAAUUAAAAAAAAAAAACAAAAUUUCAUUUCGUUUUCUAUCAUUUACGUGUACUUUUCUAUUAGUUUUAGCAUCAUUUUCACAUUUCUGGCAUGCAUAUUUUCCUUUCAUGUUUAGAAUAGGUUGGGGGUAGAAUUUGUUUAAAAAAAAAAAAAGAAAAAAUUGUUGUGAUUUGUUUUAACUUUAGAUGACAUGAUUAAUUUUCAAAUUUUAGUAAUUUGUAUUAUCUUUGGUCUUAAGUGAUGUUACAUUAUGUUUGCUACUCUACAUGUUGAUGUCGGAGACAAAUAUGAGUUGCUUGAAGGAAUGAACAUGUCAUAAAUAAGUACCAAGUGAGUUUUUGAGCCUAUUCAUUUUUUCUUGGAGAGUAACCCUUUUGCCCAUUCUUUAUAAUGCUUAACAGUUUAUUAUUGUAUACACGAUCUCUAGAUUUCUUUUGAGUUAAGCCUUAAAAAAAAAAAAAAAAAAAAAAAUGUGUGUGUUGCUACAAUUGGGAGGCCCAUCUAACUAGUAGAUAUGGAUGAUUAUUUAGAGCCUAAAAAGACGAUGGAAAGGCCAUCUUUGAUCCGUUUGAGCCUUUCUAGCCAUCCCUCUUAUCAAGUAUCCAUAGUUAACCCAUUUGAGCCUUUUAAAUAAAAAAAAAAAAAAACUUUCUUUGUUUAACUUAUCAUCUUGACCCACUCCGAUUUGGAGUAUUACCCAAUAUCUUACAAAUUUCCAUCACCUAUUUAUGUUUGAGAAAAAUGUAAAUAAACAUUUUGCAUAGUGAAGUUAUGCCUAGUUCAAAAAAAAAAAAGAAAAAAUUGUUGUUGCUGAAAAAAAAAAAAAAAAAAAAAAAAGAAAAAAAAUUGUUGUUUCAAAAGAAUAAAAAUAACAAUAAUAGGUGAAAUCACCUUGCAACUUCCAAAAAAAAAAAAAAAAAAAUAUUCUCUGCAUUUUUCUCAAACAUACACUUUGUUUUCCUUAUUCCUUCUUUGUUAGCCAUAUCCCUAGCCUAUACGUUACGUCCUAAUAAAAGUCCUUCUUGAUUUUAGGGAACUAUAGUUUGAAGUAGAAGCUAGUUAUAUGGGCUAAAAAGAUGUAGUGAUGCAUAAUUAAAAAAAAAAAAGAUAAAUAAAGUGGGUUGACUAACAUUUUAUUUGACUUGAGAUCGUAUUAUUUCUAAGCUGAGGGCAUAUUUAUUUAAUCUUGGUGAGAGCAUGUGAUAUCAUUUCUUUAUUAUUUUCUCUCUCAAUUACCAUUCAUUGGAGUGACUAUGUUUAUUGGGUUUUAAUUUCUUUGUGAGAGUGUCACUACUUCCAGUGAGAUUUUGGGGUUUGACAUGUCAUUCUUGAAAGUAGCUAUAACAAAGUCUACUGGGCUAAUUCAUGUGGAUGGUUGAUGUGGGUGUGAUGUUGCUUUAGACUGGAGAUAAUGCUUAUACUUUUAUUUGAUUGCUAUCAUUAAUCUGAUUGAAUAAACACGAGUGUUUCUAAAAAAAAAAAAAAAAAUCAUUUUGAAUUUGAAAUUUUGUUUUCGCUUUAUUUGCUAGGGACUAGCAAUAAGCUGGUUGGGGGUGUGUUGAGUGUUAGAAAAUACAUAUUUAUAAAGGAGAAAACCGUCAUUUUACAUUUCAAGUCUUACUAACAACCCUUACUUUUAUGUAUUUAACCUUCUUGUGAUGUAAUUACGUGUGUGUUAUUUUAAUUAAGUAUUUUAUGUAUUUUAGGGGCAUUAUAGUCAUUUCACAAUAAAGGAGAGAUCAGACGGCAAAAACGGACAUCACUUUUGAACUCAGGACGGUCGAAAACCUUAGGAGGAGCAUAAAAGGAAAAAUGGCACUAUUCACAUGUACGGUACUAUUCACGUAUACGGUACUGUCUACGUUACUGUUCACGACACUGUUCACAUAGACGGAUCGAUGACGUGGCAUUGACCGAUGAUGUGGCAUUGACUGAUGAGGUGUCACGAUCCUGUUGGACUAAAAUUCUUAUGUACUGUUGAUGGUGACGUGGCAGCAUAUCAGUGGACGAAAAAUCUCGCGUACGGUGCAUGCAUCACACAGGAUUAUUUUCAACCAAACCGCGUUACUGUUCAUCCGGGUCAAACCGUGUUACUGUUCAGCGGUCAAACCGUUACUGUUCAUCCGCGUGGUCAAACCGUGGACUGUUGACUGAUGACGUGGCGCAAUCCUGAGCGUCCAAACUGUUUUUAAUCCGAUGGCCAUGAUUUACUCCAUGUAUCUAUAAAAAGGGGGCCUCCCCCCCUAAUUUGAUAUCUCUGAAUCCAUUUUUGGGAUCCAUUUUCUGUAAUUCCUUCUCCAUCUUGUAUUUUCUUGUAUUUUAAUAAAUUCCUAUUUUGCCCCUAGUUCAAUUAUGAGUAGCUAAUUUCUUUUCAAGCUUGGGUUGAAGGUGAAGUCUCAACAUGUGUCAUGGGCUUUAUUUGGUAAAUUUAUUUUCUUUUCCCCUCUAGUUUUUGUGGAUGAUUUGACUUAUCGUCGACAAAUAAUACUGAUCUUGUCUAGAUACCGCCUUGGUUACACCGGCUCUCUAGUAUAAGGUUAUUAUUAUUUGGCACGAUAAGCCCUUAGCACCAUAUUGAUUAGAGCGUGGUUCAUGAGGUGUGGAUUCCCCCUCAUGAUUUAAUUGGCAUUAAUACGGAUUAUUUAGCCCAUGAUGCAUGUUGAUACGGAUCCAGAUACCCAAGUACGUCAUUUCAAUAGAUUCUCUUCAAUUUAUUCUCGCCAUUGCAAUUCCAAUUUAGAAUUUAUUUGCAUUUAUUAAGUUUUAGCAUAUUCAAAUCAUUUCCACCACAAUCCAACCACCCAUUUACAAAAUUAAUUCUAUAUACAAUUAAAAUCCACCUCCUCGUGGGAUCGACACUCGUCACCAUUAGUCUAUACUACAAUAGAUUCGUGCGCUUGCGAGUACAUUAAAAUUUGCACAACAAGUUUUUGGCGCCGUUGCCGGGAGGUAAGUAAUUUUAAUUCAUAGAAUUAAUUUUUGUGAAUAAUUUCUUUUAUUUGUUUUCUUGUAUUUUUUUUUAUUAAAAAAAAAAAGAAAAAAAAAGUAAAUCUACAUUUAAAGGUUAGUAUUUCUUUUCUUUUUCUCUUCUUUAAAAAUUCUGUAAUUUAAUUUUCAAUUUAUUUUUUUUCUUUGUAAUUUUUGUUUAUUUUAUUAAUUUAAUUUUUAGUUAAUUUAUUUCACGUAUUUGUUUUUGUGUAUUUUUAUAGAAAGGUUGUAAUAGCGCAAUAAGGUUAGUAUCGUAAUUUCUCCCUCUUCUUUAUUUUUAUUUGUUUUGUUCCCAUCUUUAUUUUUUUUAUUUUUAUUUUAUUUUGCAUGCAUGGUCGUAGGUCAUUAUUACCUAAUCUUGAACCUAUAGACCUUGAAUUAGAAAAAACACUUCGCACACACAAACACAUUAAAAAUAAAAUUGGAAUGGAUUUACAAGCACCACAGGAGAGGCCAUUUAAGGACUAUUUUAGUCCCUUAGCUAAUUUGAGCACAUCAUGCAUAAGAUACCCAAAUGUAGCUGCUAGGAGUUUUGAACUAAAACCUAGUGUGCUAAAUUGUCUCCCCACAUUCUAUGGCUUAGAAAAUGAGGACCCAUAUAAUCAUCUGAAUGAUUUUCAUGCCAUUUGUCAAACUUUUAAAUAUGAAAAUUUUUCAGACGAUGAUGUUAAACUCAGAUUAUUCCCAUUUUCUUUAAAGGAUAGAGCUCGUUCAUGGUUAAAUACUUUGCCUGCUAAUAGCAUUUCAUCAUGGGAACAAAUGGUAACGAAAUUUUUGAAUAAAUAUUUCCCAGUGCAUAAAACCAAUUCUAUUCGCAGGGAAAUUUCAGAGUUUACACAAAGAGAGGACGAGCAGUUUUUCGAAACUUGGGAGCGAUUCAAUGGGCUACUCUUGAAGUGUCCACAUCAUGGGUACGAGAAAUGGCACCAAUGCCAAUACUUUUUGGAGGGAUUAUUGCCGAAUGUGCAAGAAUGGCUAAUGGCAACAAGUGGAGGAGAGCUAAUGUCAAAAAGUGCAUCAGAGAUUUGGGAAUUCUUCCAGCGACAAGCGGAUAAUUCCCAACAACGGAGUCGAUCACUCAGGAAUACUAGAAGAAUUAAGGGAGUAAAUGAGGUUCAAAUUGGCGAGUCAACUUCGGAAAUCAAAGAAGUCAAGGAGAUGGUUGAAGGUCUCUGCUCGACAAAUAGCAUCGUUAUCGACUGCUAAAUCAACAGAACCACAUGACCAUGACUCAUACUCAGAUCAAGCCAAUGCCAUAGGUGUAAUGAGAAAACCAUCGAAUUACAACCCAUACUCCAACACAUAUAACCCUGGAUGGAGAGACCACCCCAAUUUUUCAUGGUCUCAAGGAUUCCAACAGAAUGGACCAGCAGCUCCAGCUCCACCAAUGCAACAAAUUCCUCAAAAUCCUCAAGCCUCUCAGCCACCAUUUAGACCAUACAAUCAGAACCAGAACUACUCUCAACCCAGACCAUGGGAGGAUUCAUUCCAGAAUUUCAAGAAUGUUACUCACUCACGAUUGAGCAACAGAACCGCACCAUUGAUGGACUACGAAAUGAGUUGAGAGCAGGCUUCAACUCACAAGCCCAAUCAGUUUCAAGCCUCGAGAAGAUGGUGGGACAACUUGCUUCUUCAGUUCAGACCUUGGCAAUGACUGUUGAGAAAGGUAAAUUUCCAAGUCAACCAGUGCCUAAUCCUAAAGGAGUACAUGAAGCAAGUACCAGUUCACCACAGCAGCAUGGAGAGGUCAAAGCAGUCAUGACCUUGCGAAAAGGAAAGGAAGUCGACAACAAAGUGGAGAUGCCGGUGACAAAAGAAAAUCAAAUUGUACCUGUGAAUGUUGAAGACUCACCACCGGAGGAAAAGAAGAAACCAACCCACGAGAAUACGUUCCAAAGCUCCAUUUCCUCAGAGGUUAGCUGAAAGGAAAGAAGGGAAAAUCCACAGGUGAGAUUCUCGAAAUCUUCAAACAGGUAAGUGUUAACAUCCCUUUACUUGAUGCUAUUAAACAAGUUCCAUCUUAUGCCAAGUUUCUUAAAGACCUUUGUACUAAAAAGAGAAAUAUGCAUGUUCAAAAGAAGGCAUUUUUAACAGAAAACGUUAGUUCUAUACUCCAACAUAAAAUUCCUUUAAAAUGCAAAGACCCAGGCUCCCCCACUAUCUCAUGUAGUAUAGGGAACCACACAAUUGAGAAUGCUUUGUUGGAUUUAGGAGCUAGUGUAAAUUUGUUGCCUUACUCUGUAUUCGUGAAACUUGGACUGGGAGAAUUACACCCAACUCCAGUGGUGUUACAGCUUGCAGAUCGGUCCACGAAAAUACCUCGUGGUAUUGUGGAGGACGUGCUUAUCCAGGUAGACAAGUUUUAUUUUCCUGUUGAUUUCAUUGUAAUUGACACUCAACCAAUACAGGAUUCAAGGAAGCACAUCCCCAUUAUUCUAGGCCGACCUUUCUUGGCAACUGCGGAUGCUCACAUUCAAUGCAGGACUGGAAAUAUGCAAUUGUCCUUCGGCAACAUGACUAUGGAGCUAAACAUUUUCAACAUUGCCAAACAACCUCACAGUGCAGAUGAUGGAAUUGUUGAUGUGGAUUUAAUAGAAACAAUAGUUGAUAAUACUUUUCUUUCAAACCUUAGUGAUGAUCCUUUACAAACAUGUUUAACUCACUUUGGUUUGGAUUUUGAUAUUGACAGAUCGGUCGAUGAGGUCAACGCCCUACUUGACUCAGCACCAUCCAUGGACACUAAUAAAUGGAAGUCAAGAGUUGAACAACUAGCACCAUCAGAGAAGAAACUCAUCCCAUCAUCAGAAUCACCACCGAAACUCGAGCUCAAACCAUUACCCAACACUUGGAAUAUGCAUUUUUGGGAGAAGAAAGUACUCUGCCGGUAAUCAUCUCAUCAUCCCUAAAUGACGAACAAAAAGGUAAGUUGUUGGAUGUUUUAAAAGAGCACAAAGGAGCAUUAGGAUGGACCAUAGCAGACAUAAAAGGUAUAAACCCAGUAGACUGCAUGCAUUACAUUCACCUUGAUGAAAAUGCUAAAUCUACUAGGGAAAUGCAACGUCGGUUAAAUCCUAAUAUGAAAGAAGUUGUUAGAACUGAAGUCCUUAAGCUAUUAGACGCAGGUAUCAUUUACCCAAUUUCUGAUAGUUCAUGGGUCAGUCCUGUACAAGUUGUCCCCAAAAAGUCAGGAGUCACAGUAGUUACCAAUGCUGAUAAUGAAUUGAUACCAACUAGAGUAACUACAGGAUGGCGUGUAUGCAUUGAUUAUAGAAAGUUGAAUUCUGUCACACGUAAAGACCAUUUUCCUUUACCAUUUAUUGAUCAAAUGCUUGAUAGAUUAGCAGGCCAUGAAUUUUAUUGCUUUCUAGAUGGCUACUCAGGAUAUAAUCAGAUUCCCAUAGCACCAAAAGAUCAAGAGAAAACUACUUUCACUUGCCCUUUUGGCACAUUUGCAUAUAGGAGAAUGCCAUUUGGAUUAUGUAAUGCACCUGCUACAUUUCAACGAUGCAUGUUGAGCAUUUUUUCUGAUAUGGUUGAACGAUUCCUUGAAGUCUUUAUGGAUGAUUUUUCUGUCUUUGGUGACUCGUUUGAUCAAUGUUUACAUCAUCUAACGCUAGUUCUGCAGAGAUGUAUCGAGAAGAACUUAGUCUUAAAUUGGGAGAAGUGCCAUUUUAUGGUAAAACAAGGUAUUGUUCUCGGUCACAUCAUUUCGAGCAAAGGUAUUGAGGUUGACAAAGCCAAGGUGGAUCUCAUUUCUAAUCUUCCUCCACCCAAAACAGUCAGAGAAGUAAGAUCUUUCCUUGGGCAUGCUGGUUUCUAUAGACGUUUCAUUAAAGAUUUUAGCAAAGUUUCUAGACCCUUAUGCAAUUUACUUGCUAAGGAUGUACCUUUUAUCUUUAAUGAUUCAUGUCUUAUGGCUUUUGAAAAAUUAAAGCAGUUGUUGACAUCAUCACCCAUCAUUCAGGCCCCAAACUGGAGCUUACCAUUUGAGCUCAUGUGUGAUGCAUCUGAUUAUGCAGUAGGAGCAGUAUUAGGACAAAGAGUUGAUCGAAUUCCCCAUGUUAUUUACUAUGCUAGUAUGACAUUGAAUGAUGCACAGUUGAACUAUUCAACUACUGAAAAAGAAAUGCUAGCAGUAGUGUUUGCAUUGGAAAAAUUUCGAUCUUAUCUCAUUGGUUGUAAAAUAAUUAUAUUCACAGAUCAUGCUGCUCUUAAAUAUCUUCUCACAAAGAAAGAUGCAAAAGCUAGACUAAUUCGUUGGGUGUUACUUUUGCAGGAAUUUGACUUGGAAUUCAAAGAUAAGAAAGGCACAGAAAAUGUUGUGGCGGACCACCUCUCUCGUCUCCAUUUUGACACAAUUACAGAGCCAUUAAUAUUAAAUGAGUCAUUUCCAGAUGAACAAUUAAUGAGUGUGGAAGUAUUACCUUGGUAUGCUGAUAUAGUUAAUUAUCUUGUUACAGGUAAACUUCCAGAGCAUUGGACCAAGCAAGACAAGGCUAAAUUCUUUGCGGAAAUAAAGAAUUUCUUUUGGGAUGACCCAUAUUUGUUCAAGUAUUGUGCAGACCAAAUUGUUAGACGAUGUGUCCCUGAAAGUGAAAUUCAGAAUAUCCUUUCAUUCUGCCAUGAACAAGCUUGUGGAGGCCAUUUCAGUGCUAAGAAAACAGCGACUAAAGUUUUACAAUGUGGUUUCUAUUGGCCAACUAUAUUUCGAGAUGCUUACACUUUCUGUUCUUCAUGUGAUAGGUGUCAACGAAUGGGGAGCAUUACACGAAGGAACAUGAUGCCACUAAAUCCAAUUUUAGUGGUUGAGAUUUUUGACGUAUGGGGUAUCGACUUCAUGGGACCCUUUCCCCCUUCUUUUGGCCAUCAAUACAUAUUGGUUGGUGUUGACUACGUAUCGAAAUGGGUAGAAGCAAUUCCAUGCAGAACCAAUGAUCACAAAGUGGUGAUAGGAUUUUUGAAAAGCAACAUUGUUUCACGCUUUGGAUUCCCUCGAGCGAUAAUCAGUGAUGGUGGUGCCCACUUUUGUAACAAAGCAUUCAAAGCUCUUUUGACAAAGUAUUCAAUCACACACAAAGUGGCGACCCCGUAUCAUCCGCAAACCAGUGGCCAAGUUGAGAUCUCCAAUCGAGAAAUAAAGCACAUAUUAGAAAAAACGGUGAGGCCAGACAGAAAAGAUUGGUCAUUAAGACUUGAUGAUGCAUUAUGGGCAUAUAGAACGGCUUUCAAGACCCCGAUUGGGAUGUCACCCUACAGGCUAGUGUAUGGAAAAGCUUGCCACCUACCUGUGGAACUCGAGCAUCGUGCAUAUUGGGCCAUCAAGAAAUUCAACUUUGACAUGCAGCAAGCCAGCUCAGAAAGAAGAUUACAACUGGCAGAACUUGAAGAAAUUCGCAAUGAUGCAUACGAAAAUGCCAAGAUUUACAAGCAACGAAUGAAAGUCUUUCAUGACAAGCACAUUAUGAGAAAAUCGUUCACUCCAGGUCAGAAAGUGCUUUUAUUCAAUUCUCGCUUGCACCUAUUCCCAGGUAAGUUACGCUCUCGAUGGUCUGGUCCCUUUAUUGUUCAUACUGUUUUUCCACAUGGGGCAAUUGAAAUUAAGGACCCAAAGAACGGUGUCACGUUUAAAGUUAAUGGUCAAAGAUUAAAGCCAUAUCUAGAGUACCAACCACAUGGAGAAGACACCGAAAUAAAUUUGAGUGACCCACCAGAUUUGAAUUGAUUUUUUUUUCUUUUCGUUGAUUUGAUUUUUCUUUCUUUCUUUUUAUUAUUCUUUUGCUAAUUGAAAUUAUUUUUGCAUAAGUGUGUUUGUUUAACUAUUAAGUUUUCUCUUAUCAUUUUUAAUCAUGAGUACCUUACUUAGACCGUUCCUCCUGAACAUUCUUAAACCACUUCAACGUGUCAAAACUCAUCUCAAAAAGCAGAUUCAAUUUUGUAAAACACAACGCAUUUGGGCUCUACAACCACCAGAGUUAGUAGCCUAUGUUGAGGGUUUAGAACGCCAACUCAGAGACAUUGAGAGAAGUGUUUACGACAUCCAGUUGGAGCUUGAGGUAAAUUCAAUAAGAGGACGAUUUUAAUUUUCUUUGUGUGUUUUAAUUUGUUUUUCUGUUUGUGUGCUUUAGUUUGUUACCCCGGUGAAGUGGCGGAUAACGGUACUCCGUGACAAUCAAGUCGGUUACUUCAGUUUCCCAUAAUAACUGAUAUUCUGAGGCGAAGGUAUGGACAGAAACGAGAUUCUAGCGAAGCUUCACAAGCGAUUCCCUUCACUUCCUCAGAAUGCCCUCCUUACAAUCUAUAAAGCCGGUCGAACGCAUGCGAUUCUCAUGAGAAUAACAUACCUGCGACAUCCGUUGGUUAAUCGAGGAAAGUACGAUGGCAGGUAGUUACUAAUUUGCAUAUCUGUUAUGCGAAACAGUCGAAUUCUGUCAAGAAAUAAGGAUAAUAAUAUCUUUGUUCAGAUCAAAAAAAUUUCCAUAAAAAAAAGCAUGUAUGCAAUCAUUCUGCACACUUUGACAAGCAACAGAAAUUCUUCGAGCUGUCGUUUUCUUGCAUAAUUUCUUUACCACAACCAGCAUGAUGCAAUAAAUUUGGAGGUAACUCACCUGCCAUCGUACUUUAGCCUCGAUUAACCAACGGAUGUCGCAGGUAUGUUAUUCCUCAUGAGCAAUCGCAUGCGUUCGACCGGCUUUAUAGAUGUAAGGAGGGCAUUCUGAGGAAGUGAAGGGAAUCGCUUGUGAAGCUUCGCUAGAAUCUCGUUUCUGUCCAUACCUUCGCCUCAGAAUAUCAGUUAUUAUGGGAAACUGAAGUAACCGACUUGAUUGUCACGGAGUACCGUUAUCCGCCACUUCACCGGGGUAACAAACUAAAGCACACAAACAGAAAAACAAAUUAAAACACACAAAGAAAAUUAAAAUCGUCCUCUUAUUGAAUUUACCUCAAGCUCCAACUGGAUGUCGUAAACACUUCUCUCAAUGUCUCUGAGUUGGCGUUCUAAACCCUCAACAUAGGCUACUAACUCUGGUGGUUGUAGAGCCCAAAUGCGAUGUGUUUUACAAAAUUGAAUCUGCCUUUUGAGAUGAGUUUUGACACGUUGAAGUGGUUUAAGAAUGUUCAGGAGGAACGGUCUAAGUAAGGUACUCAUGAUUAAAAAUGAUAAGAGAAAACUUAAUAGUUAAACAAACACACUUAUGCAAAAAUAAUUUCAAUUAGCAAAAGAAUAAUAAAAAGAAAGAAAGAAAAAUCAAAUCAACGAAAAGAAAAAAAAAUCAAUUCAAAUCUGGUGGGUCACUCAAAUUUAUUUCGGUGUCUUCUCCAUGUGGUUGGUACUCUAGAUAUGGCUUUAAUCUUUGACCAUUAACUUUAAACGUGACACCGUUCUUUGGGUCCUUAAUUUCAAUUGCCCCAUGUGGAAAAACAGUAUGAACAAUAAAGGGACCAGACCAUCGAGAGCGUAACUUACCUGGGAAUAGGUGCAAGCGAGAAUUGAAUAAAAGCACUUUCUGACCUGGAGUGAACGAUUUUCUCAUAAUGUGCUUGUCAUGAAAGACUUUCAUUCGUUGCUUGUAAAUCUUGGCAUUUUCGUAUGCAUCAUUGCGAAUUUCUUCAAGUUCUGCCAGUUGUAAUCUUCUUUCUGAGCUGGCUUGCUGCAUGUCAAAGUUGAAUUUCUUGAUGGCCCAAUAUGCACGAUGCUCGAGUUCCACAGGUAGGUGGCAAGCUUUUCCAUACACUAGCCUGUAGGGUGACAUCCCAAUCGGGGUCUUGAAAGCCGUUCUAUAUGCCCAUAAUGCAUCAUCAAGUCUUAAUGACCAAUCUUUUCUGUCUGGCCUCACCGUCUUUUCUAAUAUGUGCUUUAUUUCUCGAUUGGAGAUCUCAACUUGGCCACUGGUUUGCGGAUGAUACGGGGUCGCCACUUUGUGUGUGAUUGAAUACUUUGUCAAAAGAGCUUUGAAUGCUUUGUUACAAAAGUGGGCACCACCAUCACUGAUUAUCGCUCGAGGGAAUCCAAAGCGUGAAACAAUGUUGCUUUUCAAAAAUCCUAUCACCACUUUGUGAUCAUUGGUUCUGCAUGGAAUUGCUUCUACCCAUUUCGAUACGUAGUCAACACCAACCAAUAUGUAUUGAUGGCCAAAAGAAGGGGGAAAGGGUCCCAUGAAGUCGAUACCCCAUACGUCAAAAAUCUCAACCACUAAAAUUGGAUUUAGUGGCAUCAUGUUCCUUCGUGUAAUGCUCCCCAUUCGUUGACACCUAUCACAUGAAGAACAGAAAGUGUAAGCAUCUCGAAAUAUAGUUGGCCAAUAGAAACCACAUUGUAAAACUUUAGUCGCUGUUUUCUUAGCACUGAAAUGGCCUCCACAAGCUUGUUCAUGGCAGAAUGAAAGGAUAUUCUGAAUUUCACUUUCAGGGACACAUCGUCUAACAAUUUGGUCUGCACAAUACUUGAACAAAUAUGGGUCAUCCCAAAAGAAAUUCUUUAUUUCUGCAAAGAAUUUAGCCUUGUCUUGCUUGGUCCAAUGCUCUGGAAGUUUACCUGUAACAAGAUAAUUAACUAUAUCAGCAUACCAAGGUAAUACUUCCACAUUCAUUAAUUGUUCAUCUGGAAAUGACUCAUUUAAUGUUAAUGGCUCUGUAAUUGUGUCAAAAUGGAGACGAGAGAGGUGGUCCGCCACAACAUUUUCUGUGCCUUUCUUAUCUUUGAAUUCCAAGUCAAAUUCCUGCAAAAGUAACACCCAACGAAUUAGUCUAGCUUUUGCAUCUUUCUUUGUGAGAAGAUAUUUAAGAGCAGCAUGAUCUGUGAAUAUAAUUAUUUUACAACCAAUGAGAUAAGAUCGAAAUUUUUCAAUGCAAACACUACUGCUAGCAUUUCUUUUUCAGUAGUUGAAUAGUUCAACUGUGCAUCAUUCAAUGUCAUACUAGCAUAGUAAAUAACAUGGGGAAUUCGAUCAACUCUUUGUCCUAAUACUGCUCCUACUGCAUAAUCAGAUGCAUCACACAUGAGCUCAAAUGGUAAGCUCCAGUUUGGGGCCUGAAUGAUGGGUGAUGAUGUCAACAACUGCUUUAAUUUUUCAAAAGCCAUAAGACAUGAAUCAUUAAAGAUAAAAGGUACAUCCUUAGCAAGUAAAUUGCAUAAGGGUCUAGAAACUUUGCUAAAAUCUUUAAUGAAACGUCUAUAGAAACCAGCAUGCCCAAGGAAAGAUCUUACUUCUCUGACUGUUUUGGGUGGAGGAAGAUUAGAAAUGAGAUCCACCUUGGCUUUGUCAACCUCAAUACCUUUGCUCGAAAUGAUGUGACCGAGAACAAUACCUUGUUUUACCAUAAAAUGGCACUUCUCCCAAUUUAAGACUAAGUUCUUCUCGAUACAUCUCUGCAGAACUAGCGUUAGAUGAUGUAAACAUUGAUCAAACGAGUCACCAAAGACAGAAAAAUCAUCCAUAAAGACUUCAAGGAAUCGUUCAACCAUAUCAGAAAAAAUGCUCAACAUGCAUCGUUGAAAUGUAGCAGGUGCAUUACAUAAUCCAAAUGGCAUUCUCCUAUAUGCAAAAGUGCCAAAAGGGCAAGUGAAAGUAGUUUUCUCUUGAUCUUUUGGUGCUAUGGGAAUCUGAUUAUAUCCUGAGUAGCCAUCUAGAAAGCAAUAAAAUUCAUGGCCUGCUAAUCUAUCAAGCAUUUGAUCAAUAAAUGGUAAAGGAAAAUGGUCUUUACGUGUGACAGAAUUCAACUUUCUAUAAUCAAUGCAUACACGCCAUCCUGUAGUUACUCUAGUUGGUAUCAAUUCAUUAUCAGCAUUGGUAACUACUGUGACUCCUGACUUUUUGGGGACAACUUGUACAGGACUGACCCAUGAACUAUCAGAAAUUGGGUAAAUGAUACCUGCGUCUAAUAGCUUAAGGACUUCAGUUCUAACAACUUCUUUCAUAUUAGGAUUUAACCGACGUUGCAUUUCCCUAGUAGAUUUAGCAUUUUCAUCAAGGUGAAUGUAAUGCAUGCAGUCUACUGGGUUUAUACCUUUUAUGUCUGCUAUGGUCCAUCCUAAUGCUCCUUUGUGCUCUUUUAAAACAUCCAACAACUUACCUUUUUGUUCGUCAUUUAGGGAUGAUGAGAUGAUUACCGGCAGAGUACUUUCUUCUCCCAAAAAUGCAUAUUCCAAUGUGUUGGGCAAUGGUUUGAGCUCGAGUUUCGGUGGUGAUUCUGAUGAUGGGAUGAGUUUCUUCUCUGAUGGUGCUAGUUGUUCAACUCUUGACUUCCAUUUAUUAGUGUCCAUGGAUGGUGCUGAGUCAAGUAGGGCGUUGACCUCAUCGACCGAUCUGUCAAUAUCAAAAUCCAAACCAAAGUGAGUUAAACAUGUUUGUAAAGGAUCAUCACUAAGGUUUGAAAGAAAAGUAUUAUCAACUAUUGUUUCUAUUAAAUCCACAUCAACAAUUCCAUCAUCUGCACUGUGAGGUUGUUUGGCAAUGUUGAAAAUGUUUAGCUCCAUAGUCAUGUUGCCGAAGGACAACUGCAUAUUUCCAGUCCUGCAUUGAAUGUGAGCAUCCGCAGUUGCCAAGAAAGGUCGGCCUAGAAUAAUGGGGAUGUGCUUCCUUGAAUCCUGUAUUGGUUGAGUGUCAAUUACAAUGAAAUCAACAGGAAAAUAAAACUUGUCUACCUGGAUAAGCACGUCCUCCACAAUACCACGAGGUAUUUUCGUGGACCGAUCUGCAAGCUGUAACACCACUGGAGUUGGGUGUAAUUCUCCCAGUCCAAGUUUCACGAAAUACAGAGUAAGGCAACAAAUUUACACUAGCUCCUAAAUCCAACAAAGCAUUCUCAAUUGUGUGGUUCCCUAUACUACAUGAGAUAGUGGGGGAGCCUGGGUCUUUGCAUUUUAAAGGAAUUUUAUGUUGGAGUAUAGAACUAACGUUUUCUGUUAAAAAUGCCUUCUUUUGAACAUGCAUAUUUCUCUUUUUAGUACAAAGGUCUUUAAGAAACUUGGCAUAAGAUGGAACUUGUUUAAUAGCAUCAAGUAAAGGGAUGUUAACACUUACCUGUUUGAAGAUUUCGAGAAUCUCACCUGUGGAUUUUCCCUUCUUUCCUUUCAGCUAACCUCUGAGGAAAUGGAGCUUUGGAACGUAUUCUCGUGGGUUGGUUUCUUCUUUUUCCUCCGGUGGUGAGUCCUCAACAUUCACAGGUACAAUUUGAUUUUCUUUUGUCACCGGCAUCUCCACUUUGUUGUCGACUUCCUUUCCUUUUCGCAAGGUCAUGACUGCUUUGACCUCUCCAUGCUGCUGUGGUGAACUGGUACUUGCUUCAUGUACUCCUUUAGGAUUAGGCACUGGUUGACUUGGAAAUUUACCUUUCUCAACAGUCAUUGCCAAGGUCUGAACUGAAGAAGCAAGUUGUCCCACCAUCUUCUCGAGGCUUGAAACUGAUUGGGCUUGUGAGUUGAAGCCUGCUCUCAACUCAUUUCGUAGUCCAUCAAUGGUGCGGUUCUGUUGCUCAAUCGUGGAGUGAGUAACAUUCUUGAAAUUCUGGAAUGAAUCCUCCCAUGGUCUGGGUUGAGAGUAGUUCUGGUUCUGAUUGUAUGGUCUAAAUGGGGGCUGAGAGGCUUGAGGAUUUUGAGGAAUUGUUGCAUUGGUGGAGCUGGAGCUGCUGGUCCAUUCUGUUGGAAUCCUUGAGACCAUGAAAAAUUGGGGUGGUCUCUCCAUCCAGGGUUAUAUGUGUUGGAGUAUGGGUUGUAAUUCGAUGGUUUUCUCAUUACACCUAUGGCAUUGGCUUGAUCUGAGUAUGAGUCAUGGUCAUGUGGUUCUGUUGAUUUAGCAGUCGAUAACGAUGCUAUUUGUCGAGCAGAGACCUUCAACCAUCUCCUUGACUUCUUUGAUUCCGAAGUUGACUCGCCAAUGUGAACCUCAUUUACUCCUUAAUUCUUCUAGUAUUCCUGAGUGAUCGACUCCGUUGUUGGGAAUUAUCCGCUUGUCGCUGGAAGAAUUCCCAAAUCUCUGAUGCACUUUUUGACAUUAGCUCUCCUCCACUUGUUGCCAUUAGCCAUUCUUGCACAUUCGGCAAUAAUCCCUCCAAAAAGUAUUGGCAUUGGUGCCAUUUUCUCGUACCCAUGAUGUGGACACUUCAAGAGUAGCCCAUUGAAUCGCUCCCAGUUUCGAAAAACUGCUCGUCCUCUCUUUGUGUAAACUCUGAAAUUUCCCUGCGAAUAGCAUUGGUUUUAUGCACUGGGAAAUAUUUAUUCAAAAAUUUCGUUACCAUUUGUUCCCAUGAUGCAAUGCUAUUAGCAGGCAAAGUAUUUAACCAUGAACGAGCUCUAUCCUUUAAAGAAAAUGGGAAUAAUCUAAGUUUAACAUCAUCGUCUGAAAAAUUCUCAUAUUUAAAAGUUUGACAAAUGGCAUGAAAAUCAUUCAGAUGAUUAUAUGGGUCCUCAUUUUCUAAGCCAUAGAAUGUGGGGAGACAAUUUAGCACACUAGGUUUUAAUUCAAAACUCCUAGCAGCUACAUUUGGGUAUCUUAUGCAUGAUGUGCUCAAAUUAGCUAAGGGACUAAAAUAGUCCUUAAAUGGCCUCUCCUGUGGUGCUUGUAAAUCCAUUCCAAUUAUUUUUAAUGUGUUUGUGUGUGCGAAGUGUUUUUUCUAAUUCAAGGUCUAUAGGUUCAAGAUUAGGUAAUAAUGACCUACGACCAUGCAUGCAAAAUAAAUAAAAUAAAAAUAAAGAUGGGAACAAAACAAAUAAAAAUAAAGAAGAGGGAGAAAUUACGAUACUAACCUUAUUGCGCUAUUACAACCUUUCUAUAAAAAUACACAAAAACAAAUACGUGAAAUAAAUUAACUAAAAAUUAAAUUAAUAAAAUAAACAAAAAUUACAAAGAAAAAAAAUAAAUUGAAAAUUAAAUUACAGAAUUUUAAAGAAGAGAAAAAAGAAAAGAAAUACUAACCUUUAAAUGUAGAUUCACUUUUUUUUUUUUUUUUUUUUAAUAAAAAAAAUACAAGAAAACAAAUAAAAGAAAUUAUUCACAAAAAAUUAAUUCUAUGAAUUAAAAUUACUUACCUCCCCGGCAACGGCGCCAAAAACUUGUUGUGCAAAUUUUAAUGUACUCGCAAGCGCACGAAUCUAUUGUAGUAUAGACUAAUGGUGACGAGUGUCGAUCCCACGAGGAGGUGGAUUUUAAUUGUGUAUAGAAUUAAUUUUGUAAAUGGGUGGUUGGAUUUGUGGUGGAAGUGAUUUGAAUAUGCUAAAAUUAAAUUAAAAUGGCGAAAUAAAUCUAAAAUUGGAAUUGAAAUGGCGAGAAUAAAUUGAAGAGAAAUCUAUUGAAAUGACGUACUUGGGUAUCUGGAUCCGUAUCAACAUGCAUCAUGGGCUAAAUAAUCCGUAUUAAUGCCAAUUAAAUCAUGAGGGGGGAAUCCACACCUCAUGAACCACGCUCUAAUCAAUAUGGUGCUAAGGGCUUAUCGUGCCAAAUAAUAAUAACCUUAUACUAGAGAGCCGGUGUAACCAAGGCGGUAUCUAGACAAGAUCAGUAUUAUUUGUCGACGAUAAGUCAAAUCAUCCACAAAAACUAGAGGGGAAAAGAAAAUAAAUUUACCAAAUAAAGCCCAUGACACAUGUUGAGACUUCACCUUCAACCCAAGCUUGAAAGAAAAUUAGCCACUCAUAAUUGAACUAGGGGCAAAAUGGGAAUUUAUUAAAAUACGAAGAAAAUACAAGAUGGAGAAGGAAUUACAGAAAAUGGAUCCCAAAAAUGGAUUCAGAGAUAUCAAAUUAGGGGGGGAGGCCCCCUUUUUAUAGAUACAUGGAGUAAAUCAUGGCCAUCGGAUUAAAAACAGUUUGGACGCUCAGGAUUGCGCCACGUCAUCAGUCAACAGUCCACGGUUUGACCACGCGGAUGAACAGUAACACGGUUUGACCCGGAUGAACAGUAACGCGGUUUGGUUGAAAAUAAUCCUGUGUGAUGCAUGCACCGUACGCGAGAUUUUUCGUCCACUGAUAUGCUGCCACGUCACCAUCAACAGUACAUAAGAAUUUUAGUCCAACAGGAUCGUGACACCUCAUCAGUCAAUGCCACAUCAUCGGUCAAUGCCACGUCAUCGAUCCGUCUAUGUGAACAGUGUCGUGAACAGUAACGUAGACAGUACCGUACACGUGAAUAGUACCGUACAUGUGAAUAGUGCCAUUUUUCCUUUUAUGCUCCUCCUAAGGUUUUCGACCGUCCUGAGUUCAAAAGUGAUGUCCGUUUUGCCGUCUGAUCUCUCCUUUAUUGUGAAAUGACUAUAAUGCCCCUAAAAUACAUAAAAUACUUAAUUAAAAUAAACACACGUAAUUAAUCACAAGAAGGUUAAAUACAUAAAAGUAAGGGUUGUUAGUAAGACUUGAAAUGUAAAAUGACGGUUUUCUCCUUUAUAAAUAUAGCAUUUUCUAACACUCAACACACCCCCCAACCAGCUUAUUGCUAGUCCCUAGCAAAUAAAGCGAAAACAAAAUUCAAAUUCAAAAUGAUUUUUUUUUUUUUUUUUUAGAAACACUCGUGUUUAUUCAAUCAGAUUAAUGAUAGCAAUCAAUAAAAGUAUAAGCAUUAUCUCCAGUCUAAAGCAACAUCACACCCACAUCAACCAUCCACAUGAAUUAGCCCAGUAGACUUUGUUAUAGCUACUUUUCAAGAAUGACAUGUCAAACCCCAAAAUCUCACUGGAAGUAGUGACACUCUCACAAAGAAAUUAAAACCCAAUAAACAUAGUCACUCCAAUGAAUGGUAAUUGAGAGAGAAAAUAAUAAAGAAAUGAUAUCACAUGCUCUCACCAAGAUGAAAUAAAUAUGCCCUCAGCUUAGAAAUAAUACGAUCUCAAGUCAAAUAAAAUGUUAGUCAACCCACUUUAUUUAUCUUUUUUUUUUUUAUUAUGCAUCACUACAUCUUUUUAGCCCAUAUAACUAGCUUCUACUUCAAACUAUAGUUCCCUAAAAUCAAGAAGGACUUUUAUUAGGACGUAACGUAGGCUAGGGAUAUGGCUAACAAAGAAGGGAAAUAAGGAAAACAAAGUGUAUGUUUGAGAAAAAUGCAGAGAAAUUUUUUUUUUUUUUUUGGAAGUUGCAAGGUGGAUUUCACCUAUUAUUGUUAUUUUUAUUCUUUUGAAACACACUUUUUUUUUUUUUUUUUUUUUUUUUUUUUUUUUUUUUUGCUAGGCAUAACUUCACUGCAAAAUAAUUAUUUACAUUUUCUCAAACAUAAAUAGGUGAUGGAAUUUGUAAGAUAUUGGGUAAUACUCCAAAUCGGAGUGGGUCAAGAUGAUAAGUUAAACAAAAAAAAGUUUUUUUUUUUUUUUAAAAGGCUCAAAGGGGUAACUAUGGAUAUUUAUAAAGGGAUGGCUAGAAAGGCUCAAACGGAUCAAAGAUGGCCUUUCCAUCGUCUUUUAGGGCUCUAAAUAAUUCCAUAUCUACUAGUUAGAUGGGCCUCCCAAUGUAGCAACACACACUUUUUUUUUUUUUUUUUUUAAGGCUUAACUCAAAGAAAUCUAGAGAUCGUGUAUACAAUAAUAAACUGUAAGCAUUAUAAAGAAUGGGCAAAAGGGUUACUCUCCAAAAAAAUGAUAGGCUCAAAACUCACUUGGUACUUAUUAUAUGACAUGUUCAUUCCUUCAAGCAACUCAUAUUUGUCUCCGACAUCAACAUGUAGAGUAGCAAACAUAAUGUAACAUCACUUAAGACCAAAGAUAAUACAAAUACUAAAAUUUUGAAAUUAAUCAUGUCAUCUAAAGUUAAAACAAAUCACACAAUUUUUUUUUUUUUUUUUUAAACAACAUUCUACCCCCAACCUAUUCUAAACAUGAAAGGAAAAUAUGCAUGCAGAAAUGUGAAAAUGAUGCAUAAAAACUUAAUUAGAAAAGUUACAGUAAAUAAUAGAAAAAGAAAAUGAAAUUUUGUUUUUUUUUUUUUAUUUUUUUUUUAAACGAUGAAGAUGCGUUUCUAGAGGCACUACACUCCAUAUUCAGCCAUCUUCGACUCAAAAGUUGGAAAAUAUAUAUUUAUAAGGAGAAAUUAAAAAGAAGAAGAAAAAUGAACAUCAAAACAUAAUAAAGAAAAAGAAAAUGUUUGAAUUUUUUUGUUUUUUUUUAGUUUUUUUAGUUUUUUAAUUUUUUUUUUUUUUUAAACGAUGAAGAUGCGUUUCUAGAGUCACUACACUCCAUAUUCAGCCAUCUUCAACACAAAAAGUUAGCAACAGUUAGUUUCUACAACAAAAAAUCAGUAAAAAACUUAACCAAGAUUCCACAAUUGUCGACUAUUCCCUCCCCCAACCAGAACGAAACAUUGUCCUCAAUGUUUAAAAAUAAAAAAGACAAACACGAAUAUUUACAGCGGAGAGUUAAAUCUAAUUUGUACUUCUUACUGCGGCUACUGUUACCAUCAUUAUUUGGUCGCUCCAACACAAAGGUCCAGGGGUCUGGCUCCGGUUUAUAAGCUUGUAACAUAUCAAGUAGCUCAUUAGCAGUGUGAGCACAAAUAAAAAAGUUUUUUACAUUAGAAGGAAUGAAAUAGUUUUUUAUUGCAUGGUUAAGAAAUGCGAUAAAGCCAUCAUAAAAGUUAUUGACAUUUAACAAACCGAUGGGUUUCUGGUGGAUGUGCAGAUGGGCCAAGAUGCUAGUGUCAUAAGUGCCUCUAGUGUUGCAAGAUCUCCUGAAGGAAAAUAAAAGCAUCAGCAUGAUUAAGCAUUUCAGUUAUUCUUUCUUGCAUACCUGAGACGACUUAACUCUUCUCCAGUUGAUGAGUCAGACGAACUGCCCAAUGGUUUUAGGACUCUUGGGAUGAUGCCUAACACUUGACUUCCUCUGAUAAAAGCGCUUCUGAGACCAUUUUUGAUAACCUCGGUUACCUCUCCAUACACCAAAUGUAAUUUUCUCGCUGCUAUGCUUCGACCAAGAUCUAUGCUGCCUCCACGAACUCUUUAUGUUUGCCAUAGGUAAAUCCAGAAAGCACACAAAUGUUCUUGAAUUGUCUAUUGGGAGUAGCUGCCAUUGUGAUACUUCUCAAAAAUAAUUUGUGAGUGCUUGACAAAAGAUAAAUCACAUUUAAAAUCUUGGUGACAAUGGAUCACAGCUGUGAAUGAGGUAACAUGUCAGUGUCAAAUAACGCGUAAAGCACGUGGCUCGCGAGUCAAAAAGGAAACAGUAAAAAGGAAAAAGCAAACAGUAAUAAAAUUAUUAAAGACAAUAAUGCAAACAAUAAAACAACAGUGAAAUGAAAAAAUAACAGUAAAGUAAAGGAUAUUUACACGUAGUUGCGACUGUGGCUCACAUCUUCCUCUGGUUUUACGUCCAGAAACGGCUUGAACGCCCUCUUGGGUCGAGGAUGGGCUUCCCAUCCAGUUUUCUUAUAAACUGGCAAACAGGGUCGUUUAUAGUCAGAUUCCCGAGACUAUAUCGUGCAUGCUCUUUCUGGAAUAAUGGCCAUAACUGGAGAAUCGCUCCUUGCACAUAUCCACUGGGAUGCGUUUCAAGAGACAAAAGGAUAUCAUCCAAUGACUCCUUAUUCAAGCCAUCCCUAAUGAAUUGAAUCUUAUCUUCCCUGUUAUCAGACACCAUUCCUAAAGAACAUGGGUUUCUAUCGCAACUCAUUCUGGCACACAACAGAAAUUCUUCGAGCUCGUCGUUUUCUUGCAUAAUUUCCUUUACCACAACCAGGCAUGUAUGCAAUAAAUUUAGGAGGUAACUCACCUGCCAAUCGUACUUUAGCCUCGAUUAACCAACGGAUGUCUGCAGGUAUGUUAUUCUCAUGAGCAAUCGCAUGCGUUCAGACCGGGCUUUAUAGAUCGUAAGGAGGGCAUUCUGAGGAAGUGAAGGGAAUCGCUUGUGAAGCUUCGCUAGAAUCUCGUUUCUGUCCAUACUUCGCCUCAGAAUAUCAGUUAUUAUGGGAAACUGAAGUAACCGACUUGAUUGUCACGGAGUACCGUUAUCCGCCACUUCACCGGGGUAACAAACUAAAGCACACAAACAGAAAAACAAAAAACACAAAAGAAAAUUAAAAUCGUCCUCUUAUUGAAUUUACCUCAAGCUCCAACUGGAUGUCGUAAACACUUCUCUCAAUGUCUCUGAGUUGGCGUUCUAAACCCUCAACAUAGGCUACUAACUCUGGUGGUUGUAGAGCCCAAAUGCGAUGUGUUUUACAAAAUUGAAUCUGCCUUUUGAGAUGAGUUUUGACACGUUGAAGUGGUUUAAGAAUGUUCAGGAGGAACGGUCUAAGUAAGGUACUCAUGAUUAAAAAUGAUAAGAGAAAACUUAAUAGUAAAAAAACACACUUAUGCAAAAAUAAACACACUUAUGCAAAAACAAUUUCAAUUAGCAAAGAAUAAUAAUAAAAAGAAAUAAAGAAAAUCAAAUUAACGAAAAGAGAAAAAAAAAUCAAUUCAAAUUUAGUGGGUCACUCAAAUUUAUUUCGAUGUUUUCUCCAUGUGGUUGGUACUCUAGAUAUGGCUUUAAUCUUUGACCAUUAACUUUAUACGUGACACCGUUCUUUGGGUCCUUAAUUUCAAUUGCCCCAUGUGGAAAAACAGUAUGUACAAUAAAUGGGCCAGACCAACGAGAGCGUAACUUACCUGGGAAUAGGUGCAAGCGAGAAUUGAAUAAAAGCACUUUCUGACCUGGAGUGAACGAUUUUCUCAUAAUUUGCUUAUCAUGGAAGACUUUCAUUCGUUGCUUGUAAAUCUUGGCAUUUUCGUAUGCAUCAUUGCGAAUUUCUUCAAGUUCUGCCAGCUGUAAUCUUCUUUCUGAGCUGGCUUGCUGCAUGUCAAAGUUGAAUUUCUUGAUGGCCCAAUAUGCACGAUGCUCGAGUUCCACAGGUAGGUGGCAAGCUUUUCCAUACACUAGCCUGUAGGGUGACAUCCCAAUCGGGGUCUUGAAAGCCGUUCUAUAUGCCCAUAAUGCAUCAUCAAGUCGUAAUGACCAAUCUUUCCUGUCUGGCCUCACCGUCUUUUCUAAUAUGUGCUUUAUUUCUCGAUUGGAGAUCUCAACUUGGCCACUGGUUUGCGGAUGAUACGGGGUCGCCACUUUGUGUGUGAUUGAAUACUUUGUCAAAAGAGCCUUGAAUGCUUUGUUACAAAAGUGGGCACCACCAUCACUGAUUAUCGCUCGAGGGAAUCCAAAGCGCGAAACAAUAUUGCUUUUCAAAAAUCCUAUCACCACUUUGUGAUCAUUGGUUCUGCAUGGAAUUGCUUCCACCCAUUUCGAUACGUAGUCAACACCAACCAAUAUGUAUUGAUGGCCAAAAGAAGGGGGAAAGGGUCCCAUGAAGUCGAUACCCCAUACGUCAAAAAUCUCAACCACUAAAAUUGGAUUUAGUGGCAUCAUGUUCCUUCGUGUAAUGCUCCCCAUUCGUUGACACCUAUCACAUGAAGAACAGAAAGUGUAAGCAUCUCGAAAUAUAGUUGGCCAAUAGAAACCACAUUGUAAAACUUUAGUCGCUGUUUUCUUAGCACUGAAAUGGCCUCCACAAGCUUGUUCAUGGCAGAAUGAAAGGAUAUUCUGAAUUUCACUUUCAGGGACACAUCGUCUAACAAUUUGGUCUGCACAAUACUUGAACAAAUAUGGGUCAUCCCAAAAGAAAUUCUUUAUUUCCGCAAAGAAUUUAGCCUUGUCUUGCUUGGUCCAAUGCUCUGGAAGCUUACCUGUAACAAGAUAAUUAACUAUAUCAGCAUACCAAGGUAAUACUUCCACACUCAUUAAUUGUUCAUCUGGAAAUGACUCAUUUAAUAUUAAUGGCUCUGUAAUUGUGUCAAAAUGGAGACGAGAGAGGUGGUCCGCCACAACAUUUUCUGUCCCUUUCUUAUCUUUGAAUUCCAAGUCAAAUUCUGCAAAAGUAACACCCAACGAAUUAGUCUAGCUUUUGCAUCUUUCUUUGUGAGAAGAUAUUUAAGAGCAGCAUGAUCUGUGAAUAUAAUUAUUUUACAACCAAUGAGAUAAGAUCGAAAUUUUUUCCAAUGCAAACACUACUGCUAGCAUUUCUUUUUCAGUAGUUGAAUAAUUCAACUGUGCAUCAUUCAAGGUCAUACUAGCAUAGUAAAUAACGUUGGGAAUUCGAUCAACUCUUUGUCCUAAUACUGCUCCUACUGCAUAAUCAGAUGCAUCACACAUGAGCUCAAAUGGUAAGCUCCAGUUUGGGGCCUGAAUGAUGGGUGAUGAUGUCAACAAUUGCUUUAAUUUUUCAAAAGCCAUAAGACAUGAAUCAUUAAAGAUAAAAGGUACAUCCUUAGCAAGUAAAUUGCAUAAGGGUCUAGAAACUUUGCUAAAAUCUUUAAUGAAACGUCUAUAGAAACCAGCAUGCCCAAGGAAAGAUCUUACUUCUCUGACUGUUUUAGGUGGAGGAAGAUUAGAAAUGAGAUCCACCUUGGCUUUGUCAACCUCAAUACCUUUGCUCGAAAUGAUGUGACCGAGAACAAUACCUUGUUUUACCAUAAAAUGGCACUUCUCCCAAUUUAAGACUAAGCUCUUCUCGGUACAUCUCUGCAGAACUAGCGUUAGAUGAUGUAAACAUUGAUCAAACGAGUCACCAAAGACAGAAAAAUCAUCCAUAAAGACUUCAAGGAAUCGUUCAACCAUAUCAGAAAAAAUGCUCAACAUGCAUCGUUGAAAUGUAGCAGGUGCAUUACAUAAUCCAAAUGGCAUUCUCCUAUAUGCAAAUGUGCCAAAGGGCAAGUGAAAGUAGUUUUCUCUUGAUCUUUUGGUGCUAUGGGAAUCUGAUUAUAUCCUGAGUAGCCAUCUAGAAAGCAAUAAAAUUCAUGGCCUGCUAAUCUAUCAAGCAUUUGAUCAAUAAAUGGUAAAGGAAAAUGGUCUUUACGUGUGACAGAAUUCAACUUUCUAUAAUCAAUGCAUACACGCCAUCCUGUAGUUACUCUAGUUGGUAUCAAUUCAUUAUCAGCAUUGGUAACUACUGUGACUCCUGACUUUUUGGGGACAACUUGUACAGGACUGACCCAUGAACUAUCAGAAAUUGGGUAAAUGAUACCUGCAUCUAAUAGCUUAAGGACUUCAGUUCUAACAACUUCUUUCAUGUUAGGAUUUAACCGACGUUGCAUCUCCCUAGUAGUUUUAGCAUUUUCAUCAAGGUGAAUGUAAUGCAUACAGUCUACUGGGUUUAUACCUUUAAUGUCUGCUAUGGUCCAUCCUAAUGCUCCUUUGUGCUCUUUUAAAACAUCCAACAACUUACCUUUUUGUUCGUCAUUUAGGGAUGAUGAGAUGAUUACCGGCAGAGUACUUUCUUCUCCCAAAAAUGCAUAUUCCAGAGUGUUGGGUAAUGGUUUGAGCUCGAGUUUCGGGUGGUGAUUCUGAUGAUGGAAUGAGUUUCUUCUCUGAUGGUGCUAGUUGUUCAACUCUUGACUUCCAUUUAUUAGUGUCCAUGGAUGGUGCUGAGUCAAGCAGGGCGUUGACCUCAUCGACCGAUCUAUCAAUAUCAAAAUCCAAACCAAAGUGAGUUAAGCAUGUCUGUAAAGGAUCAUCACUAAGGUUUGAAAGAAAAGUAUUAUCAACUAUUGUUUCUAUUAAAUCCACAUCAACAAUUCCAUCAUCUGCACUGUGAGGUUGUUUGGCAAUGUUGAAAAUAUUUAGCUCCAUAGUCAUGUUGCCGAAGGACAACUGCAUAUUUCCAGUCCUGCAUUGAAUGUGAGCAUCCGCAGUCGCCAAGAAAGGUCGGCCUAGAAUAAUGGGGAUGUGCUUCCUUGAAUCCUGUAUUGGUUGAGUGUCAAUUACAAUGAAAUCAACAGGAAAAUAAAACUUGUCUACCUGGAUAAGCACGUCCUCCAUAAUACCACGAGGUAUUUUCGUGGACCGAUCUGCAAGCUGUAACACCACUGGAGUUGGGUGUAAUUCUCCAGUCCAAGUUUCACGAAUACUGAAUAAGGCAACAGAUUUACACUAGCUCCUAAAUCCAACAACGCAUUCUCAAUUGUGUGGUUUCCCUAUACUACAUGAGAUAGUGGGGGAGCCUGGGUCUUUGCAUUUUAGAGGAAUUUUAUGUUGGAGUAUAGAACUAACAUUUUCUGUUAAAAAUGCCUUCUUUUGAACAUGCAUAUUUCUCUUUUUAGUACAAAGGUCUUUAAGAAACUUGGCAUAAGAUGGAACUUGUUUAAUAGCAUCAAGUAAAGGGAUGUUAACACUUACCUGUUUGAAGAUUUCGAGAAUCUCACCUGUGGAUUUUCCCUUUUUCCCUUUAGCUAACCUCUGAGGAAAUGGAGCUUUCGGAACGUAUUCUCGUGGGUUGGUUUCUUCUUUCUCCUCCGGUGGUGAGUCUUCAACAUUCACAGGUACAAUUUGAUUUUCUUUUGUCACCGGCAUCUCCACUUUGUUGUCGACUUCCUUUCCUUUUCGCAAGGUCAUGACUGCUUUGACCUCUCCAUGCUGUUGUGGUGAACUGGUACUUGCUUCAUGUACUCCUUUAGGAUUAGGCACUGGUUGACUUGGAAAUUUUCCUUUCUCAACAGUCAUUGCCAAGGUCUGAACUGAAGAAGCAAGUUGUCCCACCAUCUUCUCGAGGCUUGAAACUGAUUGAGCUUGUGAGUUGAAGCCUGCUCUCAACUCAUUUCGUAGUCCAUCAAUGGUGCGGUUCUGUUGCUCAAUCGUGGAGUGAGUAACAUUCUUGAAAUUCUGGAAUGCAUCCUCCCAUGGUCUGGGUUGAGAGUAGUUCUGGUUCUGAUUGUAUGGUCUGAAUGGUGGCUGAGAGGCUUGAGGAUUUUGAGGAAUUUGUUGCAUUGGUGGAGCUGGAGCUGCUGGUCCAUUCUGUUGGAAUCCUUGAGACCAUGAAAUAUUGGGGUGGUCUCUCCAUCCAGGGUUAUAUGUGUUGGAGUAUGGGUUGUAAUUCGAUGGUUUUCUCAUUACACCUAUGGCAUUGGCUUGAUCGGAGUAUGAGUCAUGGUCAUGUGGUUCUGUUGAUUUAGCAGUCGAUAACGAUGCUAUUUGUCGAGCGAGACCUUCAACCAUCUCCUUGACUUCUUUGAUUCCCGAAGUUGACUCGCCAAUUUGAACCUCAUUUACUCCCUUAAUUCUUCUAGUAUUCCUUAGUGAUCGACUCCGUUGUUGGGAAUUAUCCGCUUGUCGUUGGAAGAAUUCCCAAAUUUCUGAUGCACUUUUUGACAUUAGCUCUCCUCCACUUGUUGCCAUUAGCCAUUCUUGCACAUUCGGUAGUAAUCCCUCCAAAAAGUAUUGGCAUUGGUGCCAUUUUUCGUACCAUGAUGUGGACACUUCAAGAGUAGCCCAUUGAAUCGCUCCCAAGUUUCGAAAAACUGCUCGUCCUCUCUUUGUGUAAACUCUGAAAUUUCCCUGCGAAUAGAAUUGGUUUUAUGCUGGGAAAUUUUAUUCAAAAAUUUAGUUACCAUUUGUUCCCAUGAUGAAAUGCUAUUAGCAGGCAACGUAUUUAACCAUGAACGAGCUCUAUCCUUUAAAGAAAAUGGGAAUAGUCUGAGUUUAACAUCAUCGUCUGAAAAAUUUUCAUAUUUAAAAGUUUGACAAAUGGUAUGAAAAUCAUUCAGAUGAUUAUAUGGGUCCUCAUUUUCUAAGCCAUAGAAUGUGGGGAGACAUUUAGCACACUAGGUUUUAGUUCAAAGUUCCUAGCAGCUACAUUUGGGUAUCUAAUACAUGAUGUGCUUAAAUUAGCUAAGGGACUAAAAUAGUCCUUAAAUGGCCUCUCCUGUGGUGCUUGUAAAUCCAUUCCAAUUUUUUUUUAAUGUGUUUUUGUGUGCGAAGUGUUUUUUCUAAUUCAAGGUCUAUAGGUUCAAGAUUAGGUAAUAAUGACCUACGACCAUGCAUGCAAAAUAAAAUGAAAUAAAAAAAAGAUGCAAACAAAACAAAAAUAAAGAUGGGAACAAAACAAAUUAAAAUAAAUAAGAGGGAGAAAUUACGAUACUAACCUUAUUGCGCUAUUACAACCUUUCUAUAAAAAUACACAAAAACAAAUACGUGAAAUAAAUUAACUAAAAAUUAAAUUAAUAAAAUAACAAAAAUUACAAAGAAAAAAAAUAAAUUGAAAAUUAAAUUACAGAAUUUUAAAGAAGAAAAAAGAAAGAAAUACUAACCUUUAAAUGUAGAUUUACUCUUUUUUUUUCUUUUUUUUUUUAAUAAGAAAAAAAAAUACAAGAAAACAAAUAAAAGAAAUUAUUCACAAAAAUUAAUUUUAUGAAUUAAAAUUACUUACCUCCCCGGCAACGGCGCCAAAAACUUGUUGUGCAAAUUUUAAUGUACUCGCAAGCGCACGAAUCUAUUGUAAUAUAGACUAAUGGUGACGAGUGUCGAUCCCACGAGGAGGUGGAUUUUAAUUGUGUAUAAAAUUAAUUUUGUAAAUGGGUGAUUGGAUUUGUGGUGGAAAUGAUUUGGAAUAUGCUAAAACUUAAAUUAAAAUGGCGAGAAUAAAUUGAAGAGAAUUCUAUUGAAAUGACGUACUUGGGUAUCUGGAUCCGUAUCAACAUGCAUCAUGGGCUAAAUAUUCCUUAUUAAUACCAAUUAAAUCAUGAGGGGGGAAUCCACACUCAUGAACCACGCUCUAAUCAAUAUGGUGCUAAGGGCUUUAUCGUGCCAAAUAAUAUAACCUUAUACCAGAGAGCCGGUGUAACCAAGGCGGUAUCUAGACAAGAUCAGUAUUAUUUGUCGACGAUAAGUCAAAUCAUCCACAAAAACUAGAGGGGAAAAGAAAAUAAAUUUACCAAAUAAAGCCCAUGACACAUGUUGAGACUUCACCUUCAACCCAAGCUUGAAAAGAAAUUAGCUACUCAUAAUUGAACUAGGGGCAAAAAGGGAAUUUAUUAAAAUACAAAGAAAAUACAAGAUGGAGAAGGAAUUACAGAAAAUGGAUCCCAAAAAUGGAUUCAGAGAUAUCAAAUUCGGGGGGAGAGGCCCCCUUUUUAUAGAUACAUGGAGUAAAUCAUGGCCAUCGGAUUAAAAACAGUUUGGACGCUCAGGAUUGCGCCACGUCAUCAGUCAACAGUCCACGGUUUGACCACGCGGAUGAACAGUAACACGGUUUGACCCGGAUGAACAGUAACGCGGUUUGGUUGAAAAUAAUCCUGUGUGAUGCAUGCACCGUACACGAGAUUUUUCGUCCACUGAUAUGCUGCCACGUCACCAUUAACAGUACAUAAGAAUUUUAGCCCAACAGGAUCGUGACACCUCAUCAGUCAAUGCCACAUCAUCGGUCAAUGCCACGUCAUCGGUCAAUGCCACGUCAUCGAUCCGUCUAUGUGAACAGUGUCGUGAACAGUAACGUAGACAGUACCGUACGUGAAUAGUACCGUACAUGUGAAUAGUGCCAUUUUUCCUUUUAUGCUCCUCCUAAGGUUUUCGACCGUCCUGAGUUCAAAAGUGAUGUCCGUUUUGCCGUCUGAUCUCUCCUUUAUUGUGAAAUGACUAUACUGCCCCUAAAAUACAUAAAAUACUUAAUUAAAAUAACACACACGUAAUUACAUCACAAGAAGGUUAAAUACAUAAAAGUAAGGGUUGUUAGUAAGACUUGAAAUGUAAAAUGACGGUUUUCUCCUUUAUAAAUAUGUAUUUUCUAACACUCAACACACCCCCCAACCAGCUUAUUGCUAGUCCCUAGCAAAUAAAGCGAAAACAAAAUUCAAAUUCAAAAUGAUUUUUUUUUUUUUUUUUUUUAGAAACACUCGUGUUUAUUCAAUCAGAUUAAUGAUAGCAAUCAAAUAAAAGUAUAAGCAUUAUCUCCAGUCUAAAGCAACAUCACACCCACAUCAACCAUCCACAUGAAUUAGCCCAGUAGACUUUGUUAUAGCUACUUUCAAGAAUGACAUGUCAAACCCCAAAAUCUCACUGGAAGUAGUGACACUCUCACAAAGAAAUUAAAACCCAAUAAACAUAGUCACUCCAAUGAAUGGUAAUUGAGAGAGAAAAUAAUAAAGAAAUGAUAUCACAUGCUCUCACCAAGAUUAAAUAAAUAUGCCCUCAGCUUAGAAAUAAUACGAUCUCAAGUCAAAUAAAAUGUUAGUCAACCCACUUUAUUUAUCUUUUUUUUUUUUAAUUAUGCAUCACUACAUCUUUUUAGCCCAUAUAACUAGCUUCUACUUCAAACUAUAGUUCCCUAAAAUCAAGAAGGACUUUUAUUAGGACGUAACGUAGGCUAGGGAUAUGGCUAACAAAGAAGGGAAAUAAGGAAAACAAAGUGUAUGUUUGAGAAAAAUGCAGAGAAUAUUUUUUUUUUUUUUUUUGGAAGUUGCAAGGUGGAUUUCACCUAUUAUUGUUAUUUUUAUUCUUUUGAAACAACAAUUUUUUUUUUUUUUUUUUUUUUUCAGCAACAACAAUUUUUUCUUUUUUUUUUUUUGAACUAGGCAUAACUUCACUAUGCAAAAUGUUUAUUUACAUUUUUCUCAAACAUAAAUAGGUGAUGGAAUUUGUAAGAUAUUGGGUAAUACUCCAAAUCGGAGUGGGUCAAGAUGAUAAGUUAAACAAAGAAAAGUUUUUUUUUUUUUUUAUUUAAAAGGCUCAAAUGGGUUAACUAUGGAUACUUGAUAAGAGGGAUGGCUAGAAAGGCUCAAACGGAUCAAAGAUGGCCUUUCCAUCGUCUUUUAGGGCUCUAAAUAAUCAUCCAUAUCUACUAGUUAGAUGGGCCUCCCAAUGUAGCAACACACACAUUUUUUUUUUUUUUUUUUUUUAAGGCUUAACUCAAAAGAAAUCUAGAGAUCGUGUAUACAAUAAUAAACUGUUAAGCAUUAUAAAGAAUGGGCAAAAGGGUUACUCUCCAAGAAAAAUGAUAGGCUCAAAAACUCACUUGGUACUUAUUAUGACAUGUUCAUUCCUUCAAGCAACUCAUAUUUGUCUCCGACAUCAACAUGUAGAGUAGCAAACAUAAUGUAACAUCACUUAAGACCAAAGAUAAUACAAAUACUAAAAUUUGAAAUUAAUCAUGUCAUCUAAAGUUAAAACAAAUCACACAAUUUUUUCUUUUUUUUUUUUAAACAACAUUCUACCCCCCAACCUAUUCUAAACAUGAAAGGAAAAUAUGCAUGCAGAAAUGUGAAAAUGAUGCAUAAAAACUAAUUAGAAAAGUUACACGUAAAAUGAUAGAAAACGAAAAUGAAAUUUUGUUUUUUUUUUUUUUAAUUUUUUUUUAAACGAUGAAGAUGUUUCUAGAGGCACUACACUCCAUAUUCAGCUAUCUUCGACUCAAAAGUUGGAAAAUAUAUAUUUAUAAGGAGAAAUUAAAAAGAAGAAGAAAAAUGAACAUCAAAACAUAAUAAAGAAAAAGAAAAUGUUUGAAUUUUUGUUUUUUUUAGUUUUUUAGUUUUUUAAAUUUUUUUUUUUUUUAAACGAUGAAGAUGCGUUUCUAGAGUCACUACACUCCAUAUUCAGCCAUCUUCAACACAAAAAGUUAGCAACAGUUAGUUUCUACAACAAAAAAUCAGUAAAAACUUAACCAAGAUUCCACAAUUGUCGACUAUUCCCCUCAACCAGAACGAAACAUUGUCCUCAAUGUUUUAAAGGAAAGAAGUAGAGUUUAGAAGACAUCACCUGGGUGGUGCAACACAAAAGAUAUAUUUACAGGCGGAGAGUUAAAUCUAAUUUGUACUUCUUACUGCGGCUACUGUUACCAUCAUUAUUUGGGCGCUCCAACACAAAGGUCCAGGGGUCUGGCUCCGGUUUAUAAGCUUGUAACAGAUCAAGUAGUUCAUUAGCAGUGUGAGCACAAAUAAAAAGUUUUUUUACAUUAGAAGGAAUGAAAUAGUUUUUUAUUGCAUGGUUAAGAAAUGCGAUAAAGCCAUCAUAAAAGUUAUUGACAUUUAACAAACCGAUGGGUUUCUGGUGGAUGUGCAGAUGGGCCCAAGAUGCUAGUGUCAUAAGUGCCUCUAGUGUUGCAAGAUCCUGGAAGGAAAAUAAAAGCAUCAGCAUGAUUAAGCAUUUCAGUUAUUCUUUCUUGCAUACCUGAGACGACUAACUCUUCUCCAGUUGAUGAGUCAGACGAACUGCCCAAUGGUUUUAGGACUCUUGGGAUGAUGCCUAACACUUGACUUCCUCUGAUAAAAGCUGCUUCUGAGACCAUUUUUGAUAACCCUCGGUUACCUCCUCCAUACACCAAAUGUAAUUUUCUCGCUGCUAUGCUUCGACCAAGAUCUAUGGCUGCCUCCACGAACUCUUUAUGUUUGCCAUAGGUAAAUCCAGAAAGCACACAAAUGUUCUUGAAUUGUCUAUUGGGAGUAGCUGCCAUUGUGAUACUUCUCAAAAAUAAUUUGUGAGUGCUUGACAAAAGAUAAAUCACAUUUAAGAAUCUUGGUGACAAUGGAUCACAGCUGUGAAUGAGGUAACAUGUCAGUGUCAAAUAACGCGUAAAGCACGUGGCUCGCGAGUCAAAAAGGAAACAGUAAAAAGGAAAAAGCAAACAGUAAUAAAAUUAUUAAAGACAAUAAUGCAAACAAUAAAACAACAGUGAAAUGAAAUAAAAUAACAGUAAAGUAAAAGGAUAUUUACACGUAGUUGCGACUGUGGCUCACAUCUUCCUCUGGUUUUACGUCCAGAACGGCUUGAACGCCCUCUAUGGGUCGAGGAUGGGCUUCCCAUCCAGUUUUCUUAUAAACUGGCAAACAGGGUCGUUUAUAGUCAGAUUCCCGAGACGAUAUCGUGCAUGCUCUUUUUGGAAUAAUGGCCUUAACUGGAGAAUCGCUCCUUGCACAUAUCCACUGGGAUGCGUUUCAAGAGACAAAAGGAUAUCAUCCAAUGACUCCUUAUUCAAGCCAUCCCUAAUGAAUUGAAUCUUAUCUUCCCUGUUAUCAGACACCAUUCCUAAAGAACAUGGGUUUCUAUCGCAACUCAUUCUGGCACACUUGUGACAAGCAACAGAAAUUCUUCGAGCUCGUCGUUUUCUUGCGUAAUUUCCUUUACCACAACCAGGCAUGUAUGCAAUAAAUUUAGGAGGUAACUCACCUGCCAAUCGUACUUUAGCCUCGAUUAACCAACGGAUGUCUGCAGGUAUGUUAUUCCUCAUGAGCAAUCGCAUGCGUUCAGACCGGGCUUUAUAGAUUGUAAGGAGGGCAUUCUGAGGAAGUGAAGGGAAUCGCUUGUGAAGCUUCGCUAGAAUCUCGUUUCUGUCCAUACCUUCGCCUCAGAAUAUCAGUUAUUAUGGGAACUGAAGUUAACCGACUUGAUUGUCACGGAGUACCGCCACUUCACCGGGGUAACAAACUAAAGCACACAAACAGAAAACAAAAAACACACAAAGAAAAUUAAAAUCGUCCUCUUAUUGAAUUUACCUCAAGCUCCAACUGGAUGUCGUAAACACUUCUCUCAAUGUCUCUGAGUUGGCGUUCUAAACCCCUCAACAUAGGCUACUAACUCUGGUGGUUGUAGAGCCCAAAUGCGUUGUGUUUUACAAAAUAGAAUCUGCCUUUUGAGAUGAGUUUUGACACGUUGAAGUGGUUUAAGAAUGUUCAGGAGGAACGGUCUAAGUAUGAGACUCAUGAUUAAAAAUGAUAAGAGAAAACUUAAUGGUAAAAUAAACACACUUAUGCAAAAACAAUUUCAAUUAGCAAAAGAAUAAUAAUAAAAAGAAAUAAAGAAAAAUCAAAUUAACGAAAAGAGAAAAAAAAAAUCAAUUCAAAUUUAGUGGGUCACUCAAAUUUAUUUCGAUGUUUUCUCCAUGUGGUUGGUACUCUAGAUAUGGCUUUAAUCUUUGACCAUUAACUUUAUACGUGACACCGUUCUUUGGUCCUUAAUUUCAAUUGCCCCAUGUGGAAAAACAGUAUGUACAAUAAAUGGGCCAGACCAACGAGAGCGUAACUUACCUGGGAAUAGGUGCAAGCGAGAAUUGAAUAAAAGCACUUUCUGACCUGGAGUGAACGAUUUUCUCAUAAUUUGCUUAUCAUGGAAGACUUUCAUUCGUUGCUUGUAAAUCUUGGCAUUUUCGUAUGCAUCAUUGCGAAUUUCUUCAAGUUCUGCCAGCUGUAAUCUUCUUUCUGAGCUGGCUUGCUGCAUGUCAAAGUUGAAUUUCUUGAUGGCCCAAUAUGCACGAUGCUCGAGUUCCACAGGUAGGUGGCAAGCUUUUCCAUACACUAGCCUGUAGGGUGACAUCCAAUCGGGGUCUUGAAAGCCGUUCUAUAUGCCCAUAAUGCAUCAUCAAGUCGUAAUGACCAAUCUUUCCUGUCUGGCCUCACCGUCUUUUCUAAUAUGUGCUUUAUUUCUCGAUUGGAGAUCUCAACUUGGCCACUGGUUUGCGGAUGAUACGGGGUCGCACUUUGUGUGUGAUUGAAUACUUUGUCAAAAGAGCCUUGAAUGCUUUGUUACAAAAGUGGGCACCACCAUCACUGAUUAUCGCUCGAGGGAAUCCAAAGCGCGAAACAAUAUUGCUUUUCAAAAAUCCUAUCACCACUUUGUGAUCAUUGGUUCUGCAUGGAAUUGCUUCCACCCAUUUCGAUACGUAGUCAACACCAACCAAUAUGUAUUGAUGGCCAAAAGAAGGGGGAAAGGGUCCCAUGAAGUCGAUACCCCAUACGUCAAAAAUCUCAACCACUAAAAUUGGAUUUAGUGGCAUCAUGUUCCUUCGUGUAAUGCUCCCCAUUCGUUGACACCUAUCACAUGAAGAACAGAAAGUGUAAGCAUCUCGAAAUAUAGUUGGCCAAUAGAAACCACAUUGUAAAACUUUAGUCGCUGUUUUCUUAGCACUGAAAUGGCCUCCACAAGCUUGUUCAUGGCAGAAUGAAAGGAUAUUCUGAAUUUCACUUUCAGGGACACAUCGUCUAACAAUUUGGUCUGCACAAUACUUGAACAAAUAUGGGUCAUCCCAAAAGAAAUUCUUUAUUUCCGCAAGAAUUUAGCCUUGUCUUGCUUGGUCCAAUGCUCUGGAAGCUUACCUGUAACAAGAUAAUUAACUAUAUCAGCAUACCAAGGUAAUACUUCCACACUCAUUAAUUGUUCAUCUGGAAAUGACUCAUUUAAUAUUAAUGGCUCUGUAAUUGUGUCAAAAUGGAGACGAGAGAGGUGGUCCGCCACAACAUUUUCUGUCCCUUUCUUAUCUUUGAAUUCCAAGUCAAAUUCCUGCAAAAGUAACACCCAACGAAUUAGUCUAGCUUUUGCAUCUUUCUUUGUGAGAAGAUAUUUAAGAGCAGCAUGAUCUGUGAAUAUAAUUAUUUUACAACCAAUGAGAUAAGAUCGAAAUUUUUCCAAUGCAAACACUACUGCUAGCAUUUCUUUUUCAGUAGUUGAAUAAUUAACUGUGCAUCAUUCAAGGUCAUACUAGCAUAGUAAAUAACGUUGGGAAUUCGAUCAACUCUUUGUCCUAAUACUGCUCCUACUGCAUAAUCAGAUGCAUCACACAUGAGCUCAAAUGGUAAGCUCCAGUUUUGGGGCCUGAAUGAUGGGUGAUGAUGUCAACAAUUGCUUUAAUUUUUCAAAAGCCAUAAGACAUGAAUCAUUAAAGAUAAAAGGUACAUCCUUAGCAAGUAAAUUGCAUAAGGGUCUAGAAACUUUGCUAAAAUCUUUAAUGAAACGUCUAUAGAAACCAGCAUGCCCAAGGAAAGAUCUUACUUCUCUGACUGUUUUAGGUGGAGGAAAGAUUAGAAAUGAGAUCCACCUUGGCUUUGUCAACCUCAAUACCUUUGCUCGAAAUGAUGUGACCGAGAACAAUACCUUGUUUUACCAUAAAAUGACACUUUCCCAUUUAAGACUAAGCUCUUCUCGGUACAUCUCUGCAGAACUAGCGUUAGAUGAUGUAAACAUUGAUCAAACGAGUCACCAAAGACAGAAAAAUCAUCCAUAAAGACUUCAAGGAAUUCAACCAUAUCAGAANGAUAAUUAACUAUAUCAGCAUACCAAGGUAAUACUUCCACACUCAUUAAUUGUUCAUCUGGAAAUGACUCAUUUAAUAUUAAUGGCUCUGUAAUUGUGUCAAAAUGGAGACGAGAGAGGUGGUCCGCCACAACAUUUUCUGUCCCUUUCUUAUCUUUGAAUUCCAAGUCAAAUUCCUGCAAAAGUAACACCCAACGAAUUAGUCUAGCUUUUGCAUCUUUCUUUGUGAGAAGAUUUUAAGAGCAGCAUGAUCUGUGAAUAUAAUUAUUUUACAACCAAUGAGAUAAGAUCGAAAUUUUUCCAAUGCAAACACUACUGCUAGCAUUUCUUUUCAGUAGUUGAAUAGUUCAACUGUGCAUCAUUCAAGGUCAUACUAGCAUAGUAAAUAACAUGGGAAUUCGAUCAACUCUUUGUCCUAAUACUGCUCCUACUGCAUAAUCAGAUGCAUCACACAUGAGCUCAAAUGGUAAGCUCCAGUUUGGGGCCUGAAUGAUGGGUGAUGAUCAACAAUUGCUUUAAUUUUUCAAAAGCCAUAAGACAUGAAUCAUUAAAGAUAAAAGGUACAUCCUUAGCAAGUAAAUUGCAUAAGGGUCUAGAAACUUUGCUAAAAUCUUUAAUGAAACGUCUAUAGAAACCAGCAUGCCAAGGAAAGAUCUUACUUCUCUGACUGUUUUAGGUGGAGGAAGAUUAGAAAUGAGAUCCACCUUGGCUUUGUCAACCUCAAUACCUUUGCUCGAAAUGAUGUGACCGAGAACAAUACCUUGUUUUACCAUAAAAUGACACUUCUCCCAAUUUAAGACUAAGUUCUUCUCGUACAUCUCUGCAGAACUAGCGUUAGAUGAUGUAAACAUUGAUCAAACGAGUCACCAAAGACAGAAAAUCAUCCAUAAAGACUUCAAGGAAUCGUUCAACCAUAUCAGAAAAAAUGCUCAACAUGCAUCGUUGAAAUGUAGCAGGUGCAUUACAUAAUCCAAAUGGCAUUCUCCUAUAUGCAAAUGUGCCAAAAGGGCAAGUGAAAGUAGUUUUCUCUUGAUCUUUUGGUGCUAUGGGAAUCUGAUUAUAUCCUGAGUAGCCAUCUAGAAAGCAAUAAAAUUCAUGGCCUGCUAAUCUAUCAAGCAUUUGAUCAAUAAAUGGUAAAGGAAAAUGGUCUUUACGUGUGACAGAAUUCAACUUUCUAUAAUCAAUGCAUACACGCCAUCCUGUAGUUACUCUAGUUGGUAUCAAUUCAUUAUCAGCAUUGGUAACUACUGUGACUCCUGACUUUUUGGGGACAACUUGUACAGGACUGACCCAUGAACUAUCAGAAAUUGGGUAAAUGAUACCUGCAUCUAAUAGCUUAAGGACUUCAGUUCUAACAACUUCUUUCAUAUUAGGAUUUAACCGACGUUGCAUUCCCUAGUAGUUUUAGCAUUUUCAUCAAGGUGAAUGUAAUGCAUGCAGUCUACUGGGUUUAUACCUUUAAUGUCUGCUAUGGUCCAUCCUAAUGCUCCUUUGUGCUCUUUUAAAACAUCCAACAACUUACCUUUUUGUUCGUCAUUUAGGGAUGAUGAGAUGAUUACCGGCAGAGUACUUUCUUCUCCCAAAAAUGCAUAUUCCAGAGUGUUGGGUAAUGGUUUGAGCUCGAGUUUCGGUGGUGAUUCUGAUGAUGGAAUGAGUUUCUUCUCUGAUGGUGCUAGUUGUUCAACUCUUGACUUCCAUUUAUUAGUGUCCAUGGAUGGUGCUGAGUCAAGCAGGGCGUUGACCUCAUCGACCGAUCUAUCAAUAUCAAAAUCCAAACCAAAGUGAGUUAAGCAUGUCUGUAAAGGAUCAUCACUAAGGUUUGAAAGAAAAGUAUUAUCAACUAUUGUUUCUAUUAAAUCCACAUCAACAAUUCCAUCAUCUGCACUGUGAGGUUGUUUGGCAAUGUUGAAAAUAUUUAGCUCCAUAGUCAUGUUGCCGAAGGACAACUGCAUAUUUCCAGUCCUGCAUUGAAUGUGAGCAUCCGCAGUCGCCAAGAAAGGUCGGCCUAGAAUAAUGGGGAUGUGCUUCCUUGAAUCCUGUAUUGGUUGAGUGUCAAUUACAAUGAAAUCAACAGGAAAAUAAAACUUGUCUACCUGGAUAAGCACGUCCUCCAUAAUACACGAGGUAUUUUCGUGGACCGAUCUGCAAGCUGUAACACCACUGGAGUUGGGUGUAAUUCUCCCAGUCCAAGUUUCACGAAUACUGAAUAAGGCAACAGAUUUACACUAGCUCCUAAAUCCAACAAACGCAUUCUCAAUUGUGUGGUUCCCUAUACUACAUGAGAUAGUGGGGGAGCCUGGGUCUUUGCAUUUUAGAGGAAUUUUAUGUUGGAGUAUAGAACUAACAUUUUCUGUUAAAAAUGCCUUCUUUUGAACAUGCAUAUUUCUCUUUUUAGUACAAAGGUCUUUAAGAAACUUGGCAUAAGAUGGAACUUGUUUAAUAGCAUCAAGUAAAGGGAUGUUAACACUUACCUGUUUGAAGAUUUCGAGAAUCUCACCUGUGGAUUUUCCCUUUUUCCCUUUAGCUAACCUCUGAGGAAAUGGAGCUUUCGGAACGUAUUCUCGUGGGUGGUUUCUUCUUUCUCCUCCGGUGGUGAGUCUUCAACAUUCACAGGUACAUUUGAUUUUCUUUUGUCACCGGCAUCUCCACUUUGUUGUCGACUUCCUUUCCUUUUCGCAAGGUCAUGACUGCUUUGACCUCUCCAUGCUGUUGUGGUGAACUGGUACUUGCUUCAUGUACUCCUUUAGGAUUAGGCACUGGUUGACUUGGAAAUUUUCCUUUCUCAACAGUCAUUGCCAAGGUCUGAACUGAAGAAGCAAGUUGUCCCACCAUCCUUCUCGAGGCUUGAAACUGAAUUGAGCUUGUGAGUUGAAGCCUGCUCUCAACUCAUUUCGUAGUCCAUCAAUGGUGCGGUUCUGUUGCUCAAUCGUGGAGUGAGUAACAUUCUUGAAAUUCUGGAAUGCAUCCUCCAUGGUCUGGGUUGAGAGUAGUUCUGGUUCUGAUUGUAUGGUCUGAAUGGUGGCUGAGAGGCUUGAGGAUUUUGAGGAAUUUGUUGCAUUGGUGGAGCUGGAGCUGCUGGUCCAUUCUGUUGGAAUCCUUGAGACCAUGAAAUAUUGGGGUGGUCUCUCCAUCCAGGGUUAUAUGUGUUGGAGUAUGGGUUGUAAUUCGAUGGUUUUCUCAUUACACCUAUGGCAUUGGCUUGAUCGGAGUAUGAGUCAUGGUCAUGUGGUUCUGUUGAUUUAGCAGUCGAUAACGAUGCUAUUUGUCGAGCGAGACCUUCAACCAUCUCCUUGACUUCUUUGAUUCCCGAAGUUGACUCGCCAAUUUGAACCUCAUUUACUCCCUUAAUUCUUCUAGUAUUCCUUAGUGAUCGACUCCGUUGUUGGGAAUUAUCCGCUUGUCGUUGGAAGAAUUCCCAAAUUUCUGAUGCACUUUUUGACAUUAGCUCUCCUCCACUUGUUGCCAUUAGCCAUUCUUGCACAUUCGGGUAGUAAUCCCUCCAAAAAGUAUUGGCAUUGGUGCCAUUUUUUCGUACCCAUGAUGUGGACACUUCAAGAGUAGCCCAUUGAAUCGCUCCCAAGUUUCGAAAAACUGCUCGUCCUCUCUUUGUGUAAACUCUGAAAUUUCCCUGCGAAUAGAAUUGGUUUUAUGCACUGGGAAAUAUUUAUUCAAAAAUUUAGUUACCAUUUGUUCCCAUGAUGAAAUGCUAUUAGCAGGCAACGUAUUUAACCAUGAACGAGCUCUAUCCUUUAAAGAAAAUGGGAAUAGUCUGAGUUUAACAUCAUCGUCUGAAAAAUUUUCAUAUUUAAAAGUUUGACAAAUGGUAUGAAAAUCAUUCAGAUGAUUAUAUGGGUCCUCAUUUUCUAAGCCAUAGAAUGUGGGGAGACAAUUUAGCACACUAGGUUUUAGUUCAAAGUUCCUAGCAGCUACAUUUGGGUAUCUAAUACAUGAUGUGCUUAAAUUAGCUAAGGGACUAAAAUAGUCCUUAAAUGGCCUCUCCUGUGGUGCUUGUAAAUCCAUUCCAAUUUUAUUUUUAAUGUGUUUUUGUGUGCGAAGUGUUUUUUCUAAUUCAAGGUCUAUAGGUUCAAGAUUAGGUAAUAAUGACCUACGACCAUGCAUGCAAAAUAAAAUGAAAAUAAAAAUAAAGAUGCAAACAAAACAAAAAAUAAAGAUGGGAACAAAACAAAUUAAAAUAAAUAAGAGGGAGAAAUUACGAUACUAACCUUAUUGCGCUAUUACAACCUUUCUAUAAAAAUACACAAAAAACAAAUACGUGAAAUAAAUUAACUAAAAAUUAAAUUAAUAAAAUAAACAAAAAUUACAAAGAAAAAAAAAUAAAUUGAAAAUUAAAUUACAGAAUUUUAAAGAAGAGAAAAAGAAAAGAAAUACUAACCUUUAAAUGUAGAUUUACUCUUUUUUUUUUCUUUUUUUUUUUAAUAAGAAAAAAAAAAUACAAGAAAACAAAUAAAAGAAAUUAUUCACAAAAAUUAAUUUUAUGAAUUAAAAUUACUUACCUCCCCGGCAACGGCGCCAAAAACUUGUUGUGCAAAUUUUAAUGUACUCGCAAGCGCACGAAUCUAUUGUAAUAUAGACUAAUGGUGACGAGUGUCGAUCCCACGAGGAGGUGGAUUUUAAUUGUGUAUAAAAUUAAUUUUGUAAAUGGGUGAUUGGAUUUGUGGUGGAAAUGAUUUGGAAUAUGCUAAAACUUAAAUUAAAAUGGCGAGAAUAAAUUGAAGAGAAUUCUAUUGAAAUGACGUACUUGGGUAUCUGGAUCCGUAUCAACAUGCAUCAUGGGCUAAAUAUUCCUUAUUAAUACCAAUUAAAUCAUGAGGGGGGAAUCCACACCUCAUGAACCACGCUCUAAUCAAUAUGGUGCUAAGGGCUUAUCGUGCCAAAUAAUAAUAACCUUAUACCAGAGAGCCGGUGUAACCAAGGCGGUAUCUAGACAAGAUCAGUAUUAUUUGUCGACGAUAAGUCAAAUCAUCCACAAAAAACUAGAGGGGAAAAGAAAAUAAAUUUACCAAAUAAAGCCCAUGACACAUGUUGAGACUUCACCUUCAACCCAAGCUUGAAAAGAAAUUAGCUACUCAUAAUUGAACUAGGGGCAAAAAGGGAAUUUAUUAAAAUACAAAGAAAAUACAAGAUGGAGAAGGAAUUACAGAAAAUGGAUCCCAAAAAUGGAUUCAGAGAUAUCAAAUUAGGGGGAGAGGCCCCCUUUUUAUAGAUACAUGGAGUAAAUCAUGGCCAUCGGAUUAAAAACAGUUUGGACGCUCAGGAUUGCGCCACGUCAUCAGUCAACAGUCCACGGUUUGACCACGCGGAUGAACAGUAACACGGUUUGACCCGGAUGAACAGUAACGUGGUUUGGUUGAAAAUAAUCCUGUGUGAUGCAUGCACUGUACACGAGAUUUUUCGUCCACUGAUAUGCUGCCACGUCACCAUUAACAGUACAUAAGAAUUUUAGCCCAACAGGAUCGUGACACCUCAUCAGUCAAUGCCACAUCAUCGGUCAAUGCCACGUCAUCGGUCAAUGCCACGUCAUCGAUCCGUCUAUGUGAACAGUGUCGUGAACAGUAACGUAGACAGUACCGUAUACGUGAAUAGUACCGUACAUGUGAAUAGUGCCAUUUUUCCUUUUAUGCUCCUCCUAAGGUUUUCGACCGUCCUGAGUUCAAAAGUGAUGUCCGUUUUGCCGUCUGAUCUCUCCUUUAUUGUGAAAUGACUAUACUGCCCCUAAAAUACAUAAAAUACUUAAUUAAAAUAACACACACGUAAUUACAUCACAAGAAGGUUAAAUACAUAAAAGUAAGGGUUGUUAGUAAGACUUGAAAUGUAAAAUGACGGUUUUCUCCUUUAUAAAUAUGUAUUUUCUAACACUCAACACACCCCCCAACCAGCUUAUUGCUAGUCCCUAGCAAAUAAAGCGAAAACAAAAUUCAAAUUCAAAAUGAUUUUUUUUUUUUUUUUUUUUUAGAAACACUCGUGUUUAUUCAAUCAGAUUAAUGAUAGCAAUCAAAUAAAAGUAUAAGCAUUAUCUCCAGUCUAAAGCAACAUCACACCCACAUCAACCAUCCACAUGAAUUAGCCCAGUAGACUUUGUUAUAGCUACUUUCAAGAAUGACAUGUCAAACCCCAAAAUCUCACUGGAAGUAGUGACACUCUCACAAAGAAAUUAAAACCCAAUAAACAUAGUCACUCCAAUGAAUGGUAAUUGAGAGAGAAAAUAAUAAAGAAAUGAUAUCACAUGCUCUCACCAAGAUUAAAUAAAUAUGCCCUCAGCUUAGAAAUAAUACGAUCUCAAGUCAAAUAAAAUGUUAGUCAACCCACUUUAUUUAUCUUUUUUUUUUUUUUAAUUAUGCAUCACUACAUCUUUUUAGCCCAUAUAACUAGCUUCUACUUCAAACUAUAGUUCCCUAAAAUCAAGAAGGACUUUUAUUAGGACGUAACGUAGGCUAGGGAUAUGGCUAACAAAGAAGGGAAAUAAGGAAAACAAAGUGUAUGUUUGAGAAAAAUGCAGAGAAUAUUUUUUUUUUUUUUUUUGGAAGUUGCAAGGUGGAUUUCACCUAUUAUUGUUAUUUUUAUUCUUUUGAAACAACAAUUUUUUUCUUUUUUUUUUUUUUUUUCAGCAACAACAAUUUUUUCUUUUUUUUUUUUGAACUAGGCAUAACUUCACUAUGCAAAAUGUUUAUUUACAUUUUUCUCAAACAUAAAUAGGUGAUGGAAUUUGUAAGAUAUUGGGUAAUACUCCAAAUCGGAGUGGGUCAAGAUGAUAAGUUAAACAAAGAAAAGUUUUUUUUUUUUUUUUAUUUAAAAGGCUCAAAUGGGUUAACUAUGGAUACUUGAUAAGAGGGAUGGCUAGAAAGGCUCAAACGGAUCAAAGAUGGCCUUUCCAUCGUCUUUUAGGGCUCUAAAUAAUCAUCCAUAUCUACUAGUUAGAUGGGCCUCCCAAUGUAGCAACACACACAUUUUUUUUUUUUUUUUUUUUUAAGGCUUAACUCAAAAGAAAUCUAGAGAUCGUGUAUACAAUAAUAAACUGUUAAGCAUUAUAAAGAAUGGGCAAAAGGGUUACUCUCCAAGAAAAAUGAUAGGCUCAAAAACUCACUUGGUACUUAUUAUGACAUGUUCAUUCCUUCAAGCAACUCAUAUUUGUCUCCGACAUCAACAUGUAGAGUAGCAAACAUAAUGUAACAUCACUUAAGACCAAAGAUAAUACAAAUACUAAAAUUUGAAAUUAAUCAUGUCAUCUAAAGUUAAAACAAAUCACACAAUUUUUUCUUUUUUUUUUUUUAAACAACAUUCUACCCCCCAACCUAUUCUAAACAUGAAAGGAAAAUAUGCAUGCAGAAAUGUGAAAAUGAUGCAUAAAAACUAAUUAGAAAAGUUACACGUAAAAUGAUAGAAAACGAAAAUGAAAUUUUGUUUUUUUUUUUUUUAAUUUUUUUUUUAAACGAUGAAGAUGCGUUUCUAGAGGCACUACACUCCAUAUUCAGCUAUCUUCGACUCAAAAGUUGGAAAAUAUAUAUUUAUAAGGAGAAAUUAAAAAGAAGAAGAAAAAUGAACAUCAAAACAUAAUAAAGAAAAAGAAAAUGUUUGAAUUUUUUAGUUUUUUUUAGUUUUUUAGUUUUUUUAAAUUUUUUUUUUUUUUUUAAACGAUGAAGAUGCGUUUCUAGAGUCACUACACUCCAUAUUCAGCCAUCUUCAACACAAAAAGUUAGCAACAGUUAGUUUCUACAACAAAAAAUCAGUAAAAACUUAACCAAGAUUCCACAAUUGUCGACUAUUCCCUCCCCUCAACCAGAACGAAACAUUGUCCUCAAUGUUUUAAAGGAAAGAAGUAGAGUUUAGAAGACAUCACCUGGGUGGUGCAACACAAAAGAAUAUAUUUACAGGCGGAGAGUUAAAUCUAAUUUGUACUUCUUACUGCGGCUACUGUUACCAUCAUUAUUUGGGCGCUCCAACACAAAGGUCCAGGGGUCUGGCUCCGGUUUAUAAGCUUGUAACAGAUCAAGUAGUUCAUUAGCAGUGUGAGCACAAAUAAAAAGUUUUUUUACAUUAGAAGGAAUGAAAUAGUUUUUUAUUGCAUGGUUAAGAAAUGCGAUAAAGCCAUCAUAAAAGUUAUUGACAUUUAACAAACCGAUGGGUUUCUGGUGGAUGUGCAGAUGGGCCCAAGAUGCUAGUGUCAUAAGUGCCUCUAGUGUUGCAAGAUCUCCUGGAAGGAAAAUAAAAGCAUCAGCAUGAUUAAGCAUUUCAGUUAUUCUUUCUUGCAUACCUGAGACGACUAACUCUUCUCCAGUUGAUGAGUCAGACGAACUGCCCAAUGGUUUUAGGACUCUUGGGAUGAUGCCUAACACUUGACUUCCUCUGAUAAAAGCUGCUUCUGAGACCAUUUUUGAUAACCCUCGGUUACCUCCUCCAUACACCAAAUGUAAUUUUCUCGCUGCUAUGCUUCGACCAAGAUCUAUGGCUGCCUCCACGAACUCUUUAUGUUUGCCAUAGGUAAAUCCAGAAAGCACACAAAUGUUCUUGAAUUGUCUAUUGGGAGUAGCUGCCAUUGUGAUACUUCUCAAAAAUAAUUUGUGAGUGCUUGACAAAAGAUAAAUCACAUUUAAGAAUCUUGGUGACAAUGGAUCACAGCUGUGAAUGAGGUAACAUGUCAGUGUCAAAUAACGCGUAAAGCACGUGGCUCGCGAGUCAAAAAGGAAACAGUAAAAAGGAAAAAGCAAACAGUAAUAAAAUUAUUAAAGACAAUAAUGCAAACAAUAAAACAACAGUGAAAUGAAAUAAAAUAACAGUAAAGUAAAAGGAUAUUUACACGUAGUUGCGACUGUGGCUCACAUCUUCCUCUGGUUUUACGUCCAGAAACGGCUUGAACGCCCUCUAUGGGUCGAGGAUGGGCUUCCCAUCCAGUUUUCUUAUAAACUGGCAAACAGGGUCGUUUAUAGUCAGAUUCCCGAGACGAUAUCGUGCAUGCUCUUUUUGGAAUAAUGGCCUUAACUGGAGAAUCGCUCCUUGCACAUAUCCACUGGGAUGCGUUUCAAGAGACAAAAGGAUAUCAUCCAAUGACUCCUUAUUCAAGCUAUCCCUAAUGAAUUGAAUCUUAUCUUCCCUGUUAUCAGACACCAUUCCUAAAGAACAUGGGUUUCUAUCGCAACUCAUUCUGGCACACUUGUGACAAGCAACAGAAAUUCUUCGAGCUCGUCGUUUUCUUGCGUAAUUUCCUUUACCACAACCAGGCAUGUAUGCAAUAAAUUUAGGAGGUAACUCACCUGCCAAUCGUACUUUAGCCUCGAUUAACCAACGGAUGUCUGCAGGUAUGUUAUUCCUCAUGAGCAAUCGCAUGCGUUCAGACCGGGCUUUAUAGAUUGUAAGGAGGGCAUUCUGAGGAAGUGAAGGGAAUCGCUUGUGAAGCUUCGCUAGAAUCUCGUUUCUGUCCAUACCUUCGCCUCAGAAUAUCAGUUAUUAUGGGAAACUGAAGUUAACCGACUUGAUUGUCACGGAGUACCGUUAUCUGCCACUUCACCGGGGUAACAAACUAAAGCACACAAACAGAAAAACAAAAAACACACAAAGAAAAUUAAAAUCGUCCUCUUAUUGAAUUUACCUCAAGCUCCAACUGGAUGUCGUAAACACUUCUCUCAAUGUCUCUGAGUUGGCGUUCUAAACCCUCAACAUAGGCUACUAACUCUGGUGGUUGUAGAGCCCAAAUGCGUUGUGUUUUACAAAAUAGAAUCUGCCUUUUGAGAUGAGUUUUGACACGUUGAAGUGGUUUAAGAAUGUUCAGGAGGAACGGUCUAAGUAUGAGACUCAUGAUUAAAAAUGAUAAGAGAAAACUUAAUGGUAAAAUAAACACACUUAUGCAAAAACAAUUUCAAUUAGCAAAAGAAUAAUAAUAAAAAGAAAUAAAGAAAAAUCAAAUUAACGAAAAGAGAAAAAAAAAAUCAAUUCAAAUUUAGUGGGUCACUCAAAUUUAUUUCGAUGUUUUCUCCAUGUGGUUGGUACUCUAGAUAUGGCUUUAAUCUUUGACCAUUAACUUUAUACGUGACACCGUUCUUUGGGUCCUUAAUUUCAAUUGCCCCAUGUGGAAAAACAGUAUGUACAAUAAAUGGGCCAGACCAACGAGAGCGUAACUUACCUGGGAAUAGGUGCAAGCGAGAAUUGAAUAAAAGCACUUUCUGACCUGGAGUGAACGAUUUUCUCAUAAUUUGCUUAUCAUGGAAGACUUUCAUUCGUUGCUUGUAAAUCUUGGCAUUUUCGUAUGCAUCAUUGCGAAUUUCUUCAAGUUCUGCCAGCUGUAAUCUUCUUUCUGAGCUGGCUUGCUGCAUGUCAAAGUUGAAUUUCUUGAUGGCCCAAUAUGCACGAUGCUCGAGUUCCACAGGUAGGUGGCAAGCUUUUCCAUACACUAGCCUGUAGGGUGACAUCCCAAUCGGGGUCUUGAAAGCCGUUCUAUAUGCCCAUAAUGCAUCAUCAAGUCGUAAUGACCAAUCUUUCCUGUCUGGCCUCACCGUCUUUUCUAAUAUGUGCUUUAUUUCUCGAUUGGAGAUCUCAACUUGGCCACUGGUUUGCGGAUGAUACGGGGUCGCCACUUUGUGUGUGAUUGAAUACUUUGUCAAAAGAGCCUUGAAUGCUUUGUUACAAAAGUGGGCACCACCAUCACUGAUUAUCGCUCGAGGGAAUCCAAAGCGCGAAACAAUAUUGCUUUUCAAAAAUCCUAUCACCACUUUGUGAUCAUUGGUUCUGCAUGGAAUUGCUUCCACCCAUUUCGAUACGUAGUCAACACCAACCAAUAUGUAUUGAUGGCCAAAAGAAGGGGGAAAGGGUCCCAUGAAGUCGAUACCCCAUACGUCAAAAAUCUCAACCACUAAAAUUGGAUUUAGUGGCAUCAUGUUCCUUCGUGUAAUGCUCCCCAUUCGUUGACACCUAUCACAUGAAGAACAGAAAGUGUAAGCAUCUCGAAAUAUAGUUGGCCAAUAGAAACCACAUUGUAAAACUUUAGUCGCUGUUUUCUUAGCACUGAAAUGGCCUCCACAAGCUUGUUCAUGGCAGAAUGAAAGGAUAUUCUGAAUUUCACUUUCAGGGACACAUCGUCUAACAAUUUGGUCUGCACAAUACUUGAACAAAUAUGGGUCAUCCCAAAAGAAAUUCUUUAUUUCCGCAAAGAAUUUAGCCUUGUCUUGCUUGGUCCAAUGCUCUGGAAGCUUACCUGUAACAAGAUAAUUAACUAUAUCAGCAUACCAAGGUAAUACUUCCACACUCAUUAAUUGUUCAUCUGGAAAUGACUCAUUUAAUAUUAAUGGCUCUGUAAUUGUGUCAAAAUGGAGACGAGAGAGGUGGUCCGCCACAACAUUUUCUGUCCCUUUCUUAUCUUUGAAUUCCAAGUCAAAUUCCUGCAAAAGUAACACCCAACGAAUUAGUCUAGCUUUUGCAUCUUUCUUUGUGAGAAGAUAUUUAAGAGCAGCAUGAUCUGUGAAUAUAAUUAUUUUACAACCAAUGAGAUAAGAUCGAAAUUUUUCCAAUGCAAACACUACUGCUAGCAUUUCUUUUUCAGUAGUUGAAUAAUUCAACUGUGCAUCAUUCAAGGUCAUACUAGCAUAGUAAAUAACGUUGGGAAUUCGAUCAACUCUUUGUCCUAAUACUGCUCCUACUGCAUAAUCAGAUGCAUCACACAUGAGCUCAAAUGGUAAGCUCCAGUUUGGGGCCUGAAUGAUGGGUGAUGAUGUCAACAAUUGCUUUAAUUUUUCAAAAGCCAUAAGACAUGAAUCAUUAAAGAUAAAAGGUACAUCCUUAGCAAGUAAAUUGCAUAAGGGUCUAGAAACUUUGCUAAAAUCUUUAAUGAAACGUCUAUAGAAACCAGCAUGCCCAAGGAAAGAUCUUACUUCUCUGACUGUUUUAGGUGGAGGAAGAUUAGAAAUGAGAUCCACCUUGGCUUUGUCAACCUCAAUACCUUUGCUCGAAAUGAUGUGACCGAGAACAAUACCUUGUUUUACCAUAAAAUGACACUUCUCCCAAUUUAAGACUAAGCUCUUCUCGGUACAUCUCUGCAGAACUAGCGUUAGAUGAUGUAAACAUUGAUCAAACGAGUCACCAAAGACAGAAAAAUCAUCCAUAAAGACUUCAAGGAAUCGUUCAACCAUAUCAGAAAAAAUGCUCAACAUGCAUCGUUGAAAUGUAGCAGGUGCAUUACAUAAUCCAAAUGGCAUUCUCCUAUAUGCAAAUGUGCCAAAAGGGCAAGUGAAAGUAGUUUUCUCUUGAUCUUUUGGUGCUAUGGGAAUCUGAUUAUAUCCUGAGUAGCCAUCUAGAAAGCAAUAAAAUUCAUGGCCUGCUAAUCUAUCAAGCAUUUGAUCAAUAAAUGGUAAAGGAAAAUGGUCUUUACGUGUGACAGAAUUCAACUUUCUAUAAUCAAUGCAUACACGCCAUCCUGUAGUUACUCUAGUUGGUAUCAAUUCAUUAUCAGCAUUGGUAACUACUGUGACUCCUGACUUUUUGGGGACAACUUGUACAGGACUGACCCAUGAACUAUCAGAAAUUGGGUAAAUGAUACCUGCAUCUAAUAGCUUAAGGACUUCAGUUCUAACAACUUCUUUCAUGUUAGGAUUUAACCGACGUUGCAUCUCCCUAGUAGUUUUAGCAUUUUCAUCAAGGUGAAUGUAAUGCAUACAGUCUACUGGGUUUAUACCUUUAAUGUCUGCUAUGGUCCAUCCUAAUGCUCCUUUGUGCUCUUUUAAAACAUCCAACAACUUACCUUUUUGUUCGUCAUUUAGGGAUGAUGAGAUGAUUACCGGCAGAGUACUUUCUUCUCCCAAAAAUGCAUAUUCCAGAGUGUUGGGUAAUGGUUUGAGCUCGAGUUUUGGUGGUGAUUCUGAUGAUGGAAUGAGUUUCUUCUCUGAUGGUGCUAGUUGUUCAACUCUUGACUUCCAUUUAUUAGUGUCCAUGGAUGGUGCUGAGUCAAGCAGGGCGUUGACCUCAUCGACCGAUCUAUCAAUAUCAAAAUCCAAACCAAAGUGAGUUAAGCAUGUCUGUAAAGGAUCAUCACUAAGGUUUGAAAGAAAAGUAUUAUCAACUAUUGUUUCUAUUAAAUCCACAUCAACAAUUCCAUCAUCUGCACUGUGAGGUUGUUUGGCAAUGUUGAAAAUAUUUAGCUCCAUAGUCAUGUUGCCGAAGGACAACUGCAUAUUUCCAGUCCUGCAUUGAAUGUGAGCAUCCGCAGUCGCCAAGAAAGGUCGGCCUAGAAUAAUGGGGAUGUGCUUCCUUGAAUCCUGUAUUGGUUGAGUGUCAAUUACAAUGAAAUCAACAGGAAAAUAAAACUUGUCUACCUGGAUAAGCACGUCCUCCAUAAUACCACGAGGUAUUUUCGUGGACCGAUCUGCAAGCUGUAACACCACUGGAGUUGGGUGUAAUUCUCCCAGUCCAAGUUUCACGAAUACUGAAUAAGGCAACAGAUUUACACUAGCUCCUAAAUCCAACAACGCAUUCUCAAUUGUGUGGUUCCCUAUACUACAUGAGAUAGUGGGGGAGCCUGGGUCUUUGCAUUUUAGAGGAAUUUUAUGUUGGAGUAUAGAACUAACAUUUUCUGUUAAAAAUGCCUUCUUUUGAACAUGCAUAUUUCUCUUUUUAGUACAAAGGUCUUUAAGAAACUUGGCAUAAGAUGGAACUUGUUUAAUAGCAUCAAGUAAAGGGAUGUUAACACUUACCUGUUUGAAGAUUUCGAGAAUCUCACCUGUGGAUUUUCCCUUUUUCCCUUUAGCUAACCUCUGAGGAAAUGGAGCUUUCGGAACGUAUUCUCGUGGGUUGGUUUCUUCUUUCUCCUCCGGUGGUGAGUCUUCAACAUUCACAGGUACAAUUUGAUUUUCUUUUGUCACCGGCAUCUCCACUUUGUUGUCGACUUCCUUUCCUUUUCGCAAGGUCAUGACUGCUUUGACCUCUCCAUGCUGUUGUGGUGAACUGGUACUUGCUUCAUGUACUCCUUUAGGAUUAGGCACUGGUUGACUUGGAAAUUUUCCUUUCUCAACAGUCAUUGCCAAGGUCUGAACUGAAGAAGCAAGUUGUCCCACCAUCUUCUCGAGGCUUGAAACUGAUUGAGCUUGUGAGUUGAAGCCUGCUCUCAACUCAUUUCGUAGUCCAUCAAUGGUGCGGUUCUGUUGCUCAAUCGUGGAGUGAGUAACAUUCUUGAAAUUCUGGAAUGCAUCCUCCCAUGGUCUGGGUUGAGAGUAGUUCUGGUUCUGAUUGUAUGGUCUGAAUGGUGGCUGAGAGGCUUGAGGAUUUUGAGGAAUUUGUUGCAUUGGUGGAGCUGGAGCUGCUGGUCCAUUCUGUUGGAAUCCUUGAGACCAUGAAAUAUUGGGGUGGUCUCUCCAUCCAGGGUUAUAUGUGUUGGAGUAUGGGUUGUAAUUCGAUGGUUUUCUCAUUACACCUAUGGCAUUGGCUUGAUCGGAGUAUGAGUCAUGGUCAUGUGGUUCUGUUGAUUUAGCAGUCGAUAACGAUGCUAUUUGUCGAGCGAGACCUUCAACCAUCUCCUUGACUUCUUUGAUUCCCGAAGUUGACUCGCCAAUUUGAACCUCAUUUACUCCCUUAAUUCUUCUAGUAUUCCUUAGUGAUCGACUCCGUUGUUGGGAAUUAUCCGCUUGUCGUUGGAAGAAUUCCCAAAUUUCUGAUGCACUUUUUGACAUUAGCUCUCCUCCACUUGUUGCCAUUAGCCAUUCUUGCACAUUCGGUAGUAAUCCCUCCAAAAAGUAUUGGCAUUGGUGCCAUUUUUCGUACCCAUGAUGUGGACACUUCAAGAGUAGCCCAUUGAAUCGCUCCCAAGUUUCGAAAAACUGCUCGUCCUCUCUUUGUGUAAACUCUGAAAUUUCCUUGCGAAUAGAAUUGGUUUUAUGCACUGGGAAAUAUUUAUUCAAAAAUUUAGUUACCAUUUGUUCCCAUGAUGAAAUGCUAUUAGCAGGCAAUGUAUUUAACCAUGAACGAGCUCUAUCCUUUAAAGAAAAUGGGAAUAGUCUGAGUUUAACAUCAUCGUCUGAAAAAUUUUCAUAUUUAAAAGUUUGACAAAUGGUAUGAAAAUCAUUCAGAUGAUUAUAUGGGUCCUCAUUUUCUAAGCCAUAGAAUGUGGGGAGACAAUUUAGCACACUAGGUUUUAGUUCAAAGUUCCUAGCAGCUACAAUUGGGUAUCUAAUACAUGAUGUGCUUAAAUUAGCUAAGGGACUAAAAUAGUCCUUAAAUGGCCUCUCCUGUGGUGCUUGUAAAUCCAUUCCAAUUUUAUUUUUAAUGUGUUUUUGUGUGCGAAGUGUUUUUUCUAAUUAAAGGUCUAUAGGUUCAAGAUUAGGUAAUAAUGACCUACGACCAUGCAUGCAAAAUAAAAUGAAAAUAAAAAUAAAGAUGCAAACAAAACAAAAAAUAAAGAUGGGAACAAAACAAAUUAAAAUAAAUAAGAGGGAGAAAUUACGAUACUAACCUUAUUGCGCUAUUACAACCUUUCUAUAAAAAUACACAAAAACAAAUACGUGAAAUAAAUUAACUAAAAAUUAAAUUAAUAAAAUAAACAAAAAUUACAAAGAAAAAAAAAUAAAUUGAAAAUUAAAUUACAGAAUUUUAAAGAAGAGAAAAAGAAAAGAAAUACUAACCUUUAAAUGUAGAUUUACUCUUUUUUUUUUCUUUUUUUUUUUAAUAAGAAAAAAAAAAUACAAGAAAACAAAUAAAAGAAAUUAUUCACAAAAAUUAAUUUUAUGAAUUAAAAUUACUUACCUCCCCGGCAACGGCGCCAAAAACUUGUUGUGCAAAUUUUAAUGUACUCGCAAGCGCACGAAUCUAUUGUAAUAUAGACUAAUGGUGACGAGUGUCGAUCCCACGAGGAGGUGGAUUUUAAUUGUGUAUAAAAUUAAUUUUGUAAAUGGGUGAUUGGAUUUGUGGUGGAAAUGAUUUGGAAUAUGCUAAAACUUAAAUUAAAAUGGCGAGAAUAAAUUGAAGAGAAUUCUAUUGAAAUGACGUACUUGGGUAUCUGGAUCCGUAUCAACAUGCAUCAUGGGCUAAAUAUUCCUUAUUAAUACCAAUUAAAUCAUGAGGGGGGAAUCCACACCUCAUGAACCACGCUCUAAUCAAUAUGGUGCUAAGGGCUUAUCGUGCCAAAUAAUAAUAACCUUAUACCAGAGAGCCGGUGUAACCAAGGCGGUAUCUAGACAAGAUCAGUAUUAUUUGUCGACGAUAAGUCAAAUCAUCCACAAAAACUAGAGGGGAAAAGAAAAUAAAUUUACCAAAUAAAGCCCAUGACACAUGUUGAGACUUCACCUUCAACCCAAGCUUGAAAAGAAAUUAGCUACUCAUAAUUGAACUAGGGGCAAAAAGGGAAUUUAUUAAAAUACAAAGAAAAUACAAGAUGGAGAAGGAAUUACAGAAAAUGGAUCCCAAAAAUGGAUUCAGAGAUAUCAAAUUAGGGGGGAGAGGCCCCCUUUUUAUAGAUACAUGGAGUAAAUCAUGGCCAUCGGAUUAAAAACAGUUUGGACGCUCAGGAUUGCGCCACGUCAUCAGUCAACAGUCCACGGUUUGACCACGCGGAUGAACAGUAACACGGUUUGACCCGGAUGAACAGUAACGCGGUUUGGUUGAAAAUAAUCCUGUGUGAUGCAUGCACCGUACACGAGAUUUUUCGUCCACUGAUAUGCUGCCACGUCACCAUUAACAGUACAUAAGAAUUUUAGCCCAACAGGAUCGUGACACCUCAUCAGUCAAUGCCACAUCAUCGGUCAAUGCCACGUCAUCGGUCAAUGCCACGUCAUCGAUCCGUCUAUGUGAACAGUGUCGUGAACAGUAACGUAGACAGUACCGUAUACGUGAAUAGUACCGUACAUGUGAAUAGUGCCAUUUUUCCUUUUAUGCUCCUCCUAAGGUUUUCGACCGUCCUGAGUUCAAAAGUGAUGUCCGUUUUGCCGUCUGAUCUCUCCUUUAUUGUGAAAUGACUAUACUGCCCCUAAAAUACAUAAAAUACUUAAUUAAAAUAACACACACGUAAUUACAUCACAAGAAGGUUAAAUACAUAAAAGUAAGGGUUGUUAGUAAGACUUGAAAUGUAAAAUGACGGUUUUCUCCUUUAUAAAUAUGUAUUUUCUAACACUCAACAAUUAUCACAUGAUAAGUGAUGAACACCGCAAAAAACAAAAACAGAAAACAAAAUCCAUACAAAAAUAUCAUAAUACAUAUGUAAACUAAUAAAAUAAUUAAAAAGUAAUGGAUUUAAAAAAAAUGAAAUUAGUUAAAAGCGAUCAUGUGAAGUGAUAUAAAUGUGACACUAGAUUGUUUUAGAAAAAUUAUUAUUCUAUUAAUUUAUAUGGCUUGAUCAACUAUUUAAUUGAAUUUGAAUAAUAUUAUAUACACUUCAGAAGUAUUUGCAUCAAUUCUUUCUAAACCAAAAUGAGAUAUGACUUUCAUUUGAAGAAUGGUUUUAGGCCCUAUAAUAAAGAAAAUUCCCUAAGAUAUCUGAGCAUUAUUAUUAUCAUUACCACAUCCACCACCACCACCAUCAUCUCCAUAGGAUCAAAUAAUUAAUGGCUGAUCAUAAAAUUUAUUGUUAAACUAUCAUUUUGAGUAAAAUUGAAUGAAAAGAAAAAACAUGAACCCAAACAAACAUACCUCUUCAAGAUACUGCAAAUUGGUUUCAAGUUCAGUACUGUUGACAGUCAAGUUGGGACAGUGCUUAAGGCGUAACUUUUCCAAUGCUGACCAAAUUGAACAAUAAUUUUUUGAACAGAAGCUGAUGAGUUCUGGGAGAUUAUGAAGUGUUAAUUUUCUCAACAAAGGGAGGGCGAGCAUCGUACUUCCAUCUCGGACACUUAUUUCCCCUUCAUUGUGAUCAAACUUUGCUUUGACAAUACAUUCCAGUCUCUUGCAUUCCCUUACAUAGAGACUUUUAAGCUGCUCCAAACUUCGAGCUUGUGACAACGUGAACAUAUAUGUCAACUUGUUGCACCUAUGCACAUUCAAUUUUGUAAGAGUUUGGAGACUGAUCACAUGUUGGGCGGGCGCCUUCCAUAUCCACUUCAGUUCUGGUAAUUGCCACAUAUUUAACUCUGCUAAUCCUGAGAGACUCUUUCCAUGCAGUGACUUAGAGGCAUCCAUUAUGCAUUCUAAAUCUUCGCAAUCGCCGACAUCAAGACAAGUCAACUCAUUUAAGCCCCUUUCAUCUAUGCUUGGCGCAAUAUUGUAACAACCUAUAAUCCCACUUAAAUAAAGAAUUUCCAGUUCUUGAUACAAAGCCGAAAAAAUACCGAGCGAGGUCACUUCAGGAGGGUCAUUCUUAAUUAUUAAGCUCUUUCUCUGACUACCAUAUUUCAUUUUAUCAACAACUUGUUUACCUUUACCCAUGAUGUACAUUUGCAAUUUCGGGAAUGUAAAGUCUUUUGGAAGACAUACAACAGAUCCGUCGGCUUGGGAGUUCAACUCAGCAAGCCUAGCAUUACUUUGUUCUGAACUCAUCCCCUCAACCUCCCAAUUUUUUAUCCGACCAUAAAAUUCUUCUAAUUUUUUUAUCGUAAUGGGAGAAACAGAACCAGUAUCAAUAUAUAGAAGUUUCAAUCUACCAAGUUCAUCCGACAAUUCUUCAGCAAUUUCAAUGGGAGACGACUGGAGAUAAAGAAGUUCAAGUCUCUUCAACUUUCCAAGAAAAAACGCGUCACUCACAUCACACCGAAUCAACUGCAGAACUCGGAGGUUAUUGGCUAGGAAUCGAAGUGAUUUUAGUGAAAGGACUCCAUUUAUUAUAGUAACAACUUUCAAUGCUGGCAUCCCUUCAAAAAAAUUUUCUGGAACUUGCAAUUUGUAGUCACAUAGAGUGUUGUCCAGUCGCAAAAUAUGAAGGUUAGGGCAUACCAAACUACUAGGAAGCUCUUCUUCUUUAUUUCCCAUUACAGAGAUUCCUCUGUAUUGUUCCAGGCCUUCUUCCAUUGCCCGUUCUGCCAAUCCAAUGCCAACUUUACUAAAAAAUUUCUUCUCCACUAGUACUUCUGAGCCUAUCCAUAUGACUACAUCACGAACUAUGUCAUGCAUUUUCACAGAUCUGUCAUUACCAGUGUCUAACAGCAGUGAAGCAGCUUUGAGUCCUUCAAUUGUUCCACGCAGUAGGCUUCUGGCGUGCUCUAUUGAUUCAGCUUGAUACCAAGUCAACCCCACUACAUAUCGAACCAAAUCCUCCAAAUUAAUCUCAUAAUCUUCUGGAAACAGCGAACACAACAAGAAGCAUAACCUGGAAUUGUCAUCAUUCAAAUUGUCGUAACUAAAUUUGAGACAACCGUAAACGUCUCGGUUCUCCAUAUCAAUACCUUCUAUUGCAUAGAGUUUUGCAGCCUUUAGGUUAUGUAGAGUUAGAUCCCAUUCAUGAAAUCCUUUUCCUCUUAGUGCACUUCCAACAGCUUCAAUAGCUAAAGGCAGCCCGUUACAUUGCCCAGCAACUUCUUUGGAAACAUCAUUCAAGGUGGAGUCAUUUGCAUCAAUGCCGGCAUUUUUUUGCAGUAAAGCCAACCCUUCUUCUGCCGUUAGUGUACCCAGUUGAAUCUGCGGGUCACAACACAUGCUUUUACAAACUGACUGCAGGCGAGUGGUUAGAAGGAUUUUACAAAGAUUUUCUCUAUCACCAACAGGAAUACCUAAAUUUUCCUUCAAGUUCAGAUCAUUCCAGACAUCAUCGAUGAUUAUGAGGAUCUUGGUGCUUUUACUGUCAGAAAACAUCGAGCGCAAUCGGUCUGCUCCAUGUUUUUCAUCUUUCUGUUUUAAUUCCCAACCUAAUGAAUUUGCCAGCUCGUUUUGAACAUUUAUUAUGUUUGGAUGCCGAGAUAUAGUGGCUAUCCCCACCUUAUCGAAAUCCUUUUGUUGCCAAAGUUGUUGGCCCACAGAUUUUGCCAAGGUCGUCUUUCCUACACCACCGAGACCAUGCAAUCCCACCAUCUUUGUGCUCUCUUUUUUCAGUGCGUCAAUGAUCUGAUUGCAAGCUGAUUCUGUGGUCUCGUAAGUAGAAGUAAAAUGACUUGGCAAACUUAAUUCUCUCUCUAAUGGUAGAGGUUUAGGAAAGGCAACUGUGUUGAAUUGGCUGCAGUCUUGUAGCAGAUCAGACAACUUGCUAGUCUUCUGUGAUGCUUUUCUACCCAGCCAAUAUCGGCAACACCAAUUAGGACACAAUCCAUGAAGACUACUAUCCUUUUCAUCUAUCUCUGCUUUCAACUUCCAAACAUCGUCCAAUUCUUCGACUCCAUUAUUCAGCCACUCCAUUACAUUUUCAUCGACUACUAUGUCGGGGCAUUUUCGUCGUUCAUCGUCUAUUCUUGUUUUGAUGCCAUCUCGUGCCUUCUUCAACUUAGUUUCUUUAUCCUCAAGUUCUUUAACAAUGCUGUUGAAACAGAACAUAUAGCGAGCUUGGUCAAUGGCUGCAUUCACCAAUAAUUCUUCAACCUUUGAUUUUAAAGCUUCCAUGCUAUUUAUCUGCAAAUAACGAAGUUGAUCUCAGCACGCUAUUAGCAAAACAACGAGGCUUGAUCACCAGACAAAAUGAGAACGUUUAAUUACCUUUUUCUGUACUGUGAAUGGACGUCUAUUAACACCAGCUUUGACCAAUAAGAGCAAAAUGCAAAGGCGGGGCUUUAAGAGUUUCGGUGGCCUUUAGCUGCAAAACAGCAGAUGACAAAUAAGGUAAACGUUCCCAACAAACGUGAUUUACGGUGGAUUAUAUUCAAAUUAGAUUAUUUUAAAAAUUUUUAAAUAAAAGUAUCAAACAACAAAUUAAGCAAAUCUAGAUAAACCUAAAAUUGCAUUGUGCGUUGGUAAAUUAUUUAUUACUCUAUCUUAAUGAUACCUUAUUUGGGAUGGUAAAGAUUGGGGUAAAUUCCCUUUUAUUCUCACGUGUUUAUAGUUAUUGAACAUCCAUGUCACUACUUUUUAAAGAUUGGGGUAAAUUUCCUUUUAUUCGGGUGAAGAAAUUCCCUUUUAAAAAUUACCUAAAACAUUAAUGUCACUACUUUUAUAGCUAUUGAACAUAUCAUUUUAAAUAUAAAAUACUAUUUCUUUCUAAUAUAAAUUAAAAAUCAAACAAAGCUAUCAUGCAACAAAUGAAAAGUAAAGAAUAUUAAUUAGGUUUCAAUGGCACCAAAUAUAAAAUAUAGCGGUUUUAAGUAAUUUUUGUUAUUUUUUAAUGUUCAAUUUAGAAUUGAAUAAUUUGCAUAAUGAAAAUUUGAGGUUUGUAUAAUUUAUAUGAAGAUAAACUGCAAAAUAAGUUUAUAUGCCGAAAUUAAAAUAGUUAUAUAUUAGCAAUCAUAUAAUAAUCAAAAUUUUUAAUAAAAUUUAUUUAAAAAUUGGCCAAUUGUGUUUCAUGAGGAAAACAGAGAGCAUAAUGGACUUAUGUUGGGUCUUGGGAUUGAAAUACUAAGUGGCCGGGAGGUAGGACGGUAGGAAAAUUAAUUUUAUUUUUAAAGUAUGGUCAACAUUAGUGACUUGGAGGUGAUUGCCGUUAAUAAAUUAUCUUUAACUUAAGAAUUAAUACAAACAAAUGGCAAGAAUAAUAUAAUGAAAAUUAAUGUAAUAAAAAUUUGCAUUAAAAGACUUAGAACUUAAAAUUCUCGACCAUUUUUAUCUGUAUGUUUUUAAUCCAACGUGCAAAAUUGGCAUAAAACAAACUAGUACAGCCAUUAAAAGUAAAACAAACGUCAAAUUAAGAGCCUAUGAAACAAUAAGAUCUCGUACCUUCUUCGUUAUAGAUCCUCAAUUACUGCUGAAAGCUUCAGUUAAGAGAGUGGCACAAGGUCGGAGAAAAUUAAAAAGCUGCAUCCAGCAAUAUAAAUAAACAUCAGAUCUAAACAACAUAGCAUAUAUCUAGCUAACUAAACAUCAUCUAUAAGUCAUUGUUCUCUGUCAAAUCUUUCAUUCUUAGAUUAAAAAAAAUUUGAAAUAAUAACUGUUAAGUGAUAUAGGAAGCAGAAGUAACGUACCCAAAAUGAGAGCAGCUAGUUCACAGAUGACAUAUCUGGUGACUGCAAGAGCAUGAAAAAUGAUUGAACUUUGGUAUAAAGGUCUGAGUCAUGUUUCACAAGUUGCUAUUGACUUCGUAGCUUCGCUUUUAUUUAUUAUUAUUAUUAUUUUUUUAAAUUCUAUAUCAGUGAGAAUUGAAAUGAGGAAAGUGAGAUGACACGCAUGCCUUAUCAUCUAUGAUGAGGGGUAAUUUGGUAAAGCUAUUUUAAAAUAAAAAAGUUUAAAAAAAUUUCAAAAAGAAGCUUUGUGUCUAACUGCUCGUAUUUGGGGUAUCUUUCCGGCUGUUGAGAGAAUGAGUUUAAUUAAUUAAAUAUAAGAUUUUCAUUUUUCUUAUUAUAUAUUUCUCUUUAGAAUGAAUUUAAAUCUCAUUCUUAUUAAAUUCAUUCUUUUUAAAUGAAAGUAGAUUUAUCGCCAUAAAUUUUGAGUAUAUUUUACAAUUAAUGUUCAACAUAUCUCUAAACUAUAUUACAAAUAUUUUUAUUUAAAAUCUCAACAGAUUUCAUAACAUAUAGAGAAAAAUAUUUAUAUAUAUUGUAAUGUUCUAAUGAGGGAUCUCUAAAAUUAUUAAGUUAAAAAUAAAUAAAAAAUAAAAAAUACACGUUUUAACAUAUAAUAUAAUAAAAUACAGUGUAUUAAAGUGAAUAGUUUACUUAUUUUUUUAAUUUAUUUCUUAUUUUAAUAAUUUAAAAUAUUUAUUAUUUAAUAAUGAUUAUAUAUAUAUAUAUAUAUAUAUAUAUAUAUAUAUAUAUAAAAUUUUAAAAAAUAAACAAUUUAAGCGAAGCAAAGGACGUUUUGAAGGCUUCUACCAAUUUACCAUUUUGGACUGCAAUGAAGUGAAAACAGUAGACUACCAAUAUACCAUUUUGGAUUGCAAUAAAGUGAAAAUGGGUUACUUUCAAAAAAGAAAAGGUGACAGUGAGUUUUCCAUUUCAUCUUGUCGGUAGGGGUGUCAAAAAAACCCGCCCGAACCGGAUCCGGCCCGGACCCGGCCAAUCCGAUCUGGGCAAAACCCGGACUGCAUAUACUGAAAAAGCGGAUCUGGGUUUCAGAAUUUAAAACCUGGACAUUUCCGGGCACGGUUUCGGGUUCAGCAUAAAAAACCCGGAACCCGAACCCGGUUUUUUAAUAAACUUAAAAAAAAUAUAUAAAAAAAACCAAAAAAAUUAAAACGAGUUACCCAAAUCGCAAAACACAAAUGCCCAAAUCCAAAAAUCCCUAAUUCCCCAGUUACCCAAACCCAAAGGCAUAAGCAGCAACCCUGCCACCGGCUACCCACCGUCACCGUCGGCCAGCACCCACCGUCAGUCCGUCACCGUCGCCCCUCGGCAUCAUCUCUUCUUGUUUGGCAUUUGCUGACUCGGUUUUGCUCGGUUGCGGCUGUGACGUGAGUCGUUCGUGCAGUGCAGUGCAGCCCCCUCCGGCGCCGUCAACGUCAGUGCCACCGUCUCCAACUCUCCAUUGCCACUUUCUCAUCCACCAUCAGUCCAUCACUCUACCAUCACAGCCACCACUACCAGCCUCAGGUAUUGAUUUUUUCCCUCAAAAUUUUGCCUUCCCAGUUGCAUUUUUGCCGAUUCAUAAUCUUUAUAGAAUUACAAUUUACAUCAUUUUGCUUCUCUGUUGCUACUCGUGUUUAUCUUCAACCAAUUUUGUGCAUGGUUGCUGUGAGCCUGUGAUUACUGUUGCUCUUUAUUUUUUUCAGCCAAAUCCUUUUGCCUUUUUUUAAUUUUAUGUUGCAAUGUUAGUUAUGUAAUAAUAAGUUUCAGAGUCCGUUGAAUGACUUUUUAUAAAGAAGCUAAUUAAUGAAACUGGAAAAGGAGAGAAUGGAGGAGAUUGACAUUUACAGGAUGCGAUUAAACAAUUGAAAAGCUAAAAUAUGGCUUAUGGUGACAUUUACACACACACACACACACACACACAAAAUCAAUACUCUCUGUCUCUCUUUUCUGUUCACUUUUCCGUUUCCACACUAAAAUUUGAAAUUUAGUAUAUCUUUGCUAUUGUAACAGCAGAGUAGUGCAAUGUCGGACAACGUGGAAAUCAAUUCUUCGAGUGCUCCAGAUUUAUCUCGUAAUGUCGAAGAUAAAAUUGAUAAUGAGGUUGAGGAAAUUUUAGUGUCAACCGUGAAUGAUAAGAAGAGUAAGGAAGAAACCAGAAAAAAGAAGAAAGUCUCCGAAGCUUAGGAGCACUUUACAAAAAUAAUGGUAAAAGGAGAACAAAAGGCAAAGUGCAUGCAUUGUAGUGCAAUUUUAAAAGCAAAAUACCAAUCUAGGACUUCAACUUUGAAUAGACACGUGGCAUUUUGUUUUAAGAAAAAUCAACCGAAAAUAGAAGAAGCACUUCAGGGAAGCCUUAAAGUGAUUAAAAAAGAGGAUGGAACUUGUGGCAUUAGUUAUGGCAGUUUUGAUCAAAAUGUUUUACGGAGUUUGAUAGCAAGAAUGGUUAUAAUGGAUGAGCUUCCACUUAGAUUUGUGGAAUAUAUAGGCUUCUGAGAAAUGAUGGCACAUGCUAACAGGCUUGGCAAAACCCUAGGUCCGGUCCUGGUUUGGUGCAACCCGGGACCGAAUUGGAUGCCAAAAAUUGAUGCCCGGACCCAGACAAAACCCGGCUUUUGCAUGUCCGGUCCCGGCUUGAGCCCGGCGUGUCCCGGGUCCGGGUUUUUUCUUCCGGGCAUCUAAGCCUGUAAACACUUAUUUCAAAAGUUUUUUCUUUCAUUUUUAUGUCUUUGUAUGUUCGGACGAGAGGAGUAUUCCAAAAAUGAAUUUUGAUUUAUAAGAGAACACGGCGUAAAAGAAUCUUGGACAAUAACUCCAUAGCCAAUUCAUUUAAAGAAUUAUGGCCAUAUGUCACUUCAAGGACACUGAUUCGGUUUUGCUGGUUUUAAAUUCUAAAGGAACAUGGCACUUUUUGAUCAAAGAUAUGGUAAUGACACCUAAAUAUCACCAAACAAGUGAAACAACAAUACAACAUGCAUGCACAUUUCUUGUGUAUCAUAAUACAAGAUAAAUCUCAAGUUUAAGUCAAAGAGAAAUUAGAGAAAUAGUUAAAUACAAACUUAUAACAUACUAACAAUACAAAUUUUGCACAAAUAAUAAAUAAAAAUUCACCUAAUUUCUAACCUAAACUCAUUCAAUCUAUAUAAAAAAAAAAUUAAAUUCAAUAACACAAUAAAUCUAAAUAACAUCCAACAUAUCAUAAGUUCAUAAUUAUGACACCAAUUAUCAAUACAACACAUGAAAAUCUUAAAAUAUUCAACAACUCAAAAAAUAGUUCAUAAAAGAGUCAAAAUACUCCCAUGUAAAAUAAAUAAAUAACAAGCUCAUGUCUAAUUCCAAAUAAAUAAAUAAAAGUUCAUGUCAUGCUACUCGUCGACGCUUGUGGCUCAUCAUCAUCAUCCGAAAUUACCUCUUCCCCAGUAAAAAUCUCAUCCUUCGGAACUCCACCUUACAACAAAAAUAACACAUUAAGAUUCAAAAUAUUUUAAGCAAAUAAAUACUACUAAAAUAUAAUUCAAAUAACUUUAUACCUCGAGAAGUAGAAGCCCAAAUCCAAUUUUGAGCACACAUUAAGGCUUCCAAAGUGUCAGGAAGAAGUUUACUACGAUGCGGACUAAAAAAUCUGCCCCCGGCACUAAAAGCUGACUCAGAGGCAACGGUGGAUACAGGAAUGGCUAAGAUAUCCUUAGCUAACUCAGCCAAAAUGGGAUAUUGGAUUGUGUGCAUCUUCCAAAAAGCUAAAAUAUCAAAGUCCGGAAUGGAAUCCAACAAUUCCUCAUCUAAAUACCUAUCCAACUCCGACUUAGUUACUUUAGCACGUUUAUUUUGGCUUCGAAAUGUUUCAAACUCAUCUACAUCCCAAUACUUAUUCGAAUUUGAACAAUGUUCAGAAUGAGAAAUUUCCAAUCCAACAUUCUGCCCACCACUCACAUGCGCUGCCUUCGAUUCAUAUUCUUUCACUAAAUCAUAACAAAGCUUAUGUGCACACUCAAUAUGCUCAUAUGUUGUAUCACCGUAUAUCUUUGGGAAAUAAAAAUGAAUUAACAUCAUCUUAUAUCUUGGGUCAAGCACAACAACCACAACUAACAUCGGAUGAAUUUCAUUCCAAUAUUUGUCAAAUUUAUCAGCCAUUUUAUCAGCCAUAAUCCUAAUAGCAAGGUUAUCAGCAGUGCACCACCUAUUAAUUGACAAUUUCAUUUUACAUAUCAAUGGAAAAAACAAAUUAGCAAUUGGGUAUUUUGCACCCGAAAACAUCUCCGUUAACAUGUAAAAUGAUUUCAAAUGCUCCACCAUUAUGACUGCCAAAUCCCACUCCUCAUCACUUGGCAAGUUCUUAUACUGAGGCUCACAUUGUUGCAACCAAGAAAAAACACUUCUAUACAUCAAUGCUACUUCAAGCAUGGCAUAAGUAGAGUUCCAACGAGUAGGACAAUCCAAUUUCAAUUUUUUUUACAAUUAAUUUUUAAUUGUCUAGCAGUUAACUCAAAAGUUUCAUAUCUUUUUGGUGUUUGUGUCCAAUAACUCACUCUCUCUCUAAUGUUUCCAAUCCCACUUUCUAUAACUUUCAACCCAUCCCACACAAUCAAGUUCAAUAUAUGAGCAGUACAUCUCAUAUGAGAAAAUUUACCACUAGAAAUUAAGGUAUCGGUAUCAAACCUUAAGAGCAAUUUCUCCACCAUUGCGUCAUUAGUGGUACAAUUAUCCAAUGUCACUGAGGAUAACUUUCUAUCCACGUUCAAAUCCAAUAGGCAUUGUACUAAUUCAUUACAAAGGGCAUCAGCAGUAUGGGGGCUUGGAACAUAGAUGAACCUAUCAAAUAUUCAAAAGUCGGUAUUAAAUACACAAACUUAAAAUAUAUUACAAUUUAAACUUGAAAAAAAAUCUAAUAUAAGUAAUAAAAAACUUAAAAGAAAAAUUAAGCAAAUAAAAAAUUAAGACAAAUUACCUUAAGAUUCGACUAUGCAAUUUCCAGGAAUUGUCAAUGAAAUGGGCCGUCACGACCAUAUAGACAAAAAAAUAUAUAUACAAAGCCAAAAAAUUAAAACUAGUUACUCAAAUCGCAAAACACAAAUGCCCAAAUAUGAAAAUCCUUAAUUCCCAAGUUACCCAAACCCAAAGGCAUAAGCAGCAACGCUGCCAUCGGCUACCCACCGUCACCGUCGGCCAGCACCCACCGUCACUCCGUCACCGUCCCCCCACGGCAUCAUCUCUUCUCGUUUGGCAUUUGCUGACUCGAUUUUGCUCGGUUGCGGCUGUGACGUGAGUCGUUCGUGCAGUGCAAUGCAGCCCCCUCCGGCGUCGUCAGCGUCAGCACCACCGUCUCCAACUCUCCAUUGCCACUUUCUCAUCCACCAUCAGUCCAUCACUUUGCCAUCACAACCACCACUACCAGCCCCAGGUAUUGAUUUUUUUCCUUCAAAAUUUUGCCUUCCCAGUUGCAUUUUUGCCGAUUCAUAAUCUUUAUAGAAUUGCAGUUUACAUCAUUUUGCUUCUCUGUUGCUAUUUGUGUUUAUCUUCGACCAAUUUUGUGCAUGGUUGCUGUGAGCCUGUGAUUACUGUUGCUCUUUUUUUUAUUGGCCAAAUCCUUUUGCCUUUUUUAAUUUUAUGUUGCAAUGUUAGUUAUGUAAUGAUAAGUUUCAGAGUCCAUUGAAUGACUUUUAUAAAGAAGCUAAUUAAUGAAAUUGGAAAAAGGAGAUAAUAGAGGAGAUUAACAUUUACAGGAUGCGAUUAAACCAUUGAAAAGCUAAAAGACGGCUUAUGGUGACAUUUACACACACACACACACACACACACACAAUCAAUACUCUCUGUCUCUCUUUUCUGUUCACUUUUCCGUUUCCACACUAAAAUUUGAAAUUUAGUAUAUCUUUGUUAUUGUAACAACAGAGCAGUGCAAUGUCAGACAACGUGGAAAUCAAUUCUUCGAGUGCUCCAGAUUUAUCUCGUAAUGUCGAAGAGAAUCAGUGUCCUUGAAGUGACAUAAUGGCCGUAAUUCUUUAAAUGAAUUGGCUAUGGAGUCAUUGUCUAAGAUUCUUUUACGCCAUGUUCUUUUAUAAACCAACAUUCAUAUUUGGAAUACUCCUCUCGUCCGAACAUACAAAGACAUAAAAAUGAAAGAAAAUUUUUUUGAAAUAAGUGUUUGCGGGCUUAGAAGCCCGGAAGAAAAAACCCGGACCCGGGACUAAAAUUAAUCAUCUUCAUAUUAUAAAAUAAAUAUAAAAACAACAUUUGAAAAAUAAUGCCAACUACACCCUUAAAUUUUAUGUACGGCACUAGAAUUGAUGAACAAUUUUUGACAAAGAUGUUGCGACCUAAGUAGGGAUGGCAAUUAAAUUCAGAUCCGGCUCAGAUCUGUAAGGAUCCGAAAGAUUCGAAUCUUGAAAAAUUCGUAUCUGCAUAUUAAAAAAUGUGGAUCCGGAUAUAGAAAUUUGGGAUCCGCACGAAUCUAGAUGCAAGUGCAUUCGGAAAACCGGAUAUCGAGAUCCGGAUAAAUUUUAUUUCAAAUUAAAAAUUAAAUUAAAAUAUAUAUUAAAAAUUAAAUGAAAAAUUAAGAAAGUAAAUUUUAUUUAUGGAUUUAUGAUGUCGUUGUAUAUUAUUCAUGUUGAAUUAUUAGUUGUUGGAUUAUGAUUGAAUUUUAUUUGAUAUUAUUGGGCAAAUUAUUGAAUUUUAUUUUAAAAUAAAAGUAUUUAUUAAAAAUUAAAUAAAAAUAAAAAAAAAAUUAAAUUUUAUUUGUAGAUUUAUGAGAUUAUUGUAUGUUAUUCAUUUUGGAUUGUUAAUUGUUGAAUUAUGAUUAAAUGUUAUUUGACAUUAUUAGGUAAAUUAUUAAACUUUUAAAGUAUAUAUUAAAUUAUUUAAUUUUAAUUUUUGCGGAUUUGGAUAUUCAGAAUAUCCGCCCGCAUCGGUUACGGAUAAUACCCGCAUCCGGAUCCACAUCUUUUUCUACGAAUCCAAAUAUAGAAAUAUGAAUGCGGAUCUGAAUUCGGAUUUUGCUGACCCUAAACCUAAGAAUGAAUGUGCCUAAAGUUUUUACGACGAACAUGGAUCAUUCGAUGACACGGCAUGUUUUGCAGCUCACAUUAGUAUAAUUGAAUAAUUAAUUCAUCUCUAUAUUCAGCUUACACUGUCUCAAAUUACAUGCAAAUACAAAAGUACACUUCUGAAUCGUUCACUUGAGGAAAAUUAAUUUUAACUCAAUAAGUCCUAAUUCUCCACGUAGAAUUUUAAUUCAAACCAUAGCAAAUUAGACAUAAUUCUAAUUUAUAUGGGAAAUAUAAUUAGCGAAGACACUCUUUAUAUAAGCAUUAUUGUCAUAGGAUGCCAAACUUAAUAAGAUUCAAGGUCUUAACAGACUUCAUACGAAUUUGAUCUUGGCGCGUACGGACACGCAUAACAUCAAGACUCUACUUCAUAUAACGUAACUUAAUGGAUUUUUCGCUCUCUUGUGAGUCUGUCGUUUGUUUGCAAACUUUUCCAUUUUAAAUUGACAAUUAUAGGCGCUGUGACUGUGAGGCAGUGGUACAUAAAAUAAACGUUUAUUUUUAGAAUAUUAUUAUUUAUCUCAAUUUUUUUAUUUAAUAGUUAAUUUUAAUGAAUUCUUAAACUGUCAUAAUCAAUUAAUUUUUUACAUUAUGGCAUCUUAAAUAAAUUUUGGAUCUGUAAUAAAUAAAAACUGGUAACGUUUGUUCUUUUAAAACAUAAACAACCGUAACAUUGGUUUUUACAUUUUGAAUUUUUCUUGCAUCACUAUUUAAAAAAGGCUCUGGCUAAGUUACGUUAAACGUAACUUACGCCAGACACAUCAACAGUGCACAGUAAUAGAACCUGCUACUGUUGCUGUGCCUGGCGUAAGUUACGUUUAACGUAACUUAGCCGGUUCCUUUAGAAAAAUGAUGUUAAAUCAACUCACAAAAUAUAUCAAGCCAUCUAAAAUCCAAAUAUUAUUACAUUUGUAUUUGCAUUGUUAAAUUGUUGGAACGACGGCAAAGCAAUUGAAGAGAUAUUAACAAAAAAGUAAAGAUUGGCCAAGGAUUAUUCAUGUUUAGGAAAUGCCUUAACUUUUGAUAUAAUCAUUGUUAUAAUUAUAUUGUAGAAAUAAUCAAUUACGUAAUGUUUGUGGUGGUAAAUAUUAUUAACUUGUUUUACUAUACCCGUGUUUAUGGUGGUCUCCUUUUCGUCCAAUUCUGUACAACAAAAUAUUUGCAUGUUUUGAUGGUAGGAUGAAGUAAUAUAGUUUUACAAAUUACCAUAUUAGAGGUUAAAAAAAAUCAAGAGGUUACCUGACAAUUAUGACGUUACUAACUACAAAUUUUAACACAAAAAGUUUAAUUAACUUUUCUUUUUGAGAUAACAAAAUCUCUGGUGUUGAAAACAAUGAGGUUUGAGGUUCAAGCUUGAAUAUCAAGUUACAAUUAAUAGAUGGUCUUAGGACAUAUCAAAGAUUUCUUUAAAGACAAAAUAAUAAUUACAAGCAAUAGGAAUUUAUGGUAUUCAGAACAUGUAACCUUCGCACAUGAAGCUUGAGUCCAGCAAAAGAUGCAGCUAGCCAAAACCCCACAAAAUCUCUGUCAACAUGUCUGUUCUACUUCAAUAUUAAGCACAUUCAUAGCGGUAUCAACAGCUUACAGCUCCAAAAUAUUUUCCCCAAAAAGAGUUGAGAGAUUUCACUGAAGCUAAUUUGUGACUUGUCACUGCUCAAAUGUUCUAUAACACGAUAUGAUUAUUCUAGUAACACAAAUCCAAUAGCAUGCAACAUAAUCUACUCUCUAACAUUGUGCAUUAGUAAAAUAAAACAGAGUAAAAAGAGACACCAUGCCUGUGAAUCUCUUCUUUUCCCCCUACCACCCCUUUUUUUGGUGAAGUCCAUCAAAUGAAAAUGCAGCAUGACCACGUUGGCCACUGCCACUGCCAUUACUUCUUCAACUGUGCCUUUUGUUGCAGGAAAUAUUCAAGUGAAAGAUUGGAUUAUAUAAUUCAAGAUUCCAAUAAACCUGAGCUGCAAAGGUUGCCUUCCACUAGCCUAUCAGAGACUAUGCUUUCUAUUUUCCUAGUUUUUUAAUCAAAAUUUUGCAAGAUUUAUUUAUGGAAAUCUUGGACAAAAUUUUAUGUAAGAUACCAUAAAGCCAAACACAAUCUUUUUAAUUCUCAGCAGCAACAUUUAAAGUAAAAAAAUGGAAGCCAUAUGAAUAUAACUAUGUUUGGUACAAGGAACAAUUAUUUCAAGCUUUCAGAAAUGCUACCAAGAAAUUGUAAGAGAACUUUACCUGGUCACAGAAUAUGUCUAACAUACUACCACCAACUGUCUUCAGCACGAUUGUUAUGAAGUAGCUUUUGAAUCGGAAGAUUCCAGCUUCCACCAGGCACCAUUAUUUUCAUUCUUGAUACACUCUCAUCAUCCCAAUCAAGGCUUCUUCUCCAGCUCUGGAUUAUAAGUCCACUCCGACAUCUUCAAACAUCUCGGUCCUUCCAUUUGCCAACAACCGAUAUGGCUUCCUUCCUUGCCUUCCUCAUUAAUAUAUCACUCGAAGGAAAAAAAGCAUCAGCAAUUCUCUUCAACGCCUCAUCGUUUAUAACCCCCCAAAAAAAGGGUCUUCAGACACCUCAACUUUGCCUUGUGCAAAACCUCCCCAAAAUCUGAAUUAUCCAACACAACAGCCAGAUACUCAAUCCUUCUUUUGUCCAUCAUAUCCACCGUAUGAUUCCUCAACAAAAUAUCUACAGCUUGUGGCUUAUCUAACACUGUCUUGAUCCAAAACCCCGCUCUUUUCAACUCAUCUGCCAAACCAUAACCCACUUUUGGAGUCAAAAUUGUCCUUGCAGCCCUUUUAUAUUUUUCCAUCUCCAUCGAAUACUUGCCACUCAAAUGGAAUUACCAGACAGGAAUCCCAGUAACAAGUCCACUCAACUUCUUCUCAUCCGAUCCCUCUUUCACUCUAGCGGAAACAUUAAUAACCAUUCACCAGCCACAAAUUACCCAAGUAAGUACUCGUGUCGUCAACACUUACCCUUCACUUCAUCUACGCAAACAUGAAUUCAAAUUGAUUAUUAGCUAGUGCUCAAGCGAAAGCCAAAAUAAAUUAAAUAUGUGUGUGCGUGUGUGUUAAAAGAGAAACGGUAGCGAAGUUAUUAUACAAUAAAGCAAACCAAAAUAAAUUCUACACUCAUGUGGGUGUUUCGCUCGCAAAAUCUGGACAAGAAAAAAUAAUAUUGAUACAAUCUCCAAAUAAAGAGCAUUCCUCUUGGUAAAAUAGACAAAUCCUAUAAAUUUUGAUUAAUGGUGCCAAAUGAAAGAGUUGUAAUUUCAUGUACAUUUUGUUAACAUGCAUAAGGGUACAAAAUAGAUAUUAAUGUGACAAAAACAAAGCUAAUCACAAUGAAUGAUAAGGUUUAGAAAUCCCAGUUUGUGUAAAAGAAAGAUAACAAAAUUAAGGAAAACAUAAGCACAACAAAAUUUGACUGAUUAUUAAAAAUGAGAAAUGAGUUAUAAUGAAAAUUUUGGCUUUGUGGUGAAAUAAAUUGGGAAGUAUCCAAAGUUCGCAUGUAAAUAAUAUAAAUGAUAAGAAGACGAAGGGAACAAAAUGAUAAUAAGCAAGCCAAAUAUUAAAAGCCAAAUAUUCAAGUUAGUGUCUCGCUAAUCAUUUUAGACGUAUCAAUUACAAAGGGAGGCCAUCUAUUUAUAGUAAGCGUACUGUUGCGGACCGCCCAAUUCGCUAGCCCAAUUGCCCACAAUUUCAGGCUAGAGAGCCAACACAAGGCCAAGAGUGCUAGCUUGGCCCAAUUCCGGAAAGUUCUAUGCAACUCUAGCACAUGUGAGCUUGUAAAUACUCUAGAAUUCUCUAUACAAUUCCAGCACAUGUAAAUAGCUAGGAAGUGGUAGAAUUCUCUAGAAUCUCUAGAGCUUGGCAAGCCUCCCCUAUAAAUAUGGGAUGGCAUUAGGCAUUUGUAUCCAACAAACACUACAACAAGCAACUCAAGCAUUAUAAUCUCUUUUGUGCAAUACAAGUUUCUUCUUUGGCUCAAUUGCUCUCUCUUCUCUAAUCCGAGAAGUUCUAGGCUUACUUAGCAACAUUCGGCAAAGUUGUCUAAGUGCCGCACGGGUUAGCUGCGCAAAACACUCAUCCCGUGACAGUACGCCUCUAAUGCUUUGCCAGGUGUCCAUUGAUAAUAUCACAAGGAAAAUUAAAUUGGUGUAUGUGUAUUACACCUCCUAAAGUCAUGUUAAGAUAGUUAGCACUCUUGGUUAAGUCUGCUAGAAUUGCAAACGUGUAAAGCUGAGUCAGCAAGUUAGUUAAGGUUAUUAUGAAUGCUUAGAUUCAGCUCAUGUAGAUUGUGUAUACAACUUUCUAAUAUCCUUUAGAUCUCAAUAUGAAUACUUGUAAUCAACAAAUACAAUAAUAAGAGUCAUCAUUCUUCAUUUUCUCUCAGUUUCUCUCAUAUUUUCUCUGCAUCCAAACACAAUAUUCUCAGUUCUUGACUUAGUAUCAGAGUCGCAGUUUAAUUGACGUGGCUUCGUUAAGCACAAAUUCAAAACAAAUCAGUCUCCUUCAUCCUUUACCUUCACAAAUUCGAUCAAACUGGACAGAUCUAACUAUACAAUCUGGAAAUCUCAGAUCCUCUCUUCAGUGCGUGCCAAUGGACUUGAAGGCUUUCUUAAUGGAACUAAAAUUUGUCCAGAUCAGUUACUUACUCAAGAGAUUGAAAGUUAUGGUGCUGAAAAUGCAGUUGGUGAAAGCUCAGCUGAUAGAUCUCAGGAGAAUCCAGCCUUUGUUGCUUGGAAAAUGUAGGAUCAAUUGUUAUUAAGUUGGCUCAUGUCCUCCAUCAGUGUUGAGAUACUUAGUCUUGUGGUAAAUUCUGAUUCUUCUCAUAAACUUUGGACUAAUCUUGAAGAAAAUUUUUGGAUUAGAAACUAUGGCUAAGAAAGCACACUUAAAAAUGAUGUUAAGCAAUCUCAGAAAGGGAUCAAUGACAAUAACUGAGUAUUUUGCCAAACUUAGAGCUGUAACUAAUAAACUUGCUCUAACUGGUAGCCCUGUUUCUACUCUAAGACUUUAUUACUCAUCUAAUCUCUAGAUAAGGCCAGCCAUACUACCCUGUUGUUUUGUAUAUUGAAGCUAAUAUGAUGAAAAUAUUUGUCAAUGAAGCCUAUUCUAUGCUUUUAACUCAUGAAGCAAGAAUUAAAUUUAAUCAUCCGAGUGCAAAUAAAGAAGCAAAGUUGAAUUAUGCUGCUAACAUAGCUUAGGCUGGACCUAGUAAUAACAAUAAGAAUUCUAGUAAUCAAGCUAAUUACUAUCAGGGAAACCAAGGUAACGGGAAUAGAAAUGCUCAUUGGUGUGGUAACAAUGGAGGAAGAGGUGGCUUUGGCAGAGGUUUUUCAGGGCAAGGAAGGGGUAAUUAGAAUAAUGGUGGUCAUUGGAACAAUGGACCUUGGAGUAGUAGUCGAGCAGGUUAUAACCUUUUUAUAAGAAACUCAAAAAUGUAUUAAUGAUGAAAAUUUUAAAACAGAUAGUGGACCAGCUGUUCACUAAGAAAACAAAAAACUGAAUAUUCGUGCUAUAAAAAGGCACAUCCAAUCUCACCCCUACAAAAGGCUAGAAUCAGCGACAAAUCCCUAUCUCAAAACCCCAUCCCAGUUUAGAUGAAUGAAGAAAAAAGAUGAAUCUUGAAACUCCUUAGAAACUGAAGCCCAAAGUGAAGCAAGAAGAUGAACUCUAUCCCAAGCAAGCAAUAUGGCAUAUUUCUCCAUUAAUGGUUCAAAUAAAGUGAAUGGCUUUCUCUGAUGAAUGGGAAAUUUUCAAGAUCAAUAGUCAAACUCACGUAAAGUAAACGGACUUAAUUCUCAAAGGCUACUCAUUCUAAGUCUUAAAGAAAAUUUUUCUAAUUUCUAAAGAUUAUAUGGGGAAAAAUCAUUAUUUUCUAAAAUGGAAAAUUUGAUACGGUGUUUAAUGUUUGAUCACAAUCAUAAUAUGAGUACUAACAAAAACAUCUUUAAUCGGCAUGGUGCGAGUAAAACACUAUCACUUUAUCUUUGAUAGAAAGAUGAUAAUAUAAGGAGAUGGUGAAAUGGUUUUGGUCUCUGGCAGCUUGUAAUCAAAAGAAAACAAAAAACUACACUAUUAUUAAUGAUUAUCGAAGCUACAGAAGUAUCAAAAUCGGAAAGCAAACAAUUGCAAAACACAUCAAUGACUGAAGGUUAGGUUCUAAAACUUCCGUAUUUAAUUUUCAGAGCAUGUUAUGUAUUAUUCAGAAAUAUGAUUUCACUUCAGGCACUAGACCAAGACGCAUUAAACAUAAAACGCGGCGUUUUCAUGGACUAGUACAUUCCAUGCUUCGAAAGUUUAUGUUUUAGACUGAUUGGUUUGAUACAUUAUUUGUUUAUUGUGUUUUUCUUGCUUUAAAUAUUAUGUUGGAUUGAUAAGUUUUGUACACAUUUAUAUUGCUCGCAGUAAAUAAUUUAUGACAUUUAAAAAACUAUCAACCGUCUAUCAAAAGAUUUCUACUAUAAAUAUAUAUACAAAAAAACUUUUAAUUUGGUCAAUUUGUUCUCUUAUUUAUUUUUGUUCUAUUUCUCUUUUCCUUCCCUUUCAUUUUAUUGUUUUAUGGUACAAAAUAAAAAAAUAACCUUAAAAUUUAAGGGUAAAAUACUCAUUUUACUAAAAUUCCGUUUAAUAUUAUAAAGCUGUCAAAUGUCAAUGGCAUAGUACACGAGUGAUACAAAUUAAUAACAAUAAAUUGAAAGUUUUUAUGCAUUUUCCUUUUUUUUUUUUUAUAGUCGAUUGAGAUUUCCCUUCAUAUGUUUAAACCUGUUGAUUUCCUCAACGCUCAUCCUGUUGGAAAACAACUCCUCAGUACUUGGAGUGUCUACUCCGUAGUAACAAGAAGCUAUGAUUGGUGGGCUUGCAGCGUACCCAAGUGCAGCCACCACUCCAGAAUCUGGUACUGCAAUCACGACAUCACACUCAACAGGAGCCUCGGUAGCAAGUACUUCCCCAAAAUGAUACCUCGACUCAUAAACAGACCUUUCAAAAACAACAGAAUUAGGCAAAGCAAAAUAAAUAUGCUUAAAGAUGCACUGCUUAGGUUCAGGGUGAGGCAUCAAACAAGGUGAUUGAACCCCAUCUUUAUCCACCAUCAAAACUUCACCGGGAUAUACCUCUCUCUCUCUCUCUCUCGAGUGUGGCCUCAAUCAAAUAGUGCACAAGUCUCUGACGCAAAAACCAGAGCACCAUUACUCCUCCUACCCAUCACCAACGGCAUAAACCCAUACGGGUCACGAACUGCAACAAGCUUAUCCUCAGUAACAAACACCAUUGAAUAAGCACCCUCAAGCUUCUCACAAACAUCCACAAUCCUCAAAAAGAACGGCCUAGCUUUCGAUAUCGGAAUCAAAUGGAGAACAACCACAGUAUCAGAACUAGUAUUAAAAAUGGAUCCAUUAUCUUCAAGCUUAGCCCUCAAAGUAUUACAAUUAACUAAUGUGCAACACCAACAGAACCAAACCUGUACCCAGCAACAAAAGGCUGCACAUUCUUAAGCAUAGAACUACCCGCAGUCGAAUAUCUAACAUGACCAAUGGCCAUAUCACCCGGCAAUUGAUCAAGUUUGGACUGAUUAAACACAUCAGAGACUAAACCAACACCAGUAAUAGACUGAAGAGCUUUGUUAUUCACAGCAACUAUACCUACACCUUCUUGGCCACGAUGCUGCAGCGCGUGUAGCGCCAAAUAGCACAAACGCGAGGCCUCUGGGUCACCAUAGAUGCCCACAACACCACACUCCUCGCGGGGUUUACCGUCGUCGUCAUCAUCAAAACUGCCAAAACCGUCAUCUGGGUAUUCUUUAUUUGUGGUGAAAAACUCAGAGAUGGGUUUUUUGAUAGAACAGUGAAGUUUUUUUUGUGGGUUAAAGAUUGUUGUUUCUGAGGAAAAAAAGGGUUUUUUUUGCAGGGUUUUGGAGAAAAGAGAAAGAUGGGUUUUUUGCGACGGCUUAGGGUUAACAGAUGGAGAUGGGUUUGAGAGAGGGCAGAUGUUGGCGGUGCCUGUUGUGGUGGCUGCCAUUAAUGGCUGAAUUUAUUAUAAACAGGCAAAAUUAUGGUACCAUUGUUGCAAUCAGCCAUUAGAUUUAUAGUUGUAUAGUUACAUUAACAAGAUUCAAUGGCUGAAAGCAACAGUGGUACCGUACUACUGUUGCAACAUAGCUGGACCCAUUAUAAACACUUGAAGUCAAAGUUAAUGUUUUAAUUGUUAAGAAAAGUUAGAAGAAGAAAUUUUUGUAUAAGAGAAUUGGGUUUAAAUUUAGAAUUCUUUGGGAGGAAAUGAGUCUAAAUUCCAAUAAUAUAAUUCAGCACUAUUUAUAUAUAUCAUUAGUUGGGUGAAAAAUUAAUUUCCCUCCUUUGAUGUGAUUUUCAUCAUUUAUUUUCAUAUAACGGUAAUUUUUUGUUUAGAGUGAAGUUAUUGGCACCAUUUCAUUAUCCUUAUAAAAUCCUACUUCAAAUAAAAUUACACUUAAAGACAAUAGAAUUAAAUAACAUAGUUUUUUUUUCAAACAAAUUACUCACGUUCAUAAUUUUUUUUCUUCUAAUUUUCUACAGAUUGCUUUGUAUCUAACUAAAAUAAAUUGUACAAAUUUAGAAUAAUCUAUUAUUCUUUUUAAAUUUCUUAUUGAUUAAAUAUUUGUAUGCUUAAGAUAGUUUUAAAAUUAUAAGAUAAAAUAUAUAUAAUUUAAGCCAAUGAUUAAUAUUAAAAAAUUUAUCUCUCAUAAAAGUUUUUAAUUUGUGCGUAGGGUAAUAAUAAAAUUGCAAAAGAAAUGAAAAAUAGCAUAGCACUAUUUUGAGUUUAAACAAUAAAAAAUUAAAUGAAAAAUUAGAAGUGUAUUUAAAAAAAGGAUAUUUUUGAAAAUAAAUAUAAUUUAAAAAAAAAAGAGUUUCAUGAGGGGUGCAAUAGUUCAACUCUUUUGUUUAUAAGUUUUAAGAUGUUGGUAUCCGUAGCUUAGCUUUUCCCUAAUUAUUAUAUUAAAAUGUAACAACAAUUAUGAUCAACCCUAAUUUCAUGGAGGUCAAAGAUUUUGGUCAUGCCACAUUAUUUUUUUUUUGUUUUUAAAAAUAUCAUUUAUUUAUUUUUUUUAAAGGUAAAGAAGUGGGUAAAGUUCAAAUUCAACUUUUAUCCCUUACGUCAUGGCCCCUAAGAUUUGAACUUAGGUGACCAAAUUUAUAAUAAUAGGCAUCUCAAAUUUCAUUUCUAAUGAUAUGCAAUUUAUUAAGUGAUUGUUAAUCUUUAUAAGAUCCGAGUGAAUUAAUUGUAUUAUUUCACUACUAAUUGAUGAGUAUCAUAUUAUUUGGAAUAACUUGUGAAUAAAAAAAUUGUGAUGGAUGAAAUAUUCUUUUGAGAAUUUAUUGACUUAUCUCAUUUAUGAUUUAUUGUUGCAUUUAGGUGAUAUUGCAAAUAAUUUUUCCGAUAAUAUUAUUGUUUUGACGAGUAAGUUUGGAGUAAAUAAUACAUAUGACAAGUGUGAGGUUUGUUAUUGCAUAUAUUUUGUGGAUCCAUUUUAAAGCAAAAAAAAAAAAGGCAUUUCGAUUCAUUAUGAUUCCAGAUAAUAUAUAUGUAGAUCCUCACACAAUUGAUUAAAUAUUUAUAGUAGGAUAGAGUGAUAAAUAGUUUUACAAAAUUAUUGGAAUUAACUAUUUAAUACAUGAGAUCUAUCUCACUAAGGAUAAAAGAUUGCUGCUUCAAAAGCUUGACGUUGCUGGCAACAAAUUUAACACAAAAGUUUAAUUAACUAUCCUAGUUGAGAUAAUAAAAUUUCAUGUUGAAAACAAGAGGUUCAAACCUUCUCAUUCAAAAAAAUAAAGCCAAAAUAUUACAUCUUCCAGCACAUAUAAAAGAUUUUUUCUUCAAAGGCAGACUGAUAAUUCAGGGUAAAAAAACAAAAACAAAAAAAACAAAAAAAAAAAACAAAAGGAAUAUAUGCUAUUCAAGACAGGUAUACCUUGGACAUGAAGUCUGAGUCCAGAGCAAGAAGCAUUUAGCUGAUUUUUCAAUUUCCAAAACCCAACAAAAUCUUUGUCAAAAUAUAUGAUCUAGUCCCAUAUUAAGCACAUUCAUAGUCGUAUCACCAGGUUCAAAAUAUUUUCCCCAGAUAGAGAUAGAGAUUCCAUUGAAGUUGAGUUGUGACUGUCCCAACAUUUUGUAAUUAUAUGGUUCAGUAUACCAUGCCUAUGAAUCUUUUUUUUUUCUUUUUUUCCAUGUUUCGAAGUCUAUCAAAUGAAAAUGUAAUUAUAUGGUUCAGGACACCAAUAUGCCGGAGCUGCAAAGGUUGACUUCCACUAUCCUAUCAGUGUCUAUACUUUCUAUUGAGUUUCCUUGUUUUUUUUUAAAUUGCGAGAUUUAUUUUUGGAAAUCCUUGACACAUUUUAUGUAAGAUACCAUAAAGCCAAAUACAACCUUUUUUAUUCUCAGCAGCAACUUUUUUUUUCCUUUUAAAAAAAGGAAGCCAUAUAAAUAAUGCUUUAAACAUUAUUUGCAACAAGAAACAAUUAUUUCAUGCUUUCAGGUAUUAGAAACUUCCCAAAAAUGCUAGCAAGAAAAUGAAAUGGAACUUUACCUAGUCACGGAAUAUGUACUGCUGUUAGCACAAUUGUUAUGAAGUGGCUUCUGCAUCAGAAGAUUCCAGCUCCCACCAAGCAUUGUUAUCUCUCUUCUGAAUACAAUCUACAUCGCUGGGCAUGAGUUAUAUCAUUAAUGUCUGGAUCCUCACUUACAUCAUCCCAAUCAAGUGCUUUUUCUCCACAUUUGGAUUAUAAGUCCAAUCUCUUCAAAACAUCCUAGUCCUUCCAUCACAACUGAUACGACUUCCUUCCUAAUUACUUUCCCAUUAAUAAAUCGCUCCAAGAAAAAAAAGCAUUAGCAAUUCUCUUCAACGCCCCAUCACUCAUAUCCCCACAACAACCAUCUUCAGCCACCUCAACGUUGCCUCUUGAAAGACCUCCACAAAAUCCGAAUCAUCCGACACAACCACCAAACACCCAAACCUUCUUUUGUCCACCAUAGCCACCAUAUAAUUUCUCAACAAAACAUCGGCAUCUUGUGGCUUAACUAACACCAUCCUGACCCAAAACCAUGCUCUUUUUAACUCAUCUGCAAAACCAUAACCCACUUUUGGAGUCAAAAUUGCGCUUGCAGCCAUUUUAUUUUUUUCCAUCUUUAUUGAAUAGUUGCCAACCAAAAGCACUCUCACCUUCCCUCUAGCUGAUUCUAUUUGAUUCGACCUUUUCUUUUGUUCACCCUCAUGAAUUUGCCUAAAAUGAUUAACAAGUUUGUCAUUAUUAUAAAACCUCCUUCCACAAUCACCAAUACAUACGGCUUAGCAUGCCUAAUUACACCCUUGAUUUCUAAUUGGUUAAACAAUUCUCUUUCUUUCUUUGCUCUCUUACAACUUGAGGCAUAUAACUAAACGCGUGGCUAUUAGCAUUUGCCACCAUGCAUUUAACAACCCCAAAUGAAGAUAUUAAUUUUUUUUAGUUUAAUUGCUGCUUCAAAAUGGGGUACUGAAUUUGGAUUUUGUUAUCCAAAUACCAAAAAUUUCCCAUAUUGUGCUGGACAGUUUUUGGUUCUAAAGUUGAUGACUGGUUUUGCGAAUCAGGCUUUAAAUGAGAACUUCUAAACAAUAAGACAAAUGAGUUUUGAGUUUCUAAUCUUGUAAACUUUGUUCUAUUGUAUAAGUUAUGAAAUCACUGAAACAUCACUACAUCUGCAGGUCUUUAUGUGUCAAUGAACUGCAGAAGCUGAUGAUCUACCUGUAGCAGACUUCUAUUGCCCCUGCCGUUCUAGGAAGACAAACAAGUUCAGGAGCUACUUAUGGACCAAACUCAUAAUAUUGCCACUGCAUACCCAGUAACAGUAAUCAAGUAACAAGUCAAAACGAGAAUCAAACGUAGAAUUUUGAAAUCCAUACGAACUCUAACGUAUUAGAAUGAAAGAAUAAGGACGAUCGAUAAACUAGAAUCAAACAAAAACAUGCCCAGUUAAAAAACGAAGGUAAAUAAAUAAAAAUGGUAUAAAACUGCGAAAGAAAUUAAUAAAAUGAAGAGAAAAUCACAGGAAUCCUAUGAAGAGGAAGGUCAACAAAACCUUCGGGAGCCGAGAAGAUGCCUUUUUUUGUUCACUUUGUGCCUAUACAUACAAUUUUUUUUUUUGUAAUUUUGAAGAAAGUAUUGGUUAAAUAUUGUCAUAACGAAAUAUUAAUAAUAGAUGCUAGCAAUUUCAACAAGGACAAUCUUCGAUUCAAAUGUACCUCUAUGAUAAAGAAAAAGCCAGCUUGGCUAAAUUUUGAGCACCACAUUACAGGAUCUAGGUGCAUGUUUAACUAUGCAAAAUGAAACCUCUAUUAAUUGUAAGUCCCUUGACCUCUGGAACCAGCCAACCAGUCUCUUUCCUGUUAGACAAACUUCCAUCGAUCAGACUAAUAAUAUUUACUAAAUCAUGUUCUACAGUUAAUGGAGUUGGACCCAAGGCAAUUGUUAGAAGUCCGCCUAGACAUAGAGUGCGCUUAGAAGUGGGAUGCUUAGAAAUGGGCCGCCAACACAACCAGCCAACCGUAGUGUGCUUAGCAAAUCACUGAAGCCCGACCCAAGAUCUAGAACUAUCUACAAAUUAUAAAUCAGCUAAAAGUUUCUAAGUUUCUCUACAUAGGUCCCUAGGAUAUUUAUGGAAGUUGCUAGGAAGUUUCCUCCCCUAGAACUCUAAUACCUAUACCCUCUCAUUUGCCCACCAACCACACCACACAGACAAACACUCUAGCAUACACACAAGCUCUCUAGCUUUUGUAAAAAGCUCUCUUGUAUAUUUUCUCUUUGUGAGUAAUAAAAUCAUAUUUAGCCAUAUUGCUACACUUCUCUCUAGUAUUUUCUACAAGUGUUCUUGCUUUGCUAGUUUGAGGAGUGUUCUAGGCUUGCUUAACAACUUGUUCGCUAUAACGACAUCUUGGUCACAAAACAUGGACAUGCAAGAAAAAAAUAAUAUUGAUACGUUCUAAAAAUAAUACGCGUUCUUCUACAGUGAACCAAAAAAUUUAGGCUAAUGGUAGCAAGUGAAUGAUUUCACGUGCAUUUUGUUGACAUGAACGCAAAGGACUUUUUUUAUAGUUUAUAUUGUUUAAUAUAACAUUUGAAUUGUAAAAUAGGGGUACAAAAUAGAUACACGAAGUGAUAAAACUAAGCUGAUUAUAAUAAAUAUUGAAUUAUAAGAUUUAGGUUUAAUCAGAAAGACAUAAGUGGCGCACAAAGUCACGAAUUGAUAUCAUCCACGAUGCAAGUUCAAACAACUGCAUAAUAAGUUACCCCAAGCUAAACUAUUAAUCUAGUAACUAUUCCAGUCGAUGUGGGAUAAUUUUCCUAUCACCAUCUAUCAUGUGCAAGCUGAAUUUUUUGCUUGGUCGUUACAUGUGGUAAAGUAAUAUGAAUCCACUUGUGCAUAAAUUUGGCUCCGAUACUACAUAGACGCCUAUGACCCAAAAUUAUACUUAAAGGUUAUCUCAAGAUUUGAGGAUUGACUCAAGCUAAUAUUACUAUUAGCCUGGUAACCUUUUUUGUUUGUUGAUAUGUGAUAUUUUACCUAUAACUUUUAUUAAUCUUUAUGCUUAUGUUUUGUCAUUUAUCCUAAAAUAUAACAUUAACAAAAGUUCCAAAAUUUCCUUCAAGUGAUAUAUUUGAGACAAGUAAUUUGUGCAAUAACUUUGUAAAUUGAUGAGCAAAUUCGGAGAAAAGAAUAUAUGUGCCAAACAUAACGUUUAUUAUUGUGUUUAUUUGUAGAGCUAUUUAAAGCCCAAAAAAAAGCACCGGUCCGUUAUGAUUUCAAAUAAGUUCAAGCCCUAUGUCAUUAUUGGUACAAAAAUGAAUCAGAAAGGUUAAAACCUAUUUUUAUUUAACUUAUAAACUUAGGAAAUUAUCAAAUGUCCACCCUUAAAUUGCGCUAUUAUAAAAAAAUAUUACAACAUUUUCAAGUUGGAUCAUUCAUCCACCAUAAAUUUACAAUCUGCAUCAUUUAUCCACCAAAUCAUUAACUUCGUCAAAAAGUGAUAGACGUGACAAGGGUAAUUUAGACAUUUAACACAAAAAAUAAAAGAAAAAUAAUCUAAGCUUACCAUGUUAUCAAAAUUGCUACAAAAUUUUAAAUUUGUUCAAUUUUCCAAUCUAAGUUUAUGACCUCCAAGAUGUUAAUUGCAGUUUGUAAUUAAUGACUUCAUAAGGAUAAUUUAGACACUCAAUAUGCAAAAUAAAAAAUAAAAUAAUGGCUUAAAACAUUAAAACAAAAAACUACUUUUUAUAAUUGAUAUUCAAUUAAAUAAACAUAAACUCUAUUUUUUCUUAAUUAAAAAUAUUCUAAUUUAUUUUCUCAAUUUAUCUUCAUAAAUUUAUAUUAGUUAUGGUGCAAAGUAAAAAAAUGUCCUUAAAUCCAAGGGUAAAAUAGCAUUUUAUUUAAAUUCUAUAAAUUAUUCUAACAAUGUUAACAUUUUGGUGGAAGGUUAAUAUAAGUUACAAACUUAAAAUAGAAAAUCAAAUAAAUUCAAAAUUUCAAACUAUUUAGGACAAAUUUAGGAUAUAUGGUUAAUAAUUUUCCUCUGUCUUUUUACAUCAGUUGACAGAAGUUACAAACUUAAAAUAGAAAUCAAAUAAAUUUAAAUUUUCAAAUCAUUUAGGGCAAACUUAGGGUAUAUGGUUAAUAAUUUUCCUAUUUUUUUAACAUUAAAUUGAGUUUCAAAGACAUAAUGGUCAAUUUAUUAUAAUUCUAUUAAUUUUUUAAGGGAAGCAAGCGAUAUAAUGGAUGAAUGAUAUAAAUUGUAAAAUUAAGGUGCAUGAACGAUAUAAUUUUAAAGUAUUGUAGUACUUUUAAUAAUAGAACAAUUUAAAGGUGGAUUGGCGAUAAUUUAAACUUUAAUGAAGCAACUAAAAAAUUUUUUUAACAAAGAAAAAUAAUUGAAUGCUUUGUGAAACCAAAAAUAUUUGAAAUGCUUUAAGAAAAAUAAAGGAAAUUAAAUAUCUUUUUAAAAAACAUAAUUGAGUAAAAUCAUUUUACAAAAUGCUCUUUCAAAUGCACAUUCCACAAGCCAAGAAGGAUGGGUGGCUAACAAAAAUCUCACUUUUUAUGAGUUUAUAAAAUCUCACUUUCGCAAAAUCCAAAAAUAACCAAUACUAUCACACAAAAAAUAAAAAGUAUUGCUGUCACGACAUUACACACUUUCUUCGCCGUCUAGAAAGGUAGAACAUUUUGAAGUUCCUCAAUACAAAAUGCGUGCUAUUACUAAAUUGGCCAAAGUUUUAACAAUUGAAGAAAUAGUGAACUCAAAAGGAACAGGUAAAUUUUGAAGUUGAACAAACCUUAAAGUGCAUACAACAAAGCCUUGAAACUUUAGUCUUCACAAUUUAAUCACGCAAUAAUAUUAAGUAUCCACCUAAAAAACAAGUAUAGAGCAAAGCUUGUUAGCUUCUUGGGCAUUAACUAUGAAUGAUGAGUAAAAUUAAAAAAGCAAACAGAGAAAAUUAUAAGAAGAAGAAAAGCAAACAUUUAAAAAAAAAUUAUGAGAAGGAAAAUUUUGGUAGAACUUCGUGGCUCAUCUGUGAAAUUAAUGUCAAUAUGUAUUUUUAUGUAAAUAUGGUCUCUGGCUUUUAGGAUGAAUCAAUCAGCUACCACAAACGAAAACAUGAACCAACUAUAUAUAGAGUCAAUUAAUUAAAGUUCUCAAGAGCUUACCUCUGCUCCAGAAUUCUCGGAAUCAUCAAUCUCCUUCUGAAUUUGCGCGAAGCUUGGGACAACCAAGAAAGCGUCCAGGUGGAACUGGGUUUGGAUAACCCGCAGGCCAAAAGUUGGUGAGGUUUGGUAAAUUUAUCAGUUCUAUGCCCUGAAGUUCAUUCGUAACAAUUUCAUAGUAAUCCGUGACGUCUGCUCCACCUUUAUGCCAGAAUACUUCUUCUAAUUCAUCAUUACCUACUACGAAUAGGUACUUCAGUUUUGGAAGACUUGGAGCUACGCUGAUAUGAAAUAGAUGCUUUAGCUUGGGGCAAAAACAGACAGUGAUCCUUGUGAGUUUUGGGAAACAUACAGGUUGGAGAUGAUCCUCAUCCUCAUCCUCAUCAAUGAUUUGCUCUAAUUCCAAGCAAUUCGAAACAGAUAACUCCUCCAAUUGCAACAGAUUUCGAGCAAGUGUUGAUGAGAGGAGCCGUCUCAGCAUAGUGCACCGCUCUACUGUUAAUCGGGUAAGAUUUUGCAGGCUAAAAUUAUGCGCGGGACCUUCAUGAUAUAAUACUCUCAGUUCUCGAAGAUCUUCCAAUCCCAACCCUUUCAAACAUGGGAAUGGUUUGUUUGCUUGUCCCUCAGCGAUAAUAGAUUCCGACUGAAACACCACCAGUACUCCAAUUUUGCUAAUAUUCAAUUCUUCCAAAUUUUUUAAGCCGUGCUUCAACAGUACUGGAAUCGUGUCGCUCAAAUGGGAACAAUUGUCCACAUUUAGAAUUUUUAAGUUCUGAGACAAAUAAAUAAAUAACUUGAUGUAAUUAAAAUCUAUUAGCAGCUAGGAUUAUCACAUGAUAAGUGACGAACAUCGCAAAAAACAAAGAAACAAAAUCCAUUCAAAAAUAUAAUUGUUGAAUCCAAAUUAAUCUCCAAGACCAAUUUAGAACCCCCAAGACCCACUCUAAGAAGCUUGAUCUUUGUUCUGAAUUUAAUCACUAAAUAAGUUUUGACAAGAAACAAGAGUACCUACAUGAAAUCAAUCACACAGCUAAAGAAAAUCAGAUCACACACUUAAAACCAGGAUUAUAGUGGUUCGGCCAAGUUUCUUGCCCACAUCCACUGUGGAAAACGAAGCAACCCUUUUACUGAUUUCAGAGAACAAGUUACAAAUCUGGAGAAAAUAUGUAAAUGAAUAGAUAGCCUUUGACAACAGAUCCUAUGUCCUUUUAUACUCCAUUCUGACCAAUCCGAAAGAACCCCAAGAAACCAGUUCACGCUCCUGGGUUUCCAGCCAAGAAGAUCUCCAGCUGCUUCCCGCGUGAGCUAACGGUAAAAACCACUUCUUGAAUUUAGCUUUGGGACACUUGUCAAACAUUCACGCAAACUCUUGAUUAAAACACAGAGAAAGCUGCCGUUUUGAGUUAGUGAAACACGUGACACAUCACGUGCAAUACUAACGGAUCCAGCCGACAUAUCGUUUGUGUCAAACAUCUGUUCUGAACUCCAAUGCCUGACAUGUCGUUUAUCCUUGUUGACAAACAGACGACGUGUCAUACAUAUACCUGAGAUCAGAUUUGACUUCAUAAUUCCAACACUAAUAAUACAUAUGUAAACUAAUAAAAUAAUUAAAAAAUAAUAUGGAUUGAUAAUGUGAAGUGAUAUAAAGGUGACAUUAGAUUGUUUGAGAAAAAUUAGUAUUUUAUUAAUUUUUAUGGAUUGAUCAACUAAUUAAUUGAAUUUGAGUAAUAUUAUAUACACUUUAGUAAGUGUUUGCAUCAAUUCUUUCUAAACCAAAAUGAGAUAAGACUUCCAUUUGAACAAUGAUUUUAGGCCCUAAAAUAAAGAAAUUUCCCCAAGAUAUUUGAGCAUUAUUAUUAUCAUCACCACAUCCACGAUCAUCAUCAUCUCCAUAGGACCAAAUAAUUAAUGGUUGAUCAUAAAAUUAAUUGCUAAAUUAUCAUUUUGAGUAAAAUUGAAGGAAAAGAAAAAACAUAAACACAAACAAACAUACCUCUUCAAGAUACUGCAAAUUGGCUUCAAGUUCAGUACUGCUGACGGUCAAGUUAGAACAGCGAAUAAGGUCUAACUCUUCCAAUGCUGUCCAAAUUGAACGAUAAUUUUCUGAACAGAAGCUCUUGAGUUUUGGGAGAUUGCAAAGUGUUAAUUUUCUCAACAAAGGGAGGGCAAGCAUCGUAUUUCCAUCUCCGACACUUAUUUCCCCUUCAUUGUGAUCAAACUUUGCUUCGACAAUACAUUCCAUUCUCUGGCAUCCACUGACAAAGAGACUUUUAAGCUGCUUCAAACUUCUAGCUUGUGACAACGUGAAGAUAUAUGUCAAAUUGUUGCACCCAUACACACUCAAUUUUGUAAGAGCUUGGAGGCUGAUCACAUGUUGGGCGGGCGCCUUCCAUAUCCACUUCAGUUCUGGUAAUUGCCACAUAGAUAACUCUGCUAAUCUUGAGAGCAUCACAGGAUUCCCACUCUUUCCGUACGGCGACUUAGAGGCAUCCAUUAUGCAUUCUAAUUCUUUGCACUCAUUGGCAGAAAGACAAGGCAACUCAUUUAAGCCCUUUGGAUCUAUGCUUGGCACAAUAUUGUGACAACCUAUAAUCGUUCUUAAAUUAAGAAUUUCCAGUUCUUGAUACAAUGUCGAAAAAAUACCGAGCGAGGUCGCUUCACAAUUAUUAAUCUUUAAGCACCUUCUCUGUCCAAAAAUUUCAUCUUCUUCGUCCAUUAGAAAUUCAAGUUUGUUACCGUUACUGACGUAGUGCCUUUGCAAUUUCGGGAAUGUAAAGUCUUUUGGAAGACGUGCAAUUUUUUUGUCAGUAUGUAAAGUCUUUCCAUCGUCAUUUUCUUCUGAACUCAUCCCUUCAGCCUCCCAAUCUUUUAUCCGACCAUAAAAUUCUUCUAAUUGAGGAAAUUUUUUUAUCGUAAUGGGAGAAAUACGACCAGAAUUAAUUAAUAUAAGAAGUUUCAAUGUACUAAGUUGAUCCCCAAAUUCUUCAGGAAUUUCAAUGGGAGACCCCUUGACACAAAGGAUUUGAAGUCUCUUCAACUUUCCAAGGAAAGACGCGUCACUCAUGUUACAUCGAAUCAACUGCAGAACUUGGAGGUUGGUGAGGAAUUGAAGCGAUUUAAGUGAAAUGACUCCUCCUAUUAUAGUAACAACUUUCAAUGCUGGCAUCCCUUCGAAAAAAUGUUCUGGAAUAUGCAAUUGAUAGUCAUAUUCAGUAUUCUCCAGUCGCAAAAUAUGAAGAUUAGGGCAUACCAAACCACUUGGAAGCUCUUCUUUUUCAUUUCCCAUCAAAGAGAUUCCUCUGUAUUGUUCCACUGCCCGUUCUGCCAAUCCAAUGCCAACUUUACUAGUAAAAUAUUUUUUCUCCAUUGAGCCUAUCCAUAAGGCUACGUCACGUACAAUGUCAUGCAUUUUUACAAAUCUGUCAUUACCAGCGUCUAAUAGCAGUGAAGAAGCUUUGAGCUCUUUAAUCGUUCCACUCACUAGGCUCCUGGAAUCUUCGAUUGACUCAGCUUGAUACCAAUCCAACGCCACUGCAUAUCCAACCAAAUCCUCCAAAUCUAUCUCAUAAUCUUCUGGAAACAGCGAACACAACAAGAAGCAUGACCUGGAAUCGUCACCAUUCAAAUAAUCGUAACUAAACUUGAGACAAUGGUAAACGUCUUGGUCUUCCUUGCCAAUACCUUCUAUUGUAUUAAGUUUUGCAUUUUUUAGUUUAUGCAGAGCUACUUUCCAUUCACCAUAUCCUUUACCGCUUAGUGCACUUCCAACAGCUUUAAUAGCCAAAGGCAGCCCCUUACAUUCAUCAGCAACUCGUUCUGAAACACCAAUCAAUGAAUCAGCAUCAAUGCCGGCAUGCUUUCUUAGUAAAGCCAAUCCUUCUUCUCGCUUUAGAACACCUAGUUGAAUCCGCGUGUCACAACCCAUGCGAUCACAAACUGGCUGAAGGCGAGUGGUUAGAAGGAUUUUGCAACAAUUGUCUCUAUCACCAACAGGAAUACCUACUGUCUCCAAGUCGAGUUCAUUCCAGACAUCGUCAAGGAUUAUGAGGAUCUUGCGGCUUUUACUCUUAGAGAACAUCAAGCGCAAUCGGUCUGCUCUAUCAUUUUCAUCUUUCUCCGUUAAUGCCCAACCUAACGACUUUACCAGCUCACUUUGAACAUUUAUUAUAUUUGGAUCCCGAGAUAUAGUGGCUAUCCCUACGUCAUCGAAAAUCUUUUGCUGCCGAAGUUGAUUGCCCGCAAAUUUUGCCAAGGUCGUCUUUCCUACACCACCGAGGCCAUGCAGUCCCACCAUUUUUGUGCUUUCUCUUUUCAGUGAUUCAAUGAUCUGAUUGCAAGCCAGUUCUGUAGUCUCGAAAGACGUAAAAUGUCUUGGUGCGGGUAAUUCUUUGUUUGAUGGUAGAGGUUUAGGACGGGCAACUGUGCUGAAUUUGUCGCAUUUCUUUUAUAGAUCGGACAACUUGCGAGUCUCCUUUGAUGCUUUUCUACCCAGCCAAUAUAGGCAACGCCAAUUAGGACACCAUCCAUUAAGACAACUUUUGUUUUCAUCUAUCUUUGCUUUCAAAUUUUGAACAUUGGCCAUUUCUUUGACUACAUCCGCCAGCCACUUCUCUACAUCUUUCUCGACUACUAUGGCGCGGUGUUUUUGUCGAUAUUGUUCUACUUUUUCAUUGACGCCAUCUUGUGCCUCCUUCAAAUUAGUUUCUUUAUCCCCAAGUUCUUUAAUAAUGCUGUUGAAGCAGAACAGAUAGCGAGCUUGGUUUAUGGUUGCGUCCGCCAAUAAUUCUCCAAGCUUUGAUGAAACACCUGAUAAAAUUUCCAUGCUAUUUAUCUGCAAUUAAUGAAAUUGAUCUCAGUAUGCUAUAAGCAAUUAAAACAACAAGGCUUGAUUGCAAGAUCGAACGUGAACGUUUAAUUACUUUAAUUUUUUUUUGGCUUAUUAACGCCAGCAUUGAAAUUAGAUUACUUUAUCAAAACAAAUUUCAUAUUCACUAAAAUUAAUCAUAUUCAUAUUAUAAAAUAAAUAUAAAAACAAUAUCUGAAAAGUAAUGCUAAAUCCACUCUUAAAUUUUAUGUACCGCAUUAGAAUUGAUGAACAAUCUGACAAAGAUGCUCGACUUAAGUAGGGAUGACAAUUAAAGCCGGAUUUGAAAAAAUUCGUGUCUCCAAAUUAAAAAAUGUGGAUUCGGAUAUGGAAAUUUGGAAUUCACACGCAUCCAUAUAAAUUUUAUUUUAAAUUAAAAAUAUAUAUUAAAAAUUAAAUAAAAAACUAAAAAAUAAAUUUUAUUUGUGAUUUUAUGAUGUUGUUGUAUAUUAUUCAGGUUGAAUUAUUAAUGGUUGGAUUAUGAUUGAAUUUUAUUUGAUAUUAUUAGGUAAAUUAUUAAAUUUUAUUUAAAAUUAAAAAAAUAUAUUAAAAAUUAAAUAAAAAAUAUAUUUUAUUUAUAGAUUUAUGAGAUUAUUUUAUGUUAUUCAUGCUGAAUUAUUAAUUGUUGAAUUAUGAUUGAAUUUUAUUUGAUAUUAUUAGGUAAAUUAUUGAACUUUUAAAUUAUAUAUUAAAUUAAUAUCCAGAAUAUCCUCCAAUAUCCGUUGCGGAUAUUACCCGCUUCUGGAUCCACAUCUUUUUAUACGAAUUCAGAUAUAGAAAUAUGAAUGCGAAUCCGAAUCUAGAUUUUACCAACCUUGAACCUAAGCAUGAAUGGGCCUAAAGUUUUUACAACAAACAUGGAUCAUUCAAUGACACGAGAUGUUUUACAGCUCUCAUUAGUAUAAUUAAAUAAUUAAUUCAUCUCUAUAUUCAACUUACUCCGUCUCAAAUUGCAUGCAAAUACGAAAAUACACUUCUGAAUCGUUCACUUGAGGAAAAUUCCAAAUUCUCCACGUAGAAUUUAGAUUCAAACCAAAGCAAAUUAGACAUAAUUCUAAUUUAUAUGGGAAAUAUAAUUAGCGAAGACACUCUUUAUAUAAACAUUAUUGUCAUAGGAUGCCAAACGUAAUAAGAUUCAAGGUCUUAACAUACUUCAUAUGAAAUUUGAUCUUGGCGCGUACCGACACGCAUAACAUCGAGACUCUACUUCAUAUAAUGUAACUUCAUGGAUUUUUCGCUCUCUUGUGAAAUUGACAAUUAUAGGCGCUGUGUGGCAGUGGUACAUAAUAAAAUAAACGUUUAUUUUUAGAAUAUUAUUAUUUAUCUCAAUUUUUGAUUUAAUAGUUAAUCUUAAUCAAUUCUUAAACUGCCAUAAUCAAUAAAUUUUUUACAUUAUGGCAUCUUAAAUAAAUUUAGGAUAUGUAAUAAAUAAAAACUGGUAACGUUUGUUCUUUUAAAGCAUAAAACAACCGUAACAUUGGUUUUUACAUUUUGAAUUUUUCUUGCAUCACUGUUUAGAAAAAUGAUGUUAAAUCAAUUCACAAAAUAUAUCAAGCCAUCUAAAAUCCAAAUAUUAUUACAUUUGUAUUUGCAUUGUUAAAUUGUUGGAACGACGGCAAAGCAAUUGAAAAGAUAUUAACAAAAAAGUUACCUAUUGUUUGUGGUAGUAAAUAAUAUUAACUUGUUUUACUAUACCCGUGUUUAUGUUGGUCUCCUUUUUGUCCAUUUCUGUGCAACGAAAUAUUUGCAUGUUUUGAUAGAAAUUGGUUUAAAUGACAUUUAAAAUAGUAUAUCCCCAGACAAUUGACGAAAUAUUUGUAUGGUAAGAUGAAGUAAUAAAUAGUUUUACAAAUUACCAUAUUAGAGGUAAAAAAAAAUCGAGAGGUUACUUGACAAUUAUGACAUUACUAACUACAAAUUUAACACAAAAAGUUUAAUUAACUUUUCUUUUUGAGAUGGCAAAAUCUCUGGUGUUGAAAACAAUGAGGUUUGAGGUUCAAGCUUGAAUAUCAAGUUACAAUUAGUAGAUGGCCUUAGGACAUAUCAAAGAUUUCUUUAAAGACAAAAUAAUUAUUAUAAGCAAUAGGAAAUUAUGGUAUUCAGAACAUGUAACCUUCGCACAUGAAGCUUGAGUCCAGCAAAAGAUGCAGCUAGCCAAUCCUUCAACUUCCAAAACCCCACAAAAUCUCUGUCAAUAUGUCUGUUCUACUUCAAUAUUAAGCACAUUCAUAGCGGUAUCAACAGCUUACAGCUCCAAAAUAUUUUCCCCAAAAAGAGUGAGAGAUUUCACUGCCUAAAUGUUCUAUAACACGAUAUGAUUAUUCUAGUAACACAAAUCCAACAGCAUGCAACAUAAUCUACUCUCUAACAUUGUGCAUUAGUAAAAUAAAACAGAGUAAAAGGAGAAACCAUGCCUGUGAAUCUCUUCUCUUACCCCCCCACCACCCCUUUUUUUGGUAAAGUCCAUCAAAUGAAAAUGCAGCAUGACCACAUUGGCCACUGCCACUGCCAUUACUUCUUCAACUGUGCCUUUUGUUGCAGGAAAUAUUCAAGUGAAAGAUUGGAUUAUAUAAUUCAAGAUUCCAAUAAACCUGAGCUGCAAAGGUUGCCUUCCACUAGCCUAUCAGAGACUAUGCUUUCUAUUUUCCUAGUUUUUUAAUCAAAAUUUUGCAAGAUUUAUUUAUGGAAAUCUUGGACAAAAUUUUAUGUAAGAUACCAUAAAGCCAAACACAAUCUUUUUAAUUCUCAGCAGCAACAUUUAAAGUGAAAAACGGGAAGCCAUAUAAAUAUAACUAUGUUUGGUCAAGGAACAAUUAUUUCAAGCUUUCAGAAAUGCUAGCAAGAGAUUGUAAGAGAACUUUACCUAGUCACAGAAUAUGUCAAACAUACUACCACCAACUGUCUUCACCACGAUUGUUAUGAAGUAGCUUUUGAAUCGGAAGAUUCCAGCUUCCACCAGGCACCAUUAUUUUCAUUCUUGAUACAAUCUGCAUCACUGGCAUUAGUUAUAUCAUCAACAUUUGCAUCCUCACUCUCAUCAUCCCAAUCAAGGCUUCUUCUCCAGCUCUGGACUAUAAGUCCACUCCGACAUCUUCAAACAUCUCGGUCCUUCCAUUUGCCAACAACCGAUAUGGCUUCCUUCCUUGCCUUCCCCAUUAAUAUAUCACUCGAAGGAAAAAACGCAUCAGCAAUUCUCUUCAACGCCUCAUCGUUUAUAACCACCCAAAAAAAGGGUCUUCAGACACCUCAACUUUGCUUUCGGCAAAACCUCCACAAAAUCUGAAUUAUCCAACACAACAGCCAGACACUCAAUCCUUCUUUUGUCCAUCAUAUCCACCGUAUGAUUCCUCAACAAAAUAUCUACAGCUUGUGGCUUUUCUAACACUGUCUUGAUCCAAAACCCCGCUCUUUUCAACUCAUCUGCCAAUCCAUAACCCACUUUUGGAGUCAAAAUUGUCCUUGCAGCCCUUUUAUAUUUUUCCAUCUCCAUCGAAUACUUGCCACUCAAAUGGAAUUACCAGACAGGAAUCCCAGUAACAAGUCCACUCAACUUCUUCUCAUCCGAUCCCUCUUUCACUCUGGCGGAAACAUUAAUAACCAUUCACCAGCCACAAAUUACCCAAGUAAGUACUCGUGUCGUCAACACUUACCCUUCACUUCAUCUACGCAAACAAGAAUUCAAAUUGCUUAUUAGCUAGUGCUCGAGCGAAAGCCAAAAUAAAUUAAAUAUGUGUGUGUGUGUGUGUUAAAAGAGAAACGGUAGCGAAGUUAUUAUACAAUAAAGCAAACCAAAAUAAAUUCUACACUCAUGUGGGUGUUUCGGUCGCAAAAUCUGGACAAGAAAAAAUAAUAAUGAUACAAUCUCCAAAUAAAGAGCAUUCCUCUUGGUAAAAUAGACAAAUCCUAUAAAUUUUGAUUAAUGGUGCCAAAUGAAAGAGUUGUAAUUUCAUGUACAUUUUGUUAACAUGAAUAAGGGUACAAAAUAGAUAACAAAGUGAUAAAAACAAAGCUAAUCACAAUGAAUGAUAAGGUUUAGAGUAAACAUAAAGUUAUAAUCUUGAACAUAAGUGGCGCUCAAAGCCAUGAAUUUGAUAUCAUCCAUGAGGGGAGUUCAAACAACACCAUGUAAGAAGCAACAAGUGUUGAGAAAAAAAAAAAGUCAUUCUAACACAACAGAAUAAAUUGUAAAGAAAUCCCAGUUUGUAUAAAAGAAAGAAAACAAAAUUAAGGAAAGCAUAAGCACAACAAAAUUUGACUGAUUAUUAAAAAUGAGAAAUGAGUUAUAAUGAGAAUUUUGGCUUUGUGGUGAAAUAAAUUGGGAAGUAUCCAAAGUUCGCAUGUAAAUAAUGAAAAUGAUAAGAAGACGAAGGGAACAAAAUGAUAAUAAGCAAGCCAAAUAUUAAAAUGCAGAUUCUACGCUUCCGCCCCCCCCCCCCCCCAUACUUCAAGUUAGUGUCUUGCUAAUCAUUUUAGAUGUAUCAAUUACAAAGGGAGGCCAUCUAUUUAUAGUAAGCGUACGCCUCUAAUGCUUUGCCAAGUGUCCGUUGAUAAUGUGCUGAUAAAGUUUGUUGCACGUAUGAGUUGGUUAAGUCUGCUAGAAAUGCAAACGUGUAAAGCUUAGUUAGCAAGUUAGUUAAGGUUGUUACGAAUGCUUAGAUUCAGUUCACGUGUAUUGUAUGUAAUGCUUAGAUUCAGCUCAUGUAGAUUGUGUAUACAACUUUCUAAUAUUCUUUAGAUCUCAAUAUAAAUGCUUGUAAUCAACAAAUACAAUAAUAAGAGUCAUCAUUCUUCAUUUUCUCUCUGUUUCUCUCAUAUUUUCUCUGCAUCCAAACACAAUAAUCUCAGUUCUUGACUUGGUAUCAGAGUUGCAGUUUAAUUGUCAUGGCUUCCUUAAGCAUUCAAACACAAAUCAGUCUCCUUCAUUCUUUACCCUCACAAAUGCGAUCAAACUGGACAGAUCUAACUAUACGAUAUGCAAAUCUCAGAUCCUCUCUUCAGUGCGUGCCAAUGGACUUGAAGGCUUUCUUAAUGGAACUAAAAUUUGUCCAGAUCAGUUACUUACUCAAGAGAUUGAAAGUUAUGGUGUUGAAAAUGCUGUUGGUGAAAGCUCAGCUGCAAGCUCAGCUUAUUAAGUUGGCUCAUGUCCUCCAUCAGUGUUGAGAUACUUAGUCUUGUGGUAAAUUCUGAUUCUUCUCAUAAACUAUGGACUAAUCUUGAAGAAAAUUUUUGGAUUAGAAACAAUGGCUAAGAAAGCACACUUAAAAAUGAUGUUAAGCAAUCUCAAAAAGGGAUCAAUGACAAUAACUGAGUAUUUUGCCAAACUUAGAGCUGUAACUAAUAAACUUGCUCUAACUGGUAGCCCUGUUUCUAGUCUAGACUUUAUUACUCAUCUAAUCUCUAGAUUAGGCCAGCCAUACUACCCUGUUGUUUUGUAUAUUGAAGCUAAUAUGAUGAAAGUAUUUGUCAAUGAAGCAUAUUCUAUGCUUUUAACUCAUGAAGCAAGAAUUAAAGCUAAUCAUCCAAGUGCAAAUAAAGAAGCAAAGUUGAAUUAUGCUGCUAACAUAGCUUAGGCUGGACCUAGUACUAAAUAACAAUAAGAAGUCUAGUAAUCAAGCUAAUUACUAUCAGGGCAACCAAGGUAACUGGAAAACAAAUGCUCAUUGUUGUGGUAACAAUGGAGGAAGAGGUGGCUUUGGCAGAGGUUUUUCAGGGCAAGGAAGGGGUAAUUAGAAUAAUGGUGGUCAUUCGAACAAUGGACCUUGGAGUAGUAGUUGAGGAGGCUAUAAUGGUUCUGAUAUAAACAAUAUGACAUGGUUGCUGGUGAACUUGUAAACAUAACCGAAAAAGUAAGAAGGCAUAAUUUUUUAAUAAGAAACUCAAAAAUGUAUUAAUGAUGAAAAUUUUCAAACAGAUAGUGGACCAGCUGUCCAGUAAGAAAACAAAAAAUUGAAUAUUUGUGCUAUAAAAAGGCACACCCAAUCUCACCCCUUUAAAAGGCUAGAAUCAGCUACAAAUCCCUAUCUCAAAACCCCAUCCCAGUUUAGAUGAAUGAAGAAAAAAGAUGAAUCUUGAAACUCCUUAGAAACUGAAGCCCAAAGUGAAGCAAGAAGAUGAACUCUAUCCCAAGCAAGCAAUAUGGCAUAUUUCUCCAUUAAUGGUUCAAAUAAAGUGAAUGGCUUUCUCUGAUGAAUGGGAGAUUGUCAAGAUCAAUAGUCAAACUCACGCAAAGUAAACGGACUUAGUUCUCAGAGGCUACUCGUUCUAAGUCUGAAAGAAAAAUUUUCUAAUUUCUAAAAAUUAUAUGGGGAAAAAUCAUUAUUUUCUAACAUGGAAAAUUUGAUACGGUGUUUAAUGUCAGAUCACAAUAAUAAUAUGAGUACUAACAAAAACAUCUUUAAUCGGCAUGGUGCAAGUAAAACCCCAUCACUUCAUCUUUGAUGGAAAGAUGAUAAUCUAAGGAGAUGGUGAAAUGGUUUUGGUCCCUGGCAACUUGCAAUCAAAAGAAAACAAAAAACUACACUAUCAUUAAUGAUUACCGAAGCUACUGAAGUAUCAAAAUCGGAAAGUAAACAAUUGCAAAACACAUCAAUGACUGGAGGUUAGAUUCUAAAACUUCCGCAUUUAAUUUUCAGAGCAUGUUAUGUAUUAUUCAAAAAUAUGCUUUCACUUCAGGCAAUUGACCAAGACGCAUUAAACAUAAAACGUGGCGUUUUCAUGGACUAGUACAUUCCAUGCUUCGAAAGUUUAGGGCCCGUUUGGUAGCGUUUUUUACCCAUUGUUUUCAUUUUUGUUUUUAUAAUACAAACAUAAUAUAUGUUUGGUGAGAUGGAUUCAAAAAACAAAUCACAAAAUAACAAAUUCAGAUCCAGUGUUAUAACUACAAACAUGAAAACGUGUUUAACAUGUUUCCUAAAUAUUACAAACUAAACUCAAAAAUAGAUUAAGAAACAAAACUCAUUCUCUUCGGCAGCAACCCUCUCCCCCCUCUCAUCGUUGUCAAUCUGGUCACCCCACCCCCCCCCCCCCCCCCCCGCAAUCGUUAUCGAUCUAGUCACGGCAGCAGUGCUUUCUCCUUUUCUUACUCCAACAACACUUUCUCUCUCCUUAUCUCCUCAUCCUUUUCUUCGGUAGCAGUCUUCUCUCUACCCCUCAUCUUUCUCGAUGUGGUCACGGCAGCAGUUCUCUCUCUCCUUUUCUCCCUCCAACAACACUUUCUCUGCCGCUGCUGCAACUUCGUCUGUACCGCGGCUGUCCUUUGGUGUGCCGUACUCUCUCCGUCGUGGCCGUUGCUGCUCCGUUUGAGCAUAGCCACUGCUGUCCAUCUCCGUGUAGCCACCGUCGCUCCUACUUGAUAGACUGAACUGCUGCAUCUCUCUCGGCUUGCUGGUAAUUUUUUUUAUUUCAAAAAUUUUUUUUUUAUUUCAGUAAUUGUUUGAAUAAUUUUGAGAGAUUUUUUAAAGCAUGUUAAUUGUGUAUUCCCUCUAUUCAUGCCAAAAUAAUUUUGAGUAAUUGUUUUAGAUUAUGAGUAAUUGUGUUGAUUUGAAAACAAAACCGUGUGAAUAUAGUUUUGCUACACUUUGAUUUUGUUUGCGGAAUGGAAAAAAAAGGAAGCGAUGAACUGGAAUUGGGGGAUUUAAUUGUUGUUAUGUUGUUGCUUCGUGUGCUUUGUUAUUAUGAGUUUUAAUAAUUUUGAGUAAUUAUUUUAGAUUAUGAGUAAUUGUGUUGAUUUGAAAGCAAAACCGUGUAAAUAUAUUUUUGGUACACUUUGAUUUUGUUUGCGGAAUGAAAAAAAAAGGUAGCGAUGAACUGGAAUUGGGGGAUUUGUAUUAUGCUGCUGCUUUAAUUGUUGCUAUGUUGUUGCUUUGUGUGCUUGGUCAUUAUGAGUUUUAAUAUUUUCUCUAUGUCAUUGAAUCGAAAUGCAAGCUGGAAAUUGUAAUUUCAGAUAAAUAUAUUUGGGGAAAAGGAUGAUUGCCGAAUAGCAUUGUAUUUGUGUUUUAAGGAUGAAGAAUACAAAUAUCUGUUUUUGUUUAUGCCAUGAAAUUCUUUAUGCCAUUAAUUUGAAUUGGUGAAGUUGUAUUGGAAUAUUUUUUAUUUUGGACUGUUGAAUUUUUAAUUUAUGACAUAUUGGUAAAAUGGCUUUCAUGCUAUGUUGAAUUUGAUUAAUUUCAAAAGUUUGAGCUAUGUAUGUUUAGAAGUAGUUUAUUUAAUUUCAUUAAUAUUUGAUACAUGUUAUUUUUUCUAAUUUUCUAGUAACAAGAUAUGGAUCCACAUGAUGUUGAUGGUGAGGAUAGCAAGAUUUGGUUACCAGCGAAUGUCGCAGAGAUGAAUGCUAUAAGAGAUGGGAUUGCAGCUUCUAUGAGGCACGAUUACACAUAAUGCAUAAUGUGUACCAUAUAAUUUUUUAUAAUUAUUUUGUUGAAAUCAUGUGUUGUAAUAUAUAUCUUAAUUAUAGUGUAAAAACAAUGACAAUGUAAAACUUUUUUUAAUUAAUGGUAAUUAUAAAACUUUAUCAUCAUUUAAUUUUUUAUAAUAAUUUUGCUUAAAUUAUUAUGGUAUAUUUGUGUAUGUAAUAUUGUCACAAUUAUUUUCUAACUAUAAUUAUAACUUAAAAUACUUAGUAAAAACUAUUUUUGAAAAAGGUAUUACCGAACACAUAUUAUCUGUUUUUAUUAUUUUCAACUAUAUCUAUCAAACGCAUAUCACUGUUUUCAGUUUGGAAAUAUAGGAUACAGAAAAUGAUACCAAACGUAUACUUAAAUUCAAAAUACAGCAACUGUAAAACACCAUUUUCAUUUUCAUUUUUAUUCUUAGAAAAUACAAAUUCAGAAACAAUACUAAACGAACCCUUAUGUUUUAGACUGAUUGGUUUGAUACAUUAUUUGUUUAUUGCGUUUUUCUUGCUUUAAAUAUUAUGUUGGAUUGAUAAGCUUUGUACACAUUUAUAUUGCUCGCAGUAAAUAAUUUAUGACAUUUAAAAAACUAUCAACCGUCUGUCAAAAGAUUUCUACUAUAAAUAUAUAUACACAAAAAACUUUUAAUUUGGUCAAUUUGUUCUCUUAUUUAUUUUUGUUCUAUUUCUCUUUUCCUUUCAUUUCAUUUUAUUGUUUUAUGGUACAAAAUAAAAAAAAAAAUAACAUUAAAAUUUAAGGGUAAAAUACUCAUUUUACUAAAAUUCCGUUUAAUAUUAUAAAGCUGUCAAAUGUCAAUGGCAUAGGACACGAGUGAUACAAAUUAAAAACAAUAAAUUGAAAGUUUUUAUGCAUUUUCCUUUUAUUUUUUUUAUAGUCGAUUGAGAUUUCCCUUCAUAUUUUUAAAUUCAAUAGGUUUAGACUGUUUAACAAAUCUUAAAUUAAAAAAACCCGCGGUGUAAUAAUAAACUCACAUCAAACCCUGUACACUGUCAUCCCUAAUUAUAUUUACCACUAAUUAUAUUUACCACUUCAUACUCACAGUGAUAAUAACUGUGUAUCAUAAUUGAUUUUGCAUACGGGUAAAAGUUCCAAGUCCGGAUAUUUAGUUAAUGAAAUUUGAUGAAAAGGGCAUGAAAGAAAAUAAGAAAUUAAAUAAUACAGGUGGUAUUAAUCAUUACAUAUUUAGUUAAUGAAAAUUGAUGAAAAUAUUUCUGCUGACGUGAGCCAUAAUUAUAUUACCGUUAAGAAUGAAGCAGAAGAGUUUCCCCAAACAAGCUAAAACACAGCACUUCAAUUUAAAGAAUUUUUAUAUCACAGUACAGUAAGUUAAUUCCAUAAUCUAUCUCCAAAGAAAGGCAAACACAAGCUUAUAAGAUUAAAACUUUGGAAAACAUUAAAGAGUCAGACAAAAUUGUGUAAUCUUCAGAGUUUGGAGCCUAGUUCAUCCAGGAAAGCAAAAGAAAAUAAUAAUAAUAAUAAUAGUGGUGGUUUGAUCUCAAAAGGUGGCAUCAAAGCGGUAACUUUGGGGUAUUGGAAGCUAUAACAUCUUCAACUUUGUCCUGAUUUCGAAGUCCCUUAACCCAUCCGCCAUCAAUGGAUUGAAAGCUUCCAUUCAACCCAUCAUCCACAAAAUCACCAACCCGUUUCACCUUCAUCUCCUUGGGCUUAACAGGGUACUUUCCAGUGAAGCAAGCAAAACACAAAUUCUGAGAAUCAUCGCCUAACAACUUGUUCAGGCUGUUAAUUGGCAGAAAAGCAAGCGAGUCACACCCAAUAAACUCCCUGAUUUCCUCGACGCUCAUCCUGUUGGAAAUCAACUCCUCACUACUUGGGGUGUCCACUCCAUAGUAACAAGAAGCUAUGAUUGGUGGGCUUGCAAUUCUCCUGUGAACCUCUUUAGCUCCAGCCUCCUUAAGCAACCGAACAAUUUUCGAUGAAGUUGUUCCUCUCACUAUUGAAUCAUCCACAACCACAACUCUCUUUCCCUCCAACACUCCCCUUACAGGAGAGAGCUUAAGCUUGACACCAAAGUCCCUAAUUUUCUGGGAAGGCUCAAUGAAAGUUCUCCCAACAUAAUGUGACCUUAUCAACCCUUGUUGAAAUGGCACCCCGGCUUUCGCAGCGUACUCAAGUGCAGCCACCACUCCAGAAUCUGGUACUGCAAUCACGACAUCACACUCAACAGGAGCCUCGGUAGCAAGUACUUCCCCAAAAUGAUACCUCGACUCAUAAACAGACCUUCCAAAAACAACAGAAUUAGGCAAAGCAAAAUAAAUAUGCUCAAAGAUGCACUGCUUAGGUUCAGGGUGAGGCAUCAAACAAGGUGAUUGAACCCCAUCUUUAUCCACCAUCAAAACUUCACCGGGAUAUACCUCUCUCUCUCUCUCUCUCUCUCGUAUGUGGCCUCAAUCAAAUAGUGCACAAGUUUCUGAUGCAAAAACCACAGCACCGUUACUCCUCCUACCCAUCACCAAUGGCCUAAACCCAUAUGGGUCACGAACCGCAACAAGCUUAUCCUCAGUAACAAACACCAUUGAAUACACACCCUCAAGCUUCUCACAAGCAUCCACAAUCCUCAAAAAGAACGGCCUAGCUUUCGAUAUCGCAAUCAAAUGGAGAACAACCUCAGUAUCAGAACUAUUAUUAAAAAUGGAACCAUUAUCUUCAAGCUUAGCCCUCAAAGUAUUAUAAUUAACUAAAUUCCUAUUAUGUGCAACACCAACAGAACCAAACCUGUACCCAGCAACAAAAGGCUGCACAAUCUUAAGCAUAGAACUACCGCAGUCGAAUAUCUAACAUGACCAAUGGCCAUAUCACUAGGCAAUUGAUCAAGUUUAGACUGAUUAAACACAUCAGAGACUAAACCAACACCAGUAAUAGACUGAAGAACUUUGUUAUUCACAGCAACUAUACAGUGGCGAAGGGUACUUUAAGUAGAGGGGAACUUGUUCUAGGUUUUUUCCUGGAAUUGUGAGGGAAUCUGAUCCUGUGUUUGUGCAUAUGAUUCAAUUACUUAUAGGUGAUACUGUUGUGUCACCACAAAAUCUAAUUGGGAAGCUUCAGCUGUCAAUUUUUUUUCCUUGUGGAACAUGAAAAUUGAUGCAUGUUCCAAUGCAUUGCUCUGUCAGAAUUGGAAUUAAACUUAGUUUGUACUCUCCUAUUCCGAAAGCAAAACUUGUAAGUGAUAUUAUAAGAAGAAGAAAUUAAGAACCAUAACAAAUUUGAUGAUUCUAAUUUGCUAGAAAUAUUGCAAUCCAAAACUAAGAAAGUUAAAACCAAUUAUUAGAAGAAAAAAGUAGGACGGAAGCUCCCAGAAUAUUGUUAUGUGUUGUAUGUUUUCAGUUUGUAUUUCUCAAUCAAUAAGGAAAAGUAAGUACACAUGUUACAAAAAUUUAAUAAAAAAGAUUGGAGGUGACAAAACCGUCAAUCUUCUAAUUAACUUUCUCUCCUUUCGAAUUUCCUGAGUUUGGUAGAGACUGCUUAAGUGGUGUAUCUAUUAUAAACAGGCAAAACUAUGUUGCAACAGUGGUAUGGUACCACUGUUGCAACCAGCCAUUGAAUCGAUAGUUGUAUAGUUAUAUUAGAAAGAUCCAAUGACCGAAAGCAACAGUGAUAUCGUAUCACUGUUGCAACAUAGCUGGACCCAUUAUAAACACAUGAAGUCAAAGUUAAUGUUUUAAUUGUUAAGAAAAGUUAGAAGAAGAAAUUUUUGUAUAAGAGAAUUGUGUUUAAAUUUAGAAUUCUUUGGGAGGAAAUGAGUCUAAAUUCCAAUAAUAUAAUUCAGCACUAUUUAUAUAUAUCAUUAGUUGGGUGAAAAAUUAAUUUCCCUCCUUUGAUGUGAUUUUCAUCAUUAAUUGUUCAUAUGAUGGUAAUUUUUUGUUUAGAGUGAAGUUAUUGGCACCCUUUCAUUAUCCUUAUAAAAUCCUACUUCAAAUAAAAUUACACUUAAAAGACAAUAGAAUUAAAUAACAUAGUUUUUUUUUCAAACAAAUUAUUCACAUUCAUAAUUUUUUUUCUUCUAAUUUUCUACAGGUUGCUUUGUAUCUAACUAAAAUAAAUUGUACAAAUUUAGAAUAAUUUAUUUUUCUUUUUAAAUUUCUUAUUGAUUAAAUAUUUGUGUACUUAAGAUAGCUUUAAAAUUAUAAGAUAAAAUAUAUAUAAUUUAAGCCAAUGAUUAACAUUCAAAAAUUUAUCUCUCAUAAAAGUUUUUAAUUUGUGCGUAGGGUAAUAAUAAAAUUGCAAAAGAAAUGAAAAAUAGCAUAGCACUAUUUUGAGUUUAAACAAUAAAAAAUUAAAUGAAAAAUUAGAAGUGUAUUUAAAAAAAGGAUAUUUUUGAAAAAUAAAAUAAAUAUAAUUUUAAAAAAAGAGUUUCAUGUGGGGUGCAACAGUUCAACUCUUUUGUUUGUAAGUUUUAAGAUGUUGGUAUCCUUAGCUUAGCUUUUCCCUAAUUAUUAUAUUAAAAUGUAACAACAAUGAUGAUCAACCCUAAUUUCAUGGAGGUCAAAGAUUUUGGUCAUGCCGCAUUAAUUAGUUCGGUCAUACUUUCUACAAAUUUAUUUACAUUUAAUAAUUUGACCAAGACUAGGUAAGGUGCCGCCUGGAGUCAUAGAAUUUUAUAUGUCAAAAGUGCGUUUCACUUCAAUUAAGCCAUAAAUGUCGUUUAAUAUGCUCAUUUUGUAUAUUUUUUUAAAAAAGUUUUAUUAAUUUUUUUGUUUUUAAAAAUAUCAAUUAUUUUUUUAUUUUUUAAAAUUUUUUUAAAGGUAAAGAAGUGGGUAAAAUCUAAAUUCAAAUUUUAUCCCUUAUGUCCUGGUCCUAAGAUUUGAACUCAUGUGAAUAGCCAAAUGUAUAAUAACAGGUAUUUCAAUUUUCAUUUUAAAUGAUAUGCUAUUCAUUAAGUGAUUGUUAAUUUUUUAUAAGAUUAAAAUGAAUUAAUUGUAUUAUCUCACUAAUUAAUUGAUGAAUGUCAUAUUAUUUGGGAUAACUUUUGAAUAAAAAAAUUGUGAUGGAUGAAAUAUUCUUUUGAGAAUUUAUUGACUUAUAUCAUUUAUGACUUAUGGUUGCAUUUAAGUGAUAUUGCAAAUAAUUUUUCCGAUAAUAUUAUUGUUUUGAUGAGUAAGUUUGGAGUAAGGAAAAUUCUAUGAUGCCGUAAUUAAAAAUAAGGCAUUAAUGCCGUAAUUAUUAUGAACCAUUAGAUUAAAUCAACGGUUUACAAUAAUUAUAAAAUAAUAAAAUUUUUUAAUUUAAUUACAUCUAACCGGUUAUAAUCCGGUUAAGUACUUUUUAAAAAUAAAAAUUUACCGGUAUAACUUUAAAGGAAAAAAAGAAGAUUUACGUUUUAAAGAAAUAAAAAAAAUAUAAAGGGAAAAUUCGUUCAUAUUGAAAUCCCUAAUUAACGAAUUCCAAAAGAAACCCACUGCCGCGUUAACUUCCGUUCAAGUGCACCGGCGAUACGUCUGCAGAUUGCAGCCAUUGAGCUGAUUUUUUGUCUUGUUCGAAUUGCUGAGUCUUUGCCGUCGCUGCCUCUAUCUUGGUUUGGCCGUCAUCCCUGUGCAAGGUAAGUUUAAUCCUCUGUCUCGCUCGAAUUGCUAAGCAAUUUCGUUUUCUUUCAUGGUCAUAAUUUGUUCACGGAAUUGACUCUAAGAAUUAAGAAGUCGCUGCAAAGUGUUUGGGUUUGCAUAGUUUUCUUUCAUGGUCAUAAUUUUUGCAUUUGUUCACAGAAUUAAGUUCCUGUGCAAAGUGUUUGGGUUUGCUGGCUAACGCGAUUUUGUUUUCCUCCAAUACUCUUUUCCUGCCAAUCAUUGCUUUGGAAGUUGCUUGAAGCAAAAACAGAGGUGAAAAAGAAGCAAAAAAGAAAUAUGGAUAAAUUAAAUUAAGAAAUAUAGAGCAUGCACUAGACUUUGAUAUGAUUUUUUCUUGUUAUUACAAGUAAUAUGGAUAAAUUAGAUUAAUUGAUUUAUUUUGCUGGUAAUAUGGUUGUUUGAAUACACAUUAAUUGUGAAAUAAAACAAAAAAUAUGUAAACCACACAUAAAACUAGUAAAUUAAUGAAAAAAUGAUCAAUUAAUGUUGAAAUUGUAAUUUGUACGAAGAACUUGUAAACAAAACAAAAACUUAUAAAAAUGACAUAGAACUAGUAAAUUGACAUUAAUUGUGAAAUAAAACAAAAAAUGUGUAAAUCACACAUAAAACUAGUAAAUUGAUGGGAAAAUGAGUAAAUUAAUGUUGGAGUUGUAAUUUGUACGAAGAACUUGUAAACAAAACAAAAACUUAGAAAAAUGACAUAGAACUAGUAAAUUCACAUUAAUUGUGAAAUGAAACACAAAAUGUGUAAAUCACACAUAAAACUAGUAAAUUGAUGAAAAAAUGAGUAAAUUAAUGUUGGAGUUGUAAAUUGCAAGAAGAACUUGUAAAUUGACAUUAAGUGUGAAAUAAAACAAAAAAUUUGUAAACCACACAUAAAACUAGUAAAUUAAUCGAAAAAUAGGUAAAUUAAUGUUAGAGUUGUAAAUUGUAAGAAGAACUUGUAAACAAAACAAAAACUUGUAAAUGUUGCAUAAAACUUGUAAAUCAACAUUAACUUGUAAAAGUUUCAUAAAACUUGUAAAUCACACAUAAAAUUGGUAAAUAUAACCUGGAACUUGAACAAAAAAGAGUAAUUACCUGCUACUUAGGUAACAAGUUACCUAUUUAUUUAGAAUUAAUGGUAGAGAUUUUUUAUUCAAAUCUAACGAUUCACGUCCAUUACAGCAUCAAUGUCGUAAAUUUAGUUAUAGAAUGACCCUUGGAGUAAAUAAUACAUAUGGCAAGUGUGAGGUUUGUUAUUGCAUUUAUUUUGUGGAUCUCUUUUAAAGCCAAAAAAAGACAUUUCAAUUCAUUAUGAUUCCAAAUAAUUUCAAGGCAUAUGUCAUUAUUGGGAUAAAAAUAAAGUAAAAUGGUUAAAACUAUUUUUAUUAAUUUAUAAAAAUUAAUGAAGCAACUACAAAAAUUUUUAAACGAAAAACAAUUGAAAUGUGUGUGGAAAAAGAAGAAAAAAAAUAAGGCAUUUAAAUAUCUUCUUAAAAAAUACGAUUGAGUAAAAUCAUUUUAACAGAAUGCUCUUCCAAAUACAAUUCCACAAUAAUCAUUUUAACAAAAUGCUUUUCCAAAGAGAAACACACACACACACAAAGAGAUUAGUGGGGAGAUAUAUGAGUGUGUAAUUUGUAUAUAUAUCCCCAUUAAUUGUUGAUAGUCCAAUGGGUAUAUGCAAAAGGAAAAACUUGGCUGUCCUUUAAGACAAAAUUGACUGUCACGUGAAAAUGUUAGCACACUUGCCACGCAACGAAAAUAAAGAUUCCAAGAACAACUUUAUGGUCCCCUUUCUGUCCAAACAUAUGCGAUGGAAAUUAGUGUAAACGACACUUGAAAUAUAUAUGUAGAUCCUCACACAAUUGAUUAAAUAUUUAUAGUAGGGUGGAGUGAUAAAUAGUUUCACAAAAUUAUUGGAAUUAACUAUUUAAUACAUGAGAUCUAUCCCAUUAAGUAUAAAAGAUUGAGUGCUGCUUCAAAGGCAUGACGUUGAUGGCAACAAAUUUAACACAAAAAUUUAAUUAACUAUCCUAGUUGAGAUAUUAAAAUCUCGUGUUGAAAACAAAAGGUUUGAGGUUCGAACCUUCUGAUUCAAGAAAAUCAAGUCAAAAUAUUACAUCUUCCAGCACAUAUCAAAGAUUUUUGCAAAGGCAGACUGAUAAUUCAGGGUAAAACAAAAAAAAAAAAAAAACAAAAGGACUAUAUGCUAUUCAAGACAGGUAUACCUUGGAUAUGAAGUCUGAAUCCAAAACAAGAAGCACCUAGCUGAUCUUUCACUUUCAAUUUCCAAAACCCAACAAAAUCUUUGUCAAAAUAUAUGAUCUAGUCCCAUAUUAAGCACAUUCAUAGCCGUAUCAACAUGUUCAAAAUAUUUUCCCCAAAAUGAGAUAAAGAUUCCACUGAAGUUGAGUUGUGAAUGUCCCAACAUUCUGUAAUUAUAUGGUUCAGGAUACCAUGCCUAUGAAUCUUUUUUUUUUUUUUCAUGUUUCGAAGUCUAUCAAAUGAAAAUGUAAUUAUAUGGUUCAGGAUAUCAAUAUGCCGGAGCUGCAAAGGUUGACUUCUACUAUCCUAUCAAUGUCUAUACUUUCUAUUGAAUUUCCUUGUUUUUUUUUAAAUUGCGAGAUUUAUUUUUGGAAAUCUUUGACAAAUUUUAUGUAAGAUACCAUAAAGCCAAAUACAACCUUUUUUAUUCUCAGCAGCAACUUUUUUUUUUCCUUUUAAAAAAAGGAAGCCAUAUAAAUAAUGCUUAAAACAUUAUUUGCAACAAGGAACAAUUAUUUCAUGCUUUCAUGUAUUAGAAACUUUCCAAAAAUGCUAGCAAGAAAAUGAAAUGGAACUUUACCUAUUGAUGCGAGAUUCUGAUUUGCUGAUCGUCCACGACAAGGAUCUCUCCUCAACUAACUCGUCCACGAUCAGGAUAUCUCCUUGUAAUCCUUCUUCUCCGCAAGCUCCUGCGUACACAGAUACAGGUCAGAGCACGCCGGGUAUUUUCCCGGCGUAAAUCCUCCGACGCUCAAGUCAGAAAUGUAGGCUUUGCCUUUCUGGGAAAAACAGCCACAAAUCCUAUGGCUCUUUUACGAUUUCUUAAUAGGAGCUCUCUUUUUCUCAGUUAUAAUCUCAAAAAGUCUAACCCUUUUACCUUCGUUGGCUACCUUUUUAUAGGUUCUCUCUGGAUCCCGGCCUUCCACAACCCACGUCCAUUACCUCCCCCCAACUCUCGGAAGUGGACGCUCCGUUAUCGUAGUCGUGGUUGGAUAAACUUUGUGCCUUGAUUCUCGGAUAGGCGUGCACGCACGUCUUGCCAACCGUCGUUGACCGGGUCUCCUCACCUCAACCUCUAGCAGGAAUAGUUUUAUGCUCCUGGUAGGAGGUCAGCUCCCGUUGUGGCCCCGUGGAUGGUACACUCGUGAAUGAGCAGGAACAAUCCUGCUCGUAUUCACCUGCUACCAGACUUCUGCGGAAUAUAUCUAUUCGCGAGAUCCUGCUACCAGGUAUUUGCUCAUCAUGGCCGGUCUUGUCGAGGUAUAUCCCCUAAACAUUACCUAGUCACAGAAUAUGUACUGCUGUUAGCCCAAUUGUUAUGAAGUGGCUUCUGCAUCAGAAGAUUCCCGCUCCUACAAAGCAUUGUUAUCUCUCUUCUGAAUACAAUCUACAUCGCUGGGCAUGAGUUAUAUCAUUAAUGUCUACAUCCUCACUUACAUCAUCCCAAUCAAGUGCUUUUUCUCUACAUCUGGAUUAUAAGCCCACUCCAAUCUCUUCAAAACAUCCCAGUCCUUCCAUCACAACUGAUACGACUUCCUUCCUUACUUCCCCAUUAAUAAAUCGCUCUGAGAAAAAAAAAGCAUUAGCAAUUCUCUUCAACGCCCCAUCAUUCAUAUCCCCUACAACAACCAUCUUCAGACACCUCAACGUUGCCUCUUGAAAGACCUCCACAAAAUCCGAAUCAUCCGACACAAUCAUCAAACACCGUAACCAUCUUUUGUCCACCAUAUCCACCAUAUAAUUCCUCAACAAAACAUUGGCAUCUUGUGGCUUAUCUAACACCAUCCUGACCCAAAACCAUGCUCUUUUUAACUCAUCUGCAAAACCAUAACCCACUUUUGGAGUCAAAAUUGCACUUGCAGCCAUUUUAUAUUUUGCCAUCUUUAUUGAAUAGUUGCCAACCAAAAGCACUCUCACCUUCCCUCUAGCUGAUUCUAUUUGAUUCGACGUUUUCUUUUAUUCGCCCUCAUGAAUUUGCUUAGAAUGAUUAACAAGCUUGUCAUUAUUAUAAAAUCUCCUUCCAUAAUCACCAAUACAUACGGCUUAGCAGGCCUAAUUACACCAUUGAUUUCUAAUUGGUUAAACAAUUCUCUUUCUUUCUUUGCUCUCUUACAACUUGAGGCAUAUAACUAAACCCGUGGCUAUUAGCAUUUGCCACCAUGUAUUUAACAAUCCCGAAUGAAGAUAUUGAUUUUUUUCAGUUUAAUUGCUGCUUCAAAACGGGGUACUGAAUUUGGAUUUUGUUAUCCAAAUACCAAAAAUUUCCCACAUUGUGUUGGACAAUUUUUGGUUCUAAAGUUGAUGACUGGUUUUGCGAAUCAAGCUUCAAAUGAGAACUUCUAAACAAUAAGACAAAUGGGUUUUUGAGUUUCUAAUCUUGUAAACUUUGUUCUAUUGUAUAAGUUGUGAAAUCGCUUAAACAUCACUACAGCUAGAGGUCUUUAUGUCACUACUAGAAAAAUGGGCUUUAUUGACACCAAUUUAGUGUCAGUAAUUACUUUUGCUGACACUUGUUAAUUGUGUCAGUAAUGCUCAAGCCAGAACACACUGACACUAAUCUUUGGUGUCAGUGAUUUUUGCGUCAGUAUUUUGUGUCACUAUAGUAUCACCACCAUAGUGAUACUAUGAUGUUAGUAUCAGUUGAUACUAUUUUUAUGUCAGUAUUUUGUGUCACUAGAGAGUCACAAGGAUAGUGACUCAAUCGCGUUAGCAUUUAAUGAUACUAUUUACAUGUCACUGAUUUAUGUGACUACAGUAUUAGGAAUCCACUGACUCAGUAACAUCAAAAAUUCUUAUCGUCAUUUAAAUAAUUAGUGUCAGUAUUAACGGUGCUAUACCGGUUGUGUUUUAUUUUUUUUAAUGACAUUAUUCAUGUUUAUUUUACAAUUAAAAUAAACCCAAAAUAUAUUAAACAUACCAAAUCUUGUAAUGCAAUUCACAUAAUACACAUUUCAAAUACAUCAGUUAAAUUAAAAUAGUUCAAAUACAUCAUUGUUUGGGGGUAAAAACAUGUUCAAGUACAAAAUUAAGCUUUGAACAAGUAGUAUACACGAUAAAGUACUAAAUUAAUUUCGGAAAAUUUAGCCAAGAAGAAAAAACAAAUAACAAUGUCACUGAUUUUGGAGUCACUGAUUUUGGAGUCCGCAUAUGCCUUCAUUUUUUUUCCACCUACAAGUAUAUAAAAUCAAUUAGCACACCACAAAAAAUAAAUCACAGAUUUGUUUUAAGGAAAAAUAAUCAUAAAUUACUUGUAUGUUACCUCGCGAUUGUAGGCUGUAAUUAACUUGGCAACGUAUGUAGCCCACUGAUCACGAAGUCGCGAGAGGUCCUUGACAGUGUAUUCCUCAACUCCCUUGAACUUUAAUUUUAAAACAACAAGUUAUUCACCGAAAAUCCUUGACUAAACUACUUAAUUAUCAUUCAUUUAAAUACAUUUGUGUGUUAACAAUUAAAGCCAACAAAUAAACUCCAACAAUGUUACUGUUUUAUCCAAAAUUAUAUAGGUAAAUACUGAACAUCCUGAUCAUGGUAAUUCCAAAAAAAAAAAACUUGUGAACCCCAACAACAACAAUAUUUGAUAGCCGAAGCAACUUGUGAACCCCAACAGUACGCGAUUUAAUACAAAUAUGGAUGUACAUACAAAACCUUAAUUAGGAUGACAACUUAUCCUCAUCAAAGUAAAGUACAAGCAAUGACACCAUAGCACAUCCCCACUAACAACUACUUUGCAACCCAAACAAUUGUUUUGUGUUGGGAUAUGCAGUACAUUGUGUAUAUCCCAAAUCCUAAUUCAUGUCUAUAUGGAUAUUCAUAUAAUCUAUUCAACAGUAUGCAACAUAGUCACCAUUAUAAGUACCCUCACAGUUUAUAAAAUGCAUACAAUACGCAAUAAAAAGAUAACUGUAAAGAAGCACACAAGUGUUUGAGCUGAUUCAUUUCACAAUAAAUUAAAACAAUAUGAUACAGUAUUGUAAAAAUCAUUUUCAAUACUUACAUUAUUUUUCAGAACGUUCACAUUUGUGAUGAUAUCUUGCAUGUAUUUCAUCACAUAGUAACCACAUUCAAAGCUGCUCGGCUGCCUCGGACACUACAAGAUCAAAAUUACAUUAAUUUUUUACUGUACGUUAACAAUAAUUAGUUAGGUUUGUCUGAUUUUUACCUUGACAGGUAUCCAUUGAACAUUGGCCUUUGUAUCAGAAUUUAAACUCUGAUGUAUUCGAAUCCCCCUACAAUUAAGAGACAUAGCUAACGUUAGCAAAUAAUUAGCAUAAGACAUAAAAAUAAAAUAGCAUGAUCAAAGAUACAAAUAACAAACUUAACUGAUUGACAAUCUGCAUUAGCUCUUCAUCAGGACUACCUUCCAAAGGAUCAAGGUAAUAGGUUGUACGUCUCACCAUAUCAAUUGCCAAUAACACCCAGUGGGCACUAAACAAAGUAAAAAUUGUUCUCACACAUGAAUUACAAGUAAAAGUGAUUAAUCUACAAAUUAAAGAAUAUUACUAGCAAAUGAAAAAGGUUAUACCCAGGGUUAUACGGGAAUACGAUGACUUGUCCCAAUUCUGCCAAGCCUAACAGUUUUGAAAUGUAUUGAGUCCUGUCUUUGAAACUGACCCUUGGAUAUAGCUUCUCAAAAAGCCCAAACUGAACUGGUUUAGUACUUCCAUUGCUCUCCAUCUCCUCAUACAGGUGUCUAAGAGGAAACAAAUAUAUAUAACGAAGUAAGUUUGAAUAUAGGAAACAAAAUAAUAGGGCCAAGUUUACUAAAACAUAAGUUAUGAUUUACCGUACUUGAUCCAUAUGUUAAUGAUGCAGUUUGAGACCUCUUUAAACUCGAUGAUUUCAGCACAAAUCAUUUUGUCCAAGUGUGUUUCCCAAAUUUCACCAAAGGUUGCUGUGUCAUGCCGAAUCCUGAUCAACCGAGGUAAAGAAUUCUCGAUGAACAUGGUAAACAUGUUCAUAUAUUCACUCCUGUCAUUCUUUCUUGAUCGUGCUGCUGCCCGUGUAUUCUUCACACGUACAUUGAGGUCUUUUGCUGCUGGUCUGAUGACUCGGGGUUCUUUUUUGGCUAUUUCUGCUGGUCUGAUGACUCUGGGUUCUUUUUUGGCUACUUCUGCUGGUAUGAUGACUCUGGGUUCUUUUUUGGCUACUUCUGCUGGUCUGAUGACUGGUGGUUCUUUGUUGGGUACUUUGUCAUGACAGGAGAACUGCCUAUCUAGUACUUUAGGAGUUAGUCGAGGAGAUCUUCUCGGUGUGGGCUUUGAAGUAAUUUCACAAUCUACUUUUUCGGGGGUUUGUUGAGGAGUUGCUUGGGAAAUUGUGGUGGGACUGUCCUUGAUUUUACUCUUCACAGAUUUUGGAGUCGACUUACCCAAUGGGAAAUCAGCCUUUGCAAUAAUCAAAAUACAUACCAUUAGUAGUAAUACAUGCAUAUACAAAUGGAAAUAAAAUAAUGACAUGUAACAGGCCAUAUACCUUUCUUUUUCCAAGAGUUUCAGGGGAUUGUUGAUCAUUGUCAAUCUGAACACCAGUGGAAGUUUUGGGCUUAGGAAAGUUAGAACUUCCAACUUCAGUAUUGCUGUACGCAUUUAACCUUGCAUUCAUGCGUUCUAAUUGAGCAGACAUGAAUUGGAAACUCUCUUGAUACAUCUUUCUUUCUCUUGCUAACUCAGUGGCAUCAGGGACAUGAAAGUACAUAGAUGGGGUGACGAAUUGCCCCACUCCUUGCACCCUACUUCCAUUUGGCUGCUUCUGAAGAGCUUCACCUAGAAUGUCAUGUGACCCUUGUGAUUGGAAUGUUCCUUGUUCAACAUGACUCUUCAGUUCAUUCUACAAAAAAAAAUAUUGUAAAUCCGCAAUUACGAGUACAAGACAUCAGCUAAACUAAACUAAUAUCCUUCUUGAAUCUUUAACAAAGAGCAAAUCCAUAUACAGUUCAAAUUGAAACUACAGAAAAUAUUACAAGACAACACCUCAAACAAGUUUUAACCUUUUAAUAUGCGAAGAAAUAAGUUCUGAUGAAAUCUUACUGAGUUUCUGUCAAUUGUAAAUGUUGCCAUACAAUUAUUACAAAAAGCAGUAUAUAUGUACGUUAAUAUCUACCCCCACACACACAUAUUAUAAAGAAAAUUCAUAAGAAUUAAGUAUACAAGUGGCUUACUAUUUUCUCAGCAAUUGGCGUCACAUCAGAAGCAUAUUUGCCAUCUCGGUCUGCUCGUGCCAUUAACCAAGCUUCACUGCGAUCAAUCUCCCGCUCAGAAACUCCACUCUCCUUUUUCUGUUACAAGGUGACAUAAAACAUAAAUAAUUGAUUCUAUGAUAUUAUACGCAUUAGAUUACUUAUGUUACUGUAAUUACUCCAUAUUACCACACUUACUUUUCUAUACAACAUGCCACCAUAUCCUGUGCUACCCAAGCGAUGGUUGUAGACAUUCUUUGCUCUUUUGUCUUUUGCCUUCUUACUUUUUUCCUGCACAAACAGUUUAUAUGAAGAAUAAAAAGUUACCACUGAUUAUUAGUAACUACCAACAAUUACAUCAGGUAAUAUUAACAAACAACACACCUGAAAUUGUUCAGACAAAACUUUGUCAACAAAAAGUUUCCAAUCUUCUUUUUUAAUGCUUGGAUAUUCAAUAGGAGGCAACCUUAGUGACUUUCGAUCGUCCUUGUUAGGUAGAACGAAUUCAGUUGCCAGUUCACAACGAAAGUUUCUUGAUGCAACCCCCAUCCACUUUAAUACUUGGCUUUUGCAUUUCAAGCUCAAUUUGAAUUUUUUCUGUCAACCAAUAACAUGGAUUAGCAACAACUUUAAAAAAAUCUGGAAGUUAUAUAAAAUCUUUAAACAUACUAUGAAACAAGAAAACAAAACCUGAAAAUGAACCCACAAAGUUUCCUUCAUCUCCAGUGGCACACGCCUCCAAUCAUCAAGUAAAAUUGAAAUUGUUUCACGUACAAUGACUCCAAUGUAACUCCUAAGAUCAUUUCUUCCCUUUCCAACCGGAACACCAUAAGAAUUGUACUCAAUUGCAGCUUCAUGACUAACUUCUUGUUUUUGCAAACCUUUUUUUUUUGUUUGUUUUCUUCUCCUUGGUCUUCCGUCGAGCUCCGGAAGAGUGAACUCAACAUCGUCAGCCAUCUCCUACAAUCCUGAAAAUGAUUAAAAUAAAUAAGUAUAUCAUUUAGAUUAAUAAGUUAAUACAAGAGCAAUAGCAUAUAAUGAAAUAAAUAAAUCACUUACUGGAAAACUUUGAAAAUUGGUGCUGGAAACUAACUACAAUAAUGCAUUCACUGAUUUUCUAAAUCAAUAUCUAUUGGAAUAGCAUCACAAUCUUUUCUGUCAUAAAUUCCUUCAUCAUCUUUCUCAUCCAACUCACAUACUGGAAGUUUGUUAGAUAAUGGAGAAAAUACAUCCACGUCUUCACAUCUUUCCCCAUUUAACUUAUAAGCUUUGUCGGUCACUGAACAAACUAUUGAUUUAUUAUUCUCUAGCUGGUCCUUUACAUAAAAUACUUGCUUUGCAUGACAAGCCAGAAUAAAGCAAUCAGAUUUAUAGCCAAUCCGAUUUAAAUCAACUACAGUGAAACCUAAAUUGUCAGUGCAAACCCCUCUAUCAUCUACCCAAUCACACUUGAAAAGUGUUUUUUUAACCAUUAGAUAAUCAAGCUGCCAAAUCUCAUCAAUGACUCCAUAAAACGUCAUGUCUCCAAAAUGAGGACUUUUAUCUUUUGAGCUUGAAAUCUGUAGAGUGUUAGCAACAACCCUAACACCACUAUUUUGGGUCACACGAUUACAGUCUCGGUCCCUCGUUGUAAAAUUGAAGCCAUUUAUCUCGUAGCCAGAGAAGGUUACCACGCUUGAGCGUGGUUUGUUUGCUAACCAGCACACUAUUUCGUCAAUCGGCACAUUAUUUGCUUUAUCAUGUGCCACCUAUAAAUUAAUUUAACAAGUACAGUAAUUAGUAACAUGUAGAAAAAUCUUGUUAAGUUUAUAUCCUAUAUUGUAUUUAGUUACGUAAUUCUAACCUUUGCUUGUAACCAACCAGAAAAUGUUCGUAUGUGUUCAUUUUGCAACCACAGAUUUGUUUUUGCCUUAUAAGGGUUUCUUGAUGCCAAAUAAUGCAUAUGCUCCCUACAGUGAAACAUAUUAAGAUUUAAAAACUAGUAUAUUAAUCUAAUAAUACAAUAGUAAUAUUUUUUUGAAAAAUUAACAACUUACUCGAUAUAUAUUUGGAUUUCAGGGGUGUUCAUUAGAACACACCGGUGUGCUUGUGCCAACAAAGGAUCAUCAACCACCUUUAUGUUUGCACCUCCCAAAGGCUUUUCGAUAGAUAAAUCAGUUGGACAACCAGUAGGCAGCCCAAUAACAUCACAAUUUGAGAGGUACUCAGCACAAAAUGCAAGUGCUUCUUCUGCAAUAUAACUUUCUACAAUACAACCCUCAGGGCGGUAGCGAUUACGAACAUAAUCCUUGAGAGUUUUCAUUUGUCUCUCAAAAGGAUACAUCCAUCGAAGAUAAACAGGCCCACAUAACCUAACUUGUUCAACUAAGUGGACUGUUAAAUGGAUCAUUAUGUCAAAAAAGCUAGGUGGGAAGUACUGCUGCAGUAAGCAUAAAGUGAUUACAAGUUCCUCUUGCAAUUGGUCAAGAGUAUUAGGAUCUACCACUUUACAGCACAAUGUAUUAAAAAAGAAGCACAUCCUGAUUAUGGCCGUUCUCACAUUUAUAGGCAAACAGUUUCGAAUGGCUAGUGGUAGAAAUUGUUGCAUCAAAGUAUGACAGUCAUGGGACUUAAGGCCUUGAAGCCGACAAUCAUCUAUUGAAACAAGGUUUUGGACAUUGGAAGAAUACCCAUCAGGGACUUUCACACUCAGCAAGGUUUCACAAAACUGUUUUUUUUCUUUUUUACUCGAAGUAUAAGGAGCUGGAGGUAGGACUUUGUUUUUUUUGUUUGUUUCAUCAGGAACUAGUUUUCCCCUGAUCUUCAAAGACUCAAGAUCUUUUCUAGCAUUAAUCCCAUCUUUUGUUUUGCCUGGUUGAUGAAGUAAUGUGCCAUAUAUGUUUUCGCACACAUUUUUUUCAAUGUGCAUGACAUCUAAUUGAUGGCGAACUAAUAAAUGCUUCCAAUAAUCUAACUAAAAAAAGAUUGACUUUUUUUUGUACAAUUUUUCAGUUAUGUUCUCAUCACCACCACCACCACCACCGCCAUCAUGUUUCCGCUUUUUGGCCUUCUUUUUCCCGAACUUAAUAUCUAUAUCUUCCACCAUAUUAAAGAUUUCCUCACCAGACAAAGUUUUAGGAGGCUCAUUCCACUCUUGCUUCCCAUUAAAAACCUUUUUCAGUUUCCGAAAUAAGUGACCGAGUGGUAGAAAGCGGCGAUGGCCCAUAUAUGACAUUUUCCUACUAUGUGGCAGCCAACAUGCACAAGUGUCUAUCCCACAAAUUGGGCAAGCAUAAUAGCCCUUAACAGUACAACCAGAGAGGUUUCCGUAUGCUGGAAAGUCACUAAUUGUCCACAUCAAGACAGCCCGUAAAUUAAAGGUUUCUUUUCUAUAAGAAUCAUAAACAUCAAUACCUACAUCCCAUAGAGUUUUUAAGUCCUCAAUCAAAGGUGCUAGGUAUACAUCUAGAUCAUUUCCAGGUUGUUUAGGGCCAGAUAUCAAAAGUGACAACAUCAAAAACUUUCUCUUCAUACACAACCAUGGAGGAAGAUUAUAUGUUAUUAAUAUAACAGGCCAACAACUAUAAGUAGUGCUAAGUGUACUAUGUGGGUUAACCCCAUCAGUUGAGAGAGCUAAACGGAGAUUUCUAGGUUCUUGUGCAAAUUUUGGCCACUUAUUGUCAAUUAGUUGCCAGGCUGGUGAGUCUGCUGGGUGGCGAAGUUUGCCAUCUCUAAUUCUUUUAUUAGCAUGCCAUGUUAAAUUUUGAGCUGUUUGUGGUGAUUGAAACAAUCUUUUCAACCUAGGAAUAGGUGGAAAAUACCAUAAUACCUUUUUUGGAACCCCUUUCCUAAAUUUUGUUGAGCUAUCUUUUUUUUUUUAUACCUAGAUGCUCCACAAUUUGGGCAUUCAGCAAGAUCAGCAAAUUCAUUCCUAUACAAAAUGCAGUCAUUUGGACAUGCAUGUAUUUUUUCAUACUCUAAGCCUAACACUUUCAUUGUUUUCUUAACCUCGUACAUUGACAUAGGUAGAGUAUUAUUAUUUGGCAAAAUAUCAGCAAGGACUUCUAACAAAGCAGAAAACCCUGUAUCGGACCACCCAUAGUUCCCUUUCACAUUGUAAAGUCUCAUUAAACUAGAUAACUUUGAAUGUUUUGCACCCGGGUACAAAGGCUUUUCAGCAUCUUCAAGCAUAUCCUUAAAAGAACUAGGAUCUCUAUCACAAUGCUCGUAAGCAUCUUCGACCAUGUCAAUUAUAUUACUGUAAUCAUGACAUCUAAAUCUUUGACUAUGUGAAUGGUCUUCACAGUUUGUAAAUGUAGAUUUAGAGUCAGUCUCACCAUGCCAAGUCCAAACAAUAUAUCUUGGGAGAAAACCUUUUUCAAAUAAAUGAUCCUUCACUUGUUGAGGAGUAUGAAACUCCAUGUUACAACAAAAGGUGCAAGGACAUCUAAUUGACAUUCGAUUUUCAGCAUUCAAAAUGGCAAAAUCUAAGAAAUCAGCAACUCCAGAACGAUACUCUACAGACAAUCUAUCACAAGUUAUCCAACUUCUGUCCAUUUCAAAUAUUUUACCUGUUCACAUAUGUAAUGUUAGUUUAAGUUUAAUUAAAUUGCAUGAUUAAUUUAAAGUUCAAUGUUAUUAUGAUUAUAGUUGUAAUAAUAAACUUAUAAUUCUGAAAAAUCAUUAAUAGCCCUAUAAAUCAUUAAUUAUAAUAAUAAUUUAGACAAAAUCCUGAAAUUGAAACAAAAUAAGUUUUGAAACUUAAAUAGGAGAUUAAUAGGUAAGAUGGGUGCUAAUGGCUUUUUAAGUAGUCGAACUAAUUCAUAAGUCAAGUAACUAACAAAAGUUAAGAGUUCAAAUAAAUAAUGUCUUCAUACCACUUUGCAAGCCAUUUUUUAAGAUUCUAUAAAUCAUUUUUUAACUUCAAAUACAACAUGCAGAACUACUUUAAAACAAGCAUUUCUUUAUUGAAUCAAACACAAAUCAUCAACUUUAUACAAUCUCACAAUACUCACAACCACGAACUUAAUUAAUUCAUAUCAUAGUCAUUGUCUCUAUUACAAAUCGUCCAACCAAAACAGAAUAAAUAAACAAGUAGGAUUAUAUAACAAAAUUUGCCUCUCUUUACAUGAAACAGAGAUGUAAAUAGUUUGUAACCACUAAAUACACAGUCAUUCAGCCAAUAUAACACCCAAACAAUCAUCUCCUAAUCACAAAGGCAAAAGCUAAAAUCAAAUUUCAUAUUUUAGUACAUUCAAAAUCAACUAACUUAUUGCUCAAAGUUAAGAAACGGAGCUAACAGUUUAUUUCAGAAACUAAAAAAAAUGCACAUUCUUAGUUUUAAAUAACAAUGACAGUAAAUCACAUGCACAAAAGUUUGAAACUGACCUCAAAUGUGGCAGAAAAAACAGAGUCGCAGCAGCAAGUGUUUUGAGUUUAAGUAAUGCACCACUUAAAAUGCCUGUAUUUUUGGACUGCAUGUGAGUGAAGAUAUAGAAAAAUAAGAACAAAAAUUUCAAGUUACGAAUAAAUAAAUAAAAAAAAAUAUUUGGAAAACAAAACCCACCAGGGUUGCACGACUGUUCAAUUUCUGAAUAUCUGAAACAACCCAAAAAUAAAAAUUCAAAAAUAUUAUUCAUAAGCCAAAUUAAAACAAACCCAAUAAUUAAAUUGCACAAACAAAUAAAACAUUCUGCCAUUACCAGCUGAUAACCUCCUCUACAGUUCUUUCUCUGGACUUAACUUGUCAGGGAGAAUGAGAUUACCUGAAUACCGAACCGAUGGUGCCACUUCACCCCUUGUCGAUGGCUUUUACUUGCUUGCCUAGUAUAGGCACUGGAUGGUUAAGUUGGAGAAAAACCCCUUCGAUAACAAGCGAUUAGGGUUUUGGUUUGUGUUUCAAUUUGGGGAAAAUGGAAAAACGAAUCAGAGUUUUAGGUUUUCAUUAUCUAUCUAAAUUAAUUGAAUUUAAUUUGUAAAUGGAUAGUGCAAAACAGAAGAGAUCGAGAAGAGAAAAACGAAAGCGAAAGUGAACGAUGAAAGCAAGAUAGAGACAGUCGAUAUAGUCUAGAUGGGGAGAACAAGUGUGUUUUAUGUUAUUGUUAUUUAUAUUUUCAUUUUUUAAUAAUUUAAAUAUUAUUAUGACUUUGACUCAUCGAGAUUUGAUGGUCUGUGCUCCAAACAUUAAAGCUUUAAAUCUUAGAGCUCCCAGGUUCGAGUUGGAGCUAAAACAAAAUUUUUAUGAAUUUUUUUUAUCAUUGAUACUUUAGUGUUAGUGAUUUUUGAUGUUUAGUUUACUGACACCCUAGUAUCAUUAAUCUCUGAUUCCUAUUUGUCAAAAGCGGAAAAUGGUGCAUAUGUACAUAAGUACUGAUACUUUUUGCAAAGUGUCAGUAACGAAGUGUCAGUAAAGCCCAUUUUUCUAGUAGUGUCUGUCAAUGAACUGCAGAAGCUGAUGAUCUACCUGUAGUAGACUUCUAUUGCCCCUGUCGUUCUAGGAAGACAAAUAAGUUCAGGAACUACUUCUGGACCAAACUCAUAAUAUUGCCACUGCUUUGUGCCAAUCUACGAGGGAAAGCAUAUUGAAGUUCCUAAAUAAGGCACAUCACGAUUUGACUGAAGUACCAUUAUGAGGAACAAUUGAUUUUAGGAAAGCACUAAAAUAUGACAUAAUCUGCCCCUAAUGGUCUAAAGUAGUCAAGAAAUUAUAUCAACCAAGCAGAAACACAUAAACUAGUUGAGAUACAAAGUUAUUGUAAAAGUCAAUUUUGAUCACAAAUCCAUUAAAAUUAAAAGACAUCAGAAACUUAGAGAACAUUAUAAUUUAGGACUCAGCUAAGUUGCAGAUUCUGUAACUAACAGCUGAGUCCACAUUGGUCUUGCAUCAGCUAAGUUUGGGUUGCUUUCCCUCUCUCCUGCAACGCGUGGAAGCGCCCCAUUUGCUGUGUUAUAUACCGAGUCAGUACCGUAACAAGCUCCUAUAAUUUAAGUUUGAUUAAUGUAGACAAUAGUCUGCCUCUGCUCAAAAGCUAUGCUGCAAGAUAUAACAUCUUUGCAAUGUUAUACUUUCUAAAAGUAAUAAGAAAUGAAACCAAGGGGUAAAUCGAACACCAAAAGAAAUUUAGUCGGCCAACCACAUUAUGUUCCCACACAGUCCACUAAUUAAGUUAAUAAUUAAAGGAAUCAAAAUCUAAGAAAUCUAAGAAAUCGGCCAACCACAUUUUCCUUUUUCUCUCUCCGCUACAGUAGUCGCUAAUUGACCCAAUUGAUGUUCAAGCUUUAGAAUAGCUUGAGUGUUUGACUGAAAAGCUUGUUGGGUUGACUGAAUGAAACUUUGAAGUGUAUCCUCUAAAGAAGGCUUUCUUUGUUGGGGUGCAACAAAUUGAGACAUAGGUUGUUGGGCAGGAGGAUAUACUUGGUUAGGAGGGAUAAAUUGUUGAUUGGGCAUGUUAAAUUGUUGCCCUCCUUGAUUUGACAAAUGUUGAUUUUGUUUCCAAGAAAAAUUAGGGUGAUUCCUCCAAUUAGGAUUAUAUGUGGAUGAAUAUGGACUAUUGGAGGUUUUCUCAUAUGAUUGUAAGGCAUGUACCUGCUUAGAAUAAGCAUCUGGAUAGACUGGUAAUGAUGGACAAUUCUGUGCUGUAUGAGACAAGUUAGAACAAAUAGCACAAACUUCAUUAGCUACACUAGGAUGAUGAUUCAUUGAUUGGUUCAGAGCUAAGGCAUCUACUUUCCUAGAAAGUGUAGCUAGAGUGGAUUUCACAUCAAAAUCAUCCUUAACUUCAUAUAACCCCUUUCUAGAAACUUGAGAUGAUUUUUCCCUUUGAUUUGAAAAAUCCCAUUGUUGAGAGUUUUCAGAAAGUGAAUUAAAGAAAUCCCAUGCGGCCCAUUCAUGUAAGUUCAAAAAUCUCCCACCAUUCAUAGACUCUACCAUAUGACGAUUUGACAUGGUUAAACCGUUAUAAAAGCAUUGUAUAAGUCUCCAUUUUUCAAAACCAUGGUGGGGACACUUGAGGAGUAAAUCAUUGAAUCUUUCCCAACACUCGUAAAAUUGCUCACCCUCUCUUUGAUAAAAAUCACUUAUCUCUGUCCUAAGGGCAUUUGUUUUCGACAUAGGAAAAAACUUGGUGAGAAACUUAUUACUCAAUUCAUCCCAUGUACUAAUAGACCCAGCAGGAAGUGAAUUCAACCAAGCUUUUGCUUUGUCUUUUAAUGAGAAAGGGAACAUACGAAGCCUAAUUGACUCAUCAUUAAAAUUUUGAAAACGAAAUGUAGAGCAUAUGUCAAGAAAUUCCUUAAUGUGCAAAUAUGGAUCCUCUCUCUCUAACCCAUGGAAAGAUGGUAAAAGUUGAAUGACUGAGGGCUUAAGUUCAAAGUGUGUUGCUGUAGUUUGUGGCAACACAAUACAAGAUGGUUGGUUGGCUGCAAGUGGUGAAAAGUAUUCUCUGAGGGUUUUCUCUGCUUGCACUGGUGGAAGUAUUGGCAAUAGUCUAUUUGGGUCAUCCAUCACUUCUAAAGAACUAGUUUGACUACUAUCAAUUUUCGACUCUCUUUUAACCAAACGAUUUGUUGAAUCACGUUCCCAAACACUCAUAAACUAACUAGACAAGAAAAGAAAGAAAAAUAAAAUCAAAUAAACCAACAAUAAUGAGAAUAAAUGAAAUUUAAAAAUAAAAGAAAUCAAACAACCAAACAAUGAAUUUAAAGACAAAUAAAAGUUUUUUUGUGUUUUUUUUUAAUAAAAAAAAUAAAAGACAACCUAAGUUAAAACUAGUGGAAGAAUCAAAUCAACCUAGAUUAAACUGACUUUCUAGCACAAUCCCCGGCAACGGCGCCAAAAACUUGUGUUGAAAAUUUUAAUAUACUCGCAAGCGCACGAAUCUAGAAAUAGAAUAGUGGUAACGAGGUCGAUCCCACAGGGAUUGUUAUAAAUUGAAAAGUCUAAUUUAAAUAUAAAAUUAAUAUUAAUUCUAACCUAGUUGACCAAAUUGAGUUUUAAGAGAAAUUAAACUAAUUAAACUAAGGAAGCAAAAAAUAAAGGAGAAUUCAAUAAGAUAAGAAUUACCAAGGUUUUAGAAUCCACCACUAUUCAACUAGUAAUUAUCUAAUUAUUAAUUAAUCCCCAAUUUAGAGUGACAACUUGAAAUCAAUCUAUGUCAUCUCAUGGAUAUAACAAUUAAGCCCAAAUAAAAUUAAUCUUAUGUAGGUUCUUUUUCUGCUUGAUAAUAUGACAUCUAAGCAUCCCAUGUAAACAUAUUGAAUAACAAAGAAUCAAAGUUUUCCUAAGCACUCUAUGUAAACAAUUUAAUGAAAGACAUAAAAUCAAAGAUAGUCAUGUAUAAACUUUAUAAAUCCAAGCAUAGAUUUAAUCGAAUAUUAAUCCUAACAAUCAAUAAUGCAUGACAGAAUUGAUGAAAAGAUUUUAUUAACAUCCAAUUAAUCAUGUGAGAUAAAAACCAUAAUCAUCAAAGAACAUAUAUAGGGAAUUAAUUAAAUAAAAAGAGAUAAUUAUUUCAUUGAAUAGGGUUUCAUCUUUAACCUCAGUAUAAGAAAAUUAGCUAGACAUACUUGAAUUGAGAGCAACAAGAUAAAUAAAUUCAGCCAUGGGGAAGCCGAAUUGCUGCAGAUUUUCUUCUCUGUCUUGAAUCCUUGCGUCUCCAGUUCUCCCCUUCCUCUGGCGGCUCUCCCCCCUUUAUAUAAUGUUACUGGCUUGCUUAAUCCUUAUCGGAUUCUAAUUGCAUUAACUUAUCAUAAGUCACAAUCAUCCACCGACUUACAAAGCCCACUCACCAAGGCCUUUUUAAAUUAUUUCCUUAUUAAACUUUGAAAACUAGCCACACGUUUGACCACAAAAGCAAAAGACCAAUUAAUGACUUCUUCUUUUAAUGCCCAGCACAUGCACUCCAAAUUGCCAAAUCUUUGCUUUCCAAAUGCAUGCCCACCGUUCAUCUUUUGAAGGGAUUGACUUCCAAUUUUAAUCUUAUUGACUUCCAAAUUUGAACUUCCUCAUGCCCUUUUUAUCCUUAAUCUUCAAUUAAUUCCCUAUUCAACAAAAUAAUUCAAUUAAUUAAAAAUAACAAAUAAAAAUAACUAACAAUUAAAUAAUAAGAGUCAAAUAUGUAUAUAAAUUAUGCUCAUCAAAUACCCCCAAACUUAGAUUUUGCUAGUCCUCGAGCAAAACUAAAACUUAAAACAAAAGUAAAAACAAUGAAAAAAAAAAUAAAUCUUAACUAAACCACUUUCGCAGGUAAUCGCGAUUGCAUUUAGCGUAUGCAACAAGUCUUUAAACCCAUAGGCGGCCCUAGUGGACGAGUUAUAGUCUCGUGAGGGCUUCAGUGAUGUUACCCACAAACAUCAUUUUUCAAAGAAUUAAAAUAAAAAUAAAAUGAAAAGAACAACAAACUUUUAAACAAAACAUGAAGAUAGCCUCAAAGAUUGCAUAAAUUAUAUAGCUCAAAGAAAAUUUCAAAUAUUGGCAAAGUUCUAACUUUAAUUCAAUAGUCAAUCUCAUCUCUCUUUCGAUUCUUGUAGUGUGUGUGUGAAAUCAAUUCAAUCAAAUCCAUUCCCAAAACCCUCAAUAUCAACAGCCUUCGCCUCAAACAAAGAACAGAGUAGGUCAAACUAAUCUUAUCAUCUUGAUCUCCAAUUUUUUUUUUUUCACAGGCUUUUAUGUGCAUUUUCUUUUGAAUUUUUUUUUUCAGCACAUGCACUUGAUUUGAUUUUUUUUUCUUUUUUUUUUUAACCAUAGUCAGGAGCUUUCACUCUACCCCUUAAGGUAGCCUUCUUCUCAUGGUAGAUUAUCCUCUACAUACUUGUGGUACAUAGGCCCAAAUUACUCAAGGAUAGCUUCACUCUUAAGGGUUAUAGGUAGCUAUUUCUGACUCUGGCGCCUGUGUAUGCUAUUUUGUAUUGUGGAGAUAAGAAUCAAGAUAAAUAGUCAUUUACUCUAUCUAAAAUUCUCAAUUCAGGCUGUGUCAAUCUCAAAUUUCAAGUCAAAAUCAUGAAAGAACUGAUAUUAGUGCUCAUGGUUUAAAGAAUCUCAAUCAAGAGGAACUAACACAAGAAUCAAGUAUAAACUAAGACAAUAUUCAAUCCUUUCUAAAAACCAUAUUUAUUGUCAAUCAAAUUCUUAUCAUUGGCUUUUCACAUAAAAACAAAAACAACACAAAUUUUUUUUUUGAAUUUUUGAAUUUUUUUAUUUUUUUAUUAUUUUUUUAAACAAACAAAGCACACACUAUUCCCACCCCCAAACUUAUUUGGAACAUUGUCCUCAAUGUUUCACAAACAAAAGAUAUGCAUGCAAACAAAUGAAAGAGAAAUAAUAAUAAUAAUAAAAACAUAAAUAAUAAAAAGAAAGUUGAAGAUAACACACCUGGAUGGGCUGUGAAAGCUUAAAAGAAAAUGCCAAAUGAAAAGAAAACAUUAGAAAAGAAAAACAAACAAAGAAAAGAAAACCUACUGUUAAAAUAAAACAAGAGUGCAAAGAUGAACUUAAUUAAUCCUGAUAAACAGGAUCAUCUAACAGUAUCUCCUCAACUUCUGGUGUUCUUAACUCUAAAAAUGGUUUUAAUCUUUGACCAUUGACCUUAAAUAAAUCACCAUUUUUAGGAUUUUCAAUCUCAAUUGCCCCAUAAGGGAAGACAGUACGAACUAUAAAAGGACCAGACCAUCGAGAACGUAACUUACCUGGAAAGAGAUGCAAUCGGGAAUUAUAUAAAAGUACUUUCUGACCUGGUGUAAAGACUUUUCUCAAAAUGUAUUUGUCAUGAAAGACUUUCAUUCGCUGUUUAUAAAUCUUGGCAUUCUCAUAUGCAUCAUUCCUGAUCUCUUCAAGUUCUGCUAGUUGUAAUCUUCUCUUAGACCCAGCCUGCUGCAUGUCAAAAUUGAAUUUCUUGAUAGCCCAAUACGCACGAUGCUCCAACUCUACUAGCAGAUGACAUGCUUUUCCAUACACAAGUCGAUAAGGUGACAUCCCAAUUGGUGUUUUAAAAGCAGUCCUAUAUGCCCACAAUGCAUCAUCAAGUCUCAAAGACCAAUCCUUUCUAUCUGGCCUAACUGUUUUCUCUAGAAUCCGCUUGAUGUCUCUAUUAGAAAUCUCUACUUGGCCACUGGUCUGAGGAUGGUAUGGGGUGGUAACCUUAUGUGUAAUGGAAUAUUUGUCCAAAAGAGUUUUGAAAGGUUUAUUGCAAAAAUGGGUGCCACCAUCACUAAUGAUUGUUCUAGGGAAACCAAAAUGAGACAGAAUAUUACUCUUUAAGAAUUUCACUACAACCCUAUGAUCAUUGGUUUUGCAUGGAGUUGCUUCAACCCACUUCGACACAUAGUCCACUGCAACUAAUAUAUACUGAUAACCAAAAGAUGGAGGAAACGGUCCCAUGAAAUCAAUACCCCAUACAUCGAAGAUCUCAACCACAAGAAUAGGAUUGAGUGGCAUCAUGUUCCUCUUUGAAAUGUUACCCAUACGUUGGCACCUAUCACACAAAGAACAGAAAAUAUAAGCGUCAUGAAAAAGAGUAGGUCAAUAAAAACCACACUGUAAAAUUUUUGUUGCUGCCUUUUUAGCACUAAAGUGGCCUCUACAAGCUUGUUCAUGGCAAAAUGAGAUAACACUUUGAAUUUCAUUAUCGGGAACACAUCGCCUAAUAAUCUGAUCAGCACAAUAUUUAAAUAAAUAGGGAUCAUCCCAAAAGAAGUCCUUCACUUUAGUUAAGAACUUUGUUCUAUCUUGCUUAGUCCAGUGCUCUGGGAUUUGACCUGUAGCAAGGUAAUUAACUAUGUCAGCAAACCAUGGUACAACAUUUACACUCAUAAGUUGCUCAUCUGGGAAAGACUCAUUCAAAGGUAAAGAUUCUGGAAUAAAUUUAAGAUCAAGGCGAGAUAAAUGAUCUGCCAUAACAUUUUCAGAACCUUUUUUAUCUAUAAAUUCAAUGUAAAAUUCUUGUAAAAGCAACACCCAACGAAUCAAUCUUGCCUUAGCAUCUUUCUUAGUAAGCAAAUAUUUUAAAGCAGCAUGAUCAGUAAAAAUAAUCACUUUACAACCUAUAAGAUAAGAUCUGAAUUUAUCAAGUGCAAACACCACAGCUAGCAUUUCUUUUUCUGUAGUUGAAUAGUUCAAUUGUGCAUCAUUGAGUGUCAUACUAGCAUAAUAAAUCACAUAAGGCAUACGAUCUAAUCUUUGUCCUAAAACUGCUCCUACAGCAUAAUCAGAUGCAUCACACAUAAUUUCAAAAGGCAAAUCCCAAUUAGGUGGCUGAAUGAUAGGUGAAGAAGUCAACAAUUUCUUAAGCUUUGCAAAAGCAUCAAGACAAGAUUCAUCAAAGAUAAAAGGUGCAUCCUUAACAAGUAAAUUGCAUAAAGGUCUAGAAAUUUUACUAAAAUCUUUAAUGAAUCUUUUAUAAAAACCAGCACGUCCAAGGAAAGAUCUUACUUCUUUUACGGAUUUGGGAUAUGGAAGAUUAGAAAUUAAAUCCACCUUAGCUUUGUCGACUUCUAUACCUUUGCUGGAAAUUAUAUGACCAAGAACAAUACCUUGUUUUACCAUGAAGUGACACUUUUCCCAAUUUAGAACCAAGAUCUUUUCUUUACAUCUCUGCAAAACUAAUGUUAGGUGCUGCAAACAUUCAUCAAAAGAAUCUCCAUAAACAGAAAAAUCAUCCAUGAAUACUUCAAGAAAUCUCUCAACCAUAUCAGAAAAAAUACUAAGCAUGCAUCUUUGAAAGGUAGCAGGUGCAUUGCAUAAACCAAAUGGCAUUCUCCUAUAUGCAAAAGUUCCAAAUGGACAAGUAAAAGUAGUUUUCUCCUGGUCCUCUGGAGAUAUAGGGAUCUGAUUAUAACCUGAAUAUCCAUCUAGAAAACAAUAAAAAUCAUGACCUGCAAGUCUAUCAAGCAUUUGAUCAAUAAAUGGAAGAGGAAAAUGAUCUUUUCUUGUGAAUGAAUUCAAUUUUCUAUAAUCAAUGCAAACACGCCACCCUGUAGUUACUCUAGUGGGAAUUAAUUCAUUAUUAGCAUUAGUAACUACUGUAACACCAGAUUUCUUAGGAACAACUUGCACAGGGCUAACCCAAGAGCUAUCUGAAAUAGGAUAAAUAAUUCCUGCAUCUAAUAAUUUGAUUACUUCAGCUCUUACCACUUCUUUCAUGUUAGGAUUUAACCUACGUUGCAUCUCCCUAAUAGGUUUAGUAUUUUCUUCAAGAUGAAUACGAUGCAUGCAAUCUACUGGAUUAAUACCUUUAAUAUCAGCGAUGGUCCAUUCUAUUGCCUCCUUAUGCUCUUUUAGAAUGCCUAACAACUUACCUUUUUGCUCAAGAUCGAGGGAAGAAGAAAUAAUAACAGGUAGUUGUCAGAUUCUCCCAAGAAUGCAUAUUCCAGAGUGUCAGGCAGUGCUUUGAGUUCCAAUUUUGGUGGUGCCUCUGCAGAUGGGCCAAUUUUCUUCUCAGAAUGAGGCAGUAGUUCUGACUUUGUCUUCCAUUUAAUUGUGUCCGUAAUUAGAGGUGCAUCAAGUAAAGCGCUGACUUCUGCAAUUGCACUGUCAUUAUUAAAAGAUAAAUCAGAAUGAGUUAGACAUGCCUCUAAUGGAUCGUCAGUAUAGUUAGAAAUAAAUGAAUCUUCUACUAAUUCCUCUAUCAUAUUUGCUUCAACAAAUUCAUCUUCUUCUUGUGGCUGCUUGGUAACAUUAAAAAUAUUCAAUUCCAUGGUCAUAUUACCAAAAGAUAGCUGCAUGUUUCCAUUCCUGCAAUUAAUAAGAGCAUCAGCUGUAGCUAAGAAAGGACGACCUAGAAUAACUGGAGUGUGUUUCUUAGGAUCCUGUACAUGCUGAGUAUCAAUAACGAUAAAAUCAACAGGAUAAUAAAAUUUAUCAAUCUGUAUCAACACAUCCUCUAUAAUACCACGAGGUAUUUUCAUAGACCUAUCAGCGAGUUGCAAAAUAAUAUAAGUUGAUUUUAACUCACCUAGUCCAAGCUGCAUGUAAACAGAAUAAGGCAAGAGAUUAACACUAGCGCCUAAAUCCAAUAAUGCUUUAUCAAAACAUUGGUUCCCUAUAACACAUGAGAUAGUAGGAGAACCUGAAUCCUUAAAUUUUGGUGGCAUUUUACAUUGGAGUAAAUUGCUAGUUUGUUCAGUUAAAAAUGCCUUUUUGGUGACAUGCAAAUUUCUCUUUUUAGUGCAUAAAUCUUUCAAAAACUUGGCAUAGGAAGGAACUUGCUUAAUAGCAUCGAGUAAAGGGAUGUUUAUACUUACCUGUUUGAAGAUUUCCAUAAUCUCACCUGUUGAAGUCCCUUUCUUUACCUUUGUUAACCUUUGAGGAAAAGGAGCCUUGGGAAUGUAAGCUGGCAGACCACUCUCUUCUGGAUCAUUUGGUGAUGAGUCUUGUGAUGGAAUUGGAUCUGAAGAAGUAGGCUCAGAUGUCUUCCUUGUUUGAACCUCUACUUUGUUGUCAAAUAAUUUUCCUCUUCUCAAGGUCAUAACAGAUUUUGCUUGUUCAUGCUGAUGACUUGAACUCAAUCCAGCUUCGUGCACUCCUUUGGGAUUAGGAACUGGUUGACUUGGAAAUUUUCCUUUUUCUCUCUCCGCUACAGUAGUCGCUAAUUGACCCAAUUGAUGUUCAAGCUUUAGAAUAGCUUGAGUGUUUGACUGAAAAGCUUGUUGGGUUGACUGAAUGAAACUUUGAAGUGUAUCCUCUAAAGAAGGCUUUCUUUGUUGGGGUGCAACAAAUUGAGACAUAGGUUGUUGGGCAGGAGGAUAUACUUGGUUAGGAGGGAUAAAUUGUUGAUUGGGCAUGUUAAAUUGUUGCCCUCCUUGAUUUGACAAAUGUUGAUUUUGUUUCCAAGAAAAAUUAGGGUGAUUCCUCCAAUUAGGAUUAUAUGUGGAUGAAUAUGGACUAUUGGAGGUUUUCUCAUAUGAUUGUAAGGCAUGUACCUGCUUAGAAUAAGCAUCUGGAUAGACUGGUAAUGAUGGACAAUUCUGUGCUGUAUGAGACAAGUUAGAACAAAUAGCACAAACUUCAUUAGCUACACUAGGAUGAUGAUUCAUUGAUUGGUUCAGAGCUAAGGCAUCUACUUUCCUAGAAAGUGUAGCUAGAGUGGAUUUCACAUCAAAAUCAUCCUUAACUUCAUAUAACCCCUUUCUAGAAACUUGAGAUGAUUUUUCCCUUUGAUUUGAAAAAUCCCAUUGUUGAGAGUUUUCAGAAAGUGAAUUAAAGAAAUCCCAUGCGGUCCAUUCAUGUAAGUUCAAAAAUCUCCCACCAUUCAUAGACUCUACCAUAUGACGAUUUGACAUGGUUAAACCGUUAUAAAAGCAUUGUAUAAGUCUCCAUUUUUCAAAACCAUGGUGGGGACACUUGAGGAGUAAAUCAUUGAAUCUUUCCCAACACUCGUAAAAUUACUCACCCUCUCUUUGAUAAAAAUCACUUAUCUCUGUCCUAAGGGCAUUUGUUUUCGACAUAGGAAAAAACUUGGUGAGAAACUUAUUACUCAAUUCAUCCCAUGUACUAAUAGACCCAGCAGGAAGUGAAUUCAACCAAGCUUUUGCUUUGUCUUUUAAUGAGAAAGGGAACAUACGAAGCCUAAUUGACUCAUCAUUAAAAUUUUGAAAACGAAAUGUAGAGCAUAUGUCAAGAAAUUCCUUAAUGUGCAAAUAUGGAUCCUCUCUCUCUAACCCAUGGAAAGAUGGUAAAAGUUGAAUGACUGAGGGCUUAAGUUCAAAGUGUGUUGCUGUAGUUUGUGGCAACACAAUACAAGAUGGUUGGUUGGCUGCAAGUGGUGAAAAGUAUUCUCUGAGGGUUUUCUCUGCUUGCACUGGUGGAAGUAUUGGCAAUAGUCUAUUUGGGUCAUCCAUCACUUCUAAAGAACUAGUUUGACUACUAUCAAUUUUCGACUCUCUUUUAACCAAACGAUUUGUUGAAUCACGUUCCCAAACACUCAUAAACUAACUAGACAAGAAAAGAAAGAAAAAUAAAAUCAAAUAAACCAACAAUAAUGAGAAUAAAUGAAAUUUAAAAAUAAAAGAAAUCAAACAACCAAACAAUGAAUUUAAAGACAAAUAAAAGUUUUUUUGUGUUUUUUUUUAAUAAAAAAAAUAAAAGACAACCUAAGUUAAAACUAGUGGAAGAAUCAAAUCAACCUAGAUUAAACUGACUUUCUAGCACAAUCCCCGGCAACGGCGCCAAAAACUUGUGUUGAAAAUUUUAAUAUACUCGCAAGCGCACGAAUCUAGAAAUAGAAUAGUGGUAACGAGGUCGAUCCCACAGGGAUUGUUAUAAAUUGAAAAGUCUAAUUUAAAUAUAAAAUUAAUAUUAAUUCUAACCUAGUUGACCAAAUUGAGUUUUAAGAGAAAUUAAACUAAUUAAACUAAGGAAGCAAAAAAUAAAGGAGAAUUCAAUAAGAUAAGAAUUACCAAGGUUUUAGAAUCCACCACUAUUCAACUAGUAAUUAUCUAAUUAUUAAUUAAUCCCCAAUUUAGAGUGACAACUUGAAAUCAAUCUAUGUCAUCUCAUGGAUAUAACAAUUAAGCCCAAAUAAAAUUAAUCUUAUGUAGGUUCUUUUUCUGCUUGAUAAUAUGACAUCUAAGCAUCCCAUGUAAACAUAUUGAAUAACAAAGAAUCAAAGUUUUCCUAAGCACUCUAUGUAAACAAUUUAAUGAAAGACAUAAAAUCAAAGAUAGUCAUGUAUAAACUUUAUAAAUCCAAGCAUAGAUUUAAUCGAAUAUUAAUCCUAACAAUCAAUAAUGCAUGACAGAAUUGAUGAAAAGAUUUUAUUAACAUCCAAUUAAUCAUGUGAGAUAAAAACCAUAAUCAUCAAAGAACAUAUAUAGGGAAUUAAUUAAAUAAAAAGAGAUAAUUAUUUCAUUGAAUAGGGUUUCAUCUUUAACCUCAGUAUAAGAAAAUUAGCUAGACAUACUUGAAUUGAGAGCAACAAGAUAAAUAAAUUCAGCCAUGGGGAAGCCGAAUUGCUGCAGAUUUUCUUCUCUGUCUUGAAUCCUUGCGUCUCCAGUUCUCCCCUUCCUCUGGCGGCUCUCCCCCCUUUAUAUAAUGUUACUGGCUUGCUUAAUCCUUAUCGGAUUCUAAUUGCAUUAACUUAUCAUAAGUCACAAUCAUCCACCGACUUACAAAGCCCACUCACCAAGGCCUUUUUAAAUUAUUUCCUUAUUAAACUUUGAAAACUAGCCACACGUUUGACCACAAAAGCAAAAGACCAAUUAAUGACUUCUUCUUUUAAUGCCCAGCACAUGCACUCCAAAUUGCCAAAUCUUUGCUUUCCAAAUGCAUGCCCACCGUUCAUCUUUUGAAGGGAUUGACUUCCAAUUUUAAUCUUAUUGACUUCCAAAUUUGAACUUCCUCAUGCCCUUUUUAUCCUUAAUCUUCAAUUAAUUCCCUAUUCAACAAAAUAAUUCAAUUAAUUAAAAAUAACAAAUAAAAAUAACUAACAAUUAAAUAAUAAGAGUCAAAUAUGUAUAUAAAUUAUGCUCAUCAAAUACCCCCAAACUUAGAUUUUGCUAGUCCUCGAGCAAAACUAAAACUUAAAACAAAAGUAAAAACAAUGAAAAAAAAAAUAAAUCUUAACUAAACCACUUUCGCAGGUAAUCGCGAUUGCAUUUAGCGUAUGCAACAAGUCUUUAAACCCAUAGGCGGCCCUAGUGGACGAGUUAUAGUCUCGUGAGGGCUUCAGUGAUGUUACCCACAAACAUCAUUUUUCAAAGAAUUAAAAUAAAAAUAAAAUGAAAAGAACAACAAACUUUUAAACAAAACAUGAAGAUAGCCUCAAAGAUUGCAUAAAUUAUAUAGCUCAAAGAAAAUUUCAAAUAUUGGCAAAGUUCUAACUUUAAUUCAAUAGUCAAUCUCAUCUCUCUUUCGAUUCUUGUAGUGUGUGUGUGAAAUCAAUUCAAUCAAAUCCAUUCCCAAAACCCUCAAUAUCAACAGCCUUCGCCUCAAACAAAGAACAGAGUAGGUCAAACUAAUCUUAUCAUCUUGAUCUCCAAUUUUUUUUUUUUCACAGGCUUUUAUGUGCAUUUUCUUUUGAAUUUUUUUUUUCAGCACAUGCACUUGAUUUGAUUUUUUUUUCUUUUUUUUUUUAACCAUAGUCAGGAGCUUUCACUCUACCCCUUAAGGUAGCCUUCUUCUCAUGGUAGAUUAUCCUCUACAUACUUGUGGUACAUAGGCCCAAAUUACUCAAGGAUAGCUUCACUCUUAAGGGUUAUAGGUAGCUAUUUCUGACUCUGGCGCCUGUGUAUGCUAUUUUGUAUUGUGGAGAUAAGAAUCAAGAUAAAUAGUCAUUUACUCUAUCUAAAAUUCUCAAUUCAGGCUGUGUCAAUCUCAAAUUUCAAGUCAAAAUCAUGAAAGAACUGAUAUUAGUGCUCAUGGUUUAAAGAAUCUCAAUCAAGAGGAACUAACACAAGAAUCAAGUAUAAACUAAGACAAUAUUCAAUCCUUUCUAAAAACCAUAUUUAUUGUCAAUCAAAUUCUUAUCAUUGGCUUUUCACAUAAAAACAAAAACAACACAAAUUUUUUUUUUGAAUUUUUGAAUUUUUUUAUUUUUUUAUUAUUUUUUUAAACAAACAAAGCACACACUAUUCCCACCCCCAAACUUAUUUGGAACAUUGUCCUCAAUGUUUCACAAACAAAAGAUAUGCAUGCAAACAAAUGAAAGAGAAAUAAUAAUAAUAAUAAAAACAUAAAUAAUAAAAAGAAAGUUGAAGAUAACACACCUGGAUGGGCUGUGAAAGCUUAAAAGAAAAUGCCAAAUGAAAAGAAAACAUUAGAAAAGAAAAACAAACAAAGAAAAGAAAACCUACUGUUAAAAUAAAACAAGAGUGCAAAGAUGAACUUAAUUAAUCCUGAUAAACAGGAUCAUCUAACAGUAUCUCCUCAACUUCUGGUGUUCUUAACUCUAAAAAUGGUUUUAAUCUUUGACCAUUGACCUUAAAUAAAUCACCAUUUUUAGGAUUUUCAAUCUCAAUUGCCCCAUAAGGGAAGACAAUACGAACUAUAAAAGGACCAGACCAUCGAGAACGUAACUUACCUGGAAAGAGAUGCAAUCGGGAAUUAUAUAAAAGUACUUUCUGACCUGGUGUAAAGACUUUUCUCAAAAUGUAUUUGUCAUGAAAGACUUUCAUUCGCUGUUUAUAAAUCUUGGCAUUCUCAUAUGCAUCAUUCCUGAUCUCUUCAAGUUCUGCUAGUUGUAAUCUUCUCUUAGACCCAGCCUGCUGCAUGUCAAAAUUGAAUUUCUUGAUAGCCCAAUACGCACGAUGCUCCAACUCUACUAGCAGAUGACAUGCUUUUCCAUACACAAGUCGAUAAGGUGACAUCCCAAUUGGUGUUUUAAAAGCAGUCCUAUAUGCCCACAAUGCAUCAUCAAGUCUCAAAGACCAAUCCUUUCUAUCUGGCCUAACUGUUUUCUCUAGAAUCCGCUUGAUGUCUCUAUUAGAAAUCUCUACUUGGCCACUGGUCUGAGGAUGGUAUGGGGUGGUAACCUUAUGUGUAAUGGAAUAUUUGUCCAAAAGAGUUUUGAAAGGUUUAUUGCAAAAAUGGGUGCCACCAUCACUAAUGAUUGUUCUAGGGAAACCAAAAAUGAGACAGAAUAUUACUCUUUAAGAAUUUCACUACAACCCUAUGAUCAUUGGUUUUGCAUGGAGUUGCUUCAACCCACUUCGACACAUAGUCCACUGCAACUAAUAUAUACUGAUAACCAAAAGAUGGAGGAAACGGUCCCAUGAAAUCAAUACCCCAUACAUCGAAGAUCUCAACCACAAGAAUAGGAUUGAGUGGCAUCAUGUUCCUCUUUGAAAUGCUACCCAUACGUUGGCACCUAUCACACAAAGAACAGAAAAUAUAAGCGUCAUGAAAAAGAGUAGGUCAAUAAAAACCACACUGUAAAAUUUUUGUUGCUGCCUUUUUAGCACUAAAGUGGCCUCUACAAGCUUGUUCAUGGCAAAAUGAGAUAACACUUUGAAUUUCAUUAUCGGGAACACAUCGCCUAAUAAUCUGAUCAGCACAAUAUUUAAAUAAAUAGGGAUCAUCCCAAAAGAAGUCCUUCACUUUAGUUAAGAACUUUGUUCUAUCUUGCUUAGUCCAGUGCUCUGGGAUUUGACCUGUAGCAAGGUAAUUAACUAUGUCAGCAAACCAUGGUACAACAUUUACACUCAUAAGUUGCUCAUCUGGGAAAGACUCAUUCAAAGGUAAAGAUUCUGGAAUAAAUUUAAGAUCAAGGCGAGAUAAAUGAUCUGCCAUAACAUUUUCAGAACCUUUUUUAUCUAUAAAUUCAAUGUAAAAUUCUUGUAAAAGCAACACCCAACGAAUCAAUCUUGCCUUAGCAUCUUUCUUAGUAAGCAAAUAUUUUAAAGCAGCAUGAUCAGUAAAAAUAAUCACUUUACAACCUAUAAGAUAAGAUCUGAAUUUAUCAAGUGCAAACACCACAGCUAGCAUUUCUUUUUCUGUAGUUGAAUAGUUCAAUUGUGCAUCAUUGAGUGUCAUACUAGCAUAAUAAAUCACAUAAGGCAUACGAUCUAAUCUUUGUCCUAAAACUGCUCCUACAGCAUAAUCAGAUGCAUCACACAUAAUUUCAAAAGGCAAAUCCCAAUUAGGUGGCUGAAUGAUAGGUGAAGAAGUCAACAAUUUCUUAAGCUUUGCAAAAGCAUCAAGACAAGAUUCAUCAAAGAUAAAAGGUGCAUCCUUAACAAGUAAAUUGCAUAAAGGUCUAGAAAUUUUACUAAAAUCUUUAAUGAAUCUUUUAUAAAAACCAGCACGUCCAAGGAAAGAUCUUACUUCUUUUACGGAUUUGGGAUAUGGAAGAUUAGAAAUUAAAUCCACCUUAGCUUUGUCGACUUCUAUACCUUUGCUGGAAAUUAUAUGACCAAGAACAAUACCUUGUUUUACCAUGAAGUGACACUUUUCCCAAUUUAGAACCAAGAUCUUUUCUUUACAUCUCUGCAAAACUAAUGUUAGGUGCUGCAAACAUUCAUCAAAAGAAUCUCCAUAAACAGAAAAAUCAUCCAUGAAUACUUCAAGAAAUCUCUCAACCAUAUCAGAAAAAAUACUAAGCAUGCAUCUUUGAAAGGUAGCAGGUGCAUUGCAUAAACCAAAUGGCAUUCUCCUAUAUGCAAAAGUUCCAAAUGGACAAGUAAAAGUAGUUUUCUCCUGGUCCUCUGGAGAUAUAGGGAUCUGAUUAUAACCUGAAUAUCCAUCUAGAAAACAAUAAAAAUCAUGACCUGCAAGUCUAUCAAGCAUUUGAUCAAUAAAUGGAAGAGGAAAAUGAUCUUUUCUUGUGAAUGAAUUCAAUUUUCUAUAAUCAAUGCAAACACGCCACCCUGUAGUUACUCUAGUGGGAAUUAAUUCAUUAUUAGCAUUAGUAACUACUGUAACACCAGAUUUCUUAGGAACAACUUGCACAGGGCUAACCCAAGAGCUAUCUGAAAUAGGAUAAAUAAUUCCUGCAUCUAAUAAUUUGAUUACUUCAGCUCUUACCACUUCUUUCAUGUUAGGAUUUAACCUACGUUGCAUCUCCCUAAUAGGUUUAGUAUUUUCUUCAAGAUGAAUACGAUGCAUGCAAUCUACUGGAUUAAUACCUUUAAUAUCAGCGAUGGUCCAUUCUAUUGCCUCCUUAUGCUCUUUUAGAAUGCCUAACAACUUACCUUUUUGCUCAAGAUCGAGGGAAGAAGAAAUAAUAACAGGUAGUUGUCAGAUUCUCCCAAGAAUGCAUAUUCCAGAGUGUCAGGCAGUGCUUUGAGUUCCAAUUUUGGUGGUGCCUCUGCAGAUGGGCCAAUUUUCUUCUCAGAAUGAGGCAGUAGUUCUGACUUUGUCUUCCAUUUAAUUGUGUCCGUAAUUAGAGGUGCAUCAAGUAAAGCGCUGACUUCUGCAAUUGCACUGUCAUUAUUAAAAGAUAAAUCAGAAUGAGUUAGACAUGCCUCUAAUGGAUCGUCAGUAUAGUUAGAAAUAAAUGAAUCUUCUACUAAUUCCUCUAUCAUAUUUGCUUCAACAAAUUCAUCUUCUUCUUGUGGCUGCUUGGUAACAUUAAAAAUAUUCAAUUCCAUGGUCAUAUUACCAAAAGAUAGCUGCAUGUUUCCAUUCCUGCAAUUAAUAAGAGCAUCAGCUGUAGCUAAGAAAGGACGACCUAGAAUAACUGGAGUGUGUUUCUUAGGAUCCUGUACAUGCUGAGUAUCAAUAACGAUAAAAUCAACAGGAUAAUAAAAUUUAUCAAUCUGUAUCAACACAUCCUCUAUAAUACCACGAGGUAUUUUCAUAGACCUAUCAGCGAGUUGCAAAAUAAUAUAAGUUGAUUUUAACUCACCUAGUCCAAGCUGCAUGUAAACAGAAUAAGGCAAGAGAUUAACACUAGCGCCUAAAUCCAAUAAUGCUUUAUCAAAACAUUGGUUCCCUAUAACACAUGAGAUAGUAGGAGAACCUGAAUCCUUAAAUUUUGGUGGCAUUUUACAUUGGAGUAAAUUGCUAGUUUGUUCAGUUAAAAAUGCCUUUUUGGUGACAUGCAAAUUUCUCUUUUUAGUGCAUAAAUCUUUCAAAAACUUGGCAUAGGAAGGAACUUGCUUAAUAGCAUCGAGUAAAGGGAUGUUUAUACUUACCUGUUUGAAGAUUUCCAUAAUCUCACCUGUUGAAGUCCCUUUCUUUACCUUUGUUAACCUUUGAGGAAAAGGAGCCUUGGGAAUGUAAGCUGGCAGACCACUCUCUUCUGGAUCAUUUGGUGAUGAGUCUUGUGAUGGAAUUGGAUCUGAAGAAGUAGGCUCAGAUGUCUUCCUUGUUUGAACCUCUACUUUGUUGUCAAAUAAUUUUCCUCUUCUCAAGGUCAUAACAGAUUUUGCUUGUUCAUGCUGAUGACUUGAACUCAAUCCAACUUCGUGCACUCCUUUGGGAUUAGGAACUGGUUGACUUGGAAAUUUUCCUUUUUCUCUCUCCGCUACAGUAGUCGCUAAUUGACCCAAUUGAUGUUCAAGCUUUAGAAUAGCUUGAGUGUUUGACUGAAAAGCUUGUUGGGUUGACUGAAUGAAACUUUGAAGUGUAUCCUCUAAAGAAGGCUUUCUUUGUUGGGGUGCAACAAAUUGAGACAUAGGUUGUUGGGCAGGAGGAUAUACUUGGUUAGGAGGGAUAAAUUGUUGAUUGGGCAUGUUAAAUUGUUGCCCUCCUUGAUUUGACAAAUGUUGAUUUUGUUUCCAAGAAAAAUUAGGGUGAUUCCUCCAAUUAGGAUUAUAUGUGGAUGAAUAUGGACUAUUGGAGGUUUUCUCAUAUGAUUGUAAGGCAUGUACCUGCUUAGAAUAAGCAUCUGGAUAGACUGGUAAUGAUGGACAAUUCUGUGCUGUAUGAGACAAGUUAGAACAAAUAGCACAAACUUCAUUAGCUACACUAGGAUGAUGAUUCAUUGAUUGGUUCAGAGCUAAGGCAUCUACUUUCCUAGAAAGUGUAGCUAGAGUGGAUUUCACAUCAAAAUCAUCCUUAACUUCAUAUAACCCCUUUCUAGAAACUUGAGAUGAUUUUUCCCUUUGAUUUGAAAAAUCCCAUUGUUGAGAGUUUUCAGAAAGUGAAUUAAAGAAAUCCCAUGCGGUCCAUUCAUGUAAGUUCAAAAAUCUCCCACCAUUCAUAGACUCUACCAUAUGACGAUUUGACAUGGUUAAACCGUUAUAAAAGCAUUGUAUAAGUCUCCAUUUUUCAAAACCAUGGUGGGGACACUUGAGGAGUAAAUCAUUGAAUCUUUCCCAACACUCGUAAAAUUGCUCACCCUCUCUUUGAUAAAAAUCACUUAUCUCUGUCCUAAGGGCAUUUGUUUUCGACAUAGGAAAAAACUUGGUGAGAAACUUAUUACUCAAUUCAUCCCAUGUACUAAUAGACCCAGCAGGAAGUGAAUUCAACCAAGCUUUUGCUUUGUCUUUUAAUGAGAAAGGGAACAUACGAAGCCUAAUUGACUCAUCAUUAAAAUUUUGAAAACGAAAUGUAGAGCAUAUGUCAAGAAAUUCCUUAAUGUGCAAAUAUGGAUCCUCUCUCUCUAACCCAUGGAAAGAUGGUAAAAGUUGAAUGACUGAGGGCUUAAGUUCAAAGUGUGUUGCUGUAGUUUGUGGCAACACAAUACAAGAUGGUUGGUUGGCUGCAAGUGGUGAAAAGUAUUCUCUGAGGGUUUUCUCUGCUUGCACUGGUGGAAGUAUUGGCAAUAGUCUAUUUGGGUCAUCCAUCACUUCUAAAGAACUAGUUUGACUACUAUCAAUUUUCGACUCUCUUUUAACCAAACGAUUUGUUGAAUCACGUUCCCAAACACUCAUAAACUAACUAGACAAGAAAAGAAAGAAAAAUAAAAUCAAAUAAACCAACAAUAAUGAGAAUAAAUGAAAUUUAAAAAUAAAAGAAAUCAAACAACCAAACAAUGAAUUUAAAGACAAAUAAAAGUUUUUUUGUGUUUUUUUUUAAUAAAAAAAAUAAAAGACAACCUAAGUUAAAACUAGUGGAAGAAUCAAAUCAACCUAGAUUAAACUGACUUUCUAGCACAAUCCCCGGCAACGGCGCCAAAAACUUGUGUUGAAAAUUUUAAUAUACUCGCAAGCGCACGAAUCUAGAAAUAGAAUAGUGGUAACGAGGUCGAUCCCACAGGGAUUGUUAUAAAUUGAAAAGUCUAAUUUAAAUAUAAAAUUAAUAUUAAUUCUAACCUAGUUGACCAAAUUGAGUUUUAAGAGAAAUUAAACUAAUUAAACUAAGGAAGCAAAAAAUAAAGGAGAAUUCAAUAAGAUAAGAAUUACCAAGGUUUUAGAAUCCACCACUAUUCAACUAGUAAUUAUCUAAUUAUUAAUUAAUCCCCAAUUUAGAGUGACAACUUGAAAUCAAUCUAUGUCAUCUCAUGGAUAUAACAAUUAAGCCCAAAUAAAAUUAAUCUUAUGUAGGUUCUUUUUCUGCUUGAUAAUAUGACAUCUAAGCAUCCCAUGUAAACAUAUUGAAUAACAAAGAAUCAAAGUUUUCCUAAGCACUCUAUGUAAACAAUUUAAUGAAAGACAUAAAAUCAAAGAUAGUCAUGUAUAAACUUUAUAAAUCCAAGCAUAGAUUUAAUCGAAUAUUAAUCCUAACAAUCAAUAAUGCAUGACAGAAUUGAUGAAAAGAUUUUAUUAACAUCCAAUUAAUCAUGUGAGAUAAAAACCAUAAUCAUCAAAGAACAUAUAUAGGGAAUUAAUUAAAUAAAAAGAGAUAAUUAUUUCAUUGAAUAGGGUUUCAUCUUUAACCUCAGUAUAAGAAAAUUAGCUAGACAUACUUGAAUUGAGAGCAACAAGAUAAAUAAAUUCAGCCAUGGGGAAGCCGAAUUGCUGCAGAUUUUCUUCUCUGUCUUGAAUCCUUGCGUCUCCAGUUCUCCCCUUCCUCUGGCGGCUCUCCCCCCUUUAUAUAAUGUUACUGGCUUGCUUAAUCCUUAUCGGAUUCUAAUUGCAUUAACUUAUCAUAAGUCACAAUCAUCCACCGACUUACAAAGCCCACUCACCAAGGCCUUUUUAAAUUAUUUCCUUAUUAAACUUUGAAAACUAGCCACACGUUUGACCACAAAAGCAAAAGACCAAUUAAUGACUUCUUCUUUUAAUGCCCAGCACAUGCACUCCAAAUUGCCAAAUCUUUGCUUUCCAAAUGCAUGCCCACCGUUCAUCUUUUGAAGGGAUUGACUUCCAAUUUUAAUCUUAUUGACUUCCAAAUUUGAACUUCCUCAUGCCCUUUUUAUCCUUAAUCUUCAAUUAAUUCCCUAUUCAACAAAAUAAUUCAAUUAAUUAAAAAUAACAAAUAAAAAUAACUAACAAUUAAAUAAUAAGAGUCAAAUAUGUAUAUAAAUUAUGCUCAUCAAAUACCCCCAAACUUAGAUUUUGCUAGUCCUCGAGCAAAACUAAAACUUAAAACAAAAGUAAAAACAAUGAAAAAAAAAAUAAAUCUUAACUAAACCACUUUCGCAGGUAAUCGCGAUUGCAUUUAGCGUAUGCAACAAGUCUUUAAACCCAUAGGCGGCCCUAGUGGACGAGUUAUAGUCUCGUGAGGGCUUCAGUGAUGUUACCCACAAACAUCAUUUUUCAAAGAAUUAAAAUAAAAAUAAAAUGAAAAGAACAACAAACUUUUAAACAAAACAUGAAGAUAGCCUCAAAGAUUGCAUAAAUUAUAUAGCUCAAAGAAAAUUUCAAAUAUUGGCAAAGUUCUAACUUUAAUUCAAUAGUCAAUCUCAUCUCUCUUUCGAUUCUUGUAGUGUGUGUGUGAAAUCAAUUCAAUCAAAUCCAUUCCCAAAACCCUCAAUAUCAACAGCCUUCGCCUCAAACAAAGAACAGAGUAGGUCAAACUAAUCUUAUCAUCUUGAUCUCCAAUUUUUUUUUUUCACAGGCUUUUAUGUGCAUUUUCUUUUGAAUUUUUUUUUUCAGCACAUGCACUUGAUUUGAUUUUUUUUUCUUUUUUUUUUUAACCAUAGUCAGGAGCUUUCACUCUACCCCUUAAGGUAGCCUUCUUCUCAUGGUAGAUUAUCCUCUACAUACUUGUGGUACAUAGGCCCAAAUUACUCAAGGAUAGCUUCACUCUUAAGGGUUAUAGGUAGCUAUUUCUGACUCUGGCGCCUGUGUAUGCUAUUUUGUAUUGUGGAGAUAAGAAUCAAGAUAAAUAGUCAUUUACUCUAUCUAAAAUUCUCAAUUCAGGCUGUGUCAAUCUCAAAUUUCAAGUCAAAAUCAUGAAAGAACUGAUAUUAGUGCUCAUGGUUUAAAGAAUCUCAAUCAAGAGGAACUAACACAAGAAUCAAGUAUAAACUAAGACAAUAUUCAAUCCUUUCUAAAAACCAUAUUUAUUGUCAAUCAAAUUCUUAUCAUUGGCUUUUCACAUAAAAACAAAAACAACACAAAUUUUUUUUUUGAAUUUUUGAAUUUUUUUAUUUUUUUAUUAUUUUUUUAAACAAACAAAGCACACACUAUUCCCACCCCCAAACUUAUUUGGAACAUUGUCCUCAAUGUUUCACAAACAAAAGAUAUGCAUGCAAACAAAUGAAAGAGAAAUAAUAAUAAUAAUAAAAACAUAAAUAAUAAAAAGAAAGUUGAAGAUAACACACCUGGAUGGGCUGUGAAAGCUUAAAAGAAAAUGCCAAAUGAAAAGAAAACAUUAGAAAAGAAAAACAAACAAAGAAAAGAAAACCUACUGUUAAAAUAAAACAAGAGUGCAAAGAUGAACUUAAUUAAUCCUGAUAAACAGGAUCAUCUAACAGUAUCUCCUCAACUUCUGGUGUUCUUAACUCUAAAAAUGGUUUUAAUCUUUGACCAUUGACCUUAAAUAAAUCACCAUUUUUAGGAUUUUCAAUCUCAAUUGCCCCAUAAGGGAAGACAGUACGAACUAUAAAAGGACCAGACCAUCGAGAACGUAACUUACCUGGAAAGAGAUGCAAUCGGGAAUUAUAUAAAAGUACUUUCUGACCUGGUGUAAAGACUUUUCUCAAAAUGUAUUUGUCAUGAAAGACUUUCAUUCGCUGUUUAUAAAUCUUGGCAUUCUCAUAUGCAUCAUUCCUGAUCUCUUCAAGUUCUGCUAGUUGUAAUCUUCUCUUAGACCCAGCCUGCUGCAUGUCAAAAUUGAAUUUCUUGAUAGCCCAAUACGCACGAUGCUCCAACUCUACUAGCAGAUGACAUGCUUUUCCAUACACAAGUCGAUAAGGUGACAUCCCAAUUGGUGUUUUAAAAGCCUUAAAAAAUGAAAAUUACAAUUUCACCUUAAAAAAUGCCAUUUUACCAUUUUAAGGUAAUUUUUAAGGUGAAAUUGUAAUUUUCGUUUUGGGGGUAAAAUGGUAAUUUUUUUAUGUUUCCGUUAGUUUUCUUAACGGAUUUCAAACGGAAGUGGAAAAGUGAAAUAAAAUGUAACUUUAGGUGGAUUCCAGCCAAAAAAUGAAGGAAUUGUGUAUUUUUGAAAAAUGUGUAAAAAACGGGUGGACGGUGGAUAUUUUCCCUUAAAAAUAUUCUAAUUUAUUUUCUCAAUUUAUCAUCAUAAAUUUACAUUAAUAAACUAAAUCCACAAAUUACCCUAAACCCUAAUUCAUAAAUGCCCAAUCAAUCUAAUAGUUUAAUUCGAUUUCAUAAUUAAAAAAAGCUAAAUUUAUUAUAUUAGUUAUGGUGCAAAGUCAAAAAUGCCCUUAAAGUCAAGGGUAAAAUAACAUUUUAUUUACAUUCUAUAAAUUAUUCUAACAAUGUUAACAUAUUGGUGGACGGUUAAUAUAAGUUACAAACUUAAAAUAGGAAAUCAAAUAAAUUUAAAAUUUCAAACUAUUUAGGGGAAAUUUAGGAUAUAUGGUUAAUAAUUUUCCCACGUCUUUUUACAUUGUUGAUAUAAGUUACAAACUUAAAAUAGAAAAUCAAAUAAAUUUAUAUUUUCAAACUAUUUAGGGCAAACUUAGGGUAUAUGGUUAAUAAUUUUCCUUUAUCUUUUUACGUUAAAUUGAGUUUUAAAGGUAAAAUGGUCAAUUUAUUAUAAUUCUGUUAAUUUUUUAGUGGAAGCAAACGAUAUAAUGGAUGAAUGAUAUAAAUUGUAAAAUUAAGGUGCACAAAUGCUACAACUUUAAAGUAUUAUAGUAAUUUUAAUAAUAGAACAAUUUAAGGGUAGAUUGGCAAUAAUUUAAACUUUAAUGAAGCAACUAAAUUUUUUUUUUUUACAAAAGAAAAAUAAUUGAAAUGCUUUAAGAAAAAUAAAGGCAAUUAAAUAUUUUUAUAAAAAAAAUAAUUGAGUAAAAUCAUUUUACAAAAUGCUCUUUCAAAUGCACAUUCCACAAGCCAGGGAGAACGGGUGGCUAACAAAAAUCUCACUUUUUAUGAGUUUAUAAAAUCUCACUUUUGCAGAAUCCAAAAAUAACCAAUACUAAUCGCACAAAAAAUAAAAAUUAUUGCUGUCACGACAUUACACGCUUUCUUCGCCGUCUAGAAAUGUAGAACAUUUUGAAGUUCCUCAAUACAAAAUGCCUGCUACUACUAAAUUGGCCCAAUUAAUGCCUAUCGAAAAGGCCAUCAAUUAAGCCAUCAAUUUUGUCAAAUUUUCAACAAUUGAAGAAACAACGAUCACAAACGGAACAGGUGAAUUUUGAAGUUGAAUAAAUCUUGAGAUACAUACAACAAAGCCUUGAAACUUUAUUCUUCACAAUUUGAGCACGCACUAAAUAUUAAACAAGUAUAGAACAAAGCUUAUUAUCUUCUUGUGCGAACUGAACACGCUGAAAUGUUUUUUUUUCCUUGGAUUUUUGGAAUUUUUUAAAAUCAUUUAUGUUCGCUGCCAUCUUUUUCUUCGCUGGCGUCUUCAUUGGCAUCCCUCUCUUGGCUGGCAUCUGCCUCGUCUGUAGUUUGCUGUGCCUAUAUAUCCAACCAAUAAAUUGGGCAUUAAAUACGAAUGAUGAAUAAAGUUAUUAAAAAAAAAACAAACAGAGAAAAUUAUAAUAUAACACAUAUAUAUUGAAAGAGAAAUUUUGAUUUUAGGAUAGAUCAAUUAGCUAUCAGAAACGAAAACAUGAACCAACUAUGUAGAGUCAAUUAACUAAAGUUCUCAAGACUUGACCUGUGCUCCAGAAUUCUUGGAAUCAUCUAUCUCCUUCUGAAUUUCCACGAAGCUUGGGACAAUUACGAACAUCUUCAUCGGAUGCAGAUGGAAAUGGGAUCUGAUAACCCGCAGGCCAAAAGUUGGUGAGGUUUGGUAAGUUUAUCAGUUCCAACUUCCGAAGUUCAUUCAUAACAAUUUCAUUGUAAUCCGUGACGUCUGCUCCAUCUUUAUGCCAGAAUACUUCUUCUAAUUCAUCAUUAGCUUCUAUGAAUAGGUACUUCAGUUUUUGAAGACUUGGAGCUACGCUGAUAUGAAAUAGAUGCUUUAGUUUGGGGCAAUAACUGACAGAGAUCUCUGUGAGUUUUGGGAAACAUAGGGGUUGGAGAUGAUCCUUAUCAAUGAUUUGCUCUAAUUCCAAGCAGUUAUCAAUAACCAGCUUCUCCAAUUGCAACAAAUUUCGAGCAAGUGUUGAUGAGAAGAGACGUCUCAGCAUAGUGCACCCGUCCACUCUUAAAUAGGUAAGAUUUUGCAGGCUAAAAUUAUGCGUGGGACCUACAGGUUGGAGAUGCUCCUCAUCCUCAUCCUCAGUAAUGAUUUGCUCUAAUUCCCGGCAAUUAUAAAUUUCCAACUUCUCCAAUUGCAACAGAUUUCGAGCAAGUGUUGAUGAGAAGAGACGUCUCAGCAUAGUGCACCCGUGCACUCUUAAACAGGUAAGACUUUGCAGGCUAAAAUUAUGCGUGGGACCUACAGGUUGGAGAUGCUCCUCAUCCUCAUCCUCAGCAAUGAUUUGCUCUAAUUCCCAGCAAUUAUAAAUUUCUAACUUCUCUAAUUGCAACAGAUUUCGAGCAAGCAUUGAUGAGAGGAGACGUCUCAGCAUAGUGCACCCGUCCACUCUUAAAUAGGUAAGACUUUGCAGGCUAAAAUUAUGCGUAGGACCUUCGUGAUAUAAUACUUGCAGUUCUCGAAGGUUUUCCAACCACAACGACUUCAAACAUGGGAAUAGUUUGUUUUCUUGUCCCUCAACGAUAAUAGCUUCCACUUGAAAUACCACUUGUACUCCAAGUUCUCUAAUAUACAAUGUUUCCAAAUUUUUAAAGCCAUGCUUCAAUAGAGCGUCAAUUGUGUCACGCAAAUGGAAGCAUUCGCCUAUUUUUAGAAUUCGUAAUUUCUGAGACAAAUAAAUAAAUAACUUGGUGUAAUUAAAAUUAGUUAGCAGCUAGGAUUAUCACAUGAUAAGUGAUGCAAAAAACAAAAACAGAAAACAAAAUCAAUACAAAAAUGUAAUAAUACAUAUGUAAACUAAUAAAAUAAUUAAAAAGUAAUGGAAUUUUUUUUAAAUGAAAUUAGUUAGAAGAGAUCAUGUGAAGUGAUAUAAAGGUGACAUUAGAUUGUUUGAGAAAAAUUAGUAUUCUAUUAAUUUCUAUGGCUUGAUCGGCUAAUUAAUUGAAUUUGAGUAAUAUUAUAUACACUUCAAAAGUGUUUGCAUCAAUUCUUUCUAUACCAAAAUGAGAUAUGACUUUCAUUUGAAAAAUAAUUUUAGGCUCUAAAAUAAAGAUAUUUGAGCAUUAUGAUUAUCAUCACCACAUGCACCAUCAUCAUCAUCUCAAUAGGAGUAAAUAAUUAAUGGCUGGUAUAAAAUUUAUUGCUAAAUUAUCAUUUUGACCAAAAAUUGAAGGAAAAUAAAAAAAACAUAAAAACAAACAAACAUACCUCUUCAAGAUACUGCAAAUUGGCUUCAAGUUCAAUACUGUUGAUGGUCAAGUUGGGACAGUGCUCAAGACGUAACUUUUCCAAUGCUGGCCAAAUUGAACAAUAAUUUUCUGAACAGAAGCUGAUGAGUUCUGGGAGAUCAUCAAGUUUUAAUUUUCUCAACAAAGGGAGGGCGAGCAUCGUAUUUCCAUCUCCGACACUUAUUCCCCCUUCAUUAUGAUCAAACGUUGCUUCGACAAUAUAUUCCAGUCUCUCGCAUCCACUUACAUCGAGACUUUUAAGCUGCUUCAAACUUCGAGCUUGUGACAACGUGAAGAUAUAUGUCAACUUGUUGCACCUAUGCACAUUCAAUUCUGUAAGAGUUUGGAGACUGAUCACAUGUUGGGCGGGCGCCUUCCAUAUCCACUUCAGUUCUGGUAAUUGCCACAUAAUUAACUUUGCUAAUCUUGAGAGACUCUUUCCAUGCAGCGACUUAGAGGCAUCCAUUAUGCAUUCUAAAUCUUCGCAAUCGCCGACAUCAAGACAAGUCAACUCAUUUAAGCCCCUUUCAUCUAUGCUUGGCACAAUAUUGUAACAACCUAUUAACCUACUCAAACGAAGAAAUUUCAGAUUUUGAUACAAUGCUGAAAAAAUAACGAGCGAGGUCGCCGCUUCAUGAGGGCAAUUCUCAAUGAUUAAGCUCCUUGUUUCAUCACCAUCUUCCAUUUCAUCAUCAACUCCUUCACCUUUACGGAUGAUGUAUCUUUGCAAUUUCGGGAAUGUAAAGUCUUUUGGAAGACAUACAACAGAUCUGUCGGCUUGGGAGUUCAACUCAGCAAGCCUAGCAUUGCUUUCUUCUGAACUCAUCCCUUCAACCUCCCAAUUUUUUAUCCGACCAUAAAAUUCUUCCAAUUGAGGAAAUUUUUUUAUCGCAAUGGGAGAAAUGGAGCCAGUAGCAAUAUACAGAAGUUUCAAUCUACGAAGUUCAUCCGACAAUUCUUCAAGAAUUUUAAUGGGAGACGUCACGAGAAAAAGAAGUUCAAGCCUCUUCAACUUUCCAAGGAAAGACGCGUCACUCACCUCACAUCGAAUCAACUGCAGAACCUGGAGGUUGGUGAGGAUCUGAAGCGAUUUAAGUGAAAGAACUCCACCUAUUAUAGUGACAACUUUCAAUGCUGGCAUCCCUUCAAAAAAAUGUUCUGGAACUUGCAAUCGGUGGUCGUAUUCAGGAUUCUCCAAUCGCAAAAUAUGAAGGUUAGGGCAUACCAAACCACUAGGAAGCUCUUCUUUUUUAUUUCCCACCAAAGAGAUUCCUCUGUAUUGUUCCAGGCCUUCUUUCAUUGCCCGUUCUGCCAAUCCAAUGCCAACUUUACUAAAAAAUUUCUUCUCCUCUAGAACUAUUGAGCCUAUCCAUAUGGCUACAUCACGAACUAUGUCAUGCAUUUUCACAGAUCUGUCAUUACCAGUGUCUAACAGCAGUGACGCAGCUUUGAGCGCGUUAAUCGUUCCAUGCAGUCGGCUUCUGGCGUUUUCUAUUGACGGAUCACAUUGAUACCAAAUAACCCCCAAUGCGUAUCCAACCAAAUCCUCCAAAUAAAUCUCAUAAUCUUCUGGAAACAGAGAACACAGCAAGAAGCAUAACUUGGACUCCUCACUAUUUAAAUUAUCGUAACUGAAUUUGAGACAACCGUAAACGUCUUGGUCAUCCUUGUCAAUACCUUCUAUUGCAUAGAGUUUUGCUUCCCUUAGGUUAUAUAGUGCUAGAUUCCAAUCAUCAGAUCCUUUUUCUCUUAGUGCACUUCCAACAGCUUCAAUAGCUAAAGGCAGCCCCUUACAUUCGUCAGCAACUUUUUUUGAAACACCAUCCAAGGAGGAGUCGUUUACAUUAAUACCGGCAUUCAUUUUUAGUAGAGUCAAUCCUUCUUCUGGUGUUAGUAUACCAAGUUCAAUCUGUGGGUAACAACUGAAAAAACUACAAAUUGACUUUUUGCGAGUGGUUAGAAGGAUUUUGCAACAAUUGUCUCUAUCCCCAACGGGAAUACCUAAUUUUUUCUCCAAGUCGAGUUGUUUCCAAACAUCAUCAAGGAUUAUGAGGAUUUUGCUGCUUUUACUCUCAGAAAACAUCAACCGCAAUCGAUCUGCUCUCUCUUUUUCAUCUGUCUCAUUAAACGCCCAGCCUAACGACUUUACCAGCUCACCUUGAACCUUUAUUAUAUCUGGAUCCUGAGACACAGUGACUAUCCCAACUUCAUCGAAAAUCUUUUGUUGCCGAAGUUGAUUGCCCACAAAAUUUGCCAAGGUCGUCUUCCCUACACCACCGAGACCGUGCAAUCCCACCAUCUUUGUGCUCUCUUUUUUCAGUGCUUCAGUGAUCUGAAUGCAAGCCAACUCUGUAGCCUUGAAAGGAGAAAAACAUCUCGGUAUAGGCAAUUCUUUGUCUGAUGGUAGAGGUUUAGGACGGGCAACUGUGCUGAAUUUGCUGCGGUCUUGUAGCAGAUCGGACAACUUGCUAGUCUUCUUUGAUGCUUUUCUACCCAGCCAGUAUCGCCAACCCCAAUUAGGACACCAUCCAUUAAGACAACUCUUCUUUUCAUCUAUCUUUGCUUGCAAAUUUCGAACGUCGGCCAUUUCUUUGUCCACAUCCUCCAACCACUUCUCCACAUCUUUCUCGAUUACAAUGGCGCGGUGUUUUUGUCGUUCUUCUUCUACUUUUUCAUUGAUGCCAUCUUGUGCAUUCUUCAAAUUGGUUUCUUUAACCUUAAGUUCUUUAUCUAUGCUGUUGAAACAGAGCAGAUAGCGAGCUUGGUUUAUGGUUGCAUCCGCCAAUAAUUCUGCAAGCUUUGAUCCAAUACAUGAUAAAAUUUCCAUGCUAUUUAUCUGCAAUUAACAAGUUGAUGUCAGUAUGCUAUAAGCAAAACAUCAAGGCUUGAUCACAAGAUCGAACGAGAACGUUUAAUUGCUUUAAUUUUUUUUUUUUUUUGGGCUUAUUAACGCCAUCUUUGAUCAAUAAGAGCAAAAUGCAAAACAGAAGAGAAUGAAAUAAGGUUAACGUUAUAUAUGAUGGAUUACAUUGAAAUUAUAUUACUUUAGAAAUUUUUAAAUAAAAAUAUCAAACAACAAAUUUAAUAGAAUCCGGAUAAACCUAAGAGUUUGUUGUGCAUUGCGAGUGAAGACGGGCAGUUGCAUGGGGAAUAUGAUAAAAGUGAUGAAUAACUGAAAAGCCACCCAUAAUAACAAUUAAAAAGAAUAUUAGAGAUUAGAGGAGUUCAACAUCCCAUGCAAGCCCACUCAUGAAAAAAUAUGAAUGGUUUCAAGAUGAUUACUCCUUUUUUUUUUACCUUUAAUAAAUAUUCUAAUAAAAUAAUACCAUAAUUUUAAAUAAUAUCUUAAUUUCUUUUUCCUUUAAAUGUUCAUUGAACUCACAUAUUGGAUAAUUAAUUUAAUCACUUGUUAAAUUAUUUAUUACCCUAUGUCAUUAUUCGAUAGAUAUAAAUGACACCUUAUUUGGUAUGAUAAAAAUUGGGGUAAAUUUUCUUUUAUUCUCAUAAGUUUGGACUUAUUACUAGUUACAAUAUUUGUAAUUUUUGAAAUUUUACCUAAACGGUCCAUGUCAUUACUUUUAUAGCCAUCGAACAUGACUUUUCAAGUGUAAGAUAAUAUUUUUGUCUGUUAUAAAUUAAAAUUCAAAUGAAUCUAUCACGCAACAAAUAUAAAAAAUUGAUUUUUUAUUAAUUUUUGUGAAUUCUUUUAAUGUUCGAAUUAGAAUUGAAUAAUUUGUAUAAGGAUAAUUUAUAGGAAGAUAAUCUGCAAAAUAAGCUUAUAUGUUGAAUUUAAAAGAGUUAUAUUAGUAAUCAUAUAUUUAUCAAAUUUUUUUAAUAAAAAUUUUGUUUAAAAAUUGGCCAAAUGGGUUUCAUGAAGAAAAUAGAAGAGCAUGAACAGCGCCACUUUCAAUUUUUAUUGUGGUUGUACAAUUGAAAAGACGCAUUAAAUGGACCAAUUUGAAAUGGCAAGAGAGCAUAAUGGACUCAUGUUGGGACUUGGAUAGGAAAAUUAAUUUUAUUUUUGAAAGUAUGGUCAACAGUACUGACUUGGAGGUGAUUGACGUUAAGUUAAAUUAAUGGAAACAAAUGGCAAAAAUAAUUUAAUGAAAAAAAGCAUUAAAAAAUUAGAACUUAAGUUCUUGAUCAUUUUGUCCGUAUGUUUUUAAGCCAACGCCCAGAAUUGGCAUAAAACUAGCCAUUGGAAUUAGGUAAAACAAAAAUCAAAUUAAGGGCUUAUAAAACAAUAAGAUCUCAUACCUUCUUCGUUAUAAAUCCUCAAUUACUGCUGAAAGCUCUAGUUAAGAGAGUCGCACAAGUUCGGAGAAAAUUAAAAAGCUGCAUAUGGCAAUAUAAAUAAACAUCAGAUCAAAACGACAUAGGAUAUAUCUGGCUAAUUAACAUCUUAUAUAAGUCCUUGUUCUCAAUCAAAUCUUUCGUACUUAGAAAAAAAAAAGAUUGAAAUAAUAAUUGUACGUUUUUAAUCCAACGUGCAAAAUUGGCAUAAACAAACUAAUAUAGCAUAAAACAAAGAUCAAAUUAAUAGCCUAUGAAAUAAUAAUAUCUCAUACCUUCUUCCUUAUAUAUCCUCAAUUACUACUGACAGCUCCAGUUAGAGUGGCAUGAUUUCCGAGAAAAUUAAAAGCUGCAUCUAGCAAUAUAAAUAAACAUCAGGUCAAAACAAAAUAGGAUAUAUCUAGCUAAUGAACAUCAUAUAUAAGUCCUUGUUCUCUAUCAAAAUCUUUCCUUCUUAAAAAAAAAAAUAAUAAUAACAAUAAUAAUUGAAAUAAUAACUGUGGGUGACACAGGAAGCAAAAGUAACAUACCGAAAUGAGAGCAGCUCACAUAUCUGGUGACUUCCAAGAGAAUGAAAAAUGAUUGACCUUUGGCAGCAAGAUCCAAAUCAUGUAUCACAAAUUGCUACUGACUUCGUGGCUUCACUUUCCUUUUCUUUUUCUUUUUCUUUUUUAAUUAAAUUUUAUAUCACAGUGUGAAUUGAAAGGUGAAAAGUGAAAUGGUACACAUGCGUAUGAUGAGGAGGUAAUUUUUAGGCACCUCCCCGAGGUUUAAGGUCUUCUGAAUUAGAUGGAUUGUAUUUUCGUAUUAUCAAAUACCUCCCCUGCCCGUUUUUAUUCCAUUUAGUAUUUUCUAUAUGGCUGAAGGUAAAUUGGUAAAAACUCAUUUAAAAUAAAAAAAAAUCAAAGAAAUUCAAGAAGAAGCUUUGUAUCUGCCAUUUGUAUUUGGGGUAUCUUUUUGGUUGUUGAGUGAAUGAGCUUAAAUCUUAAAUAUUUAUUUUCUUAUUAUAUAUUUCUCAUUGGAAAGAAUUUGAAUCUUAUUCUUAUUAAACUUAUUCUCUUUAAAUAAAAAUAGAUUUCUCUCCAUGUAUUUAGCGUGUAUUUUGAAAUUAAUGUUCAACAUAUCUUUAGAUCCUAUUAUAAAUAUUCAUAUCUAAAAUCUCAAUAGAUUCCAACAUAUAAAUAUAUAUAAAGAGAGAGAGUAACGUUCUAAUAAGAAAUUUCUUAAAUUAUCAAAUUAAAGGAUAAUUCAAAAGAUAAAAAAAUACAUAAUCUAAUAUAUUAUAUAACAAAAUAUACUAUAUUAAAAUAUAUAUUUUGCUUAAUUUUUUAAUAUAUCCCAUAAUAACUUAAGAAACCCUUUAUUUACCUGAUAUAUAUAUGUGUGUGUGUGUGUGUGUAAUUUUUUACAAAAUAAACAAUUUAGAGUAAAACAAAGGACAUUCUGGGGGCCUUUUGCUAGACUACCAAUCUACCAUUUUGGAUUGCAAUAAAGUGAAAAUACUGGACUACCAGUCUACUAUUUUGGAUUGCAAUAAAGUUAAAAUGGGUUACACCAAAAAAAGAAAAAAAAAAAGUGACAAUCAAUCUUGUCGGCCAAUACAUCGACUUUUUUGCCGGAUUAGUAUCACCGUCGAAAACAAAUUAUUGCAAGCACUGGCAAAAAGCAAUCGAUGAUUUCGCAAUUUGGUUGUCAAAAAGCAAAUUAGAUCACGAUUCCUCAAUUCAAAAUGGCUAAAGCUACAAUGCCGGGACACAAGUACCCGGUACCAUGCCGGAGUAAUUAAUUUACCGUUGGAUUUAAGUUCAAGGAAUCCAACGGCUCAAAUAUAAUAAUUUUUGAAAUUAGAAAAUAAUUGGCUACCUUUGCAACCGGUUACACACACUCUAUUUUCCUCCUUUUUUUUUUCAAAUUCGUCUCUCAAAUCCCUAAUAAAUUUUUCAUUCUCAAAAUUGGCCUAUCUAUGUUCAAGCCCUAAUUUUUUCAUUCUCAAAUUUGAUAUCUCUCUUCAAGCCCUACAUUGCUCAGUGGGAGGCAGGAAUCAGAAUGAAUAAAGGUAUCCUUUUUUAUUAAAUUUCUAAUUUUUCAAAUUUGGCUUUCUCCUUCAAAGCCCUAACUUUUCAAACUUGAUCUUUCUCUCCUGAAGUCGUACAUUAGCUCGCUGGGGAGCAACGCCGAAUGAAUAAAAGGUAUUUUUUUAUAUUUUAUUUUGUCUUAUUUCUUAUUUUUGGAAUUUGCAUUUCUCUCUAAAAGCACUAAUUUUUCAAAUUUGGUCUCUCUCUCUCAAAAUCCUACAUGAGCUCAAUGGGAAGAUGACUCGUAAUGAACAAAAGAUAUUUUUCUUUCUAAAUCUUUUUUAUUUUGGUUAAAUUUCUAAUUUUUAAGAAUAUGGGUUUUUGCUUUCCAUAUUGAAUAUCUAAGAAUUUGGAUUUUUGGUUAAAUUCUUAUGAAACAGAUCUUGAAUUUAAUUUUAUAUAUUUUUUUUCUAUGGCUUUAAGUGUUCUUGAGCAUUUUGUUAGAUUCUCGUCAGGAAACUCAAGAUUUCAUGAUGGGUGUGUGUGAUUAUUAGGCUUUCCCCCUCCCCUCUCUUUAAAUGGCUAAGUGUUUUGGGUAGACUAUGGUCUUGGAGCUUGGAUUAGUUGCUUAUUUAUUGUGAUAGGUUUUGCUCUAAAAAUUUUCAUUUUUGAUUGCAGUUCAUAUAAUCAAUAUUUCUUUAUUAGGCAGUGAUAUAAUAAAUUCCGGACUUAUUUUUUUUAAAGAUGGAUCUUACUAUUUAUUUCUCGUACAAACUCUGGUUAGGUGUUGACUCAACACUUGGGGCUGGAGCAUAUAUUCUUGUUGGAACAGUUGCUAGAGAGCAUUCAGGACUGGCACUCACCCUUUCGUUUCCUUAUAGCUGGAAUAGCUUCUGCUUUUUCAGCCUUUUGCUAUGCUGAGCUUGUAAGUCGUUGGCCAUCUGCUGGGAGUGCCUAUCAUUAUUCAUACAUAUUUGUUAGAGAAGGGUAAGUCCUUGUUACCUUUAAUAUUGGUAUAACUCGUAAUAGUCAUUUCUUAGAGAUGUAGUUUAUUGAUUCAUAUAAUUGGAUCUUGUUUCUAAAGUGGGAUAAACUAGUGAUUAGCUGGGGCAUAGUAAUCGUUAUUAAUGUUUUGGUCUAAUAAAUUGAUUUAACUUAGUUGAUGUUGUAUUUUGGCAGUGUUAGGUGGUUGAUUGGCUAGCUCUGAUACUUGAGUACACAAUUGGCGGGUCUGCUGUUCCUCGUGGCAUAUACCCGAAUCUGGUCUGGUGAAUUUUAUCGAGCUUUGAUUGUAUAUUUAUUUACUUUAGUUGUUACUAUUGAGUCAUAUGUGUUUUGCACUAUCAACUAAAUUGGAAUGGUUUAAUUGUAUUAUUUGUUCAUUUAGCUUGUUUACUUUUUCCUUUCCCUUAUUUUCUGUGAGUUACCUUUUUGACAACUAAUCAUCUUUGUAUUGAUUUGAAUUCAUAUAUUUUAUGAGGGAGGUCUACAAUUGCCUAUGCAAUUUAAACAUUUCUGUUCUUAUGUUGUUGUUAUUAAUGAUUACAGGCUGUGCAUUCUUCCUUUCUUUUUGGCUCAUCAAGAAAUUCCUAGACUUGACAUUAUUGUUGAUCCCUGUGCUGCAAUUAUUGUGCUUUUUGUUAUUGGACUCCUGUGUGUGGGAAUCAAGGAGGUAUCCAUUUGUUCCUUUCAAUUGUAUUUAUAUUUCUCUUAUCACUUUUUUCUAUAUAUAUUUCUGUAUUGAUUCUCAAAUAUGUCACACCUGAUGAGGUGCCAGUUCUAUCCACACUUCAGUCAUUAAUUAAUUAUGUAUCAUUGCAAUUUAGUCAGAGUUCUCUGGCUAUUAGUGGGGAAAACCUUGUUGAUGUUGGCACUUUGAAAUAAACUCAGCCUUGCCAAAAAGGGUGGAGCAGCCAAUUAUCCUUUUAUAAAAUGAGUUCAAGGUAUUGUGCAACCUUUGUAUUUGGUCAUCUAGACCUUUAAAAUAUGCAAUUCUUGUAAAUUUUCAAAUAAUGAGGUGCAAUUUAUUAUUGCUUGAUCAAUAGCUGCUCUAAUUGGUGUGCCUGAAUUCACUGUGUGGUAAUUUUCCUAAUUUCAAAAGUAAAUAUAUUCUUAACUUGCCAUGUGCUUAAUCCGAAUAUGAAAAGCUGUGUUAUCUAAUGUAAAUUACAUCUCUUUGGAGUGUGUUUGAAUUAUGAUCCUUUCACCAUCAUAUUUAAACUUAUAGAGGUUGGAUUGAGCUGGACUCUUUGAUAUAUUACUCUCUCGAUUCCGCUGCGACAUUUAUUUCUUUUACCAUGCUUUUUGUACUUUAUCUUCUGGGUUCUGCUUAAGUGUUUAAUUAUGUUUUAUAUGACUAUUGCAUACAUUUAUAAUGAAACAAGCAAACAGUUGCUGGAUGGACUGUAAUUGUAAUUAUGUUUUAUAUGACUAUUACAUGCAUAGGGGUGUUUGUAUAGGGAUGUUUGCUCUUACAUAUGGAGCUUCAGAUUUGAGCCUUCAUUAUGUUACCUUUAACUCUUUAUGCGUUUUAUUUCUUUUCUUUCAUAGCUUUCUUUAGCAGUGGAAGAUUUUGCUACUAUCUUAGAUUUUUUCUACUGGUUUUAGGUAGUCUUCCAACUUUUGUUUAUGUUGUUUUUAGGCAUUUUUCACUGUUGUUUUAGGGUAAUUUUUAUUGCUGUUUUGGGCAUCUUUUUCUGCUGUUUUUGGGAAUUUUUUAUUGUUGUUUCUUGGUUAUAUUUGUUGUUUUGGUGCUUUUUUCCUGCUAUUUUUUAGUGUAAUUUGUUGUUGCUUCUUAUUGUGAUUUGUUGUUGCUUCUUAUUAUGAUUAACGGCUAUUUUUAUCUUAUCGAUUAACUUGAAAAUUUUAAUUAUUUGCAGGGGAGAAUUCAACCGGAUAUUGCUUGGUUCUAUAAAUUAUCUGGCAUAAGUGUUUUACUGGAAACUUUUUGAUGUUGCGUAACCUCUUGGUUUACAAAUACGAAUGAAAUUGUAAUUAGUUUGUAACUCAAUUUGACGAUGCUUUUAUUUUUUGGGAGAUUAUGCUUAUAAUAUUUUUUUUUCUUUUUAUAGCCUACUCUUAUAAAUGAGUGCUCUUGAUUUUCAUUAUUUUGUUUUUCAUUAACAAAUUUCUUUUGAAAUAAGUGUACUGUAGUUUGUUUUCACACAAUUAAAAAAAAAUGAAAAAAUUGUGAUAUAAUUUAAUCCAAAAUGAUUUAAGAUAUACUAGGUUCUAAGCCCUCAAAUGUGCCAUCAAUUUGUUGCAAUCUUUAGGUUUGGGGGGUGUUAUUGGUGAUAUUGAAAUUCUACGUCGUCAAUUUUGGAUGUUUAGUAUAUGGAUUUACCCUGGGAAGAUUUUCGCUUCAUUUUUCUUAUAACAAUGAUCAUAGUGAUGUUGCCUUUUUCUUUCUACCAUAUUUUCUUUUUAUCCCUCAAUAUUUUUUUGUUUUGCUAGCAUAUUUUCAUUCAUAAACGAUUGUAAAUUUCAAUUGAGCUUAGAAUUUUUGUGACUCAGUAAUUUAAAAUAUCCACCAUGAUUAGUUUGUUUAAAAAAAAAUCAAACAAAAUACACCUAAAAAAUAUUAUUAUGCAACAAAUAAGAAUAGUGAUUUUCACUUGAAUUAUCAAAUUCUUUUUCAAACUAUUAUUAGACUAAAGUAAGGGAAAAAAUUGGAUAGAUAUGUAAUUUUAUUAUAAUUAAUUGGAUUUUUUUUUCAAAUUACAAGUUCUUUUUAAAGCCAACAUUUUUAUCAAUCAUGUAAAAAAUAGUUAGACAAUUAAAUUUAUAUGUGUAAUGUAAUGAACACAUUUAUAAUUUGUGUAUGAGUUAAAUAAAAAUUAGUAAGUUAGAUAAAUUCCCAAAUAUAAUUAUUGGGUAUAAGUUGAAUUUAAUUCAAUUUAAUGUAUCUUUAUUAAUAAAAUCUAGUUUAGUAAAAUAACAUGAAUCUAAUGAGUAAUUAAUGGGGUUUCACCACAAACAUAAGAUCAAAAUAUUCAUGUGUAUGUAUGCGCGCACUCAUGUCUCUAUAUAUAUAACUCUAUAAUAUUACAAGAGCUUUGAAUAUUUUAAAACGCAAGAGAUUUGAUAAUUCCAAUUCCAUAGCAAAUUAUUUGUUUAUUUUCUAUUAUGUUUUACAAAUUUAUAAUUUAUAAAAUUCUAUUUUUGUUACUAUUAAUUGUAUUUUUUUCAUAAUUUUUUAAUUAAUAUAUUAUCUUAAUUAAUAUUUAAAUAGUACACCGUUUUAAAGUGUUUAAAAUUCUGGACAGUGACAUGAACCAUUAUUGAGCUAACAGUUAACCGACAGUUUCCAAAAACAUGUUAAUUUAAUUCUACAAGAUAACAAUGAAUCGUUUAUUUGAUAACGGUUAGCCGAUAUCUUCCAGAAAGAAGUGUAUUUGGUUAUUUGAUUCUGGAAGAGAACGGUGAACCUUUUUUUAGAUAAUGGUGAACCGAUAUCAUCCAGAAAGGUAUAUGAUUGCAGAUAAAGAUCCGUUAAGGGCAAAGGGUAGCUAAUAGCAAUUGCAAAGUUACUGGACAAACACAGCGAACCGACAUCCAGGUAAUGGUGAACCGCCAUUUUAAAUUUUAAAAUUUUAGGAAAGGUGUGUGUGAAUGAAACGGGGGGGAAAUUUUUAAAAUUUUUACUUUAUUUAAGACAUGUGACAUUAGACGUCAAACAUACAACUCUGACGUCCAACAUGCAACAACUGACGUUAAACAUGAAACCUACAAUAUUUUGCGUCAAACAUGCAACAUAUCACGUAAAGUAUGCAACUUUGAUGUCAAACAUAAAACAAGCGAGAAUAUUCGGGAAUAUUCUUUAUUUUGGCUUUAUUCAAGACAUACAACAUCUAACGCCAAACAUGCAACCCUGACGUCCAACAAGCAACAAUAGACGUAAAACAUAAAACCCGCAAGAAGUCAUGUUAAAUAUGCAAUUUAUCACGUAAAGUAUGCAACUUUGAUGUCAAACAUGAAACGGACAAGAAUAUUCUUUAUUUUGGCUUUAUGUAAAACAAGCAACAUCUAACGUCAAACAUGCAAGCUGGACGUCAGACAUGCAAUAACGGACGUUAAACAUGCAACCUGCAACACCGCACGUGAAAUAUACAACUUAUCACGUAAAGUUUGUAACUUCGACGUAAAACAUGAAACAGACGAGAAUAUUCGAGAAUAUUCUUUAUUUUGGCUUUAUCCCAAAUAUGCAACAGCGAAGGUCAAACAUGCAAGUUGGACGUCAGACAUGCAAUAACGGACGUUAAACAUGCAACCUACAACACUGCACGUGAAAUAUACAACUUAUCACGUAAAGUUUGCAACUUCGACGUCAAACAUGAAACGAACGAGAAUAUUCGAGAAUAUUCUUUAUUUUUGCUUUAUCCAAAACAUGCAACAUCGAACGUCAAACAUGAAACCGGGACGGCCGACAUGUAACAACAGACGUUAAACAUGCAACCUGCAACACUGCAUGUGAAAUAUACAACUUAUCACGUAAAGUUUGCAACUUCGACGUCAAACAUGAAACAGACGAGAAUAUUCGAGAAUAUUCUUUAUUUUGGCUUUAUCCAAAACAUGCAACAUCGAACGUCAAACAUGAAACCGGGACGGCCGACAUACAACAACGGAUGUUAAACAUGCAACCUGCAACACUGCACGUGAAAUAUACAGCUUAUCACGUAAAGUUUGCAACUUCGACGUCAAACAUGAAACGAACGAGAAUAUUCGAGAAUAUUCUUUAUUUUGGCUUUAUCCAAAACAUGCAACAUCGAACGUCAAACAUGAAACCGGGACGGCCGACAUGUAACAACGGAUGUUAAACAUGCAACCUGCAACACUGCACGUGAAAUAUACAACUUAUCACGUAAAGUUUGCAACUUCGACGUCAAACAUGAAACAGACGAGAAUAUUCGAGAAUAUUCUUUAUUUUGGCUUUAUCCAAAACAUGCAACAUCGAGCGUCAAACAUGAAACCGGGACGGCCGACAUGCAACAACGGACGUUAAACAUGCAACCUGCAACCUGCAACACUGCACGUGAAAUAUACAACUUAUCACGUAAAGUUUGCAACUUCAACGUCAAACAUCAAACAGAUGAGAAUAUUCGAGAAUAUUUUUUAUAUUGGCUUUAUCCAAAACAUGCAAUAUCUAACGUCAAACAUGCAAGCGGGACGUCGGACAUGCAACUACGGACGUUAAACAUGCAACCUGCAACACUGCACGUGAAAUAUACAACUUAUCACGUAAAGUUUGCAACUUCGAUAUCAAACAUGAAACGAACGAGAAUAUUCGAGAAUAUUCUUUAUUUUGGCUUUAUUCAAAACAUGCAAUAUCGUACGUCAAACAUGAAAUCCAACCGUCGAACAUGCAACAACUGCUGUUAAACAUGAAACUUGCAGCACUUCACGCGAAAUAUGCAAUUUAUCACGUAAAGUUCGCAACUUCGACGUCAAACAUGAAACGGACGAGAAUAUUUGGGAAUAUUCUUUAUUCUGGCUUUAUUCAAGACAUGCAACAUAUUACGUCAAACAUGCAAGACGUCCGACUUGCAACAACAGACGUUAAACAUGAAACUUGCAACACUUCACGCGAAUUAUACAACUUAUCACGUAAAGUUGCAACUUCGACGUCAAACAUGAAACAGACGAGAAUAUUCGGGAAUAUUCUUUAUUUUGGCUUUAUUCAACACAUGCAACAUCUUACGUCAAACAUGCAAUCGAGACGUCGAACAUGCAAUAACUGACGUUAAACCUGAAAUACUAUUUUUUUCAUUUUCAAUUUCUUUAUUUUUUUUCAUUUUAUUUAAUUAUAUUAUAUUGUAUUAUAGGGUUUGUAUUAUAUUAUUUAAUUUCUUUAUCUUUUGCUAUUAAUUAUAUUAUAAAAAACUAUUUUUGACAUUUUAUUUAAUUUUUUCAUUUUUAUAUUGUAUUUUUAAUAUAUAUUUUUUAAAAAAUAUGGUGCAACCGGUUUGUCAACCGGCUGCAUCAAGUCUUUGGCUGCCAAAUGGCAGCCAAAGACAGUCGGGCUCUCUUUUUGAGAGCCCGGCAUUGUAGCCAAACCCAUUCAAAAUGGGGCAAAAUUAUGGUAUCACAAUGGUACCGUAUUAUGGCCGGAUCCAGCCUACAGUUAUCAUCAUAAUUGGAUUCAACGGUUGGAUCCAUUUGUAGUAUAGUAUCACUGUGGUAUCAUAAAUGGACCCUUUAAAAUAAUACUUUUUUUAAUUAAAUAAGUGAAAAUUAAACCUACAAUUUAAAAUAGAGGACUGUAGAUGCGUAUAAAUUGAAAAAGGUAAAUUUUGUGUAUGCGCAAAUAUUUUAGUUAACAACAAAAAAUUCUAACAAGUUAAUAUAAGAGUAUCAUAGCACAAGAGAAUUUUUUUUUUUUUUAAUGUUAAGAGUUAUCGAGAUACCCAAUAUAUAUGUGUGUGUGAGAGAGUGGAGGAAGAAAAAAAAAUUAAGAAUAGUUUUGGCAUUUUGAUGGGUUUUAUACAGUAAAAUCUAUAUUUUCAAAUAUGAUAAUUCUUUAAUUUAAUUUGGUGUUAUGAAAAAAAGGGCAUUUUAAAUAUGUUUUAAGUUAUAAAUAACACCAUCCAAAAUUUAAAAAUGAAAUCUUAGGGGGGAAAAAAUUUCACCCGAACUAAGGCCCAAAGUAGCCACGGCAUUUUUCACCAAUUCUCCAAUUCCCAAUGUGGUCUAAUUAUUUAUAAGGAAUAUGAGUAGGGGUGGGCACGGUUCGGUCUGGUUCGGUUUGGAUCGAAAUUAAGCAGAACCGAUUAAAAUCGGUUAUUUUAUAAAAAGAACUAAAUAAGAACCAAACUCAAUAAAAACCGAACUCAAUAAAAACCAAACAUAAACGGAUCUUUUCGGAUCGGUUCGGUUUAGUUUUUUUCGAUUUUGGGCCUAUUUUGAAUUUCUAAAUUGUUAGCCCAUUAGGCCUCAUGAAUGUAAUAAUUUUAUUCAACAAUUAAUUUAUCCUAAUUUCAUUACAAAUAUUAACAAUAAAUACAAAGUAUUCAAAACACAUUUUAUCACUAAUAUCUUACUAACUACUAAUAAGGUACUUACAAAAUAUGAAAUAUUAAGAUUUGAAAAUACAUAAUCAAACUACAAUACUCCAUCUACAUAAACAUAAUGUUGUAAAGACAAAUAAAAAUAACAACAAUUAAAACUUACAACACAAAAUAAAAAGAAAAUUUGGAAACAAACACGAACAACAAUUUUUAAAUAUAUAUAUAUAUAUAUAUAUAUACCCGUAAUCGUGUGUGUGCAUGCCUAUUUUAGUUAUCUCACGCAAUCAAUUAAAAUUUAACAUGUGUCUAUUUAAAUAAAAUUCUAAAAAUAACUCGAUUUUUUUGUUCGGUUUUUUGGUUCAGUUGAGUGAACCGAAUACCAAACCUGUAUUUCAAUUUUUUUUACAAACCAUAUAUUUCAGUUAUUUUUUAAAAUUAAAACCAGUCCGAACGGAAUGGAACGGUUCGGAUCGAUUUUCUCUAGUGCACGGUUUUUUUUACCCACCCCUAAAUAUGAGAUUCUCUACCACCCCAAUUUAUCCCAUUGUUAGCAAUCCUAUUAGCUGUUUUAUAUCCUAUUUUUAUUAUGCUCCCCAAACAAAUAUGUUUCACCUAAAGGUGCCCAACGGGCUGCACCGUCCGUCUGAAUGAGCCCACGAGAGGCUCCCCAUGACACGGCAAUCUUUUCUUUUUAACGAGGGCGUGCCUGAUAUGCUUUUUCAAGUCUACAUAUGUAACGUUCUUUUUUUAAAUCCAUAUAUUUUUUUAAGCUCAUGUCAAAUUCAGUAGUAAGAGAAUGCAAUGCUAGUUAAUAAGCUAAAGUGCACCCGUGCCACUUUUUUUUCUAGUUGUUUUAUUUGUAUGAUAAUUAUCAUGGACCCACGUAACUUUCUUUUGCAUUUAAAAUUUCAUAAUAAAUUAAAUUAGACAAAAGAAAUGAGUCCCACAAAUAAUUUAUUUUAUAAUUUUGUAAAUAAUACUAUUUUAAAAUAAAUUAUCAAAACAAAUUUCAUAUUCACUAAAAUUAAUCAUCUUCAUAUUAUAAAAUAAAUAAAAAAAACAACAUUUUAAAAAUAAUGCCAACUACACCCUUAAAUUUUAUGUACGGCACUAGAAUUAAUGAACAAUUUUUGACAAAGAUGCUGCGACCUAAGUAGGGAUGGCAAUUAAAUUCAGAGCCGGCUCGGAUCUGUAAGGAUCCGAAAGAUCCAGAUCUUGAAAAAUCCGUAUCUGCAUAUUAAAAAAUGUGGAUCCGGAUAUAGAAAUUUGGGAUCCGCACGAAUCUAGAUGCAAGUGCAUUCGGAAAACCGGAUAUCGAGAUCCGGAUAAAUUUUAUUUCCAAUUAAAAAUUAAAUGAUACAUUUAAUUUAGAUUAUCAAUCCUAUCUGAAACUUAUUGAAUGAUACAUUUCAUUUCUAUAAAAUUGAGUUACUAUUACCACCUCACAUCUUAUAAAUUCUAGAAAAUAAUCAAGGCUUGACAUACUUUUAUUUAUGCAAAAGCAUAAGAAAAUAAUUUAAAGUACUAAUUAGUGUACUAUUCCUCAAAAUUCUAGAAUAAAUUUGCUAGUUCUCUUUAGUCAUAGAUUGAUCCAUGAUUGGCACCGCAAUAGCUCAGAAUCACCUCAACGAUUGUUCCACACGGCCCAACAUGACACACUGUAAACUAGUCUAAGAUGAACUUUCUGAGUGGCUUUUUAGCAAUAGUCUUAGAGAAAGUGUUUAGUAGUAUGAAGUCUUCUUUUUUAACACAAAUGUUGGCAUGAUAUUCUUAAUAUAUUUCUAAAAUUAAAAUAAGAUGCAUAGAGGACAACAAUAAUUUUAUUUCAUAAUUGAAUUUUUUGCAAAAAAAGUUUGAACAUGAGAGUGAUGAGAGAUGAGAAUAUUGAUGAUGGUGUGUACUUUGGAUGGAAAAGUAGAUUGGAAAUAUAUAUAGACAUAUUAAAAGAAAAAAAUUUGGUCUAUUUCUUAAGAGAAACAAAAAAUUAUAAACGUGGGUGUUAAAAUGUAUUCAGAAUUUAUAAAUUUUUAUAAAUAUGAUAAUCAUCAGACCCUUAUAAAAGUAUAACAAAAAAGUUUAAAAUUUUUUAAUAAAUGUAGAAGAGAUGAACGAAGAAAUCAUCCACCAGUUCAGAAUUAACAAUCAAAGAUAUGAGGACUUGAAUGAAAAAAUGGUGAAAAAUAAAAGGACACUGGGUUGGUUAGCGGGACCCUAAUAUUAAUGGUGAAAAAUAAAAGGACACUAGGUUGCUAUCAAUUUCUACCGUGUGGGUUCAUAGCCGGGGAAGUAAUUGGGCACAAAUAUCUCGGAUGAGAAAUAACCAUUUUAUCCCGCAACCAUAUGUUUAUGGCCUCUAAAAAUUUUCACCUCUUUCACUUCUGGAACCCGUGCUUUCUGGCACAUGCACAAUACUUGGUUGCUACUUAUAGAGCGUUUUUAGAAUUGCAACGACAUGGUGCUCUUUGAUAAUUCAAAAAUCCAAUAUAAUUUAUAGAGAAUUACAGAAUUGUGGUACGUGAUAAUUUUCUGAUGCAAUGAGGCGCCGAAAUUCUUAUACAUGUGAUCUAGGUUAUAUAUGUAUAAUUAAGUAAUUAGAAAAUACUAGUUGGGGGUAUUUAUGUCCAUGAAAAUUUACAGCUGGUUGUUGACAUUACACUGCGGGUGUGUAAGUGUAAUCUUGGAUCCGACCAUUCAAAUUAAAAAAAUGGGGGUCCCGCUAGCUUGCGGAGUUAGUAAUUAUUACAUAUGCAGAUAUGCUCCCGUACGAUAAUUUUAUCAUAAAUUUAAAGGAUACGAGGACUAGCUUGAAGAAAUGAACGAAUAUUUGAAUCAAAACAAAUUUUAGAAUAAAGACAAGUAUUAAUUUACUAUGAAUGUAACUUACAUAUGCUGUAAGUUAGCGUGACACUAUUGAAUCACAAGCAAAAAACAAUCUGUCUUCUUCUUGAUUCCGUAAUUUGGCUGUCAAAAUGCAAUCUAUAAAGAUUACGAUACCUCGAUUCAAAAUAUGUUGUUUUUGAUGAAAUAAAUGAAAAUUGAACGUACAAUCUGUCACGACCACCCUGGAUUCAAAAAAAUAUUAUUUCUAAUGAAAUAAAUGAAAAUUGAACGUACAAUCUGCCACGAACACUAUUCAAUUAACCGUUUAUUUCUCCUUAAAUUUUUAAUCUCAAAGAAACAUAGAUUUAAUGGGAACUACACAUAUAUAAAAAUACUAUAGAUUGAAGAAGUUGAAUUUUUCUUGUGUGUUAAGUAUUUUUGUUAAUACGAAAGGAUUCUAGCAAGUUAAUACAAAAGUAUCAUAAAUUCAUUGUAGUACAAGAGAUUUUUUUUUUCCUUUGAUGUUAAGAGUUUUGGAGAUAAAAAAAAAAAAAAGGUGAAAGAAGAAGAUGAGAGAAGAAAAAAUAUUAAGAAUAGUUUUAGCAUUUUGAUGCGUUUUAUAGAGUAAAAUCUAUAUUUUAUAGUAUAAAAUGGUACACCCAUAAUUUAAUGAUAAAAUUUUAGGAAAAAAUUGCACUCGUCAAAAAAAGAAAAAAGAAAAAAGGCUCAGCUUAGCCCAAAAUUUUUUUAUUAACCUUCUAGUCACUAAUGUAAUCUCUUUUUUAUGAGAUUCUUUGGCGUUUUAAUUCAGUCCAUUGUUAGCAAUCUAAUAGCUUUUAUGUGCAUCUAUUUUUUAUUGAAAUAUGUUUCAAACUUGAAUAAAAUCUGCGGGACAACUGGUAAGUAAUAAAGCUCAUCAUUUUUUUUUAUUUUGAAAAUAAAGGGAAUCACUUACACUUAGCAUGAUAUUAUUUUUGAUAAGUCAUUUUUUUGGUAGAUUAUUUUUUCUGACACGCUCUUAGAUUUAGUGAAAAUAAAUUGUAUACUUUUAAUGAAGAAAAGUAAAGAUCAACAAAAUAUUUUGUUGUUUUCGACAACUUUUGCGUUGUCAAGUGCGCCUGAUACCCUUUUUGUUUUUUUGAACAUGGGCCCACGUGCCAUUGUUUUCAUUUCAAGUUCAUAAUUUAACAGUAGAAAUGGGUUCCACAGAUAAUUUAUUUUAUAAUUUUUUAAAAAAUUACCAAAAUAUAAUAAAUAAGGUAAUAAUAAUUAAUAAAAUAGUAGAUUUUAAGAUGGAAAAAUAUUUUUGUGUACUUAAUAAAGAGAUGAUAAGAAUGGGAUGCUUUUGGUUUACAUUCUCAUAGCUAUUCAUACUGAAAAAUUACAUCAAAAUUUAAUUAAUAAAUCAGUGAACUGCAGACUUAUUAAAUUUAAGCUAUUUUACUUCUCAAAAAAAAAAAUUAAGCUAUUUUAAUAAGUCAUAAAUAUACUAAGUUAAAAUUGUAGUAAACCCAUUGUUACAGAAUACUCUCCAUUGAGUGUUCACCAUUUUAAGAUAAUCAUAAAAUGACACCGGAGGUGCUAUUAUAGCUGCCUCAUGGAAAGCCUUCACCAAUAAAAAUCCGGUGAGCAAAGUUGGUCAUAAGAAAAAGGAGUAUAGAGCACAUACAUCCAGUUUUUAUACCCUUUGAUGCUCAGUCGACACGUGCCAAUGCUAUAGACUAUCUGAUAAUCUACUAAGGUAACGCAUGCCAAUGCCAUAGACUAGCUUUUCAAAGGUUGAAGUGGGUAUACUUUUAGUAAAAAGACCUGCAAAAUUAGGCAAAUGCUAAGUUACAAUAAUUGUAACAUACAUUCCUCAUGUGAACCACAUAAAUUGUGGGUCCUAUAAUUUUGUGUGGUUCACAUGAGGGAUGUAUGUUACAAUUAUUGUAACUUAGAGGCUCCCGCAAAAUUAUAGUGUACCUAUUUGACAUCAACUUUUUUUAUCUGGUUUCGUAUUAUCAAAUACCUUCCCUACCCAUUUGUAUUCCAUUUGAUAUUUUCUAAAUGGUUGAAGGUAAAUUAGUAAAAAUUCAUUUUAAAAAAAAUUCAAAGAAAUUCAAGAAGAAGUUUUGUAUCUGCCAUUUGUAUUUGGGGUAUCUUUUUUUGGUUGUUGAGAGAAUGAGUUUAAAUCUAAAAUAUUUAUUUUCUUAUUAUAUAUUUUUCGUUGGAAAGAAUUUAAAUCUUAUUCUUAUUAGAUUUAUUCUCUUUAAACAAAGGUAGGUUUUUCUACAUGUAUUUAGCGUGUAUUUUAAAACUAUUGUUCAACAUAUCUUUAGAUUCUAUUAUAAAUAUUCAUAUCUAACAUCUCAAUAAUUUCCAACAUAUAAAUAUAUAUAAAGGGAGAUAGUAACGUUCUAAUAAGAAAUUUCUUAAGUUAUCAAGUUAAAAAAUAAUUUAAAAGAUAAAAAAAUACACAUUCUAAUAUAUUAUAUAACAAAAUAUAUUGUAUCAAAAUAUAUAUUUUGCUUACUUUUUUAAUAUAUCCCAUAUUAACUUAACAAAUCCUUUAUUUAACUAAUUAUUAUUAUUAUAUAUAUAUAUAAUAAUAAUAAUAUAUUAUAGUAGUUUUCUGAUAAGGAAUUUUAAAAUGUGAGAAAGUUCGGAAAAAUUUUAAAACCGCACGGCUUUACAAAUUUACAGUUUUAAGUUUGCUUUUAAAAUCAUACAGCUUUAAAAUUUUAUUAUACUUUUUCGUACUUUAAAAAUUUCGACUGAAAUAUAUAUAUAUAUAUAUAUAUAUAUAUAUAUAAUUUUUUAAAAAUAAACAAUUUAGAGUAAAACAAAGGACAUUCUCCGGGCCUUUUACCUGACUAGCAAUCUACCGUUUUGGAAUGCAAUAAAGUGAAAAUACUAGACUACCAGUCUACUAUUUUGGAUUGCAAUAAAGUUAAAAUGGGUUACAGCAAAAAAGUUAGAAAAAGAAAAAAGUGACAAUCAAUCUUGCCGGCAAUAUAUCAACUUUUUUGCUGGAUUAGUAUCACGGUCAAACACAAAUUAUUGCAAGCACUAGCAAAAAGCAAUCUAUGAUUUCGCAAUUUGGCUGUCAAAUUGAAUAACAAUAUGAAACAUAACUAGAAAUAUAAGCAAGACAGGAUUUCGAAAUCACCCAAAACUUUUUUCCUAUUUAUUUUGUUAAAUUUUUAUGGGGAAUUUUGAGAUGUUGCACAUUAACAUAUAUCUCUUACAACUUCAUUUGAACGCGUCAUCACCGAUCACUCAAUCAUAAUUUGCAUCGAAUUCAAUUAUAUGCGUGAAAAUGAAAAGAUCUUUGAGUGGUCAAAAAAUACACCGGUCCGUGUUACCAAUUUCUUAAGAAAUUAUAUGUUAUUCUGGAUUAUUAAUUUUAUUUUUAAGUAUUUCAGGAUUAUUAUAGUUUUUUAACUGUUUUACAAAUAUAAAAAAAUUAUAAGUAUGGGUCAGUUGAAAUUUAAUGGAAAAGUUUACGACAUAGUCAAUGUUCGAGAGCUAUUUUCAAUUUGAGGAUAAAACAAUGUUGCAAUUGUUGGCUUGUUGCAACAUUCCAUAACUUUUUUGUAUUUGUGGCUUUAGUAUAUGGCAGUCCUUGAUAUUGUAUAUUACAUAUAUCCUGCCUUCAACUCACUGAGAGUAAGAGUGCCACUGUUGUCAGUGUCCAUCUCUCUAAAUUUUUCCAUUAGCUUUUGCUUUUCUCCUGUUGGAAGAUUUUCCACAAUGACCUGAAAAUCCACUCAGUUUUAUCAGUAGAGGAAGCACAAUUAAAUGCAUAAAUUUAAUGGCUUGCACAUAUAUAGUGUUGUGGAAUUCCUUCAAGAUCCACUCUAAUUAAUCAAAUAACCUAAGCUUAUAGAACCCAAAUGAUUCAAGAUCAACAAUCUUUAAUCAAGAAAGCUAACCAGAUCAAACACAAGAAAUAACCAGAGAACAACAACAAGAAGAAGAUGAACCAGAAACAAUGAACACAAUAUAACGUGGUUCAGUACCAAAGUACCUACAUCCACGACCAAAUAAACCCCUCUGGGCUUGAAGCUUUUAUUGAACAAAGUGUUUACAAUGAGAGUAUUGAUGACAAAGAUUAAAUCUCUCCUACAGAGAAUUUUCUAUCUCUCAUCCUAGGCUUCUCAAAAUCGUGACUUUUUCUCUCUGUUGAUCAGCCCUGAGCCUAUGUAUAUAUAGCUCUGUUGUCCAGCUGUUAGCAGUAACGAAUUAACUAACUCUGGCCCCACAUAUAAGCUGACUCAGCACGCCACUUAGUCACAUAACAGAAUUAACUAAUCAGGCUUCACAAAUCUCCACCUUAGUUGAUUCUGUACCAGCUUCACUCAGACCUGGUUUAGAUAGUUAAUAUGCUUGACUUACAAGCUUGUAACUCCAAUCAAGUUCAGAGAGUUUCUGAACUUGACUGUUGGUAUUGGUUUUGUCAGUGCAUCUGCUGGAUUGACUUCAGUAGAGAUCUUUACAACAUCCACUACCCCUCUUUCAAUUUCUUCUCUUAUGAAAUGUAACCUCACAUCUACAUGCUUUGUCCUCUCAUGGUAUUUGGAGUUUUUGCUUAACUGAAUUGCACUUGAGCUGUCACAACAGAUUGGAAUUGUAUCCUGAGUCAACCCCAUUUCAGAUAUAAUCCCUCCAUUAUAACCAUGCCAUUUUUUGUAACUUGGAGUUCACCAUUCUCUGCCUUAAUGCUACAGCCUGACUGGUCAACUGUUCCUAAGGAUAUUAGAUUCCUUCUAAGCUCUGGAACAUAUCUUACAUUCUUUAGCUCUCUAUCUACUCCAUCAUGCAUAGUUAUGGUAACAGUUCCAAUUCCAGCAACCUUACAGGCCAAGUUAUUUCCCAAUAAAACCUUACCUGUAUCAACUUUCUCAAAAGUCUUGAAGAGUUGCUUGUUUGGGCUCAUGUGGAAGGAGCAACCUGAGUCCAAGAUCCAUUCUUCAGUGGGUUGUUUUUCUGCAGCUAUGAGAACAUCUGCCCCUUCUGAAUCCCCUUCAUCUUCUGAUGCAAUGGCUGCCUUCCCUGAUGAAUCUUUCUGGAUCUUUUCAAGUUUCUUCUUCUCGAAACAAUCCUUUAUGUAAUGCCCUUCCUUCUGACAGAAAUAGCACUUCCUCUUCUUCUUUUUCUUGUCAGCUUUAUCCUUCUGAUUGUUACUUUUCUUGUCAUGAUUCUUCUUCUUUUCAGGUUUUGAUUUGGCCAUCAGACCUUCACCAAGGCCCUGAUCUUUUCCCUCAGCUCUUUUCUUUAAUUCUUUUGAUUCCAGAGCAUUCUUCACAUCUUUUAAUGUAAGGGUCUGUCUCCCAUACAGUAAUGUGUCAACAAAGUGCUCAUAUGAAUCUGGCAGUGAGCUUAACAAGAUAAGAGCUCUGUCUUCAUCUUCAAGGUUCACAUUAACAUUCUCAAGAUCCAGGAUUAGCUUGUUGAAUUCGUCGAGAUGGUCUUUCAUGGCUGUUCCCUCCUUCAUUGAGAAUGUAUACAGCUUCCUUUUCAUAUAGAGUCUCUUGGCCAAAGACUUCUUCAAGAAUAGUUCUUCAAGUUUCGACCAGAGUCCAGAUGCAGAUUUUUCUUUAGCAACCUCUCUCAGCACUUCAUCAGACAGAUGCAAGAUUAUGGUGCUGUGAUCUUUGUUGUUAAUAGACCUUAUGUCUCCACCCAAGCUUGAGGAGCCUUCUGAUCUCUCCUUUUUGCCAAUCUGAUCUUCUUCAUUAUCAAGAGCACUGUCAAGCCCCUGUUGGAUCAAGAUUGCACGCAUCUUGAGACUCCAUAGGUAGAAGUCAUUUUCUCCAUUAAAUUUUUCUACAUCGAAUCUUGUACUAGCCAUUUGUGAACAAGAGCUGAGAUCUUUUAAUGCUCUGAUACCAGUUUGUUGUGGAAUUCCUUCAAGAUCCACUCUAAUUAAUCAAAUAACCUAAGCUUAUAGAACCCAAAUGAUUCAAGAUCAACAAUCUUUAAUCAAGAAAGCUAACCAGAUCAAACACAAGAAAUAACCAGAGAACAACAACAAGAAGAAGAUGAACCAGAAACAAUGAACACAAUAUAACGUGGUUCAGUACCAAAGUACCUACAUCCACGACCAAAUAAACCCCUCUGGGCUUGAAGCUUUUAUUGAACAAAGUGUUUACAAUGAGAGUAUUGAUGACAAAGAUUAAAUCUCUCCUACAGAGAAUUUUCUAUCUCUCAUCCUAGGCUUCUCAAAAUCGUGACUUUUUCUCUCUGUUGAUCAGCCCUGAGCCUAUGUAUAUAUAGCUCUGUUGUCCAGCUGUUAGCAGUAACGAAUUAACUAACUCUGGCCCCACAUAUAAGCUGACUCAGCACGCCACUUAGUCACAUAACAGAAUUAACUAAUCAGGCUUCACAUAUAGCUUACUGAAUAUAAUAACAAGUACUUCGCAAUAAAACAUUGUUGGUGAGGAAGUGCAGAUGCAGAAAUUCGAUCAAGCAUUUAACUAAUGAUUGUCGCUGUUGUAUCCAAUUCUCAUACUUAGCCCUAAUAUGAGCUAGCUCCUAAAUGGGAAGAAUCUUUUUAAUUACAUGCGUAUGUAUAUAAUUAUUAGUUAGCUAGGUGUGGUCAAUGUCAUCUGUAUUUUAUCAAUGGAAUUUUAAUUAGGUGUGCGCGACAUCACACAUUGUGCACUAGAUCAAUCCUCUUGUCAAUUAAUAUAUAUUAUAUAUAUAUAUAUAGACACGUAUGUGAGUGGAGGAAGAAAAAAAAAUUAAGAAUAAUUUUGGCAUUUUGAUGGGUUUUAUAGAGUAAAAUCUAUAUUUUCAAAUAUGAUGAUUCUUUAAUUUAAUUUGGUGUUAUGAAAAAAAGGGCAUUUUAAAUAUGUUUUAAGUUAUAAAUAACUCCAUCCAAAAUUUAAAAAUGAAAUCUUGAGAAGGGGGGGGGGGGGGGGGGGGGGGCGGAAUUUCACCCGAACUAACAAAGGCCCAGAGUAGCCGCGGCUUUUUUCACCAAUUCUCUAAUUCCCAAUGUGGUCUAAUUAUUUACAACGAAUAUGAGAUUCUCUACCACUCCAAUUUAUCCCAUUGUUAGCAAUCUUAUUAGCUGUUUUAUAUCCUAUUUUUAUUAUGCUCCCCAAACAAAUAUGUUUCACCUAAAGGUGCCCAACGGACUGCACCGUCCGUCUGAAUGAGCGCACGAGAGGCUCCACAUGACACGGCAAUCUUUUUCUUUUUAAUGAGGGCGUGUCUGAUAUGCUCUUUCAAGUCUACAUACCUAACGUUCUUUUUUUAAGUGCAUAUAUUUUUUUUAAAGCUCAUGUGAAAUUCAGUAGUAAGAGAAUGCAAUACUAGUUAAUAAGUUAGAGCCUACAAAAUAAUAAUAAUAAUAAUAAUGGUUAACAUUUUAUUGUUAAUUUGAAUUUACAUACAGAUUAUAGUCCAUAAUAAUAUUAAUACUUACAAGUUUCAAAUUAAAAUUUAAUAAUUAACAUUUCAUAAACACAACUAUAUUAUCUAAUUUUGCAAUAACAAAUUAUAAUACAACAAUACAUAAUUCUAAUUUCAUAGACCAUAGUAAUAAAAUCUCUACGUUAAUGAAAAUUUUAUUUUGAUAUAUGUCGGUCUGCUUGCUAUUGAUGGUCGAUGGUUGUAUGCUAGCUUGCUAAUGAAGCGUGUUUAUUAUUGGUUUUUUCACGUGUCUUGCUUUACCACAUCUCUAAUCAAAUUGUGCUCUUAAAAUCCACAGCCUAACCUAGCCUCUGUGUGUGUCCUGUCGUGCCAUACUAUACAAACACGUAUCCGGUACCAUGCCACGUACCGGUCGGCCGGUCAGCCCUUAGCCAUCUCUAGUUUCACGUUCACACUUUCACUUUCACCCCUAAAUGAAAUCUAAACGGCUACUGGCAAGUAAGAAAACCUGUUAUUCUUUAUUUUGAAAAUAAAGGGAAUUGCUCAGUUUGAUAUUGUUUUUCGUAAGUCAUUUUUUGUUUUGAAACAUUUUUCUGAGAUGUUGUUGUAUUUGGUGAAAAAUAAAUUAUUUUAUUUUAUACUUUUAAUGAAGAAAAGUAGAGAAAAACAUUUUGUUGUUUUCGACAACAUUUGCCUUAUAAGUGCACCCGUGCCACUUUUUUCUUGUUUUAUUUGUAUGAUAAUUAUCAUGGACCCACGUAACUUUCUUUUGCAUUUAAAAUUUCAUAAUAAAUUAAAUUAGACAAAAGAAAUGAGUCCCACAAAUAAUUUAUUUUAUAAUUUUUAAAUAAUACCAUUUUAAAAUAAAUUAUCAAAACAAAUUUCAUAUUCACUAAAAUUAAUCAUAUUCAUAUUAUAAAAUAAAUAUAAAAACAAUAUCUGAAAAGUAAUGCUAAAUACACUCUUAAAUUUUAUGUACGUCAUUAGAAUUGAUGAACAAUCUGACAAAGAUAUUACGACUUAAGUAGGGAUGACAAUUAAAGUCGGAUUUGGAAAAAUUCAUGUCUGCAAAUUAAAAAAUGUGGAUUCAGAUAUGGAAAUUUUGAAUUCACACGGAUCCAGAUAAAUUUUAUUUUAAAUUAAAAAUAUAUAUUAAAAAAUAAAUGAAAAAAAUAAAAAAAUAAAUUUUAUUUGUGGUUUUAUGAUGUUGUUGUAUAUUAUUCAUGUUGAAUUAUUAAUGGUUGGAUUAUGAUUGAAUUUUAUUUGAUAUUAUUAGGUAAAUUAUUGAAUUUUAUUUAAAAUUAAAAAUAUAUAUUAAAAUUAAAUAAAAAAUUAUAUUUUAUUUGUAGAUUUAUGAGAUUAUUGUAUGUUAUUCAUGUUGAAUUAUUAAUUGUUGAAUUAUGAUUGAAUUUUAUUUGAUAUUAUUAGGUAAAUUAUUGAACUUUUAAAUUAUAUAUUAAAUUAUUUAAUUUUAAUUUUUACAGAUCUGGAUAUCCAAAAUAUCCUCCAGUAUCCGUUGCGGAUAUUACCCGCUUCUGGAUCCGCAUCUUUUUAUAUGAAUUCAGAUAUAGAAAUAUGAAUGCGAAUCCGAAUCUGGAUUUUACCAACCCUGAACCUAAGCAUGAAUGGGCCUAAAGUUUUUACAACAAACGUGGAUCAUUCAAUGACACGAGAUGUUUUACAGCUCUCAUUAGUAUAAUUAAAUAAUUAAUUCAUCUCUAUAUUCAACUUACUCCGUCUCAAAUUGCAUGCAAAUACGAAAAUUCACUUCUGAAUCGUUCACUUGAGGACAAUUCCAAAUUCUCCACGUAGAAUUUAGAUUCAAACCAUAGUAAAUUAGACAUAAUUCUAAUUUAUAUGGGAAAUAUAAUUAGCGAAGACACUCUUUAUAUAAAACAUUAUUGUCAUAGGAUGCCAAACCUAAUAAGAUUCAAGGUCUUAACAUAAUUCAUAUGAAAUUUGAUCUUGGAGCGUACCGACACGCAUAACAUCAAGACUCUACUUCAUAUAUUAUAAUGUAACUUCAUGGAUUUUUCGCUCUCUUGUGAAAUUGACAAAUUAUAGGUACUGUGUGGCAGUGGUACAUAAUAAAAUAAACGUUUAUUUUUAGAAUAUUAUUAUUUUAUCUCAAUUUUUUAUUUAAUAGUUAAUUUUAAUGAAUUCUUAAACUGUCAUAAUCAAUUAAUUUUUUACAUUAUCGCAUCUUAAAUAAAUUUUGGAUCUGUAAUAAAUAAAAACUGGUAACGUUUGUUCUUUUAAAACAUAAAACAACCGUAACAUUGGUUUUUACAUUUUGAAUUUUUCUUGCAUCACUAUUUAGAAAAAUGAUGUUAAAUCAACUCACAAAAUAUAUCAAGCCAUCUAAAAUCCAAAUAUUAUUACAUUUGUAUUUGCAUUGUUAAAUUGUUGGAAUGACGGCAAAGCAAUUGAAAAGAUAUUAGAAAAAAAAAAUAAAGAUUGGCCAAGGAUUAUUCAUGUUUAGGAAAUGAAUUAACUUUUGAAAUAAUCAUUGUUAUAAUUGUAUUGUAGAAAUAAUCAAUUACCUAAUGUUUGUCGUGGUAAAUAUUAUUAACUUGUUUUCCUACAUCCGUGUUUAUGGUGGUCUCCUUUUUGUCCAAUUCUGUACAACAAAAUAUUUGCAUGUUUUUGAUAGAAAUUGGUUUAAAUGACAUUUGAAAUAGUAUAUCCCCAGACAAUUAACGAAAUAUUUGGAUGGUAGGAUGAAGUAAUAUAGUUUUACAAAUUACCAUAUUAGAGGUAAAAAAAAUCAAGAGGUUACUUCAGGUUAUUUCAGGCUAUAUCCAAAUAUUUCGUUAGUCUCAGUUGUGGGUUGGGCACUCAAUGAAAAGGAUUACAAAUUACCUAUAAAAGGCUAGAAUAAGCUACAAAACCCUAUCUCAAAACCCCAUCCCAGUUUAGAUGAAUGAAGAAAAAAGGUAAAUCUUGAAACUCCUUAGAAACUGAAGCCCAAAGUGAAGCAAGAAGAUGAACUCUAUCCCAAGCAAGCAAUAUGGCAUAUUUCUCCAUUAAUGGUUCAAAUAAAGUGAAUGGCUUUCUCUGAUGAAUGGGAAAUUGUCAAGAUCAAUAGUCAAACUCAUGCAAAGUAAACGGACUUAAUUCUUAGAGGCUACUCAUUCUAAGUCUUAAAGAAAAUUUUUCUAAUUUCUAAAGAUUAUAUGGGGAAAAAUCAUUAUUUUCUAACAUGGGAAAUUUGAUACGGUGUUUAAUGUCUGAUCACAAUCAUAAUAUGAGUACUAACAAAAACAUCUUUAAUCGGCAUGGUGCGAGUAAAACACCAUCACUUCAUCUUUGAUGGAAAGAUGAUAAUAUAAGGAGAUGGUGAAAUGGAUUUGGUCCCCGGCAGCUUGUAAUCAAAAGAAAAUAAAAAACUACACUAUCAUUAAUGAUUACCGAAGCUACAUAAGUAUCAAAAUCGGAAAGUAAACAAUUGCAAAACACAUCAAUGACUGGAGGUUAGGUUCUAAAACUUCCGCAUUUAAUUUUCAGAGCAUGUUAUGUAUUAUUCAGAAAUAUGCUUUCACUUCAGGCACUUGACCAAGACGCAUUAAACAUAAAAUGCGGCGUUUUCAUGGACUAGUACAUUCCAUGCUUCGAAAGUUUAUAUUUUAGACUGAUUGGUUUGAUACAUUAUUUGUUUAUUGCGUUUUUCUUGCUUUAAAUAUUAUGUUGGAUUGAUAAGUUUUGUACACAUUUAUAUUGCUCGCAGUAAAUAAUUUAUGACAUUUAAAAAACUAUCAACCGUCUAUCAAAAGAUUUCUACUAUAAAUAUAUAUACACAAAAAACUUUUAAUUUGGUCAAUUUGUUCUCUUAUUUAUUUUUGUUCUAUUUCUCUUUUCCUUUCCUUUCAUUUUACUGUUUUAUGGUACAAAAUAAAAAAAAUAACCUUGAAAUUUAAGGGUAAAAUACUCAUUUUACUAAAAUUCCGUUUACUAUGAUAAAGCUGUCAAAUGUCAAUGGCAUAGUACACGAGUGAUACAAAUUAAAAACAAUAAAUUGAAAGUUUUUAUGCGUUUUCAUUUUAUUUUUUUUUAUAGCCGAUUGAGAUUCCCCUUCAUUUUUUUAAAUUCAAUAGGUUUAGACCGUUUAACAAAUCUUAAAUUAAAAAAACCUGUGGUGUAAUAACAAACUCACAUCAAACCCUGUCCACUUUCAUCCCUAAUUAUAUUUACCACUUCAUACUCACAGUGAUAAUAACUGUGUAUCACAAUUGAUUUUGCAUACGGGUAAAAGUUCCAAGUCCGGAUAUUUAGUUAAUGAAAUUUGAUGAAAAGGGCAUGGAAGAAAAUAAGAAAUUAAAUAAUACAGGAGGUAUUAAUCAUUACAUCUUUAGUUAAUGAAAAUUGAUGAAAAUAUUUCUGCAGACGUGAGCCGUAAUUAUAUUACCGUUUAGAAUGAAGCAGAAGAGUUUACCCAAACUUCAAUUUAAAGAAUUUUUAUAUGAGAGUACCGGGACAAAAAGUUUAAUGCAACAACAUACAUUAAGUUAAUUCCAUAAUCUAUCCCCAAAGAAAGACAAACACAAGCUUAUAAGAUUAAAACUUUGGAAAACAUUAAAGAGUCAGACAAAAUUGUGUAAUCUUCAGAGUUUGGAGCAUAGUUCAUCCAGGAAAGCAAAAGAAAUAAUAAUAAUAAUAAUAAUAAUAAUAGUGGUGGUUUGAUCUCAAAAGGUGGCAUCAAAGUGGUAACUUUGAGGUAUUGGAAGCAAUAACAUCUUCAACUUUGUCCUGAUUUCGAAGUCCUUUAACCCAUCCGCCAUCAAUGGAUUGAAUGCUUCCAUUCAACCCAUCAUCCACAAAAUCACCAAUCCGUUUCACCUUCAUCUCCUUGGGCUUAACAGGGUACUUUCCAGAGAAGCAAGCAAAAAAAAAAUAUUCUGAGAAUCAUCGCCUAACACCUUGUUCAAGCUGUCAAUCGGGCAGAAAAGCAAGCGAAUCACACCCAACAAACUCCCUGAUUUCCUCAACGCUGAUCCUGUUGGAAAUCAACUCCUCAGUACUUGGAGUGUCUACUCCGUAGUAACAAGAAGCUAUGAUUGGUGGGCUUGCAAUUCUCAUGUGAACCUCAUUAGCUCCAGCCUCCUUAAGCAACCUAACAAUUUUUGAUGAAGUUCUUUCUCACACUAUCGAAUCAUCCACAACCACAACUCUCUUUCCCUCCAACCACAACCUUACAGGAGAGACUCGAGAGAGCUUAAGCUUGACACCAAAGUCCCUAAUUUUCUGGGAAGGCUCAAUGAAAGUUCUCCCAACAUAAUGUGACCUUAUCAACCCUUGUUGAAAUGGCACCCUGGCUUUCGCAGCGUACUCAAGUGCAGCCACCACUCCAGAAUCUGGUACUGCAAUCACAACUUCACACUCAACAGGAGCCUCGGUAGCAAGUACUUCCCCAAAAUGAUACCUCGACUCAUAAACAGACCUACCAAAAACAACAGAAUUGGGCAAAGCAAAAUAAAUAUGCUCAAAGAUGCACUGCUUAGGUUCAGGGUGAGGCAUCAAACAAAGUGAUUGAACCCCAUCUUUAUCCACCAUCAAAACUUCACCGGGAUAUACCUCUCUCUCUCUCUCUCUCUCGUAAGUGGCCUCAAUCAAAUAGUGCACAAGUCUCUGACGCAAAAACCAGAGCACUAUUACUCCUCCUACCCAUCACCAACGGCAUAAACCCAUACGGGUCACGGACUGCAACAAACUUAUCCUCAGUAACAAACACCAUUGAAUAAGCACCCUCAAGCUUCUCACAAACAUCCACAAUCCUCAAAAAGAACGGCCUAGCUUUCGAUAUCGGAAUCAAAUGGAGAACAACCACAGUAUCAGAACUAGUAUUAAAAAUGGACCCAUUAUCUUCAAGCUUAGCCCUCAAAGUGUUAUAAUUAACUAAUGUGGAACACCAACAGAACCAAACCUGUACCCAGCAACAAAAGGCUGCACAUUCUUAAGCAUAGAACUACCCGCAGUCGAAUAUCUAACAUGACCAAUGGCCAUAUCACCCGGCAAUUGAUCAAGUUUAGACUGAUUAAACACAUCAGGGACUAAACCAACACCAGUAAUAGACUGAAGAACUUUCACAGCAACUAUACCUGCACCUUCUUGGCCGCGAUGCUGCAUCGCGUGUAGCACCAAAUAGCACAAACGGGAGGCCUCUGGGUCACCAUAGAUGCCCACAACACCACACUCCUCACGGGGCUUAUCGUCGUCGUCAUCAUCAAAACUGCCAAAACCGUCAUCUGGGUAUUCUUUAUUUGUGGUGAAAAACUCAGAGAUGGGGUUUUUUGAUAGAACAGUGAAGUUAUUUUUGUGGAUUAAAGAUUGUUGUUUCUGAGGGAAAAAAGGGUUUUUUUGCAGGGUUUUGGAGAAAAGAGAAACAUGGGUUUUUUGCGACGGCUUAGGGUUAGCAGAGGGAGAUGGGUUUGAGAGAGGGCAGAUAUUGGCGGUGCCUGUGGUUGUGGCUGCCAUUAAUGGCUGAAUUUAUUCUAUUUUAUUUUAUUUUUUGGGUUGCCUUGCUCAAAGAAAAAACAGAGGUGGUGUGUGGAGGGAGACAGUGACGAAGGGUACUUUAAGUCGAGGGGAACUUGUUCUAGGUUUUUUUCUGGAAUUGUGAGGGAAUCUGAUCCUGUGUUUGUGCAUAUGAUUCAAUUACUUAUAGCUGAUACUGUUGUGUCACCACAAAAUCUAAUUGGGAAGCUUCAGCUGUCAAUUUUUUUCCAAGGGUUAAUUAGGUAGAACUUUCAUGUCGUCGAUUUUAUUUGGAGAUUCUAAAAGUAGUUUCCAAAUAAAGAGAUGGACCAAAAUCAACAAUGUGACAAAGAUACUUUAGAUUUUUUUUACUUGUGGGACAUGAAAAUUGAUGCAUGUUCCAAUGCAUUGCUCUAUCAGAAUUGGAAUUAAACUUAGUUUGUAUUCUCCUAUUCCGAAAGCAAAACUUAUAAGUGAUAUUCUAAGAAGAAGAAAUUAAGAACCAUAACAAAUUUGAAGAUUCUAAUUUGCUAGAAAUAUUGCAAUCCAAAACUAAGAAAGUUAAAACCAAUUAUUAGAAGAAAAAAGCAAGACGGAAGCUCCCAGAAUAUUGUUAUGUGUUGUGUGUUUCAGUUUGUAUUUCCCAAUCAAUAAGAAAAAGUAAGUACACAUGUUACAAAACUUUAAUAAAAAAGAUUGGAGGUGACAAAAUCGUCAAUCUUCUAAUUAACUUUCUCUCCUUUCAAAUUUCCUGAGUUUGGUAGAGACUGCUUAAGUGGUGUAUCUGUUAUAAACAGGCAAAACUAUGUUGCAACAGUGGUAUGGUACCACUGUUGCAACCAGCCAUUGGAUGCAUAGUUGUACAGUUACAUUAGCAAGAUCUAAUGGUUGAAAGCAACAAUGGUACUGUACUACUGUUGCAACAUAGCUGGACCCAUUAUAAACACCUGAAGUCAAAGUUAAUGUUUUAAUUGUUAAGAAAAGUUAGAAGAAGAAAUUUUUGUAUAAGAGAAUUGGGUUUAAAUUUUAGAAUUCUUUGGGAGGAAAUGAGUCUAAAUUCCAAUAAUAUAAUUCAGCACUAUUUAUAUAUAUCAUUAGUUGGGUGAAAAAUUAAUUUCCCUCCUUUGAUGUGAUUUUCAUCAUUUAUUUUCAUAUGAUGGUAAUUUUUUGUUUAGAGUGAAGUUAUUGGCACCCUUUCAUUAUCCUUAUAAAAUCCUACUUCAAAUAAAAUUACACUUAAAGACAAUAGAAUUAAAUAAAAUAGUUUUUUUUUCAAACAAAUUACUCACAUUCAUAAUUUUUUUUCUUCUAAUUUUCUACAGGUUGCUUUGUAUCUAACUAAAAUCAAUUGUACAAAUUUAGAAUAAUUUAUUAUUCUUUUUAAAUUUCUUAUUGAUUAAAUAUUUGUGUGCUUAAGAUAGUUUUAAAAUUAUAAGAUAAUAUAUAUAUAAUUUAAGCCAAUGAUUAACAUUAAAAAAUUUAUCUCUCAUAAAAGUUUUUAAUUUGUGCGUAGGGUAAUAAUAAAAUUGCAAAAGAAAUGAAAAAUAGCAUAGCACUAUUUUGAGUUUAAACAAUAAAAAAUUAAAUGAAAAAUUAGAAGUGUAUUUAAAAAAAGGAUAUUUUUGAAAAUAAAUAUAAUUUAAAACAAAAAAAAAAAAGAGUUUCAUGAGGGGUGCAAUAGUUCAACUCUUUUGUUUAUAAGUUUUAAGAUGUUGGUAUCCGUAGCUUAGCUUUUCCCUAAUUAUUAUAUUAAAAUGUAACAACAAUGAUGAUAAACCCUAAUUUCAUGGAGGUCAAAGAUUUUGGUCAUGCCGCAUUAAUUAGUUCGGUCAUACUUUCUACAAAUUUAUUUACAUUUAAUAAUUUGACCAAGACUAGGUAAGGCGCCGCUUGGAGUCAUAGAAUUUUAUAUGUCAAAAGUGCGUUUCACUUCAAUUAAGCCAUAAAUGUCGUUUAAUAUGCUCAUUUUGUAUUUUUUUUUUAAAAAGUUUUAUUAGUUUUUUGGUUUUUAAAAAUAUCAUUUAUUGGAGUUGCUAAAGUUGGUGGCGAAAUUGAUGGAAUUCUAGUAUCUCAUAAGGUAUCUCAUGAUUUAGUGCUAGCUUCCAAUCAACGUAAGAACAAAGGCAAAAACGAAAGUAAUGUUGGGCUUACAAAUGAGGACGAGGAGGAAAUAGAAAUGGGCUUGGUUAUUUCCGAUGCUAAAAGGCGAAGGUCUGAAAUUGGGCUGGAGGAAAAUGUGGAUCCUCAAAGUGGCACAUCUACUAUUAUGGAAAUGGUUAUGGUACCAAAAAAGGGGUUAGCGGUGGGUCCUGUCGAUCAGGCCCACUGCUCCCAAUGAGUACCCUUAGCUGGAACUGUCGUGGGCUAGGCCACCCACGGACAGUUCAGGUUCUGACAGAGUUGGUCAAAUCUAGAAAACCUUCUUUUAUUUUUUUAAUGGAAAUUCUUUGUUACAGACAUCAAUUGGAGCAUCUUAAACAAAAAUUAGGCUUUGAAAAUUUAUUUGUGGUGGAUCGAUUGGGCCGUAGUUGUGGGUUGGCAUUACUUUGGAAAGCCAAGUUUAAUGUUAGACUUUUAAAGUUUGCAAAAAAUUUCAUUGAUAUAGCUGUGAGUGAAACGGGUUCGGAUAUGGGUGAAUGACGGUUGACUGGUUAUUAUGGGUAUCCGGAAUUUGCUCGAAGACGAGAAUCUUGGAAUCUCCUCCGCCAUCUUGCUAACAGCUCCUCUCUUCCUUGGGUUUGCUUAGGGGACUUCAAUGAUCUUCUCUCCAGUGCUGAGAAACGAGGGAAGCGAGCUCACCCCAGUUGGAAGUUUAAUGGGUUUCGUGAGGCUGUGUCUGAUGCUGGUUUGGUGGACUUGGGAAUGGAGGGAUACCAAUUCACUUGGGAGAGGUCCCGGGGUACAAAUGCGUGGGUUGAUGAGUGAUGGGUGUCGAAGCCAGCAAAAAUAAAUACCUACUCUAAAUAAAUUGUGUAUAGUAAUUGAGCAGGGUCGUGUUCACAGAGAUCGGUAAUUAUUUAAAUCCUUUUGAAACGUAAAACGUAAAAUGGGGGAAUUGUUGAUAAUAAUAAAAAUCAAAUUAAAAUAACAAGAAUGCAAAUUAAAGUUGUAAUUCAAAUUAGAGAAAGCUCUGGUUGAAGGAAUUAACUCAGCUUGAUUCGACUACUGAUCAUUGAUUCAAAUAUAGAUUAUUAUUACUUAAAAAUAGACUGGUUAUAGCUAUUGAGACCCUCUAAUAGCCAAUCUCUCCUUAACUAGUCGAUAACCAAGGUACAAUCGUUGGUUAUUUCCCUAAUCAAUAGACAACCCUAGAUACGAUCAUAGGAUUUAAUCAAUUGACAGCCUGAAAAACCAGAGAGACCCAAAUCCUAAUAAACACAUCUGAUGAUUCAUUUAAAUUAGAUUGUUUAUUCUCACAACACAACUCUCUGCUAUGUUAUUUGUCACAAACAUUAAAUUCUUCAUACGAUGAAUCCUUUAAUUGACAAUAGAUUAAGUUGAUAAUUAAAUAGUGGCCAAUUACCUAAUUAACAAACUUGAUCAUGAAAAUAAUACAGAGAAUAAACAAAUACCCAAAAAGCAAUAAAACAAUUAAAGCACAAGAAAGAUCUCACAGUAGUGAUGAAUCAAAGCUUCAUUAUCCUUCAACCAGAAAAAUAAGUUUAGUUCUUCAUAGAGAGAAGAGAAAAAUUAAAAUCUAGGGUUUCUUUCUUUUCCUCCAAUCUAAAAUCCCCUAUUUUUCACAAUAGAUUCCUCCCUUAAAUACUCUCUCUCUCUUCUCCUCUAGAAUUCUAUUUAAAAUAAAAUACUAAUAUCUGAAAUAUUAAAUUCGUAAUUACAAAAAUAACCAAAAAUACAAAACACGUUAAACUAAAAACUGCAGGUCCGCAGUUAACAGCACGCACCCACGCCUUAUCAAUAAAGUUCUUCUGAUGCUCAUAAUUUCUCUAAGAGAACAAUCAUCCUUAAACAUCAUCUUAUAGCUCAAUUUUAUCACCAAUCAAUAGAAUUGCACCUACAAAAGUAAAACACAAGUAAAUUACUAUUAUUAAGUGCAAAACAUCGAUAUUAAGGGAAGUAAACAAUGCAAAACUAGUGCAUAAAUUGCACUCUAACAAAUUCCCCCACACCAAGAUGAUGCUUGUCCUCAAGCAUAUAACUCAAGAUUAUUCCCAAAUCUCCACUCAAUUCUCAUCUCAACUCAUCCAAAAAUAAUUUUAAGCAAGCAUACCUCAAGAAAUUAAGUCGAUCAACAUUCGAGAGACAAGGAUUUUAAAGCAUAGAAUUUCAUAAGAUAGAAUAAGAACAUUCAACCACCAAGAAGAUCCAUUCAAAAUUCAAGUGCAACAAGAUUUAAUAGCCCUCUCAAUAACUUCACUCCAUGCACUCAAAGUGUUUAGAGUGUCAUUUAUCCACUCAAAUCAAAUCAAAGAAUGCUAUUACCAUAAGCUUGCUCAUAUAUCACAUCUCAAUCCACAAAACAUGAAUAAAAUGCAAAAAUCUAAGGGUCUUAAAAGGGUUGUAAUGAGGUUAAAUGGGUGAAAUGAAAAAGAAAGGUCUACGAAGGAAAAAGAGAUCAAAACGAGAAGAAUGAACUCAUUGAAUGAACUUAUGAUAUCAAAAUGCUUAUUUCUACUCAAGUCACCAAGAAUGUAAACAUUUUUUUUCUUUUUUUUAAUUUUUCUUUUUCUUCUUUUUCUUCUUUUUUUUUCUUUUUUUUCUUUUUUUUUUGUUUUUGAAUCAAACAAAAGAAACAAACCUUGCACAAUUUAAUUCAAGCAUAAUGCUUGUUGAUCUAAUUGAGAAACUUUAAUACAAGGUAGAAAAAGCAACAAAAUAUAUUCACACAAUGAGUCCAAAAAUCUCCUUAAAUCGAGGCUCAAAAGAAGAAAAAUGGUUAAGUCGACGGAGAGAAUUAGAUGGGUAAUGGUUAAGGCUCAAACAAAGGUAGCAAAUAAAGGUCUUCGGGUAGAGAAAAAAAAAUGCAAGAAUAGAGAAAUGGAAUAUGGUUUGCCCUUAUCAUUUUAAUGCAUAAAAUCCCGUAAUGUGGCUUCAACAUGCAUAACAAAGCAAGUUCUAGAAUAAACAAACUAGGAUUGAUAUUCACAUAACAAAAAAAUAAUUAGAGCAAAGUGGUUGCUCAUAGGCUCAAAUCCUUACAAAGUUGAUAAAUUUGCCAUCAAAUCAUGUACACUCUUCAAAUGAAUCAACCAUCAAUAGUGGUGUAGAAUGAGAAGAAGGUAUGAGUGAGAUAUAAAAGGAAAGGUAAAAAAAAAAAUGUGAGUAAUGAAAGAGUAUGAUAGAAAGAAAAAAAAAUAGAUGUAAAUAAUUUGAGAUAGAUGGGAAAAGAGUAGUGAGAAAGAAAAGAAAAGAAAAUAAUAAUAUAUGAAGCAUACUAACUCCAAAAUCAUUUAAGGAUGAGUAGAGUGAAAAUACUACUUCCAGACAUCAAUAAUGCAAAAAUCCCUCCCCCACACCAAGAACUUACAUUGUCCCCAAUUUAAGAUAAUCAAAGCUCACAUAAAAAUUAAAACGUAAGGAUAAAAGUUUAAGGGCAAAAAGAAACUUCCCUGAAUUGUGAGCUUUGAUCCACAUAACGUUUAUGGGCUUGGCGGAAAUGGUGGGGUAAAUCCCACACUCUUAAAGUAUGCGGCCAAAUUCUGCUCCAUCUUGUUCAGCUUGUGCUCCAUUUUCUCUAACUGAAUGCUCAAAGUGAAAUAUAAGUGUGCAACCCAAGAGGGGGGGUGAAUUGGAAAUUUAAAAAUUAACCUAGCAAAUCCACACAACAAGCAAUCUAAUGCCUUAAUAAAAAUUGAAAGCAAUAAGUUUAAUAAAGGCACAAUAAUUAAAGAGUAAGGAAGAAGAGAAAUAAACACACGAAUUUUUACGUGGUUCGGCAAUCCCCGCCUACGUCCACGCCUCCAAGCGAUCCAAGCUUGAGGAUUCCACUAUCCAAGCCUUUCCAAGGCUUCAACGAUUACAAUUGACUUCGAGGUGUCAAUAAACCUUUACAACAAAGAGAUUAUCUCCCAAUCUCUUCACUCAAGUGUCUCACACACUCAAACUCUUACAAUUGAGAUGAAUAAAUGAAGGUUACAAUGAAACUCACUCAAUGAGUAGAUAUUCAAAAAUGAAGAACAAUUAAAGACUCAAUGUUUGUAUUUCACAAGUUUGAAGGCUCAAGAUAUCACGUGUGCUUUUUGUUCUUGCUUGUUGGAGAGCUUGAAAAUGAGUUGGAUUUGAGUUUUUAUAGUUUGAGCUCGAAAACUAGCCGUUACUCACAUUUUGGUCGUAACCGGAUUACCGGUUAUGGACAUCCGAAAUUCCGCUUAAUGUUACCGUUACAGCCACAAAUUUGAAUUUCUGAACAUCCGGAUUUCCGCUUUGUCACAUCCGGAUUUCCGCUUACGCUCAGUAGUUUACUGCCCAAUAACCGGAUUUCCGUUUGUCAGGAUCCGGAAUUCCGCUUUUAAUUCGGAUAGAUUUUGCCUCGAAUCCGGACUUCCGUUUAUCAGAAUUCGGAUUUUCGCUUGCUACAGUAACUGCUACAGUGAAUAUUUUUCCAAAUUUACAGUUUGACCCCAAAACUUUAUAAAACUAUAAUGUGGCCUAAAACGUUAUGAAAGUUUGCAAAAAGGUCCAAUUUCAGAACUUUAGAAUAAUGCUUUGUCAAUCCCACAACUUUCUGAAAUUAUGACUUUGCCCAAACUUUGUGAAAUUAUAGAAUGGCCCAAAAACAUUUAAAUAGUUUCAAAUAGGUCCAAAUCCGAAAUUUAAAAUACUAUCAAAGAUUUUAAAAAUACUUUCAUUUUAGUCCAAAAUGCUUUAAUUCCAUAACAUCGUUUUCUUAUUAUAAAAGCACAAUUCAUAAAUCUUUGCUUAAUAAAUACAUGUGGUUUGUUAUCAUCAAAAUCAAUAUUUAGCCAUAUAGGCUAACACAAAGGUGGUGCGGAUGUAGAAGGAAUAGUUGGCGGGGCAGCAGUGUCGUCGUCAAACUCAUCAUCAGAGGUAGCACCACUCCUAGCAUAAAGCUUCUUCGGAAGUUGAGUGGGUCCUGGUUCCGUAAAUUGAAAUCUCCCCUCCUUGAAUUCGACCACACCUGUUCUUUCAAACACAGACAUAUCCAAAAAUUCCUUUUUGCAAGCAGGAUGCAAAUCAUUAUUGUCAGGAUCAAGCACACAUAGGUUUAUAGCUAACAUAGUAAUGUAUGGACCAAGAAAUAAAGUCCUAUACCGUUUAAGCACACUUUGAAAUUGAUCCGCUAACCAAAAACCUAAAUUAGGCCUCACAUCAUGUAACAUGCACCAGAUAAAAUAAAAUUCAGUUUUAGAGAAAAUUCAUGAGUGAUCUUUCUUGCCUAAAAAAUUAUAUGCUAAGAAUCGAUGCACGCAUUUCAAAACAGGAUCACGUAAGAAAGAACUCUUUGAUUUACUCGGGUCAUAGGCAUUGUGAUCAACAGAUAAAUUACGCCAAAGACCAUAAGGCUCAAAAUUUUCGCUAAAGUCACAAGUUGUUCCUAAAUAUUCAUCACUAGUAGAAUAAUCAUCAUCAAUGAAUCCUAAAGCUAGGUUAAAAUCCGUGAUAGAGUGUGAAAAAUUUCGUCCCAUUAACCUAAACUUAAUGACAUCUGGAGUAUGCAAAGUAAAAUUAUUCGGCAUAGUAAAUUAAAAAGUAGCAUAAAACUCCCUAAUCAACUCAACAUAACCCAAACAAUCAACAUCAACAAACUUACGCAACCCAAUCUUAUCUAUCAAAGAAUCAAAAUUAUCUUUAACAUUCAAUUUUUCAAGAGUAGGGUAAUGAAUAUACUUAGCUGGAAGUAUUUUGCGCGUGGAAAUAUCUUUGUACCUCUCUUUCUCUUGUUGAGUCGCGAAUGCGAGGCACCCUCCGAGAUUGGAUUCCGCAAGUGGCAAAACACUCAUGCCUUUUCCGUGCUUUGAUCUUUGUCUCACGGCUUGGCGUGAAUUUGAAAUUGUGUUCCAUGGAACCGUAGUGGGAGCGGCAAUCUUAUAUUUCUUUGCGAAAGGAAGAAAAUAAAUUAUUUAUAACCUCGGAAUCAUGUGCGUCAUCAGAGUUGUCUGUCUGCUCCUGGUGGUCAUCAACAGCCACCUCAUCCUCAGAAGUGUCAUGACGCUGCUCUGGUGUUGGGUUUGGUAUGUCGUCAUGCUCGUUUGAUUGCCUUGUAAUGGACGGCAUCGCGUUAAUUGAUGGUUGGUGCUGUAUAAAGUAGCAUUUAAAAUUAGUAAAUGAAAAAUAAAAAAUUUCGAUUAAAUAAAUAAUAGUACUUAUAGGAUACCGACCUUAUGAACCCAGUCUGGAAUGUGUGGCAUGUAAUCCUUUACAGUGAGCCAAUAUUUUAUGCUACUCUCCUUUGUAUUCGGCUCAAGGGUUUGUAAAACGUCCCCCUAUCAUAAAUUCAAUCCAAAAUUUUAAGUAAGUAUAUAUAACUUAAAUUUAGUAACGUUAAAAAAAUAACUAAUACAUAUUACUUACAAGACGAGAUUCGUCGUUGAAGAACGAAUAAACCUCAGCAAAGUUGAUUCUCGAAGACCCCAUGGGCUUCCAUUGCACGAUGCGGGGAAUCUUCUUCUUCGUUUUCACGACCCAUGCUGACGGCAAACCUCCGAUCGCUUUGUAAAUCCAAGCCUGCAACAACCAAAGUGAAAAACCUAUUAAAACAACUAUCAAAUAUUUAAUACUAUAAAACUUAUUAAUAAACAAAAAAACAACGCACCUGAACCCCGGACAUAUAGCCGUAAAGAUUGUACUUUUCAAUGUUAUGAUCUAGGUUUUUCAACCGAGUCGUCUUAAAUUUCUCGUCUUUCUCGAACAGUGCAUUGUCAAGACUCUCGUAUAUCAUUUCCCACGACAAAAGACCCCAUGGAUGCUUUCGGAAGUACUCUAUAUCAUCUACUUCGUUAAGCGAUGAGAAAUUGAUUUGACAGUAAUUUUUUCUUGCAUUUAGAACUAUGUCCGCAAAAUAAAAUAGUGCAAUCUUUAAUGCGUCAAUAUCGUCCAUUUCCUCGAAUUUCAACUUCUUAAAUAAUGCAUCGAAUUCCUUAAGAUUGAUCUUGCGAUGCACACCACCAAAAUACGUAUUCCGUAGCCUAUGCACCGUUUUGUUAUUUCUUAGUUCGGUAUCUACACCAUAUGAAAGUCCAAUAACCAGGCACCAUUCUACAAUUGACAAGCGAAUCAAAUGCUCACCAAUUUGAAACCAUAACUGAUCCUCACGGCUAUCUUCUUCAUGGGCCACUUGCCUCAGUAAAAAAUUGUGCAAAAUUACCCCACUAAAUGAAAAGUUUCGACACUCCAAGAAAUGCCUAAAUAUGUCCUUCUUGAACAGAUUCAAUUGCCGCUUUGUUAAUUUUUUUUCGGUGGCUUUUACGACCGAAGAUAAAUUACACAUGCUCGAAAUUCGACCCGGAAAGUGAUCGGCGUAACGAAAAUACAUCCUGCCUACUUCGAUUUCUGAUGAUUCUGAUUUUUCCAUGUAUCGGUAAUAUUUAUAACAUUAUUACAUUGCAUUUACAACAAAAAUAAAAUAAAUUGACUUGAUGGAAAAAAAAAUUAAACCCACUAUAAUUUGGUGCGACAGCACAGCAAGCGCGUGCGCGCUGUUGCCCAGCGACGGUUCUACACCAUAUGUGCAGCACCAUUCAACCCAAAACAAGUGAAAGAACAAAUCACUCCCAAAACAACAACAACCACCACAAACACCACCACCACCACCACCAUUAUUCUCAAACUACAACCACUAUUAUUCUAAAAUUUCAUUUUAAAUUAAUGAAAUAUAAAUAAAAUGGCUAACUUAGGUUUUGUUGAAGGCUGUAGAUGGUAAAUUGGACGCCGAUAAUAGAUGGAGCAGCCGCCGACGAGGGCUGAUGUUGCCGCCGACUAUAGGUGUUUCUUCGGUUUGGGAGAGAUGAGUGAAAGAGAGAUUAUUGGGGGAGAGAUGUGAGAGGGGUAUUUUGGUCUCAAAGGUUUUUUUGUGGGUAAUGUUGAUAGAAAUUAGUUUGGGGGGUUAAGAUGGAAAAACAAAAACUUUUAUAGUUAUUGGUGUAAAUUUCCCAUUGUAUGUAAUACUUUAGAUUCAGGUAAUGUAGAUUGUGUAUACAACUUUCUAAUAUUCUGUAGAUCUCAAUAUAAAUACUUGUAAUCAACAAAUACAAUAAUAAGAGUCAUCAUUCUUCAUUUUCUCUUUGUUUCUCUCAUAUUUUCUCUUCAUCCAAACACAAUAUUCUCAGUUCUUGACUUGGUAUCAGAGUUGCAGUUUAAUUGUCAUGGCUUCCUUCCUUAAGCACAAAUUAAAAAAAAAUCAGUCUCCUUCAUUCUUUACCCUCACAAAUGCGAUCAAACUGGACAGAUCUAACUAUACGAUCUGGAAAUCUUAGAUCCUCUCUUCAGUGCGUGCCAAUGGACUUGAAGGCUUUCUUAAUGGAACUAAAAUUUGUCCAGAUCAGUUACUUACUCAAGAGAUUGAAAGUUAUGGUGUGUUGAAAUUGCAGUUGGUGAAAGCUCAGCUGAUAGAUCUUAGGAGAAUCCAGCCUUUGUUGCUUGGAAAAGGUAGGAUCAAUUGUUAUUAAGUUGGCUCAUGUCCUCCAUCAGUGUUGAGAUACUUAGUCUAGUGGUAAAUUCUGAUUCUUCUCAUAAACUUUGGACUAAUCUUGAAGAAAAAAUUGGAUUAGAAACUAUGGCUAAGAAAGCACACUUAAAAAUGAUGUUAAGCAAUCUCAGAAAGGGAUCAAUGACAAUAACUGAGUAUUUUGCCAAACUUAGAGCUGUAACUAAUAAACUUGCUCUAACUGGUAGCCCUGUUUCUACUCUUGACUUUAUUAUUCAUCUAAUCUCUAGAUUAGGCCAGCCAUACUACCCUGUUGUUUUGUAUAUUGAAGCUAUUGUUUUGUAUAUUGAAGCUAAUAUGAUGAAAAUAUUCGUCAAUGAAGCAUAUUCUAUGCUUUUAACUCAUGAAGCAAGAAUUAAAGCUAAUCAUCCAAGUGCAAAUAAAGAAGCAAAGUUGAAUUAUGCUGUUAACAUAGCUGAGGCUGGACCGAGUACUAAAUAACAAUAAGAAGUCUAGUAAUCAAGCUAAUUACUAUCAGGGCAACCAAGGUAACUGGAAUAGAAAUGCUCAUUGGUGUGGUAACAAUGGAGGAAGAGGUGGCUUUGGCAGAGGUUUUUCAGGGCAAGGAAGGGGUAAUUAGAAUAAUGGUGGUCAUUGGAACAAUGGACCUUGGAGUAGUAGUCGAGGAGGCUAUAAUGGUUCUAAUAUAAACAAUAUGACAUGGUUGCUGGUGAACCUGCAAACAUAACCACAAAAGUAAGAAGGCAUAAUCUUUUUAUAAGAAACUCAAAAAUGUAUUAAUGAUGAAAAUUUUAAAACAGAUAGUGGACCAGCUGUUCACUAAGAAAACAAAAAACUGAAUAUUUGUGCUAUAAAAAGGCACACCCAAUCUCACCCCUAUAAAAGGCUAGAAUCAACUACAAAUUCCUAUCUCAAAACCCCAUCCCAGUUUAGAUGAAUGAAGAAAAAAGAUGAAUCUUGAAACUCCUUAGAAACUGAAGCCCAAAGUGAAGCAAGAAGAUGAACUCUAUCCCAAGCAAGCAAUAUGGCAUAUUUCUCCAUUAAUGGUUCAAAUAAAGUGAAUGGCUUUCUCUGAUGAAUGGGAAAUUGUCAAGAUCAAUAGUCAAACUCACGCAAAGUAAACGGACUUAAUUCUCAGAGGCUACUCAUUCUAAGUCUUAAAGAAAAAUUUUCUAAUUUCUAAAGAUUAUAUGGGGAAAAAUCAUUAUUUUUUAACAUGGAAAAUUUGAUACGGUGUUUAAUGUCUGAUCAAAAUCAUAAUAUGAGUACUAACAAAAACAUCUUUAAUCGGCAUGGUGCGAGUAAAACACCAUCACUUCAUCUUUGAUGGAAAGAUGAUAAUAUAAGGAGAUGGUGAAAUGGUUUUGGUCCAUGGCAGCUUGUAAUCAAAAGAAAACAAAAAACUACACUAUCAUUAAUGAUUACCGAAGGUACAGAAGUAUCAAAAUCGGAAAGCAAACAAUUGCAAAACACAUCAAUGACUGAAGGUUAGGUUCUAAAACUUCCGUAUUUAAUUUUCAGAGCAUGUUAUGUAUUAUUCAGAAAUAUGCUUUCACUUCAGGCACUUGACCAAGACGCAUUAAACAUAAAACGCGGCGUUUUCAUGGACUAGUACAUUCCAUGCUUCGAAAGUUUAUGUUUUAGACUGAUUGGUUUGAUACAUUAUUUGUUUAUUGCGUUUUUCUUGCUUUAAAUAUUAUGUUGGAUUGAUAAGUUUUGUACACAUUUAUAUUGCUCGCAGUAAAUAAUUUAUGACAUUUAAAAAACUAUCAACCGUCUAUCAAAAGAUUUCUACUAUAAAUAUAUAUACACAAAAAACUUUUAAUUUGGUCAAUUUGUUCUCUUAUUUAUUUUUAUUCUAUUUCUCUUUUCCUUCCCUUUCAUUUUAUUAUUUUAUGGUACAAAAUAAAAAAAUAACCUUAAAAUUUAAGGGUAAAAUACUCAUUUUACUAAAAUUCCGUUUAAUAUUAUAAAGCUGUCAAAUGUCAAUGGCAUAGUACACGAGUGAUACAAAUUAAAAACAAUAAAUUGAAAGUUUUUAUGCAUUUUCCUUUUAUUUUUUUUAUAGCCGAUUGAGAUUCCCCUUCAUUUUUUUAAAUUCAAUAGGUUUAGACCGUUUAACAAAUCUUAAAUUAAAAAAACCCGUGGUGUAAUAACAAACUCACAUCAAACCCUGUCCACUGUCAUCCCUAAUUAUAUUUACCACUUCAUACUCACAGUGAUAAUAACUGUGUAUCACAAUUGAUUUUGCAUACGGGUAAAAGUUCCAAGUCCGGAUAUUUAGUUAAUGAAAUUUUAUGAAAAGGGCAUGAAAGAAAAUAAGAAAUUAAAUAAUACAGGAGGUAUUAAUCAUUACAUCUUUAGUUAAUGAAAAUUGAUGAAAAUAUUUCUGCAGACGUGAGCCGUAAUUAUAUUACCGUUAAGAAUGAAGCAGAAGAGUUUCCCCAAACAAGCUAAAACACAGCACUUCAAUUUAAAGAAUUUUUAUAUCACAGUACCAGGGCAAAAAGUUUAAUGCAACAACAUACAUUAAGUUAAUUCCAUAAUCUAUCCCCAAAGAAAGACAAACACAAGCUUAUAAGAUUAAAACUUUGGAAAACAUUAAAGAGUCAGACAAAAUUGUGUAAUCUUCAGAGUUUGGAGCCUAGUUCAUCCAGGAAAGCAAAAGAAAUAAUAAUAAUAAUAAUAAUAAUAAUAGUAGUAGUGGUUUGAUCUCAAAAGGUGGCAUCAAAGUGGUCACUUUGAGGUAUUGGAAGCAAUUACGUCUUCAACUUUGUCCUGAUUUCGAAGUCCCUUAACCCAUCCGCCAUCAAUGGAUUGAAUGCUUCCAUUCAACCCAUCAUCAACAAAAUCACCAACCCGUUUCACCUUCAUCUCCUUGGGCUUAACAGGGUACUUUCCACAGAAGCAAGGAAAACAAAAAUUCUGAGAAUCAUCGCCUAACAACUAGUUCAAGCUGUAAAUCGGCAGAAAAGCAAGCGAAUCACACCCAAUAAACUCGCUGAUUUCCUCAACGCUCAUCCUGUUGGAAAUCAACUCCUAAGUACUUGUCUGCUCUGUAGUAACAAGAAGCUAUGAUUGGUGGGCUUGCAAUUCUCAUGUGAACCUCUUUAGCUCCAGCCUCCUUAAGCAACCUAACAAUUUUUGAUGAAGUUGUUUCUCACACUAUCGAAUCAUCCACAACCACAACUCUCUUUCCCUCCAACCACAACCUUACAGGAGAGAGCUUAAGCUUGACACCAAAGUCCCUAAUUUUCUGGGAAGGCUCAAUGAAAGUUCUCCCAACAUCAUGUGACCUUAUCAACCCUUGUUGAAAUGGCACCCCGGCUUUCGCAGCGUACUCAAGUGCAGCCACCACUCCAGAAUCUGGUACUGCAAUCACGACAUCACACUCAACUGGAGCCUCGGUAGCAACUACUUCCCCAAAAUGAUACCUCGACUCAUAAACAGACCUUCCAAAAACAACAGAAUUAGGCAAAGCAAAAUAAAUAUGCUCAAAGAUGCACUGCUUAGGUUCAGGGUGAGGCAUCAAACAAGGUGAUUGAACCCCAUCUUCAUCCACCAUCAAAACUUCACCGGGAUAUACCUCUCUCUCUCUCUCUCUCUCUCUCUCGUAUGUGGCCUCAAUCAAAUAGUGCACAAGUCUCUGAUGCAAAACCAGAGCACCAUUACUCCUCCCACCCAUCACCAAUGGCAUAAACCCAUACGGGUCACGAACCGCAACAAGCUUAUCCUCAGUAACUUAUCUCAUUUAUGACUUAUUGUUGCAUUUAAGUGAUUUUGCAAAAAUUAUUUUGCAAUAAUAUUAUUUUUUUGACGAGUAAGUUUGAAGUAAAUAAUACAUAUGGCAAGUGUGAGGUUUGUUAUUGCAUAUAUUUUGUGGAUCCAUUUUAAAGCCAAAAAAAAGGCAUUUUGAUUCAUUCUGAUUCCAGAUAAUUUCAAGCCAUAUGUCAUUAUUGGGAUAAAAAUAAAGUAAAAUGGUUAAAACUAUUUUUAUGUAAUUUAUAAAAAUUAAUGAAGCAGCUACAAAAUUUUUUAAACGAAAAACAAUUGAAAUGUGUGUGGAAAAAGAAGAAAAAAAAUAAGGCAUUUAAAUAUCUUCUUAAAAAAUACGAUUGAGUAAAAUCAUUUUAACAGAAUGCUCUUCCAAAUGCAAUUCCACAUUAUUUUUAUUACAUUGGGAUAUUCCAAAAUUGGCACAACUCAUUAAGAAUUCGGCAACUCAAAUUUUAUUUAUCUCUCUUUGCAUUUGACAAAUUAAAAAGAAAAAAAAAUUCAUAUGUCUUCUGUUCAAAAGAAACCUUGGUAAAUAUUGUAAAACAAAUUACCAAUUUUUUUAAAUUUAUGCCAUUAUAUCGUCGCUAUUUUCUCGCCCACUUUCUUAAAAUACAAUCAAUAUUUAUUGAUGGGUUGCGUUCCAGAGUAAGCACCAAUUCAGCAAAAUGGUUUUAUAGCAGAAAAAGCACUUGUAAGACAUUCAGAACACAUUUUUCAAUUUUGUCUUUUGAAAAUGAGUCUUGAGUUUCCGCAAGCCAAGUAGAAUGGCUAAAAAAUGUAUGGUAUCAAAGAAAGAGAAACACACACACACACACAGAGAUUAGUGGGGAGAUAUAUAUAUGUGUGUAAUUUGUAUAUAUAUCCCCAUUAAUUGUUGAUAGUCCAACGGGUGAGUAUAUGCAAAAGUAAAAAAUUGGCUGUCCUUUAAGACAAGAUUGACUGUCACAUGAAAAUGUUAGCAAACUUGCCACACAACAAAAAUAAAGAUUCAAAGAACAACUUUAUGGUCCCCUUUCUGUCCAAACGUAUGUGAUCGAAAUUAGUGUAAACGACACUUGAAAUAUAUAUGUAGAUCCUCACACAAUUGAUUAAAUAUUUAUAGUAGGAUGAAGUGAUAAAUAGUUUCACAAAAUUAUUGGAAUUAAUUAUUUAAUACAUGAGAUCUAUCUCAUUAAGUAUAAAAGAUUGAGUGCUGCUUCAAAAGCAUGACGUUGCUGGCAACAAAUUUAACACAAAAAUUUAAUUAAUUAUCCUAGUUGAGAUAAUAAAAUCUCGUGUUGAAAACAAAAGGUUUGAGGUUCAAACCUUCUCAUUCAAAAAAAUCAAGUCAAAAUAUUACAUCUUCCAGCACAUAUCAAAGAUUUUUUCAAAGGCAGACUGAUAAUUCAGGGUAAAAAAAAACAAAAAAACAAAAGGAAUAUAUGCUAUUCAAGACAGGUAUACCUUGGACAUGAAGUCUGAAUCCAAAACAUGAAGCACCUAGCUGAUCUUUCACUUUCCAAAACCCAACAAAAUCUUUGUCAAAAUAUAUGAUCUAGUCCCAUAUUAAGCACAUUCAUAGCCAUAUCACCAGGUUCAAAAUAUUUUCCCCAAAAAGAGAUAGAGAUUCCAUUGAAGUUGAGUUGUGACUGUCCCAACGUUUUGUAAUUAUAUGGUUCAGGAUACCAUGCCUAUGACUCUUUUUUUUUUUUUUUUUCUGUUUCCAUGUUUCGAAGUCUAUCAAAUGAAAAUGUAAUUAUAUGGUUCAGGAUACCAAUAUGCCGGAGCUGCAAAGGUUGACUUCCACUAUGCUAUCAAUGUCUAUACUUUCUAUUGAAUUUCCUUGUUUUUUUUUUAAAUUGCAAGAUUUCUUUUUGGAAAUCUUUGACACAUUUUAUGUAAGAUACCAUAAAGCCAAAUACAACCUUUUUUAUUCUCAGCAGCAAUUUUUUUUUUCCUUUUAAAAAAAGGAAGCCAUAUAAAUAAUGCUUAAAACAUUAUUUGCAACAAGGAACAAUUAUUUCAUGCUUUCAUGUAUUAGAAACUUUCCAAAAAAGCUAGCAAGAAAAUGAAAUGGAACUUUACCUAGUCACAGAAUAUUGCUGUUAGCCCAAUUAUUGCUGUUAGCCCAAUUGUUAUGAAGUGGCUUCUGCAUCAGAAGAUUCCAGCUCCCACCAAGCAUUGUUAUCUCUCUUCUGAAUACAAUCUGCAUCGCUGGGCAUGAGUUAUAUCAUUAAUGUCUGCAUCCUCACUUACAUCAUCCCAAUCAAGUGCUUUUUCUCCACAUUUGGAUUAUAAGUCCAAUCUCUUCAAAACAUCCUAGUCCUUCCAUCACAACUGAUACGACUUCCUUCCUAAUUACUUUCCCAUUAAUAAAUCGCUCCAAGAAAAAAAAGCAUUAGCAAUUCUCUUCAACGCCCCAUCACUCAUAUCCCCCACAACAACCAUCUUCAGCCACCUCAACGUUGCCUCUUGAAAGAUCUCCACAAAAUCCGAAUCAUCCGACACAACCACCAAACACCCAAACCUUCUUUUGUCCACCAUAGCCACCAUAUAAUUUCUCAACAAAAUAUCGGCAUCUUGUGGCUUAACUAACACCAUCCUGACCCAAAACCAUGCUCUUUUUAACUCAUCUGCAAAACCAUAACCCACUUUUGGAGUCAAAAUUGCGCUUGCAGCCGUUUUAUUUUUUUCCAUCUUUAUUGAAUAGUUGCCAACCAAAAGCACUCUCACCUGCCCUCUAGCUGAUUCUAUUUGAUUCGACCUUUUCUUUUGUUCACCCUCAUGAAUUUGCCUAAAAUGAUUAACAAGUUUGUCAUUAUUAUAAAAUCUCCUUCCACAAUCACCAAUACAUACGGCUUAGCAUGCCUAAUUACACCCCUGAUUUCUAAUUGGUUAAACAAUUCUCUUUCUUUCUUUGCUCUCUUACAACUUGAGGCACAUAACUAAACGCGUGGCUAUUAGCAUUUGCCACCAUGCAUUUAACAACCCCAAAUGAAGAUAUUAAUUUUUUUAGUUUAAUUGCUGCUUCAAAAUGGGAUACUGAAUUUGGAUUUUGUUAUCCAAAUACCAAAAAUUUCCCAUAUUGUGCUGGACAGUUUUUGGUUCUAAAGUUGAUGACUGGUUUUGCGAAUCAGGCUUUAAAUGAGAACUUCUAAACAAUAAGACAAAUGAGUUUUGAGUUUCUAAUCUUGUAAACUUUGUUCUAUUGUAUAAGUUAUGAAAUCGCUGAAACAUCACUACAGCUACAGGUCUUUAUGUGUCAAUGAACUGCAGAAGCUGAUGAUCUACCUGUAGCAUACUUUUAUUGCCCCUGCCGUUCUAGGAAGACAAACAAGUUCAAGAACUACUUCUGGACCAAACUCAUAAUAUUGCCAUUGCUUUGUGCCAAUCUGAGAGGGAAAGCAUAUUGAAGUUCCUAAAUAAGGCAAAUCAUGAUUUGACAGAAGUACCACUAUGAGGAACAAUUGAUUUCAGGAAAGCACUAAAAUAUGACAUAAUCUCCCCCUGAUGGUCUAAAGUAGUCAAGAAAUGAUAUCAACCAAGUAAAAACACAUAAACUAGUUGAGAUACAAAGUUAUUGUAAAAGUCAAUUUUGAUCACAAAUCCAUUAAAAUUAAAAGACAUCAGAAACAUAGAGAACAUUAUAAUUUAGGACUCAGCUAAGUCGCAGAUUCUGUAACUAACAGCUAAGUCCACAUUGGCCUUGCAUCAACUGAGUUUGGGUUGCUUUUCAUCUCUCCUUCAACGCGUGGAAGCGCCCCAUUUGCUGUGUUAUACAGAGUCGGUACCGUAGCGAGCUCCUAUAAUUUAAGUUUGAUCACUGUAGACAAUAGUCUGCCUCUGCUCAAAAGCUAUGCUGCAAGAUAUAACGUCUUUACAAUGUUAUACUUUCUAAAAGUAAUAAGAAAUGAAACCAAGGGGUAAACCGAACACCAAAAGAAAUUUAGUCGGCCAACUACAUUAUGUUCCCACACAGUCCACUAAUUAAGUUAAUAAUUAAAGGGAAUCAAAAUCUAAUAAAUCUCAUCUUCAAGCAGAAUACAAACACACCGAGAUUAAAAAUCACAAAAUCAUAAAAAGAAGCUGACUUUAAAAGCUCAAAUAUACGUUCAUCAGCCUCUCAACUUAUAUCUAAGAACAAAUGCCUGCAGCUUGUGAAGACAUAGAUAAUUGAAGCUGAUGAGGCAUAUUUAACAGAUGAUAAUCAAAACUCGUGUGAUUAAAAUUAUAAUUCAAUAAUCGAGCACAUAAAACAAGAAGUAACUAGUUGUAUACAUACCAAACAACAUUCUGAAGUUAAGGCGUAAAACCACUAGUGUAAACAAGCGCUAGUGUCAAGAACUAUUGUUAAUAACUCAAAAACCACUAGUGUCAAGAACUAGACUAAUAAGUGAAACCCAUAAUCAAACACAACUACAUCAAAAUCUCUGAAAAUUGAGGUCUAAACAUUGAAAACAAUUAGACAUAUAUAACAGUCAAUCGAAACAAAGCCUCAAAAUAAUAAUGAACUACAAUAAGACAGAACCUAAAUUGUAAACAAGCGCAUACCCAGUAACAAUAAUCAAGUAACAAGUCAAAACCAGAAUCAAACGUAGAAUUUUGAAAUCCAUACGAACUCUAACGUAUUAGAAUGAAAGAAUAAUGACGAUCGAUAAACUAGACUCAAACAAAAACAUGCCCAGUUAAAAAACGAAGGUAAAUAAAUAAAAAUGGUAUAAAAUUGCGAAAAAAAUUAAUGAAAUGAAGAGAAAAUCACAGGAAUCCUAUGAAGAGGAAGGUAAACAAAACCUUCGGGAGCCGAGAAGAUGCCUUUUUUUGUUCACUUUUGUGCCUAUACAUACAUUUUUUUUUUUGUAAUUUUGAAGAAAGUAUUGGUUAAAUAUUGUCAGAACGAAAUAUUAAUAGAUGCUGGCAAUUUCAACAAGGACAAUCUUCGAUUCAAAUGUACCCUUAUGAUAAAGAAAAAGCCAGCUUGUCUAAAUUUUGAGCAUCACAUUACAAGAUUUAGGUGUAUGUUUAACUAUGCAAAAUGAAACAUCUAUUAAUUGUAAGACCAUUGACCUCUGGAACCAGACAACCAGACUCUUUCCUACUAGACAACCUUCCAUUGAUCAGACUAAUAAUAUUUACUAAAUCAAGUUCUACAGUUAAUGAAGUUGGACCAAAGGCAAUUGUUAGCUUAAUGUCAUAGGCCACUCAAAUUUCUCGUAAUUGGAGGAUAAUUUUGUGCACAUGAGUUCGCUUAGCAAAAGUCCGCCUAGGCGUGGAGUGCGCUUAAAGGCGGGAUGCACUUAGAAGUGGGAUGCACUUAGCAAAUCAUUCAAGCCCAACCCAAGAUCUAAAACUCUAUGCAAAUUAUAAAUAAGCUAAAAGUUUCUAUGUUUCUCCACAUAGUUCCCUAGGAUAUUUAUGAAAGUUGCUAGGAAGUUUCCUCCCCUAGAACUCUAAUACCUAUAAAUAGGGGUGGGCCCCCUCAUUUGCCCACCAACCAUACCACACACACAAACACUCCAGCACACACACAAACACUCCAGCACACACACAAGCUCUCUAACUUUUGUAAAAAGCUCUCUUGUAUAUUCUCUCUUUGAGAGUAAUGAAAUCAUAUUCAGCCAUAUUGCUCUACUUCUCUCUACCAUUUUCCGCAAGUGUUCUUGCUUUGCUAGUUUGAGGAGUGUUCUAGGCUUGCUUAGCAACUUGUUUGCUACAAGGACAUCUUGGUCACAAAACAUGGACAUGCAAGGAAAAAAAAAAGAUAUUGAUAUGUUCUAAAAAUAAAACGCAUUCUUCUACAGUGAACCAAAAAAUUUAGGCUAAUGGUAGCAAGUGAAGGAAUUGUGAUUUCACGUGCAUUUUGUUGACAUGAAGGUAAAGAGCUUUUUUAUAGUUUAUAUUGUUUAAUAUAACAUUUGAAUUGCAAAAUAGGGGUACAAAAUGGAUACACGAAGUGAUAAAACUAAGUUGAUUAUGAUAAAUAUUGAAUUAUAAGAUUUAGGUUUAAUCAUAAAGACAUAAGUGGCGCACAAAGUCACGAAUUAUCAUCCAUGAUGUAAGUUCAAACAACUGCAUAAUAAGUUGCCCCAAGCUAAACUAUUAAUCUAGUAACUAUUCUAGUCGAUGUGGGAUAAUUUUCAUAUCACCUCUAUCACGUGCAAGCCGAAUUUGUUGCUUGGUCCUUACAUGUGGUAAGGUAAUAUGAAUCCACUUGUGCAUAAAUUUGGCUCCGAUAUUAUAUAGAAGCCUAUGACCCAAAAUUAUACUUAAAGGUUAUUUCAAGAUUUGAGGGUUGCCUCAAGCUAAUAUUAUUAUUAGCCUGGUAACCCUUUUUUUUGUUGAUAUGUGAUAUUUUCCCUAUAACUUUUAUUAAUCUUUAUGCUUAUGUUUUGUCAUUUAUCCCAAAAUAUAACAUUAACAAAAGUUCCAAAAUUUCCUUCAAGAGAUAUAUUUGAGAAAAGUAAUUUGUGCAAUAACUUUGUGAAUUGAUGAGCAAAUUCAGAGAAAAGAAUAUAUGUGCCAAACGUAACGUUUAUUAUUGUGUUUAUUUGUAGAGCUAUUUAAAGCCCAAAAAAAAAAGCACGGGUCCACUAUUAUUUCAAAUAAGUUCAAGCCCUAUGUCAUUAUUGGUACAAAAAUGUAUCAGAAAGGUUAAAAAAAAUUUUUAUUUAACUUAUAAACUUAGGAAAUUAUCAACUGUCUGCCCUUAAAUUGCACUAUUAUAAAAAAUAUUACAAUAUUUUCAGGUUGUAUCUACCAUAAAUUUACAAUUGCAUCAUUUAUCCACCAAAUCAUUAACUUCGUUAAAAAGUGAUAGACGUCACAAGGGUAGUUCAGACAUUUAACACACAAAAAUAAAAGAGAAAUUAUCUAAGCUUACCAUGUUAUCAAAAUUGCUACAAAAUUUUAAAUUUGUUCAAUUUUUCAAUCUAAGUUUAUGACCUCCAAGAUAUUAAUUGCAGUUUGUAAUUAAUGAGUUCAUAAGGAUAAUUUAGACACUCAAUAUGCAAAAUAAAAAAGGAAAAUUAUCAUUUGUAUACCUUAAAGUUGCGCUUUUAUAAAAAAUAUUACAGCACUUUAAUGGUGUAUCAAUCGUCCACCUUAAAUUGGCAAAACUUAUCUACCGACCACUAAACCAUUAGCUGCCGUUUGAAAGUUAACGGAACUGAAGCGAAUUGACGAUUUUACCCUUGAAAAUUAUCACUUGUAUACCCUUAAAAUCUCUUAUUAUCAAUUAUAUACUCUUAAAUUAUCACUUGUAUCUAUGAAAAGACUAGAUUAACCCUUUGACGUCAUCAUGUUUAAACGGCAACUAAUGGUUUGCUGAACGACAAAUACAUUUUGUCAAUUUAGGGUGGACGACUGAUAUACCCUGAAAGUAUUGUAGUAAAUUUGAUAACGGAGUAAACUAAGGGUAUACAAUUGAUAAUUUCACAAUAAAAAAUAAAAUAAUGGCUUAAAUUAAAACAAAAAACUUGAUAUUCAAUUAAAUACACAUAAACUCUAUUUUUUUCUUAAUUAAAAAUAUUCUAAUUUAGUUUCUCAAUUUAUCAUCAUAAAUUUACAUUAAUAAACUAAAUCCACAAAUUACCCUAAACCCUAAUUCAUAAAUGCCCAAUCAAUCUAAUACUUUAAUUCGAUUUCAUAAUUAAAAAAGCUAAAUUUAUUAUAUUAGUUAUGGUGCAAAGUAAAAAAUGCCCUUAAAUUCAAGGGUAAAAUAACAUUUUAUUUAAAUUCUAUAAAUUAUUCUAACAAUGUUAACAUUUUGGUGGACGGUUAAUAUAAGUUACAAACUUAAAAUAGAAAAUCAAAUAAAUUCAAAAUUUCAAACUAUUUAGAGGAAAUUUAGGAUAUAUGGUUAAUAAUUUUCCCAUGUCUUUUUACAUUGGUUGAUAUAAGCUACAAACUUAAAAUAGAAAAUCAAAUAAAUUUAUAUUUUCAAACUAUUUAGGGCAAACUUAGGGUAUAUGGUUAAUAAUUUUCAUUUGUCUUUUUAUGUUAAAUUGAAUUUCAAAGGUAAAAUGAUCAAUUUAUUAUAAUUCUGUUAAUUGUUUAGUGGAAGCAAACGAUAUAAUGGACGAAUGAUAUAAAUUGUAAAAUUAAGGUGCAUGAAUGAUACAACUUUAAAAUAUUGUAGUAAUUUUAAUAAUAAAACAAUUUAAGGGUAAUGAUACAACUUUAAAAUAUUGUAGUAAUUUUAAUAAUAAAACAAUUUAAGGGUCGAUUGGCAAUAAUUUAAACUUUAAUGAAGCAACUAAAAAAUUUUUUAACAAAAGAAAAAUAAUUGAAAUGCUUUAAGAAAAAUAAAGGAAAUUAAAUAUCUUUAUAAAAAGGCCAUCAAUUUAGCCAGCAAUUUUGUCAAAAUUUCAACAAUUGAAGAAACAAUGAUCACAAACGGAACAUGUGAAUUUUGAAGUUGAAUAAAUCUUGAGAUACAUACAACAAAGCCUUGAAACUUUAGUCUUCACAAUUUGAGCACGCACUAAAUAUUAAACAAGUAUAGAACAAAGCUUAUUUUUAGCUUCUUGUGCGAACUGAACGCGCUGAAAUGUGUGUUUUUUUUUUGGAUUUUUGGAAUUUUUUAAAUUCAUUUAUGUUCGCUGCCAUCUUUUUCUUCGCUGGCGUCUUCCUCCUCUGUAGUUUGCUGUGCCUAUAUAUCCAACCAAUAAAUUGGGCAUUAAAUGCGAAUGAAUGAUGAAUAAAAUGAUUAAAAAAAAACAAACAGAGAAAAUUAUAAUAUAACACAUAUAUUGAAAGAGAAAUUUUGAUUUUAGGAUAGAUCAAUUAGCUAUCACAAACGAAAAUAUUAACCAACUAUGUAUAGAGUCAAUUAAUUUAAAGUUCUCAAGAAUUACCUCUGCUCCAGAAUUCUCGGAAUCAUCUUCUCCUUCUGAACUUGGACGAAGCUUGGGACAAUUACUAACAAAUACAGACUCGGCAGAUGGAAAUGGGAUCUGAUAACCCGCAGGCCAAAAGUUGGUGAGGUUUGGUAAGUCUUCCAGUCUCAAGUACCGAAGUUCAUUCAUAACAAUUUCAUUGUAAUCCGUGACGUCUGCUCCAUCUUUAUGCCAGAAUACUUCUUCUAAUUCAUCAUUACCUAUUAUGUAUAGGCGCGACAGUUUUUGAAGACUUGGAGCUACGCUGAUAUGAAAUAGAUGCUUGAGUUUGAGGCAAUAACUGACAAUGAUGAUUGUGAGUUUUGGGAAACAUACAGGUUGGAGAUGAUCCUCAUCCUCAUCAAUGAUUUGCUCUAAUCCCAAGCAGUUAACAAUACCUAACAUCUCCAAUUGCAACAGAUUUCGAGCAAGUGUUGAUGAGAAGAGACGUCUCAGCAUAGUGCACCCCUUUACAGUUAAUCCAGUAAGAUUUUGCAGGCUAAAAUUAUGCGCGGGACCUUCAUGAUAUAAUAAUACUUGCAGUUCUGGAAGAUCUUCCAAAUGCAACGACUUCAAACAUGGGAAUAGUUUGUUUUCUUGUCCCUCAGCGAUAAUAGCUUCCACUUGAAAUACCACCUGUACUCCAAGUUCUCUAAUAUCCAAUCCUUCCAAAUUUUUUAAUCCGUGCUUCAACAGUGCUGGAAUCGUGUCACUCAAAUGGGAACAAUUGGCCACAUCUAGAGUAUUUAAGUUCUGAGACAAAUAAAUAAAUAACUUGAUGCAAUUAAAAUCUAUUAGCAGCUAGGAUUAUCACAUGAUAAGUGAUGAACACCGCAAAAAUAUCAUAAUACAUAUGUAAACUAAUAAAAUAAUUAAAAAGUAAUGGAUUUUUAAAAAAAAAUUGAAAUUAGUUAAAAGAGAUCAUGUGAAGUGUAUAAAUGUGACAUUAUAUUGUUUGAGAAAAAUUAGUAUUCUAUUAAUUUCUAUCGAUUGAUCAACUAAUUAAUUGAAUUUGAGUAAUAUAAUAUACACUUUAGUAGUGUUUGCAUCAAUUCUUUCUACAGCGAAAUGAGAUAUGACUUUCAUUUGAAGAAUGAUUUUAGGCUCUAAAAUAAAGAAAUUUCCUUAAGAUAUUUGAGCAUUAUUAUUAUCAUCACCACAUCCACGAUCAUCAUCAUCUCCAUAGGACCAAAUAAUUAAUGGCUGAUCAUAAAAUUUAUUGCUAAACUAUUAUUUCGAGUAAAAUUGAAGGAAAAGAAAAAACAUAAACACAAACGAACAUACCUCUCCAAGAUACUGCAAAUUGGCUUCAAGUUCAGUAUUGUUGACAGUCAAGUUGGGACAUUUAUGAAGGUCUAACUGUUCCAAUGCUGGCCAAAUUGAACAAUAAUUUUCUGAACAGAAGCUGACGAGUUCUGGGAGAUUUCGAAGUGUUAAUUCUCUUAACAAAGGGAGGGCGAGCAUCGUAUUUCCAUCUCCGACACUUAUUUCCCCUUCAUUGUGAUCAAACUUUGCUUCGACAAUACAUUCUAGCCUGUCGCAAUAAGUCACACUGAGACAUUUAAGCUGCUCCAAACUUCGGGCUUGUGACAACGUGAAGAUAUAUGUCAACUUGUUGCACCUUUGCAAAUUCAAUUCUGUGAGAGUUUGGAGGCUGAUCACAUGUUGGGCGGGCGUCUUCCAUAUCCACUUCAGUUCUGGUAAUUCCUGCAUAAAUAACUCUGCUAAUCUUGAGAGCACCACAGGAUUCCCACUCUUUCCAUGUGGCAACUUAGAGGCGCCCAUUAUGCAUUCUAAAUCCUCACAUUGUUUGACAAAUAGACGAGUCAACUCAUUUAAGCCCCUUUCAUCUAUGCUUGGCACAAUAUUAUGACAACCUAUUAACCCCCUCAAACGAAGAAAUUUCAGAUUUUGAUACAAUGCUGAAAAAAUAACGAGCGAGGUCGCUUCAUGAGGGUAAUUCUCAAUGAUUAAGCUCCUUGUUUCAUCACCAUGUUCCAUGUCAUGAGCAGAUAAUUGACCAUUACUGAUGACGUACCUUUGCAUUUUCGGGAAUGUAAAGUCUUUUGGAAGACAUAUAACUUGGGAGUUCAACUCAGCAAGCCUAGCAUUACUUUCUUCUGAACUCAUCCCUUCAACCUCCCAAUUUUUUAUCCGACCAUAAAAUUCUUCCAAUUGAGGAAAUUUUUUUAUCCCAAUGGGAGAAACAGAACCGGUAUCAAUAUAUAGAAGUUUCAAUCUACGAAGUUCAUCCGACAAUUCUUCAAGAAUUUUAAUGGGAGACUUCUCGAGAAAAAGAAGUUCAAGCCUCUUCAACUUUCCAAGGAAAGACGCGUCACUCACCUCACAUCGAAUCAAUUGCAGAACCUGGAGGUUGGUGAGGAUCUGAAGCGAUUUAAGUGAAAGAACUCCACCUAUUAUAGUGACAACUUUCAAUGCUGGCAUCCCUUCAAAAAAAUGUUCUGGAACUUGCAAUCGGUGGUCGUAUUCAGGAUUCUCCAAUCGCAAAAUAUGAAGGUUAGGGCAUACCAAACCACUAGGAAGCUCUUCUUUUUUAUUUCCCACCAAAGAAAUUCCUCUGUAUUGUUCCAGGCCUUCUUUCAUUGCCCGUUCAGCCAAUCCAAUGCCAACUUUACUAAAAAAUUUCUUCUCCUCUAGAACUAUUGAGCCUAUCCAUAUGGCUACAUCACGAACUAUGUCAUGCAUUUUCACAGAUCUGUCAUUACCAUUGUCUAACAGCAGUGACGCAGCUUUGAGCGCGUUAAUCGUUCCAUACAGUCGGCUUCUGGCGUUUUCUAUUGACGGAUCACAUUGAUACCAAAUAACCCCCACUGCGUAUCCAACCAAAUCCUCCAAAUAAAUCUCAUAAUCUUCUGGAAACAGAGAACACAACAAGAAGCAUAACUUGGACUCCUCACUAUUUAAAUUGUCGUAACUGAAUUUGAGACAACCGUAAACGUCUUGGUCAUCCUUGUCAAUACCUUCUAUUGCAUAGAGUUUUGCUUCCCUUAGGUUAUAUAGUGCUAGAUUCCAAUCAUCAAAUCCUUUUUCUAUUAGUGCACUUCCAACAGCUUCAAUAGCUAAAGGCAGCCCCUUACAUUCGUCAGCAACUUGUUCUGGAACACGAUCCAAGGAGGAGUCGUUUACAUUAAUACCGGCAUUCAUUUUUAGGAGAGUCAAUCCUUCUUCUGGCGUUAGUGUACUAAGUUGAAUCUGUGUGUCACAACCCAAAGAAUCACAAACUGACUUUUUGCGAGUGGUUAGAAGGAUUUUGCAACAAUUAUCUCUACCACCGACGGUAAUACCUAAUUUUUUCUCCAAGUCGAGCUCUUUCCAGACAUCAUCGAUGAUUAUGAGGAUCUUGGUGCUUUUACUGUCAGAAAACAUCGAGCGCAAUCGGUCUGCUCCAUGUUUUUCAUCUUUCUGUUUUAAUUCCCAACCUAAUGAAUUUGCCAGCUCGUUUUGAACAUUUAUUAUGCUUGGAUCCUGAGAUACAGUGGCUAUCCCCACCAUAUCGAAAAUGUUUUUUUCCCGAAGUUGAUUGCCCACAAAUUUUGCCAGGGUUGUCUUUCCUACACCACCGAGACCAUGCAAUCCCACCAUCUUUGUGCUCUCUUUUUUCAGUGCGUCAAUGAUCUGAUUGCAAGCUGAUUCUGUGGUCUCGAAAAUAGAAGUAAAAUGACUUGGCAAACUUAAUUCUCUUUCUAAUGGUAGAGGUUUAGGAAAGGCAACUGUGUUGAAUUGGCUGCAGUCUUGUAGCAGAUCAGACAACUUGCUAGUCUUCUGUGAUGCUUUUCUACCCAGCCAAUAUCGGCAACACCAAUUAGGACACAAUCCAUGAAGACUACUAUCCUUUUCAUCUAUCUCUGCUUGCAACUUCCAAACAUCGUCCAAUUCUUCGACUCCAUUAUUCAGCCACUCCAUUACAUUUCCAUUGACUACUAUGUCGGGGCAUUUUCGUAGCUCAUCGUAUAUUCUUGUUUUGAUGCCAUCUCGUGCCUUCUUCAACUUAGUUUCUUUAUCCUUAAGUUCUUUAACAAUGCUGUUGAAACAGAACAUAUAGCGAGCUUGGUCAAUUGCUGCAUUCACCAAUAAUUCUUCAACCUUUGAUUUUAAAGCUUCCAUGCUAUUUAUCUGCAAAUAACGAAGUUGAUCUCAGCACGCUAUUAGCAAAACAACAAGGCUUGAUCACUAGACAAAAUGAGAACGUUUAAUUACCUUUUUCUGUACUGUGAAUGCACGUCUAUUAACACCAGCUUUGACCAAUAAGAGCAAAAUGCAGAGGCCGGGGGGGGGGGCUUAAGAGUUUCAGUGGCCUUUAGCUGCAAAACGGAAGAUGACAAAUAAGGUAAACGUUCCCAGCAAACGUGAUUUACGGUGAAUUAUAUUCAAAUUAGAUUAUUUUAAAAGUUGGUAAAUUAUUUAUCACUCUAUCUUAAUGAUACCUUAUUUGGGAUGGUAAAGAUUGGGGGUAAACUCCCUUUUAUUCUCACAUGUUUAUAGUAUUUAUAUUUUUAUAAAUUACCUAAAACAUCCACGUCACUACUUUUAUGGCUAUUGAACAUAUCAUUUCAAAUAUAAAAUACUAUUUCGGUCUAAUAUAAAUUAAAAAUCAAACAAAUCUAUUGUGCAAUAAAUGAAAAGUAAAGAAUAUUAAUUAGGUUUUAAUGGAAACAAAUAUAAAACAUAGAGGUUUUGAGUAACUUUUGUGAUUUUUUUUUUAAUGUUCAAUUUAGAAUUGAAUAAUUUGCAUAAUGAAAUUUUGAGGUUUCUAUAAUUUAUAUGAAGAUAAACUGAAAAAUAAGUUUAUAUGCCGAAAUUAAAAUAGUUAUAUAUUAGCAAUCAUAUAAUUAUCAAAAAAAUUAAUAAAAUUUAUUUAAAAAUUGGCCAAUUGUGUUUCAUGAGGAAAACAGAGAGCAUAAUGGACUUAUGUUGGGUCUUGGGAUUGAAGGACUAAGGGCAAGGGGCUGGGAGGUAGGACGGUAGGAAAAUUAAUUUUUUUUUUUUUUUAAAGUAUGGUCAACAUUAGUGACUUGGAGGUGAUUGCCGUUAAUCAAUUACCUUUAACUUAAGAAUUAAUACAAAUAAAUGGCAAAAAUAAUUUAAUGAAAAUUAAUUUAAUAAAAAAUUGCACUAAAAACUUAGAACUCAAAUUCUCGAUCAUUUUAUCCGUACGUUUUAAUCCGACGCUCAGAAUUGGCAUAAAACAAACUAAUAUAGCCAUUGGAAGUAAAACAAACAUCAAAUCAAGAGCCUAUGAAACGAUAAUAUCUCGUACCUUCUUCCUUAUAGAUCCUCAAUUGCUGCUGAAAGCUGCAUAUGACAAUAUAAAUAAACAUGAGAUCAAAACAUCAUAGGAUAUAUCUAACCAAUUAACAUCAUAUAUAACUCCUUGUUCUCAGUCAAAUCUUUCAUUCUUAGAUUAAAAAAAAAAGAAAUAAUAACUGUUAAGUGAUAUAGGAAGCAAAAGUAACACACCGAAAUGAAAGCAGCAAGUUCACAAAUGACAGAUGCGGUGACUUCAAGAGCAUGAAAAAUGAUUAAACUUUGGUAGAAAGGUCUGAGCCGUGUUUCACAAGUUGCUAUUGACUUCGUGGCUUCGCUUUUAUUUAUUAUUAUUAUUAUUUUUUUAAAUUCUAUAUCAGUGAGAAUUGAAAUGUGGAAAGUGUAAUGAUACACAUGCCUUAUCAUCUAUCAUGAGGGGUGAUUUGGUAAAACCGAUUUAAAAUAAAAAAAAGUUUAAAAAAAUUGAAAAAAGAUGCUUUGUGUCUGACUGCCUGUAUUUGGGGUAUUUUUCGGGUUGUUGAGAGUCAGUUUAAUUAAAUAUAAGAUUUUCAUUUUUCUUAUUAUAUUUUUCUCUUUAGAAUGAAUUUAAAUCUCAUUCUUAUUAAAUCCAUUUUUUUAAAUGAAAGUAGAUUUCUCUCCACACAUUUGAGAUAUAUUUUAAAAUUAAUGUUCAGCAUAUCUCUAAAUUAUAUUAUAAAUAUUUUUAUUUAAAAUCUCAACAAAUUUCAUAACACACAGAGAGAAAUACAUAUAUAUGUUGUAAUGUUUUAAUGAUGGAUCUCUAAAGUUGUCAAGUUAAAAAAUAAAUAAAAAAAUAAAAAAUACACACUUCAACUUAUUAUAUGAUAAAAUAUAGUAUAUUAAAGUGAGUAUUUUUUGUGUGAAAUAAAAUUAAAGUGAGUACUAUUACCACCUCACAUCUUAUAAAUUCUAGAAAAUAAUCAAGGCUUGACAUACUUUUAUUUAUGCAAAAGCAUAAGAAAAUAAUUCAAAGUAAUAAUUAGUGUACUAUUCCUCAAAAUUCUAGAAUAGAUUUGUUAGUUCUCUUUAUCUAUAGAUUGGUCCAUGAUUGGCAUCGCAAUAGCUCAGAAUCGCCUCAACGAUUGUUCCACACGGUCCAAGUCUUCUUAGCAAUAGUUUUAGAGAAAGUGUUUAGUAGUUCCAAGUCUUCUUUUUUUAACACAAAUGUUGGCAUGAUAUUCUUAAUAUAUUUUUAAAAUCAAAAUAAGAUGCAUAGAGGACAAUAAUUUUAUUUGAUAAUUGAUUUUUUUGCAAAGAAAGUUUGAACAUGAGAGUGAUGAGAGAUGAGAAUAUUGAUGAUGGUGUGUACUUUAGAUGGAAAAAUAGAUUGGAAAUAUAUAUAGACAUAUUAAAAGAAAAAAAUUUGGUCUAUUUCAUAAGAGAAACAAAAAAUUAUAAACGCAGGUGUUAAAAUGUAUUCAGAAUUUAUAAAUUUUUAUAAAUAUGAUAAUCAUUAGACCCUUAUAAAAGUAUAGCAAAAAGUUUAAAAUUUUUUAAUAAAUGUCGAAGAGAUGGACGAAGAAACCAUCCACCAGUUCAGAAUUAAUAAUCAAAGAUAUGAGGAUUCGAUCGAAGAAAUGGUGAAAAAUAAAAGGUCACGGGAUUGGUUAGUGGGACCCUAACAUUAAUGGUAAAAAAUAAAAGGACACUGGGUUGCUAUCAAUUUUUACAGUGUAGGUUCAUAGCCGGGGAAGUAAUUGGGCACAAAUAUCUCGGAUGAGAAAUAUCCAUUUUAUCCCGCAACUUUAUGUUUAUGGCCUCUAAAAAUUUUCACCUCUUUCACUUCUGGAACCCGUGCUUUCUGGCACAUGCACAAUACUUGGUUGCUACUUAUAAAGCGUUUUUACAAUUGCAACGACAUGGUGCUCUUUGAUAAUUCAAAAAUCCAAUAUAAUUUAUAGAGAAUUACAGAAUUGUGGUACGUGAUAAUUUGCUGACGCAAUGAGGCGCCUAAAUUCUUAUACAUGGGAUUUAAGUUAAAUAUGUAUAAUUAUGUAAUUAGAAAAUACUAGUUGGGGGUAUUUGUGUCCAUGAAAAUUUACAGCUGGUUGUUGACAUUACACUGCGGGUGUGUAAGUGUAAUCAUGGAUCUGACCAUUCAAAUUAAAAAAUGGGGGUCCCACUAACUUACGGAGUUAGUAAUUAUUACAUAUGCAGAUAUUCUCCCAUACGAUAACCUUAUCAUAAAUUUAAAGGAUACGAGGACUUGAUUGAAGAAAUGAAUGAAUAUUUGAAUUAAAAAAAAUUUAUAAUAAAGACAAGUAUUAAUUUACUAUGAAUGUAACUUACAUAUGCUGUAAGUUAGCGGGACACUAUUGAAUCACAAGCAAAAAACAAUCUGUCUUCUUCUUGAUUCCGUAAUUUGGCUGUCAAAAUGUAAUCUAUAAAGAUUACGAUACCUCGAUUCAAAAAAAUAUUUUUUUUUCUUAUGAAAUAAAUGAAAACUGAACACCAUUCAAUUAACCGUUUAUUUCCCCUUAAAUUUUUAAUCUCAAUGAAACAUAGAUCUAAUGGGAACUACACAUAUAUAAAAAUACUAUAGAUUGAAGAAGUUGAAUUUUUCUUGUGUGUUAAGUAUUUUUGGUUAAUACGAAAGGAUUCUAGCAAGUUAAUACAAAAGUAUCAUAAAUUCACUGUAGUACAAGAUUUUUUUUUUUUUCCUUUGAUGUUAAGAGUUUUGGAGAUUAAAAAAAAAAGAUGAAAGAAGAAGAUGAGAGAAGAAAAAAUAUUAAGAAUAGUUUUGGCAUUUUGAUGCGUUUUAUAGAGUAAAAUUUAUAUUUUAUAGUAUAAAAUGGUACACCCAAAAUUUAAUGAUAAAAUUUUAGGAAAAAAUUGCACUCGUCAAAAAAAAAAAAGAGGCUCAGCUUAGCCCAAAAUUUUUUUAUUAAUCGUCUAGUCACAAAUGUAAUCUCUUUUUUAUGAGAUUCUUUGGCGUUUUAAUUUAGUCCAUUGUUAGCAAUCCUAAUAGCUUUUAUGUGCACCUAUUUUUAUGUGAAAUAUGUUUCAAGCUUGAAUAAAAUCUGCGGGACAACUGGUAAGUAAUAAAGCUCAUCAUUUUUUAUUUUGAAAAUAAAGGGAAUCACUUACACUUUAGCACGAUAUUAUUUUUGAUAAGUCAUUUUUUGGAUAGAUUAUUUUUUCUGACGGGUAAUUUUUAGGACCUCUCCUGAAAUUUGAUGUAUUAACACUUAGAUGAAAUGUAUCCAUAUAAUUACAUAUACCUCCCCUAUUGUUAAUAUAAAAAUAUGUAUAGCGUCAGAUAAAAGGGUAAAUAUGUAAAAAUAUAUUUAAAAUUAAAAAUAUUUACUUUUACCAAAUCAUUAAAAUUUUGACCCACUUGCCCGCUGUUGGCCCAACCUUGACCAGCCGGUCAUGGCUCCACCGGCGACUGGUGGUGGUGCUUUGCCACUGCCGGAGUCCUCUCCUCACACCUGCGACCAAUCCCAUUCACGGCAGCCUUUGAAUCAACUGCAUCAACCAACACACAUUAACACAAGUACACGGCUUUUUGAAGUCUCUUUUGUUUUGCGUUUUCCCUUCACUGAGAAAAUUUGUCAGCUAAUAUAAUAAGCUUUGUUGCCUUAGAUUUGAGAUUACAGAGUCCUGAGCAGAUGUUGUGGCUGUGAUGUGGGUUUUAUUGUAUUUGACUAAUAGGCAAAAUACCUUUUAUUGGCCUACAAGGACGGUGCCUUUUUCUUCUUGUUGGGGAACUUCGUGAAGAAUCCAGCUUGCUUUUUUCUUCCUUUUCUUUCUUCAUUUUAAUUCAUUUUUUAAUUUAUAAUAACUUUUUGAGAUUGAAUUAUCGGCUUCACAUGUAAACAAUGGCAUUUGGUAUGUCACAAGUGCAUAGUUAUUCUUAUUUUUUAAUUUAUUUUUUUCUGAUGUUUUUGUUGCUGGAAUUAAUUUCUCAAGGUUUUGGCAUCACUCCCCAUUGGAUUUGCUAUGUUCAUGGUACAAUUGGCCACAAUCCCAAUCACUCGCACUGGAAUUAACCCAGCAAGGAGUCUCGAAGCUGCUGUUAUUAACAAUAAGGACAAGGCUUGAGAUUGACCAAUGGCUCUUUUGGGUGGUGGUGCUUUGCCACUGCCGGAGUCCUCUCCUCACACCGGCGACCAACCCCAUUCAAAGCAGCCUUUGAAUCAACUGCGUCCACCAACACACGUUAAUCCAAGUAUGCUUUUGUCUCAUCAGAACCCCCACACCCCCGCUGCCCCUUUGGCAAUCGCCGACGCCACCCAAUAGCGGCUAACAUCACCCUUGAACCAUCCCGAUACCAUGCCGCAACCUCUAGCAUCCCAAAACCCAAACUGCACACAACUCUCAAAACCCUUGCUCGAGCUUGUCACGCCGCAUACCACUGCCGUAAUUUGUACCAACAGUGAUGGUUCCAUAUCGUCACUGUCCAUCCCCUCAACCAACCCCCCAUGCAACCCCGACCUCAAUAACAUCUCAACAACCACGAACGCACGAUUUCUUCAACCUGCACUUACGGCCACUUUUAAUGAAAUUCUCACUGCCAACGGAAUUCUCAAAGUUAUAUAUAAUAAUUUAUUAUUUCAGCAGCAAGGAUAGUUUAAUAAUUUUAAAUGUUUAUUAACGGUCAUCUUAAUUAGUAACUAACGGCAGGGGAGGUAUAUGUAAUUACAUAAAUACAUUCUAUCUAAGUAUUAAUAAACCAACCCUCACAGAAGGUCAUUAGAAAUUAUCCUUUUUCUGACAGGCUCUUAGAUUUGGGAAAAUAAAUUGUGUACUUUUAAUGAAGAAAAGUAAAAGAUCAAUAAAAUAUUUUGUUGUUUUCGACAAUUUUUGCGUUGUCAAGUGCGCCUGGUACCUUUUUUUUUUUUUUAACUUUUGAGUUGUUGUUUAAUUUGUAUUAUAAUUAAUUAUCAUGGACCCACGUGCCACUGUUUCCAUUUCAAGUUUCAUAAUUUAACAGUGGAAAUGGGUUCCACAGAUAAUUUAUUUUAUAAUUUUUUAAAAAAAUUAUCAAAAUGUAAUAAAUAAGGUAAUAAUAAUUAAUAAAAAGUAGAUUUUAAGAUGGAAAAAUCUUUUUGUGUACUUAAUAAAAAGAUGAUAAGAUUGGGAUGCUUUUGGUUUACAUUCUCAUAGCUAUUUCUACUGAAAAAUUACAUCAAAAUUUAAUUAAUAAAUCAGUGAACUGCAGACUUAUUAAAUUUAAGCAAUUUUAAUAAGUCAUAAAUAUACUAAGUUAAAAUAGUAGUAAACCCAUCGUUACACAAUUCUCUCCAUUGAAUGUUCACCACUUUAAGAUAAUCAUAAAAUGACACUGGAUGUGCUAUUAUCUGUUUCAUUAAAAGCCUUCACAAAAUAAAAGGCCGGUGAACAAAGUUGGUCAUAGAAAAAAGGAGCAUAGAGCACAUACAUCCAGUUUUUAUAUCCUCUGAUACUGAGUCGUCACAUGCUAAUGCUAUAGACUAUAUGAUAAUCUACUAAGGUGACGCAUGCCAAUGCUAUAGACUAGCUUUUCAAAGGUUGAAGUGGGUAUACUUUUAGUAAAAAGACCUGCAAAAUUAUAAUGUAUCUAUUUGACAUCAACUUUUUUUAUCUGCUGGAGCUUAUGAUUAUAGAAGAUCUUCGGUAAGAUGUGUUUGAUUUUAUCUUCUUUUAUAUAUCCUCCUCUAACUUGUGUAAUAGUAGUAAACCCCUGCCCGUUUUUAUUUCGUUUAGUAUUUUCUAAAUGGCCGAAGGAAAAUUGGUAAAAACUCAUUUAAAAAUAAAAAAAAAUCAAAGAAAUUCAAGAAGAAGCUUUCUAUCUGCCAUUUGUAUUUGGGGUAUUUUUUUGGUUGUUAAGUGAAUGAGCUUAAAUCUAAAACAUUUAUUUAUAUAUUUCUUGUUGGAAAGAAUUUAAAUUUUAUUCUUAUUAGACUUAUUCUCUUUAAACAAAGGUAGAUUUUUCUCUAUGUGUUUAACGUGUAUUUUAAAAUUAAUGUUCAACAUAUCUUUAGAUUCUAUUAUAAAUAUUCAUAUCUAAAAUCUCAACAGAUUUCAUAAUAUAUAAAGAGAGAGAAUAACGUUUCUAAUAAAAAAUUUAUUAAGUUAAAGAAUAAUUCAAAAGAUAAAAUAACACACUCCAAUAUAUUAUAUAAUAAAAUAUAUUGUAUUAAAAUAUAUAUUUUGUUUACUUUUUUUAAUAUAUCUCCUAAUAACUUAAGAAAUCAUUUAUUUAACUAUAUAUAUAUAGAGAGAGAGAGAGAAAAAUGUUCACGAGAAACCUUUAAAACUGCAUGGUUUUAAAUGUUUAAAAUGUAAGAACCGAUGAACAAUUUUUGACAAAGACGUUGCGACCUAAGUAGGGAUAGCAACUAAAUUCGGAUCCAACUCGGAUAUGUAAGGAUCCGAAAGAUCCAGAUCCAGAAAAUUUUUUAUCUGAAUAUUAAAAAAUGUUGAUCCGGAUAUAGAAAUUUGGGAUCUGCACGUAUUGGGAUGGAAGUACAUUCGGAAAAUUGGAUAACGAGAUCUAGAUAACUUUUGUUUCAAAUUAAAAAUAUAUAUUAAAAAUUAAAUGAAAAAUUAAAAAAGUAAAUUUCAUUUGUGGAUUUAUGAUGUUGUUGUAUAUUAUUCAUGUUGAAUUAUUAAUUGCUGGAUAUGAUUGAAUUUUUUUUGAAAUUAUUGGGUAAAUUUUUGAAUUUUAUUUUAAAUUAAAAAUAUUUAUUAAAAAUUAAAUAAAAAUAAAACAUUAAAUUUUAUUUGUAAAUUUAUGAGAUUAUUGUAUGUUAUUCAUUUUGAAUUAUUAAUUGUUGAAUUAUGAUUAAAUUUUAUUUGAUAUUAGUAGGUAAAUUAUUAAACUUUCAAAUUAUAUAUUAAAUUAUUUAAUUAUAAUUUUUACGGAUCCGAAUAUCUAGAAUAUCUGUUCGCAUCCGGAUCUACAUAUUUUUUUACGAAUCCAGAUAUAAAAAUAUGAAUGUGGAUCCAAAUUCGGAUUUUGCCAACCCUAAACCUAAGCAUGAAUGUGCCUAAAGUUUUUACUAAGAACAUGGAUCAUUCAAUGACACGACAUGUUUUGCAGCUCUCAUUAGUAUAAUUGAAUAAUUAAUUCAUCUCUAUAUUCAGCUUACACCGUCUCAAAUUGCAUGCAAAUACGAAAGUACACUUUUGAAUCGUUCACUUGAGGAAAAUUAGAUUCUCCACGUAGAAUUUAGAUUCAAAGCAUAGCAAAUUAGACAUAAUUCUAAUUUAUAUGGGAAAUAUAAUUAGCGAAGACACUCUUUAUAUAAACAUUAUUGUCAUAGGAUGCCAAACCUAAUAAGAUUCAAGAUCUUAACAUACUUCAUAUGAAAUUUGAUCUUGACGCGUACCGACACGCAUAACAUCAAGACUCUACUUCAUAUAAUGUAACUUCAUGGAUUUUUCGCUCUCUUGUGAAAUUGACAAUUAUGGGCGCUGUGUGGCAGUGGUACAUAAUAAAAUAAACAUUUAUUUUUAGAAUAUUAUUAUUUAUCUCAAUUUUUUAUUUAAUAGUUAAUUUUAAUCAAUUCUUAAACUGUCAUAAUCAAUUAAUUUUUUACAUUAUGGUAUCUUAAAUAAAUUUUGGAUCUGUAAUAAAUAAAAACUGGUAACGUUUGUUCUUUUAAAACAUAAAACAACCGUAACAUUGGUUUUUACAUUUUGAAUUUUUCUUGCAUCACUAUUUAGAAAAAUGAUGUUAAAUCAACUCACAAAAUAUAUCAAGUCAUCUAAAAUCCAAAUAUUAUUACAUUUGUAUUUGUAUUGUUAAAUUGUUGGAACGACGGCAAAGCAAUUGAAAAGAGAUUAACAAAAAAGUAAAGAUUGGCCAAGGAUUAUUCAUGUUUAGGAAAUGCCUUAACUUUUGAUAUAAUCAUUGUUAUAAUUAUAUUGUAGAAAUAAUCAAUUACCUGUGUUUAUGUUGGUCUCCUUUUUUUCCAUUUCUGUACAACGAAAUAUUUGCAUGUUUUGAUAGAAAUUGGUUUAAAUGACAUUUAAAAUUGUAUAUCCCCAGACAAUUAACGAAAUAUUUGGAUGGUAGGAUGAAGUAAUAAAUAGUUUUACAAAUUACCAUAUUAGAGGUAAAAAAAAAUAAAAUCGAGAGGUUACUUGACAAUUAUGACGUUACUAACUACAAAUUUAACACAAAAAGUUUAAUUAACUUUUCUUUUUGAGAUGACAAAAUCUCUGGUGUUGAAAACAAUGAGGUUUGAGGUUCAAGCUUGAAUAUUAAGUUACAAUUAGUAGAUGGUCUUAGGACAUAUCAAAGAUUUCUUUAAAGACAAAAUAAUUAUUAUAAGCAAUAGGAAAUUAUGGUAUUCAGAACAUGUAACCUUCGCACAUGAAGCUUGAAUCCAGAACAAGAUGCAGCUAGCCAAUCCUUCCAACUUCCAAAAACCCACAAAAUCUCUGUCAACAUGUCUGUUCUACUUCAAUAAUAAGCACAUUCAUAGCGGUAUCAACAGCUUACAGCGCCAAAAUAUUUUCCCCAAAAAGAGUGAGAGAUUUCACUGAAGCUAAGUUGUGACUUGUGACUGCCCAAAUGUUCUAUAACACGAUAUGAUUAUUCUAGUAACAUCAACAUUUGCAUCCUUCUGUAUCUGUCUGAGCUCCUGAAGCAUGAUACCCGGUUGCCCAGCAAAAGAUGCAGCUAUCACAAUGAAUAAGGGAACAAAAUAGAUAACAAAGUCACAAAAACAAAGCUAAUCACAAUGAAUGAUAAGGUUUAGAGUAAACAUAAAGUUAUAAUCUUGAACAUAAGUGGCGCUCUUGAGGAAAAAAAAAAUUCAUUCUAACACAACAGAAUAAAUUGUAAAGAAAUCCCAGUUUGUAUAAAAGAAAGAAAACAAAAUUAAGGAAAACAUAAGCACAACAAAAUUUGACUGAUUAUUAAAAAUGAGAAAUGAGUUAUAAUGAGAAUUUUGGCUUUGUGGUGAAAUAAAUUGGGAAGUAUCCAAAGUUCGCAUGUAAAUAAUAUAAAUGAUAAGAAGACGAAGGGAACAAAAUGAUAAUAAGCAAGCCAAAUAUUAAAAUGCAGAUUCUACGCUUCCGCCCCCCCAUACUUCAAGUUAGUGUCUCGCUAAUCAUUUUAGAUGUAUCAAUUACAAAGGGAGGCCAUCUAUUUAUGGUAAGCGUACGCCUCUAAUGCUUUGCCAAGUGUCCAUUGAUAAUAUCACAAGGGCAAUUAAAUUGGUGUAUGUGUAUUACACCUCCUAAAGUCAUGUUAAGAUAGUUAGUGAGCUGAUAAAGUUUGUUGCACGUGUGAGUUGGUUAAGUCUGCUAGAAAUGCAAACGUGUAAAGCUGAGUCAGCAAGUUAGUUAACGUUAUUAUGAAUGCUUAGAUUCAGCCCACGUGUAUUGUAUGUAAUACUUAGAUUCAGGUCACGUAGAUUGUGUAUACAACUUUCUAAUAUGAGUAAUGAUACAGCCACAAACUCUUGUACAAACUUAUUUUAUACAAACUGACGUGAUAUUUAAUUCAAACUGAUGUGGGCCAAGUGAUAUUUAAUUCAACCAAUCUUAUCAUGCCACAUCAGUUUGUACAAAAUAAAUUUGUACAAGAGUUUGUGGCUGUAUCAUUACUCUUCUAAUAUUAUUUAGAUCUCAAUAUAAAUACUUGUAAUCAACAAAUACAAUAAUAAGAGUCAUCAUUCUUCAUUUUCUCUCUGUUUCUCUCAUAUUUUCUCUGCAUCCAAACACAAUAUUCUCAGUUCUUGACUGGUAUUAGAGUCGCAGUUUAAUUGUCCUGGCUUCGUUAAGCACAAAUUCAAACACAAAUCAGUCUCCUUCAUUCUUUACCCUCACAAAUGCGAUCAAAUUGGACAGAUCUUACUAUACGAUCUGGAAAUCUCAGAUCCUCUCUUCAGUGUGUGCCAAUGGACUUGAAGGCUUUCUUAAUGGAACUAAAAUUUGUCCAGAUCAGUUACUUACUCAAGAGAUUGAAAGUUAUGGUGUUGAAAAUGUUGUUGGUGAAAGCUCAGCUGAUAGAUCUCAGGAGAAUCCAGCCUUUGUUGCUUGGAAGAGGUAGGAUCAAUUGUUAUUAAGUUGGCUCAUGUCCUCCAUCAGUGUUGAGAUACUUAAGUCUUGUGGUAAAUUCUGAUUCUUCUCAUAAACUUUGGACUAAUCUUGAAGAAAAUUUUUGGAUUAGAAAAUAUGGCUAAGAAAGCACACUUAAAAAAUGAUGUUAAGCAAUCUCAAAAAGGGAUCAAUGACAAUAACUGAGUAUUUUGCCAAACUUAGAGCUGUAACUAAUAAACUUGCUCUAACUGGUAGACCUGUUUCUACUCUAGACUUUAUUACUCAUCUAAUCUCUAGAUUAGGCCAGCCAUACUACCCUGUUGUUGUGUAUAUUGAAGCUAAUAUGUUGAAAAUAUUUGUCAAUGAAGCCUAUUCUAUGCUUUUAACUCAUGAAGCAAGAAUUAAAUUUAAUCAUCCGAGUGCAAAUAAAGAAGCAAAGUUGAAUUAUGCUGCUAACAUAGCUUUGGCUGGACCUAGUAAUAACAAUAAGAAGUCUAGUAAUCAAGCUAAUUACUAUCAGGGCAACCAAGGUAACUGGAAUAGAAAUGCUAAUUGGUGUGGUAACAAUGGAGGAAGAGGUGGCUUUGGCAGAGGUUUUUCAGGGCAAGGAAGGAGUAAUUAGAAUAAUGGUGGUCAUUGGAACAACGAACCUUGGAGUAGUAGUCGAGCAGGUUAUAAUUGUUCUGAUAUAAACAUUAUGACAUGGUUGUUGGUGAACCUGUAAACAUAACCACAAAAGUAAGAAGGCAUAAUCUUUUUAUAAGAAACUCAAAAAUGUAUUAAUGAUGAAAAUUUUAAAACAGAUAGCUGACCAGCUGUUCACUAAGAAAACAAAAAACUGAAUAUUUGUGCUAUAAAAAGGCACACCCAAUCUCACCCCUAUAAAAGGCUAGAAUCAGCUACAAAUCCCUAUCUCAAAACCCCAUCCCAGUUUAGAUGAAUGAAGAAAAAAGAUGAAUCUUGAAACUCCUUAGAAACUGAAGCCCAAAGUGAAGCAAGAAGAUGAACUCUAUCCCAAGCAAGCAAUAUGGCAUAUUUCUCCAUUAAUGGUUCAAAUAAAGUGAAUGGCUUUCUCUGAUGAAUGGGAAAUUGUCAAGAUCAAUAGUCAAACUCACGCAAAGUAAACGGACUUAAUUCUCAGAGGCUACUCAUUCUAAGUCUUAAAGAAAAAUUUUCUAAUUUCUAAAGAUUAUAUGGGGAAAAAUCAUUAUUUUCUAACAUGGAAAAUUUGAUACGCUGUUUAAUGUCUGAUCACAAUCAUAAUAUGAGUACUAACAAAAACAUCUUUAAUCGGCAUGGUGCGAGUAAAACACCAUCACUUCAUCUUUGAUGGAAAGAUGAUAACAUAAAGAGAUGGUGAAAUGGUUUUGGUCCUUGGCAGCUUGUAAUCAAAAGAAAACAAAAAUCUACACUAUUAUUAAUGAUUACCGAAGCUACAGAAGUAUCAAAAUCGGAAAGUAAACAAUUGCAAAACACAUCAAUGACUGAAGGUUAGGUUCUAAAACUUCCGUAUUUAAUUUUCAAAGCAUGUUAUGUAUUAUUCAGAAAUAUGCUUUCACUUCAGGCACUUGACCAAGACGCAUUAAACAAAAAACGUGGCGUUUUCAUGGACUAGUACAUUCCAUGCUUCGAAAGUUUAUGUUUUAGACUGAUUCGUUUGAUACAUUAUUUGUUUAUUGCGUUUUUCUUGCUUUAAAUAUUAUGUUGGAUUGAUAAGUUUUGUACACAUUUAUAUUGCUCGCAGUAAAUAAUUUAUGACAUUUAAAAAACUAGCAACCGUCUAUCAAAAGAUUUCUACUAUAAAUAUAUAUACACAAAAAACUUUUAAUUUGGUCAAUUUGUUCUCUUAUUUAUUUUUGUUCUAUUUCUCUUUUCCUUUCCUUUCAUUUUAUUGUUUUAUGGUACAAAAUAAAAAAAUAACCUUAAAAUUUAGGGCAAAGCUAUGGUACCACAAUUGUAUGGUACCACAGCUGGAUCCAACCAUUGGAUCUAUCCCACAGUUGUCACCAGAAUUAGAUCCAAAGGCUGGAUCCAGCUGUGGUACCAUACAACUGUGGCACCAUAGUUAGACCCUAAAAUUUAAGGGUAAAAUACUCAUUUUACUAAAAUUCCGUUUAAUAUUAUAAAGCUGUCAAAUGUCAAUGGCAUAGUACACGAGUGAUACAAAUUAAAAACAAUAAAUGGCACCCCGGCUUUCGCAGCGUACUCAAGUGCAGCCACCACUCCAGAAUCUGGUACUGCAAUCACGACAUCACUCAACAGGAGCCUCGGUAGCAAGUACUUCCCCAAAAUGAUACCUCGACUCACAAACAUGUUGAAAAGUCAUGCACAUGACAUUCAAAUUCAAAAAUGCAUGCAAAAUUUCAAAUGGCUACCAAACAUUUGAAGAAAAAAAUGAAAAGUUGGCAAAUUUGUCAAAUUUGAGAAAUGGACACCAUUGACUAUUGGCUUAGGUUAGGUGGAAUAGUAAAGGGGUUGGUGCAAUAGUGCUAUUAUUUUUCCUAUAAAUAGAUGGCACUUAUUCCAUUCUUAAGCAUCCCAAAAUUGUUAAGCUUAUAAGUUUCUAAGAUUUUAAGAGAAGUGAGAGAAGUGUGUCUGUGGAAUUUAUCUUUCCUGCAGAGUGUGAGAGUACUGGGUAUAUUUAGGUUUUUGGGAAGUGAGAUUCGUUACUCAAAUAUUGUACUCUAUUAAUUGUUAAAUAAACAAUUAUUCUUUCUUACCUCCGUGGAUGUAGGUUUAAUUACCAAACUACGUAAUUCUUGUGUCCUUUAUUUUUUUGUAAUUAUUUGGUGCGCUUGAUUCCGCAUUCCGCGCACAACAAGUGGUAUCAGAGCCGACGGUUCGUACUUGGGGAGAUACGGUACUGUUCACGUAUACGGUAUUAUUCCCGUAUACAGUACUAUUCACGAAUACGGCGGAGACGGCCAUUUGUACUUGGGAGACAGUCUAUUAUAAGUAGUGUGUAUUUUUGCAUGUCUAGGAAAGUUUUGUCAACAAAGGCGAUAAGAGUCUAAGGAUUCUGGUUUUUAAUUGGGACCGAGUUCCCGUCCAGUCUCCUGAAAACUUUCCUGGUGCAUUUAUUCACGUGAAAUUAACAUUAUAGAGACUGUUUUUCAAGUGGAAAUAGUUCGUUGAGAAAAUGGUAGAAGGUGAAACUUCCAGAAUUGGGGAGAGAUCUACCGAGACUAUUUCAGGAGACACUUCAGGUGGGAGGCGAGAUUUGUCAAAUCGCUAUUCAGCACCUGUUAUAGGAGGCUAGAAGACCGAUGUUGAAAAGUUUGAUAGGAAAAUCAACUUCGGCAUGUGGAGGCGCGAAGUUAUGGAUGCCCUUAUUCAAAUUGAUCUCGGUGUUGUGUUGUUGAGAAAGAUCGAUACCAAAGAUAAUCCAUCAGAUAUAUUGAUGAAGGUAGUUUCUGGAGUUAAGUUUCAACAUUACUUGAAAUUAAUUCAAAUCCUUCAAUUGUAUUAAGAUAUGUCCUUCGGGAAUUAUGAACUACGGUUGGCUUGAUCCCAAAUUUUGGGUACGUAGGCAGUCGAAUCGACACAGCCAUUCUGGAUCCUUAUUGAAGGAUCACUUUGGGGAUGAGGGUUCAUUGGUAGUUGGCUCAGAUUUGGACAAAUUUUCGUCGAGGUGGAGAAUUGUUGAAAAGUCAUGCACGUGACUUUCAAAUUCAAAAAUGCAUGCAAAAUUUCAAAUUGCUACCAAACAUUUGAAGAAAAAAUGGAAAGUUGGCAAAUUUGUCAAAUUUGCCAAAUGGACACCAUUGACUAUUGGCUUAGGUUAGGUGGAAUAGUAAAGGGGUUGGUGCAAUAGUGCCAUUAUUUUCCCUAUAAAUAGAUGGCACUUCUUCCAUUCUUAAGCAUCCCAAAAUUGUUAAGCUUAUAAGUUUCUAAACUUUUAAGAGAAGUGAGAGAAGUGUGUCUGUGGAAUUUAUCUUUUCUGCAGAGUGUGAGAGUACUGGGUAUAUUUGGGUUUCUGAGAAGUGAGAUUCGUUACUCAAAUAUUGUACUCUAUUAAUUGUUAAAUAAACAAUUAUUCUUUUUUACCUCCGUGGAUGUAGGUUUAAUUACCGAACCACGUAAUUCUUGUGUCCUUUAUUUUUCUGUAAUUAUUUAGUGCGCUUGAUUCCGCAUUCCGCGCACAACAAAACAAACCUUCCAAAAACAACAGAAUUAGGCAAAGCAAAAUAAAUAUGCUCAAAGAUGCACUGCUUAGGUUCAGGGUGAGGCAUCAAACAAGGUGAUUGAACCCCAUCUUUAUCCACCAUCAAAACUUCACCGGGAUAUACCUCUCUCUCUCUCGCUCUCGUAUGUGGCCUCAAUCAAAUAGUGCACAAGUCUCUGACGCAAAAACCAGAGCACCAUUACUCCUACCCAUCACCAAUGGCAUAAACCCAUACGGGUCACGAACCGCAACAAGCUUAUCCUCAGUAACAAACACCAUUGAAUAAGCACCCUCAAGCUUCUCACAAACAUCCAUAAUCCUCAAAAAGAACGGCCUAGCUUUCGAUAUCGGAAUCAAAUGGAGAACAACCACAGUAUCAGAACUAGUAUUGAAAAUGGAUCCAUUAUCUUCGAGCUUAGCCCUCAAAGUAUUAUAAUUAACUAAUGUGCAACACCAACAGAACCAAACCUGUACCCAGCAACAAAAGGCUGCACAUUCUUAAGCAUAGAACUACCCGCAGUCGAAUAUCUAACGUGACCAAUGGCCAUAUCACCCGGCAUUUGAUCAAGUUUAGACUGAUUAAACACAUCAGACACUAAACCAACACCAGUAAUAGACUGAAGAACUUUGUUAUUCACAGCAACUAUACCUGCACCUUCUUGGCCGCGAUGCUGCAUCGCGUGUAGCGCCAAAUAGCACAAACGCGAGGCCUCUGGGUCACCAUAGAUGCCCACAACACCACACUCCUCACGGGGCUUAUCGUCGUCAUCAUCAUCAAAACUGCCAAAACCGUCAUCUGGGUAUUCUUUAUUUGUGGUGAAAAACUCAGAGAUGGGGUUUUUUUGAUAGAACAGUGAAGUUAUUUUUGUGGGUUAAAGAUUGUUGUUUCUGAGGAAAAAAGGGGUUUUUUGCGGGGUUUUGGAGAAAAGAGAAAGAUGGGUUUUUUGCGACGGCUUAGGGUUAGCAGAGGGAGAUGGGUUUGAGAGAAGGCAGAUGUUGGCGGUGCCUGUUGUGGUGGCUGCCAUUAAUGGCUGAAUUUAUUUUAUUUUAUUUGUUUUGGGUUGCCUUGCUCAAAGAAAAAACAUAGGAGGUGUGUGGAGGGAGACAGUGGCGAAGGGUACUUUAAGUAGAGGGGAACUUGUUCUAGGUUUUUUUCUGGAAUUGUGAGGGAAUCUGAUCCUGGGUUUGUGCAUAUGAUUCAAUUACUUAUAGGUGAUACUGUUGUGUCACCACAAAUUCUAAUUGGGAAGCUUCAGUUGUCAAAUUUUUUUCCAAGGGUUAAUUAGGUAGAACUUUCAUGUCGUCGAUUUUAUUUGGAGAUUCUAAAAGUAGUUUCCAAAAUCAACAAUGUGACACAGAUGCUUUAGAUUUUUUCCCUUGUGGGACAUGAAAAUUGAUGCAUGUUCCAACGCAUUGCUCUAUCAGAAUUGGAAUUAAACUUAGGUGCCGUUUGUUUUUUUGUCUGAAAUCUGAAUAGACUUGAAUUAGUCUGAAUUCUGAAUAGGUCUAAAUGUCUGAAUCCGAAUAAUAUGUUUGUUUUUUCGUCUGAAUCUCGAAAAAUAAGUAUUAAGUUGUUUUUUUUUUUUCAACUUAAAAAGCUGAAAAUAUGUACUUUUACAUUUGUAUCCUUAUUAAAUUUGAAUGUCAAAUAAAUAAUAUAUUAAAUACCACAAUAUUUUAAUAUUUAUAAAUAAAACUAUAUUCAAGUGAAUACAUAAUUAUUUUAGAAUUUUAAUAUAUAAAAUACCAUAAAUUUCAAAUUUUAUCGUAUAUAAUAUAAGAAAGAAAAAACAUGGAUAUUUUUAUAUGGGGUAAAUAUCUAUAGGUAAGUUUUGGGAUAAACAUGAAAAAUAAAUUAUAAAACAGAGAUAUUUUUGACAUUAGCAAGUAAUUGACUUAAUUCAGAUUUCUCCAUUAAGUAAAAAGCCAAAAAAAUUAGCUUAUUUUAUUAAGUCAAAAUUAUCUAAAAAGUCUCAUUAAGUUAUAAAAACAAACACCUCUAAUUAACUUAAUUAAUUAAAUUAAGUCACUGUAAGUCAUUAAGUUAAACAACAAACGCCACCUUAGUUUGUAUUCUCCUAUUCCGAAAGCAAAACUUAUAAGUGAUAUUCUAAGAAGAAGAAAUUAAGAACCAUAACAAAUUUGAUGAUUCUAAUUUGCUAGAAAUAUUGCAAUCCCAAACUAAGAAAGUUCAAACCAAUUAUUUGAAGAAAAAAGUAGGACGGAAGCUCCCAAAAUAUUGUUAUGUGUUGUAUGUUUUAGUUUGUGUUUCCCAAUCAAUAAGGAAAAGUAAGUACACAUGUAACAAAAAUUUAAUAAAAAAGAUUGGAGGUGACAAAACCGUCAAUCUUCUAAUUAACUUUCUCUCCUUUCGAAUUUCCUCGAGUUUGGUAGAGACUGCUUAAGUGGUAUAUCUAUUAUAAACACCUGAAGUCAAAGUUAAUAUUUUAAUUGUUAAGAAAAGUUAGAAAAAGAAAUUUUUGUAUAAGAGAAUUGAGUUUAAAUUUAGAAUUCCUUGGGAGGAAAUGAGUCUAAAUUCCAAUAAUAUAAUUAAACACUAUUUAUAUAUAUCAUUAGUUGGGUGAAAAUUUAAUUUCCAUCCUUUGAUGUGAAAAACUCUCUUGAUCAUCUAUUUUCAUAUGAUGGUAAUUUUUUGUUUAAAGUGAAGUUAUUGGCACCCUUUCAUUAUGCUUAUAAAAUCCUACUUCAAAUAAAAUUACACUUAAAGACAAUAGAAUUAAAUAAUAUAAUUUUUUCUUUAAAACAAAUUACUCAUCUAAUUUUUUAUAGGUUGCUUUGUAUCAAAUUAAAAAAAUUUUUUACAAAUUUAAAAUAAUCUAUUUUUUUUUCAAAUUUCUUAUUGAUUAAAUAUUUGUGUGCUUAAGAUAGCUUUAAAAUUAUAAGAUAAAAUAUAUAUAAUUUAAGCCAAUGAUUAACAUUAAAAAAUUUAUCUCUCAUAAAAGUUUUUAAUUUGUGCGUAGGGUAAUAAUAAAAUUGCAAAAGAAAUGAAAAAUAGCAAAACACUAUUUUGAGUUUAAACAAUAAAAAAAUUAAAUGAAAAAUUAGAAAUGUAUUUGAAAAAGGAUAUUUUUUGAAAAUAAAAUAAAUAUAAUUUAAAAAGAAAGAGUUUCACGAGGGGUGCAAUAGUUCAACUCUUUUGUUUAUAAGUUUUAAUGUGUUGGUAUCCUUAGCUUAGCUUUUCCCUAAUUAUUAUAUUAAAAUGUAACAACAAUGAUGAUCAACCCUAAUUUCAUGGAGGUCAAAGAUUUUGGUCAUGCCGCAUUAAUUAGUUCGGUCAUACUUUCUACAAAUUUAUUUACAUUUAAUAAUUUGCCCAAGACUAGGUAAGGCGCCGCCUGGAGUCAUAGAAUUUUAUAUGUCAAAAGUGCGUUUCACUUCAAUUAAGCUAUAAAUGUCGUUUAAUAUGCUCAUUUUGUAUUUUUUUUUAAAAAGUUUUAUUAAUUUUUAAAAAAAUAUUAUUUAUUUAUUUAUUUAUUUUUUUAAAGGUAAAGAAGUGGAUAAAGUUCAAAUUUAAUUUUUAUCCCUUACGUCAUGACCCUUAAGAUUUGAACUUAGGUAACCAAACGUAUAAUAAUAAUAUCUCAAAUUUCAUUUCAAAUGAUAUGCAAUAUAUUAAGUGAUUGUUAAUUUUUAUAAGAUCCGAGUGAAUGAAUUGUAUUAUCUCACUAAUUAAUUAAUGAGUGUCAUAUCAUUUAUGAUAACUUUUGUAUAAAAAAAAUUGCAUGGAUGAAAUAUCCUUUUGAGAAUUUAAUGGUUUAUCUCAUUUAUGAUUUAUUGUUGCAUUUAAUGAUAUUGCAAAUAAUUUUCUGAUAAUAUUAUUGUUUUGACGAGUAAGUUUGGAGUAAAUAAUACAUAUGGCAAGUGUGAGGUUUGUUAUUGCAUUUAUUUUGUGGAUCUAUUUAAAAGCCAAAAAAAGGCAUUUCGAUUCAUUAUGAUUCCAGAUAAUUUCAAGCCAUGUCAUUAUUGGGAUAAAAAUAAAGUAAAAUGGUUAAAACUAUUUUUAUGUAAUUUAUAAAAAUUAAUGAAGCAACUACAAAAUUUUUUUAAACGAAAAACAAUUGAAAUGUGUGUGGAAAAAGAAGAAAAAAAAUAAGGCAUUUAAAUAUCUUCUUAAAAAAUACGAUUGAUUAAAAUUAUUUUAACAGAAUGCUCUUCCAAAUACAAUUCCACAUUUUUUUUUAUUGCAGUGGGAUAUUCCAAAAUUGGCACAACUCAUUAAGAAUUCGACAACUCAAAUUUUAUUUAUCACUCUAUGCAUUUGACAAAUUAAAAAGAAAAAAAAUUCAUAUAUCUUCUGUUCAAAAGAAACCUUGGUAAAUAUUGUAAAACAAAUUACCAAUUUUUUUAAAUUUAUGCCAUUAAAUCGUCGCUAUUUUCUCGCCCACUUUCUUAAAAUAGAAUCGAUAUUUAUUGAUGGGUUGGGUUCGAGAGUAAGCACCAAUUCAGCAAAAUGGUUUUAUAGCAGAAAAAGCACUUGUAAGACAUUCAGAACACAUUUUUCAAUUUUGUCUUUUGAAAAUGAGUCUUGAGUUUCCGCAAGCCAAGAAGAAUGGCUAAAAAAUGUAUGGUAUCAAAAGAAAGAGAAACACACACACACAUUUUAUGUAAGAUACCGUAAAAGCCAAAUACAACCUUUUUGAUUCUCAGCAAUAACUUUUUUUUUUCCUUUUAAAAAAAGGAAGCCAUAUAAAUAAUGCUUUAAACAUUAUUUGCAACAAGGAACAAUUAUUUCAUGCUUUCAGGUAUUAGAAACUUUCCAAAACUGCUAGCAAGAAAGUGAAAUGUAACUUUACGUAGUCACAAAAUAUGUAUUGCUGUUAGCCCAAUUGUUAUGAAGUGGCUUCUGCAUCAGAAGAUUCCAGCUCCCACCAAGCAUUGUUAUCUCUCUUCUGAAUACAAUCUGCAUCGCUGGGCAUGAGUUAUAUCAUUAAUGUCUGCAUCCUCACUUACAUCAUCCCAAUCAAGUGCUUUUUCUCCAUAUCUGGAUUAUAAGUCCACUCCAAUCUCUUCAAAACAUCCUAGUCCUUCCAUCACAACUGCUACAACUUCCUUCCUAAUUACUUACCCAUUAAUAAAUCGCUCCAAGAAAAAAAAGCUUAGCAAUUCUCUUCAACGCCCCAUCACUCAUAUCCCCUACAACAACCAUCUUCAGACAAAAUCCGAAUCAUCCGACACAACCACCAAACACCCAAACCUUCUUUUGUCCACCAUAUAAAUCCUCAACAAAACAUCGGCAUCUUGUGGCUUAUCUAACACCAUUCUGACCCAAAAUCAUGCUUUUUUUAACUCAUCUGCAAAACCAUAACCCACUUUUGGAGUCAAAAUUGCGCUUGCAGCCAUUUUAUAUUUUUCCAUCUUUAUUGAAUAGCUGCCAACCAAAAGCACUCUCACCUUCCCUCUAGCUGAUCCUAUUUGAUUCGACCUUUUCUUUUGUUCACCCUCAUGAAUUUGCUUAAAAUGAUUAAAAAGCUUGUCAUUGUUAUAAAAUCUCCUUCCACAAUCACCAAUACAUACGGCUUAGCAGGCCUAAUUACACCCUUGAUUUCUAAUUGGUUAAACAAUUCUCUUUCUUUCUCUGCUCUCUUACAACUUGAGGCAUAUAACUAAACCCGUGGCUAUUAGCAUUUGCCACCAUGUAUUUAAGAAUCCCAAAUGAAGAUAUUGAUUUUUUUCAGUUUAAUUGCUGCUUCAAAACGGGGUACUAAAUUUGGAUUUUGUUAUCCAAAUACCAAAAAUUUCCCACAUUGUGUUGGACAGUUUUUGGUUCUAAAGUUGAUGACUGGUUUUACGAAUCAGGCUUCAAAUGAGAACUUCUAAACAAUAAGACAAAUGGGUUUUUGAGUUUCCAAUUUUGUAAACUUUGUUCUAUUGUUUAAGUUAUGAAAUCGCUGAAACAUCACUACAGCUACAGGUCUUUAUGUGUCAAAGAACUGCAGAAGCUGAUGAUCUAGCUGUAGUAGACUUCUAUUGCCCCUGUCGUUCUAGGAAGACAAACAAGUUCAGGAACUACUUCUGGACCAAACUCAUAAUAUUGCCACUGCUUUGUGCCAAUCUGAGAGGGAAAGCAUAUUGAAGUUCCUAAAUAAGGCACAUCAUGAUUUGACAGAAGUACCACUAUGAGGAACAAUUGAUUUCAGGAAAGCACUAAAAUAUGACAUAAUCUGCCCCUAAUGGUCUAAAGUAGUCAAGAAAUGAUAUCAACCAAGCAAAAACACAUAAACUAGUUGAGAUACAAAGUUAUUGUAAAAGUCAAUUUUGAUCACAAGUCCAUUAAAAUUAAAAGACAUUAGAAACUUAGAGAACAUUAUAAUUUAGGACUCAGCUAAGUUGCAGAUUCUGUAACUAACAGCUGUGUCCACAUUGGUCUUGCAUCAGCUGAGUUUGGGUUGCUUUUCCUCUCUCCUGCAACGCGUACGUGGAAGCGCCCCAUUUGCUGUGUUCUAUACCGAGUCGGUACCGUAACAAGCUCCUAUAAUUUAAGUUUGAUUACUGUAGACAAUAGUCUGCCUCUGCUCAAAAGCUAUGUUGCAAGAUAUAACAUCUUUGCAAUGUUAUACUUUCUAAAAGUAAUAAGAAAUGAAACCAAGGGGUAAAUCGAACACCAAAAGAAAUUUAGUCGGCCAACCACAUUAUGUUCCCACACAGUCCACUAAUUAAGUUAAUAAUUAAAAGGAAUCAAAAUCUAAGAAAUCUCAUCUUCAAGCAGAAUUAAUACAAACACACAGCGAUUGAAAAUCACAAAAUCAUAAAAAGAAGCUGACUUGAAAAGCUCAAAUAUACGUUCAUCAGCCUCUCAACUUAUAUCUAAGAACAAAUGCAGCUUGUGAAGACAUACAUAAUUGAAGCUGAUGAGCCAUAUUUAACAAAUGAUAAUCAAAACUUGUGUGAUUAAAAUUAUAAUUCAAUAAUCGAGCACAUAAAACAAGAAGUAACUAGUUGUAUAUAUACCAAACAACUUUCUGAAGUUAAGGCAUAAAACAACAACGUAGAACAAAUUAAUUAAAUAUACCAGCACCAAUACUCUUAUUAUUAUCCAAAUAUAGAAGACCAAUGUAUCAAACAAGGAAAAUGAAAUAUUGUUAAUAAAUAAAAAACGACUAGUGUCAAGAACUAAAGUAAUAAGUAAAACCCAUAAUCAGACACGACCACAUCAAAAUCUCUGAAAAUUGAGGUCUAAACAUUGAAAACAAUUAGACAUAUAUAACAGUCAAUCAAAACAAAGCCUCAAAAUAAUAAUGAACUACAAUAAGACAGAAACUAAAUUGUAAACAAGCGCAUACCCAAUAACAGUAAUCAAGUAACAAGUCAAAACCAGAAUCAAACGUAGAAUUUUGAAAUCCAUACGAACUCUAAUGUAUUAGAAUGAAAUAAUAAGGGCGAUCGAUAAACUAGACUCAAACAAAAACAUGCCCAGUUAAAAAACGAAGGUAAAUAAAUAAAAAUGGUAUAAAACUGCGAAAAAAAUUAAUGAAAUGAAGAGAAAAUCACAGGAAUCCUAUGAAGAGGAAGGUAAACAAAACCUUCGGGAGCCGAGAAGAUGCCUUUUUUGUUGACGUUUGUGCCUAUACAUGCAAUUUUUUUUUUUAAUUUUGAAGAAAGUAUUGGUUAAAUAUUGUCAGAACGAAAUAUUAAUAAUAGGGACUUGACUAGCUUACAGAAUCUGUAAGGUACAAACUGCAGCAUCAGCCGUUGGAUGUGGUUGGAUGUGGAGUGAGAAACUAAACAAUAGAAAAUCGGAUGGUGGGAUGACGGGAGAUGUUUGUUACAGAAUCUGUACUGUAGACAAGUCCUAAUAAUAGAUGCUGGCAAUUUCAACAAGGACAAUCUUCGAUUCAAAUGUACCCUUAUGAUAAAGAAAAAGCCAGCUUGGCUAAAUUUUGAGCACCACAUUAUAAGAUCUAGGUGUAUGUUUAACUAUGCAAAAUGAAAUAUCUAUUAAUUAUAAGUCCCUUGACCUCUGGAACCAGCCAACUGGUCUCUUUCCUACUAGACAACCUUCCAUCGAUCAGACUAAUAAUAUUUACUAAAUCAUGUUCUACAGUUAAUGAAGUUGGACCCAAGGCAAUUGUUAGCUUAAUGUCAUAGGCUGCUCAAAUUUCCUGUAAUUGGAGGAUAAUUAUGUGCACAUGAGUUCGCUUAGCAAAAGUCUGCCUAGGCGUGGAGUGCGCUUAAAAGUGGGAUGCACUUAGAAGUGGGAUGCACUUAGCAAAUCAUCCAAGCCCAACCCGAGAUCUAGAACUCUCUGCAUAUUAUAAAUAAGCUAAAAGUUUUUAUGUUUCUCCACGUAAGUCCCUAGGAUAUUUAUGGAAGUUGCUAGGAAGUUUCCUCCCCUAGAACUCUAAUACUUAUAAAUAGGAGUGGGCCGCCUCAUUUACCCACCAACCACACCACACACACAAACACUCCAGCACACAUACAAGCUCUCUAGCUUUUGUAAAAAGCUCUCUUGUAUAUUCUCUCUUUGUGAGUAAUAAAAUCAUAUUCAGCUAUAUUGCUCUACUUCUCUCUAGUAUUUUCCGCAAGUGUUCUUGCUUCGCUAGUUUGAGGAGUGGUCCAGGCUUGCUUAGCAACUUGUUUGCUACAAGGACAUCUUGGUCACAAAACAUGGACAUGCAAGGAAAAAAAAAUAUUGAUUCGUUCUAAAAAUAAUAUGCACUCUUCUCCAGUGAACCAAAAAAUUUAGGCUAAUGGUAGCAAGUGAAGGAAUUGUGAUUUCACAUGCAUUUUGUUGACAUGAAGGUAAAGAACUUUUUUAUAGUUUAUAUUGUUUAAUAUAAUAUUUGAAUUGCAAAAUAGGGGUACAAAAUAGAUACACGAAGGGAUAAAACUAAUCUGAUUAUGAUAAAUAAUGAAUUAUAAGAUUUAGGUUUAAUCAUAAAGACAUAAGUGGCACACAAAGUCACGAAUUGAUAUCAUCCACGAUGCAAGUUCAAACAACUGUAUAAUAAGUUGCCCCAAGCUAAACUAUUAAUCUAAUAACUAUUCCAGUCGAUGUGGGAUAAUUUUCCUAUCACCAUCUAUCACGUGCAAGCCGAAUUUGUUGCUUGGUUCUUACAUGUGGUAAGGUAAUAUGAAUCCACUUGUGCAUAAAUUUGGCUCCGAUAUUAUAUAGAAGCUUAUGACCCAAAAUUAUACUUAAAGGUUAUUUCAAGAUUUGAAGGUUGCCUCAAGCUAAUAUUAUUAUUAGCCUGGUAACCCUUUUUUUUUUGUUGAUAUGUGAUAUUUUCCCAAUAACUUUUAUUAAUCUUUAUGCUUAUGUUUUGUCAUUUAUCCCAAAAUAUAACAUUAACAAAAGUUCCAAAAUUUCCUUCAAGAGAUAUAUUUGAGACAAGUAAUUUGUGCAAUAACUUUGUGAAUUGAUGAGCAAAUUCAAAGAAAAGAAUAUAUGUGCCAAACGUAACGUUUAUUAUUGUGUUUAUUUGUAGAGCUAUUUAAAGCCUAAAAACAAAAAGCAUCAGUCUGCUAUUAUUUCAAAUAAGUUCAAGCCCUAUGUCAUUAUUGGUACAAAAAUGUAUUAGAAUGGUUAAAAACUAUUUUUAUUUAACUUGUAAACUUAGGAAAUUAUCAACUGUCCACCCUUAAAUUGCACUGUUAUAAAAAAUAUUACAAUAUUUUCAGAUUGUAUCAUUCAUCUACCAUAAAUUUACAAUCUGCAUCAUUUAUCCACCAAAUCAUUAACUUCGUUAAAAAGUGAUAGACGUCACAAGGGUAAUUUAGACAUUUAACACACAAAAAAAAUAAAAGAGAAAUUAUCUAAGCUUACCAUGUUAUCAAAAUUGCUACAAAAUUUUAAAUUUGUUCAAUUUUCCAAUCUAAGUUUAUGACCUCCAAGAUGUUACUUGCAGUUUGUAAUUAAUGAGUUCAUAAGGAUAAUUUAGACACUCAAUACGCAAAAUAAAAAAUAAAAUAAUGGCUUAAAACAUUAAAACAAAAAACUACAUUUUAUAAUUGAUAUUCAAUAAUACACAUAAAUUCUAUUUUUUUCUUAAUUAAAAAUAUUCUAAUUUAUUUUCUCAAUUUAUCAUCAUAAAUUUACAUUAAUAAACUAAAUCCACAAAUUACCCUAAACCCUAAUUCAUAAAUGCCCAAUCAAUCUAAUAGUUUAAUUCGAUUUCAUAAUUAAAAAAGCUAAAUUUAUUAUAUUAGUUAUGGUGUAAAGUCAAAAAUGCCCUUAAAUUCAAGGGUAAAAUAACAUUUUAUUUAAAUUCUAUAAAUUAUUCUAACAAUGUUAACAUAUUGGUGGACGGUUAAUAUAAGUUACAAACUUAAAAUAGAAAAUCAAAUAAAUUCAAAAUUUCAAACUAUUUUGGGCAAAUUUAGGACAUAUGGUUAAUAAUUUUCUCAUGUCUUUUUACAUUGGUUGGUAUAAGUUACAAACUUAAAAUAGAAAAUCAAAUAAAUUUAUAUUUUCAAACUAUUUAGGGCAAACUUAGGGUAUAUGGUUAAUAAUUUUUCUUUGUCUUUUUACGUUAAAUUGAGUUUCAAAGGUAAAAUGGUCAAUUUAUUAUAAUUAUGUUAAUGUUUUAGUGGAAGCAAACGAUAUAAUGGACGAAUGAUAUAAAUUGUAAAAUUAAGGUGCAUGAAUGAUACAACUUUAAAGUAUUGUAGUAAUUUUAAAAAUAGAACAAUUUAAGGGUGGAUUGGCAAUAAUUUAAACUUUAAUGAAGCAACUAAAAAACAUUUUUAACAAAAGAAAAAUAAUUGAAAUGCUUUAAGAAAAAUAAAAGAAAUUAAAUAUCUUUAUAAAAACAUAAUUGAGUAAAAUCAUUUUACAAAAUGCUCUUUCAAAUGCACAUUCCACAAGGCAGGGAGAACGGGUGGGUAACAAAAAUCUCACUUUUUAUGAGUUUAUAAAAUCUUACUUUCGCAGAAUCAAAAAAUAACCAAUACUAAUCACACAAAAAAUAAAAAUUAUUGUUGUCACGACAUUACGCACUUUCUUCGCUGUCUAGAAAUUAGAAAGCUAGAACAUUUUGAAGUUCCUCAAUACAAAAUGUGUGCUACUACUAAAUUGGCCCAAUUAAUGCCCAUCGAAAAGGCCAUCAAUUUAGCCGGCAAUUUUGUCAAAAUUUCAACAAUUGAAGAAAUAAUGAUCACAAACGGAACAGGUAAAUUUUGAAGUUGAAUAAAUCUUGAGAUACAUACAACAAAGCCUUGAAACUUUAUUCUUCACAAUUUGAGCACGCACUAAAUAUUAAACAAGUAUAGAACAAAGCUUAUUUUUAGCUUCUUGUGCGAACUGAAUACGCUGAAAUGUGUUUUUUUUUUUUUGGAUUUUUGGAAUUUUUUAAAAUCAUUUAUGUUCGCCGCCAUCUUUUUCUUCGCUGGCGUCUUCCUCUCUUGGCUGGCAUCUGCCUCGUCUGUAGUUUGCUGUGCCUAUAUAUCCAACCAAUAAAUUGGGCAUUAAAUACGAAUGAAUGAUGAAUAAAAUGAUAAAAAAAAAACAAACAGAGAAAAUUAUAAUAUAACACGUAUAUAUUGAAAGAGAAAUUUUGAUUUUAGGAUAGAUCAAUUAGCUAUCACAAACGAAAACAUGAACCAACUAUGUAUAGAGUCAAUUAAGUAAAGUUCUCAAGAGUUGACCUGUGCUCCUGAAUUCUUGGAAUCAUCUAUCUCCUUCUGAAUUUCCACGAAACUUGGGACAAUUAUUAACAUCUUCAUUGUAUGCAGAUGGAAAUGGGAUCUGAUAACCCGCAGGCCAAAAGUUGGCGAGCUUUGGUAAACCAAACAAUGUCAAGUUCCGAAGUUCAUUCAUAACAAUUUCAUUGUAAUCCGUGAUGUUUGCUCCAUCUUUAUGCCAGAAUACUUCUUCUAAUUCAUCAUUAGCUUCUAUCCAUAGGCCCUUCAGUUUUUGAAGACUUGGAGCUACGCUGAUAUGAAAUAGAUGCUUUAGCUUGGGGCAAUAAUGGACAGAGAUCCAUGUGAGUUUUGGGAAACAUACAGGUUGGAGAUGAUCCUCAUCCUCAUCCUCAUCGAUGAUUUGCUCUAAUUCCGAGCAAUAUAAAAUACGUAACUCCUCCAAUUGCAACAGAUUUCGAGCAAGUGUUGAUGAGAAGAGACGUCUCAGUGUAGUGCACCCGUCCACUCUUAAAUCGGUAAGACUUUGGAGGCUAAAAUUAUGAGUGGGACCUUCAUGAUAUAAUAAUACUUGCAGUUCUGGAAGGUUUUCCAACCACAACGACUUCAAACAUGGGAAUAGUUUGUUUUCUUGUUCCUCAGCGAUAAUAGCUUCCACUUGAAAUACCACAUAUACUCCAAGUUCUCCAAUACCCAAUGUUUCCAAAUUUUUAAAGCCAUGCUUCAACAGUGCUGGAAUCGUGUCACUCAAAUGGGAACAAUUGUCCACAUAUAGAUUUCGUAAUUUCUGAGACAAAUAAAUAAAUAACUUGAUGCAAUUAAAAUCUAUUAGCAGCUAGGAUUAUCACAUGAUAAGUGAUGAACACCGCAAAAAUAUCAUAAUACAUAUGUAAACUAAUAAAAUAAUUAAAAAGUAAUGGAUUAAAAAAAAUGAAAUUAGUUAAAAGAGAUCAUGUGAAGUGAUAUAAAUGUGACAUUAGAUUGUUUUAGAAAAAUUAUGGCUUGAUCAACUAUUUAAUUGAAUUUGAAUAAUAUUAUAUACACUUCAGAAGUAUUUGCAUCAAUUCUUUCUAAACUAAAAUGAGAUAUGAAUUUCAUUUGAAGAAUGGUUUUAGGCCCUAUAAUAAAGAAAUUUCCCUAAGAUAUCUGAGUAUUAUUAUUAUCAUUACCACAUCCACCACCACCAUCAUCAUCUCCAUAGGAUCAAAUAAUUAAUGGCUGAUCAUAAAAUUUAUUACUAAACUAUCAUUUUGAGUAAAAUUGAAUGAAAAGAAAAAACAUGAAUCCAAACAAACAUACCUCUUUGAGAUACUGCAAAUUGGCUUCAAGUUCAUUACUGUUGAUGGUCAAGUUGGGACAGUUAUGAAGGUUUAACUUUUCCAAUGCUGGCCAAAUUGAACAAUAAUUCUCUGAACAGAACUUGGUGAGUUCUGGGAGAUCUUCAAGUUUUAAUUUUCUCAACAAAGGGAGGGCGAGCAUCGUAUUUCCAUCUCCGACACUUAUUUCCCCUUCAUUAUGAUCAAACUUUGCUUCGACAAUAUAUUCCAGUCUCUCGCAUCCACUUACAUUGAGACUUUUAAGCUGCUCCAAACUUCUAGCUUGUGACAACGUGAAGAUAUAUGUCAACUUGUUGCACCUAUGCACAUUCAAUUUUGUAAGAGUUUGGAGACUAAUCACAUGUUGGGCGGGCGCCUUCCAUAUCCACUUCAGUUCUGGUAAGUCCCACAUAGAUAACUCUGCUAAUCUUGAGAGACUCUUUCCAUGCGGCGACUUAGAGGCUUCCAUUAUGCAUUCUAAAUCUUCGCAAUCGCAGACAUCAAGACAAGUCAACUCAUUUAAGCCCCUUUCAUCU